rnacentral:lncRNA from 1 species
GAGGGAUUCUGUUGCGGAGGAGUUUAAGGGUGUAGGAGGCAACUUGUUCAGGAGUAGCUCUGUCUUUAGACUCGGCUCCGGGAGUCACCAUGCUCGGCUUCAGAAGAAUACCUUUGUACAAGAUGUUGAUAUUUUAACACAACUUGAUAAUAUAAGAUAAGCAGCUCCAUAUACUUAGCUAGUAAUACCUUCAAACAUGACAUUGUUCUGAGCAAGGUAAAAGAAAACCUCAGCCCAGACCUUCUCUGCUACUUCGUAAGUCCUGUCGAUGUCGUGUUCUCCGUCCAACAAUAUCUCUGGCUCCACUAUUGGAACCAAUCCACUGUCCUGAAAAGAUAAAACACAAAACACAAUCUGCGUGUGAAAUAAUAGCUUUAAAAGAAUCCGAGUUGACCUGUUGCUUGAAAGAGAAGCAAUGUGUGUUUACUUGUGAAAUGGCAGCGUAUCGGGCAAGGCCCCAAGCAGCUUCUUUAACAGCUAGAGCAGACGGACCAUUGGGAAUGCUCACGACAGUACGCCUAAUUAAACCAUCAAGAGUACAAAAGUCAAAGAAAAAACUCAGCCGAGAGGAAACAUUUUGGAUAGGAACAGAGGGUACUAUACCAUUUGGCGAAACGAGCACCCUGUUGAUAGUAAGCAGCAGUUCGGGAGGAUAGACCAUCGAGCCCUUGGCACCAUGACUCAUUGUUAGAGCCAACAAGUGGGACCAAACCCUACUUCCAUAAAUAGAUACAACUCGCUUAGAUUCCUCUAAUUAAUCAAGCACCACGUUAGGUACAUAUAUAAAAAAUAAGCAUGCACUUUAAUUAGUCAUACCUUGUCGACUUUGAUACCGGGGACGAUGUUCUGCUCGACAAGGACGUCGACCAUUUUCUUGCCUUCGGUGGUCGACUGAUACAGAGUCUCCUCGAACAGGAUUGCACCGGAGAUGUACUGUCCGAGUCCUGGUGCAGAGACCAGCAAUGUCCUGUAUGCUUGUCGGUUUGCCUCAGUGUUCUCUAGCCCUAUCGAGUCCAAACGCUUCCCGCAAGUCGCGUUCGACUCGUCCAUCGCCAAGAUUCCUCGUCCAGGAGACGCAAUUGUUUUCUGCUCCCAACACCAUAAAACAUCAUUAUUAUCGUAAUUCGAGUUAUUUUAUACUAACUUUUAUCUAUGAAUAUGAGCUCUUAUAUUAACAAACAUGAACUAAAAUCAACCCAAAGUCCCAACUAGUGAAAAAAUGGUUGUGAAAAGAAAGAAAAGUUAAGACUACAAAUUAUUAAAAAAAGAACUGAAAACAGAACAUAAUUAAUUUUGUUAGGCAUUCCAAUUCAAAAGAUCAAAAGAAUAAAAGAAGUAAAAAACCUUUAUGUAUCAUGCAGAUAAGACACGUGACAAAGAAGAGGAUAUGUGUGGGUGGGAGUACUAACCGCUGUCUUAACAAGCUCAUCGGCGUAGGAAGAAGCGGCACGGACGGUAAGGGAGGUGGCACGGUUACGUAUGACGACUGCGGCGGAAGAUGGCUGACGGAAGAGAACGCUUUGUCCCUUGACCCACUCCGAUUUGUCCAACACAGGAGAUGCCUUGAGGAGUGAGGUUGAUGCCAUCUUUUGUUAAAUGUUAUCUCUUUCUCUUCUCUCUGCCUUAAUUUGGUUUGUUCGAGAGACACACAGUGGCUUAUGAAUGAUGACACACACACACACACCACCACCACCUUAUCUCUGAGGAGGAGGAGCAACCUCACUCUCUCUCUUUUGGAUUUAUAUUUCUAAUCAGAUCAGUUAUUUGAGGUCCUUGUGACUUUGCCAAUCACACUCCGCCACUUGGAACGUAAUCUUGUAUCACUCACAAUUCAAGAAAAAUACCACAUGGAAUGGAAUCGUCUAUGCAUGCCAUGCCCAUCAUUUACAUGUUUGCUUCUUAUUUUUUUGCUUAUACGGGAAUUACAAGUACCCAAAAAGGUAAACAUUCGUUCAUGAUAUGAUUUCUUAUGAAAUAGAAUAUAUUUUUAUGCUGUUAGCAUGCAACAAAAAAAACCUCUAAAAUUAAUAUGUAACUCCGUGUGGAUAUAAUAUUAUGUACUUACUGUAUUUAUUUUCUUGAAUUGUAUGUUUGUGCAGCUACAUGUUAUCAUGAUGUUGGGCUCAAAGAACAAACGCAUCAUAUUCAAUUACAAAUAGUGGCAACAGCUUAUUAGAAAAACGGUGUUUUGAUAAGAGAAGAAAAAUUCAUGAGGUUAGAGACUUAUUAGAGUAUCAUUUUAAAUAUCUUAGAGCAUCCGCAUCAAUGAACCCCCUCUUGGGGUUCAUAGGAUUUUUUUAAUAUUUUUUGGUGGGACCAUGAAUAGUGAUGAACUUCUAUCGUUUGUGUGUCUGCAUUAGUGAACCUGAAGAAGGGGUUCAUAGGAAUAAAAUAAUAUUUUUUUUAAAAAAAAAAUAUUUGAAAACUUUUUAUUCAAUACAUUAAAAAUAUUCAAAUACAUUAAGAAUAUUAAUGAACAUAGAAAGAUUAUUCAUCUACAUUACCAAACUUUUUCCAUACAUUUUCAACUAAAUCCGCUUUCAAAAGAUGAUGUUUCUCUGAAUCCCGAACUUCAUUGCGAACGCCUAACAUAUUACCGAUAUUAAAACUUGUUCUCGUUUUCACCUUGGAACUUCUGCUUGACUCUCCUGACUCGAACUCAGAUGUAUCAAUUUGGGUAUAUCCGUCUCGUUCGUUCUCUACUAUCAUAUUGUGCAAUAUGACACAACUUCUCAUAAUCAUUCCUAUCUUUUCCUUGUCCCAUAGUAGAGCUGGGUUUUUAACUAUUGCGAACCUUGAUUGCAAUACUCCAAAAGCCCGUUCGACAUCUUUUCUGGUGGAUUCUUGACGUUCGGCAAAUAGUUCUGCUUUAGGACCUUGAGGGAGUGGGAUGGAUUGGAUAAAUGUUGACCAAUUUGGAUAAAUUCCGUCAGUAAGGUAGUAAGCCAUACGAUAAGUGUGGUUGUUGACCUUGAACUUCACUUUUGGUGCUCGACCUUGUAAAAUAUCAUCAAAAACUGGUGACCGAUCAAGAACAUUGAUAUCGUUGAGGGUACCUGGUAAUCCGAAAAAAGCGUGCCAUAUCCAAAGAUCUUGUGAUGCAACAGCUUCUAAGACAAUUGUCGGCUUUCCUGAACCACGUGUGUACUGACCUUUCCAAGCCGUUGGACAGUUUUUCCACUCCCAGUGCAUACAGUCGAUGCUGCCAAUCAUCCCUGGGAACCCCCGUACCUCUCCAAUAUCGAGUAAUCGUUGAAGAUCAUCCUCAUUAGGUCUUCGUAAAUACUCCGGUCCAAACAAUUGUAUUAUCCCAGCAGUGAAAUUUUCCAAACAUAAAUGUGCCGUACUUUCACCAAGUCGGAGAUACUCGUCAUAUGUAUCUCCCGAUUGACCGUAUGCCAGCAUACGUAUAGCUGCCGUACACUUUUGAAGUGCAGAUAGCCCGAACCUUCCGUGAGCAUUUUUUCUUUGCUGAAAGUAUGGCACUUCAGUACUUAGGCGAUCGACAAUGCGAAGGAACAAUGACUUGUUCAUUCGAAAACGCCUCCUAAACAUUUCCGGUGGGUAUGUGGGAUUUUCGUUGAAAUAGUCGGUCAAUAGUUGACUGUGGCCGCGUUCCCGAUUUCUUUCGAUAUAAGCUCGUCUCUUCGGGUUGUUAGCUUGACCAUCAACUACUGAAUCGAUGAAAUUAUCAACAACUUCGUCGACCAUUUCUUCUAAAUACUCAUCUACUUCAUCACUUGAUGAGGAAGACAUUGUUGAAGCAAUUUACUUCCUAUAAAGGGCAAAAGGGAUUUAUAAGUACAUUAUUAGUUUAAAUUUCCAUAACUUAAAUUUUUUAUAAACUUAUUAAAAUAUAUCAUACACAAGUACAUUACAUUUAUUUCCUUGUAUAUAUGGUAUGUAGUGUUGUCUUUUAUCAUUUUUUUUCUUAAAUUUAAAAAUAUUAGUUUAAAUUUCCAUAACUUAAAUUUUUUAUAAACUUAUAAAACAUUACUAACCAAUUCAAGUGUGGAGAAUCAAUUCAAGUGCUGAUGGUUGAGGAGUGUAUGAAGGUGUGGUGAUACUUGCGAGUGCUGAUGGUUGAGAAAAAUCGUGGUGAUGGUUGAGAAGUGAAUGAAAGGGUGGUGAUAGUUGAGAGAAAUCAAUGCAAAAGUGAAGAAUCAAUGCUAGAGUGAAGAAUCAAUACUAUAGUGGUGAUAGUUGAGCAGAAACAUAGAUCAAAAGUGAAGAAUCAAUGCUAGAGUGAAGAAACAAUUUAUAGUGAAAGAGUUGUUGCAGUUCCAUAAGUGAAAAACAUAGAUUAUAUAAAGACACAUAUUUUACAAUGUGAUCGGGUACAUACACCCGUGAGUACAAAAUAGAACCCGUGGGUACAUACACCCGUGAGUUCAAAACAGAACCUGUGGGUACAUACACCCAGUAAAGCCGCUGAAGUUAAAAGAAGUGUAGAAAGAUUCAAAAUUCUACACUCACCCGUGAAUCAAACAGAGAACCCGUGACCUGAUACCAAAAGAAGCUGAGACCUACUGACAACACGUCCACACGCACGCAUCCACCUACCGCAACCCGUGACCUGCAAACCUGCAAACCCAAAACAUUUUCAGCAAAUAUCAAAUGCAAUCAAGUUUAUAUCAAGCAUUAUCCAACAAAAAAAUUAACUUAAAAAGUUCAUAUGAAAUGCAAUUAACCUACUGACCCUAUCAAAGCAUUUCACAAAUGAGUUUAUUUUUAAGAGACACUUCUUGUGGAGAAAGUGUAGCUUCAGAUUUUGCAAGCAAGCGAUCAAGGAUUUUCUGUUUAGAUAUAGUAUUUUUGGCAGCUAAUAUGCUCUCUAUCUGAUCAUAAGCUGCUUCAUUGGUGUGCUUCUUGCGUUUGGCUGCUUUGCUUGCCUUAACGCCAGGAGGCCUAACAUCUUGGUCCGCAGGAACCUCCUCAGCCGGUUCCUUCCUUUUCUCCUUUGCACCAUCUUUCGACAAUGAAUGUGAUCUCCAUUUUUGAUCAAACCUAAGCUCCCUCCAACAAUGCUCCAUACUGAACUUGACAUGAUAGUCGUUAAAGAAGAUGUCAUGGGCAGCCUUCAUGACAUCAUUCUCAUUUUGCCCACUCGCUUGCUCCUUCACCGCGGCUUCAUGGCUUCCAACAAACUUGCAGACCUGCUCAUUAACCCUUCCCCACCGCUGCUUACAUUGACUCCACUCCCUAGGAAUGGAGCCAAUGAGCAGAGGACUAGCAUUGACAUACUCCACUAUGCGCUUCCAAAACGUGCCUGCCUUCUGCUCGUUACUCACAAUUGGAUCUUUGCUGGUGUUCAACCAAGCACUGAUCAAGACAACGUCUUCUUUGGUUGUCCACUUACGCUUUGACGCCGCUUUAGGAACCUCAGAACACCCUAAGUCUAUGGGUUGACUGCUCUGAGAGACUAGUAGGUUAACCAACCCGGGAGAGUUAUAGUUAAAAGGAUCCAUUUAGAUUUUAGAUAAAUGGGUUUAAACUUUGGUUUGUGUUUUCAGAAGAAGAUUGCCUAUGAUUUUAAACUAGUUUUGACCUUGAAAGGACAAAAAAUUAAAGUGGGUCUAACCACCAAACAUUGAUUAAAGUUUUUAAAACUACAACUACUACACAGACUGUAUUCAAUAAACAUCAAAUCAGUUCUAACUCAAGUCUACCUAGCAGUCGAAUUGAUUACACAACCAACCAAAACACAAGUACACGGGCUUCACACUCAACCAUUCAUCAACAUUCAUUUCAAAUUCAUCUCAACCUAGUACACAUAGUUCAGUUCAAAUGCAACUAUAACUAGCACUCCAAUUGAUUAAGCUUGAGUGUUACCUUUUUUCAGUCGAAGCAUAGCUUCUCCAAGUGCGCGACCUGCACUGAGAGGUUAUAAACCUGCCCAGUGAGGUUAUCAACCUCCCGAUUGAGGGCUUUAACCUCUGCCUGGACAUGGAAAAAACAAUCACAAAUUGUUAGUCCGUUAAUAGAAAAUUAAGGAAAAUAUUACAAAUUUUAAACAAAAAAAAUGGAAGUCACAUUACCUCCAGCCUCUCAAUCUGAUAAUUGACCUCCGGGAGUCCGUUGAUCACCAACUCAACCUCCUCAAGACGCUUUGUGAGACGUUCGAUAUGCUCCUGGACACCAAUCACCCAAGGCUGACGGUAAUGAAACCCAUCAGCCUUGUUAACCACAAAACACAUGUGAGAAUCUGGUUCGAAACUCAAUUAAAUGGAAAUAAUUAAAUUGAGAAGAAGCGCUUACCGUGUAGUUUUUGCAGGUGAAGAACCGCUUCCCAGGAAGAGUGUCGUAGUCGUCCUUCCCCCGAACUUCGUCAAUGAUUCUCCCUCCGCAGGGACACCUCGUCGGAAUCCCGUAUUCUGAAUCUGCCACGUAUCCUUGCAUGUUGAUCAACUCCGACUGCCUCUUUGUCUCUCUUCUCUCUUCUGCGGGAUCCAUCUGUACCAGAAAAAGCAAAGAUUAUAACAAAAUAAACGGUAAACCGUGACCCCAAACUCGAUUUGGAACCCUAAGUAGAAACCCCCAAAUCGAUUUCAAAUCCUCAAGAAACGAACCCUAAAUUGAACCCGCAUGGCGAUUAUUAACCCUAAAUCAAAACCCCCAUAUCGAUUUUGAACCCUACAUCAAAACCCCCAAAUCGAUUUUCAAUUAACCGAUAACCCUUUCGACCCCAAAUAGAUUCUAUGAAACCGUAAAAGUAGUUGAUACUCACCUCAGAUCGUUUACGAGAGUCUCCGACGUCGAUUCAAUCGAGAAAUUCUCCGGCUGUCGCGUCGCACGAGAUAUCGCCUCCCACAGAGAGAAACCCUAGCUUUCGAAAAAAGGAGAGAAAAUGAAUCAUCUCACGCGUAACCCUAUUUUUCUCCCUCUCGACGCGAAAACACGCGGCCAAUGCCUGUCCGACGCGUGGCUUGAACCCGUAUCAUACGGGCUCACUCCAAAGAGACGGAUCACCCAAUUAAACUCAAUAAAACAUUUCUUUUUAUUUUCCGGGUCUAUAAACCCCAGCCCAUGAACUCCUAUUAAUCCGCUAAUGCGGAUGCUCUUAGGAUCUGGCAGGCUUUUAUCAUCUAUUCCUCUAGUGAAGUCUAAAAAUUGAAGGUAGAGAGCUUACCGCGUCUCUUCACAAUCAUCUCAGGUACCACGUGUAACAUAUACAGUGGAGGUUCUUCGGAUUAAUUCGACUAGAGGUUUUCGGGGUACCGAAAGAGAAGAGGUAAUCGAUCAUACAAAAUGUGUAUCUCGAAUGACGAGUGGAGACAAGAAAAACGAGCGGAGUCAAGAAAACCAGUAACUACUAAGAAUCAAUUUCGAGUUUAGAGCCAAAGAUGCGUCUAAAAGUUAAAUUUAUAGACAAUGACUUGUGUGAAUCCAUGCGUUUCCCUUAAGGCUGAGGUUGAAUGCGUAUGGAGAUUUCAAGAGAUUGUCAAGAUUAUUUGUAGCCCCAACACAUUUUCAAGAUUUAUAUAAAAUGGUUUAUCGUUAUAACUUUAUAUAUGUUGAAGAUUUGGAAAAAGAAAGUUGAAGUCAGGUGAUGUUGGGAUUGCUAUUAAAAUAGGCAAAGACACCAACUAGAGGUGCAUUGAUAUACGUCGUGGGCUCAGUGUCGGUAGCAUUUGUCCGUUUUCCAAUGAAUGUAUCAUCUACGUUAGGCCCGCCAACCACCGCUCCUACUAAUAUGUUUGGGUUUGGAUUGUCUGAAUGGAAAAUAUUCCAUCCUUGUGUGCACCCGAACGCAGUGCUUUGAACCUUAACAGACGGUAUAGACGAGCCACGGUGGUGGACCUGUCGCGGGUACUGAUCGCCGUACCCAACCAUGUAUGACACGUGCAUUGGAUUAUCUCCCAAAAUGUAGUCCACCUAUGUACCGCAAAAAAAAAAUGCAUAUGCCUUUGAUGGGCCUAUCUAAAGCAUAUAUACACAAUAACAAAUGAUGUUUGAGUACCUGUCGUUUAACUAUGCGCCGAAGAGAAUCGGGUUGAAACUUGAGGUUACCGCAACUGAGUUGUUGCGAGGAUUUAGAGAGGUAGUCCGCGUAGGUAAGGAUGAGGAAAGACAUUGCGGCCGUGCUCUGGAGCUGGCUGCCAACGGGUUUGUAAAGAAGACCGCCGGGUGUGUAACUCAUGUGUAGACCAGCGGUUUCCGGAAAUACUGCACACAUCAUUUUCUCCGCAAUAUCUUUAAAUGGUGUUAACGCACUCACAUUCUUCUCAAAUACUUCCUGUUCACCCAAAUUGACGUUUAAAUGGCAAGCACUAAUAGUAUAUCAAUGGUUAAUUAUGUCUUUUAUAUAAUUUGACCUAGUGGUUUUGAAAGAUCAUAUAUUUAUAUAUACAUAGAGAGAGAGAGAGAGAGCUGGAUCAAACCUUGGCAAUGAGAACAUCAACUCCCCCAAAUUUGCUGUCCCAGCCAAAGUCCAAGUAAUUGUAAUCUACACCGAAAGUUUCACGAUUGUUCACCAAGUACUCUAGGUAAUUAUCACUACCAGUCGCCCUCCUCAACCACGCAGCUCCCCAGAGCAACUCAUCCUACAUGAAAACAAUACCAUUUUAUAUGAAAUAUAAAAUAUUUAAAAAGCCGGUACUAUAGACAUAUUAAAUUUCGAAUAAAGGUAUACCUUAUAUCCAUUAUUACUGCAGUAGAAAGGGCAAGCGGCGUUGUGCACGUUCUGAUUGUCGGCAUAAGAACCUCGAUGCAUAUCUGCGUACUGAAACGUUUGUAUGGCUUUGCUGAGCAAUAAUUUGGAAUAUGUAGGCCUCGAUUGUUUGAAUGCGAUAGAAGCAGCUGCCAGAGCUGCAGCGAUUUCACCCGCUAGAUCGGAGGCUGGCCCUGGUGCAUCUAGAGCGAAAGCGGUUCGUGGCGUAUCCAUAUCUUCCGGUCUUUCCCAACAAUUAUGGUCGGGCUGUGCUUCACCUACCUAUAGCAUAUUAAUCUUAUAUUGUUAGCGUGUGUGCCAUAUAGUAUAUUUUCAUUUAAAGCCCUGAUUUCCGAAAAAUAUAAUACAAGCUAGGACAAACCAAUCAGUGGAAAUUGAUUGCUUCUUCUCAGAGAUGAUAUACAAUUUGAUUCUCUCAUCAUCAUCAACAUACCUUGAAGUUCUAUGAUUUCCUUUCUACUAUAUUAUAACUAUAUUAUAUAAUGUUUACAAAUCUUGAUAAGUGCAAAUUAAUAUUAACUACACACUCGUAUACCCAUUCAUCCGUUUAUAUCCCGACUCUAUUUUUCAAUUGUAAAAUUCUUAAAAAUGCCGACAACGCACGACAAAAUGGUGAAAAACAAAUUCUUGAUAACGAUGUUGGUGUGUACUGGUGAAUAUAAAUAGGGAACUCAUAUAAAUAUUAAAAAGAUUUUAUACUAUAACUGUUAUGUCAGUAGAUGGUAUUUAAAAAAAUGACGGUGCAUUAGCGGUUUGUUUAUACGAACAUACUUGGACGAAAAUGCGAUGAGGGAGUUGUGAGACAGUCUUAAGGAGAUAAUCAGUAGCCCACUUGAUAUUUACGAGGUUGUGUCUAAAAUCAUUGUCAGACAUGUAACAACUGAAGUCGAUAGAACUCCAAGCAAGCAUCGUGGCCGUAAAAGCCAUUGGAAAAUGAAACUUAACGUUGUCACCGGCGUCGUAGUAACCACCAACGAGGUCGGUGUUGAGGUUUUCGCCGUCCUUGAGUGCAGAGUCACCACGCCACAACAUCCUUUGUUGUCUGGGAAGUCGACCGGAGCGUUGACCUUCGAAAAAUAGGAUUGACUUAUGCAGAGCAUCCGAGUAGUUGUGAGGAAUCACCGUUGGUACCAGGAGGAGAAGUACGAAAACUGUUAAGAUUAAAAUCGAUGGUUUCAUUUUUUUCUCUUUGCAGUAAGGACUUUGAGAGAUUUUGGUUUUUGGCAUGAGGGUUUAGAGUUCAUAUUUAUAGAGCUAGUUCAAGUAUACGUAUUUGGCUAAUUUGGUAUAAACCAAUUUGCAUUGGCUUGUAGUUAUCCAUCCAUCAUCCAUGCAUGUAUUAAAAUAUUAAAUAUUGUUUUAAUUAUAACUCUAUUGUUAUCAAGAAGUCAAUCAUCAUCUUACUAAUUAAUAGUUUAAACUUCAAAUUUAGAUAAAAAUCUUUGAUUUUUUUUAUUUGAGUAGAAAUGUACUUUUCUGAUUCAAGUGGAUUUUAACAAGAGUAAUCUAGUUAGACCAUGUAGUGGAAGUGUUGAAUAAAAGAUUCAACAUAAUCACGAUAAUGAGCAUAUUGAAAAAUAAAUUUGAUGGUGUGGAUUAUUUAGUGUUGAAGAUAUUUAACAUAUCAAAAAGUGAGAACCAUCGACACAUGUUAAAUUAUAGAGAUUUUUCAUAUUUUUAUAUUAUAAUAUUCUUAUUAUAAAUUGAACAAUUUAUUUAAUUUUUAUACAUAAAUUUAUUAUUUGAAAUUCUCUAUAAAUAAAGACUAAAUUUAUUUAAUUUAGACAUAUUAUAAUAAUUAUUAAUUCGUAAAUGAGAGUGUUAAAUUUUAUUAAACAAAAUCAUUGUAAUGUGUAAAUUAAAUAUAUGUUGAAUGAUAAGGUAAAAAUGAUGUGGAAAAUUAAAAGAUGAAAAAUAUGGUAUUGAAUCUUGAAACAAUUUUACAUAAUCUUAUAUGUAUAUAUAUAGCAUAUAUAUACUUUUUUGGUUAAGUACAAAUCUUGAAGUUUACUCUGUUAAAUCUGGAUAUAUAAUCUGACCAUCUAUAUUCCAUAUAUACUUUUUGGUCAAAUGUUCCAUAUAUAUACAAGGCGAGCUAUGAUGGUAGAAAUUAUUUCCACAUAUAUAUUUUGUUUCUUUGUAAGUUAUUAGAAAUUCUUCAUAUGUCGAUAUGAUGCAAGGAAAAAUAUUAAAUUAUAUCUUAUCAGUAGCUAAUAAUUUAACUAUAAGUAACAUGCCUAAGAGUAAUGCAAGGCUCACAGGUUAGAUGAAUGAGAUCUGAAUGUUUUGAUGAAUUGGAUGAGAUGCAAAUAUUUGCUGGAAGAACACUUCUUCAUUAUAAUUUUUGGCAUGAGUUUGGUUAAAUUUGUUUUCAUGCGUAUGAAUAUUUGUUAUUGAGUUAACACUUAACACACUCGUAAAAUGCUCGUGUUUAUAUUUGCUUUUUAAAUUGUGUGAUAGUCUAUUAUUUCGGAAAAAAAAAACAAAUAAACACUUAACACAAUUAACACACUUUAAGGGGGUGUUAUUGGUUUAUAUAUUUUUAUUGAUUUAGAAAUUCAUAUAGUAUUUAUAAAUCCAAGUAAAAUAUACAAAUUUUCAAAUUUUCUCGGAUUAGUAUUUACAAAUUCGGAGGUUUUCCUUCGGAUUUGGGCCUUUGUGUUUUUCACAAACAAAUUCAUGCAAAUCCAUUCAAAUACAUUAUGAAAUCAAAUUUAUUAUUAAAUCCGUAUGAUUGAAUAACACUUGAUUUGAAUUAGAAUUUAUGAAUCAUUAAACGAAUAACACUUGAUUUGAAUUAGAAUUUAUGAAUCAUUAAACGAAUAACACAUGAUUUCAAUACAUAUUUUAAAAUCAUAGAACCAAUAACACUAGAUUUAGUUUGGAUUUUCAAAUCCAUCAAAAUACACCAACCAAUAACCCCCACUAAGAAGUUAGAUUGGCUGUGAAUCUUUCGAUUAACAGAAAUAAAUAAAUAAUUGUAUUUUUCGAAACAAUAUUAUUUAUGUGGAUGUAUGAUAUACGAAUAGACUAUCCAUUACAUUUGAAAUACAGAGAUGAUAUCCAAGUUAAGUAAUCCGAAUGAGAUAUUCAGACUGGAAUUUUCUUUCUUAGCUUUGCGUGUGUAAGAUUGCCUACAAGGAACUUAAAACAAAAAAAAAAAAGAAAAACAAAAAGUGCUCCCAUUCUUUCUAUAUCUAAUGUUACUCCAAUGACGUCAGCUAAAACUAGGAUUGGCUGCAAAGUAAGCCAAUACACCAACGAAAGGAGCAUUGAUGUAAGUAGUGGGCUCUGACUUGCGGAAAUCAGACCGGUCAUCAUCGUACAUAUCAUCCUCUCCGGGCCCACCCACCACCGCUCCAAUCAAAACGUUCGGGUUUGGUUCGGUCGAGUUGAAAUAAACCGAUCCGUCUUUGCACCCGAUGGUGCCUGGAUGGUCUACGAUCGACGGCAGCGAUGAGCCACGGUGGUGGAUCCUCUUUGGAUACCUCUCUCCGUACCCGACCAUGUAUGAUAAUCCCAUUGGAUUCUCCCCCAAAAUAUAGUCCACCUUCAUUUUCCAAUAAAAAAUUAACAUAAAUAUGGGUGUUCAAAAUUUUUUUAACAUAAAUAUCAUAACAAAGUAAGAUUAAUCCCUAAUAAUAACAAUAUAAAAUUAAUUAAUUUUUGCAAUAAUCGUGAAAUUUUUUGUAUUAUUUUGCUUUCAAUGAAUGCAUGAUAAUUGCUACGUAUAUCGUCAGGUUUAGGUGACUCGUCAGUUAGAUAAGAGAACAACCAAUAAUCACUACAAACGGGAGAAACCUGUUUCUUGGCGAGACGGCGUAGAUGAUCAGGAGGGACAGAGAGGCUGCCACAAUUGAGGGAGAGGGAACUUCUGGAAAGAUACUGAGCGUAUACAAGCAGGAGGAAAGAUAUUGUGGUCGCGUGUUGGAGCUGACUACCGCCGGGCUUGUAAAGAAGACCGCCGGGAGUAUAUUCAACAUGCUGUCCCGGAGACUCCGGCACCAAACUACACAUGAAGCUCUCCGCUGACGCCUUGUACGCCUCUAGGUUGUACAUAUUCCCUGUUAUAACUUCCUGUACCGGAAUUAUAAUUAAUUAAACCCAUCGGUUACCAUAUAUGCCGUGUUUUGUGUCUUAACCGGGCCAUGUUGGGUUUUUCACGUACACGGAAAGAAAAGAACAUAAUCUUUACAUGCACGUGAAAUGCUCGUGUUUACAUUUGCUUUACUUGCGAGAGUUAAUUAAAGUUAUGAUUUCUAUUAAUUUGAUCACGUAACUCUGAUCAAAAAGGUUAGUAUAGAUAUUAUUUUUUAAUAUCUAACCUUGGACACGAGAACAUUAAGUCCACCAAUUUUGUUGUCCCAACCGAAUUCGUCGACGUUCUCGCUAGCACCAAAGGGUUCACGGUUACUCUCAAUGUAGCUAAGGUAACUUUCAUUACCAGUCGCUUUUCUUAGCCAAGCUGCUCCCCACAAUAACUCAUCCUACACGUACCCAUCCCAACAACAUUAAUUAUAUUAAAAAAUCACCAAGAAAAAAUGUAAUAUAUAAUGAUCAAGAUUGUAUGAAUUUUUUGCGUGUUGAAAUUUUUAUUACUCGGGUUUUUUUACCUGAAAUCCGUUGAAAUCGCAGUAGAAAGGGCAAACGUCAUUUUUGAUAUCAUCAUUGCUGCUAUAAGCACCACGGUGCAUAUCAGCAAACUGAAACGUUUUUACAGCGAUUUGGAGCAACGUCUGAGAGUAGCCUGGAUCCGAUGAUCGCACGGCAAUUGAAGCGGCCGAGAGGGCCGCUGUGAUUUCUCCAGCCACUUCAGAAGCUGGAUUUGGGGCAUUUACGACGUAAGCAGUACGUGGUGUAUCCAUAUCUUCAGGUCUUUCCCAGCAAUUAUGAUCUGCAAUCGGAUCACCUACCUACACAUAUCACAAGUUUGUUUCCUCCUUUAAUUAGUUUGCAUAUAGUUAUAUUAAAUCCCUCUUAAAAUAAAAACAAGAGAAAAAGACUAGGAUAGCACCAAACCAAGUUUAUGUUCCCAAAGUAGCACUCAAGGUUCAAAGUCACAAAAAUAGGUUUCAUUAAAGAGGUAAAUAUACACUUAUAUCCCUUGGGUUAAUUAAUCCAAACCUUAGGGUUUAGAGUUAAAGGGUGGGGUUUUGGAAUUAGGGUUUAAAAUUUUAUAAAAAAAAAUAUUAAAAUAAAAAAUAAAAANNNNNNNNNNNNNNNNNNNNNNNNNNNNNNNNNNNNNNNNNNNNNNNNNNNNNNNNNNNNNNNNNNNNNNNNNNNNNNNNNNNNNNNNNNNNNNNNNNNNUGUUGUCGAAUGGAAAGUAGAUGUCAUCGCAGCGUUUGUCAAGUCGUUCCUCCAUGGUGUCUAGAGCAGUGUAGAUCUUGGAUGUGAUCUUGUCAACCUCUGCUGCUGUGUAAGGAAGUAACUCCACAUGUUUCUUGCCAUCGAUCCAAGGCCCUCGUAGCCUGUCGAUCGAUGCUGAUUUUGCCUGCAAAAAAUUUUGAUUAGUAAUGUUAUCAAUAUCCCUUUGGGCAUGAAGUAAUUGACUAGACAAUUUGUUUAAAUCUAUCAUGACUGGUGAUAUAAAGAGGUCAUGCAUGUCCUCGUAAGUCCUCAGCCUCUCAUUCAUGGCUGAGACUUUAGCGUCGAGCGAUGUGAUUGUACACAUGUCGAUCGAUGUGGCUGGUUGUUGGUCCUUCUUGCGAAUGGUAUCCAGAUCUUGCUGUAGUAGCUCGAUUUUAGUGCUCAGCCAGUCCACGUUGUUGUUGAGAGGGUAGUACACGUCGUUUAUCCUUGUGUCAAUGUAUUAGACUUCCCAUUCAUCCUUGUGUUGUGCUGAACAUUGCGGUUCUGCAGGGAUCUGGGCUGUAGGAAGACUGACGUCGAUCGAUGAUGCAUUUAGUGCGUCGAUCGAUGUUGAGGUCGUGGCUUCCUUCUCAAGUUGCUGAUGUAAGCUCUCAAUUUUUGUCCUCAUUUCUGCCAUACUUCUGAAAAGCUCAUUGUAGCCUCUAUCAAAAGGUUGAUGUAUAUCUUCUACCAAUGAUUUGAGCUCCUCUCUCAGUCUUUCCUGAGCUCCAUAAAUACCAAACACCAUCUCAUUGAUUUCAUCUUUGGUGUAGAGUUCUGGUGCCAGUCUUGUGAGUGUGAAGGAAGUGGCAUGUUCUGGAAGACAGAUGUGGCUCUCUUCAAAAAGAGAUGCUCUUUCCAGUAAUUUCCUGAUGUCGUCCUUUGUGACAGGUAUCAUCUCACCAGCUACGCCUCGUGCGUGUCCACACUCAUCUCUGUAGACUCCACACUCGUCCCUUCAUUCCCUAGUGAACUUUCUGGCUCCGUACAUGUCAAAAGCGCGGUUUCCAAAUUCAUAACGUCUAUCGAUCGACACUGGGUCAUCCCUAUCGAUCGACGUUGGUGUUACCCUGUCGAUCGAUGUCUCAGUUGUCCCGUCGAUCGAUGCUUGCCCUUUUGGUUGGCGUGAUAGAUCUGGAUUGAUUUCUGUUGUGGCGACUCCUACGUGAUUAUUUGGAUCUGUUUGAAUGACGUCUGGAGUGCCACGUUGCUGUGAGAAUAGGUUGUCAAGUCCAUUGGCUACUUGAAGGAUAUCUGCUAUGUCCUCUCUGGACACUUGUAAGAUCCUUCCAUCCAUUGCACGUGCGUUGCCAUCUGGGUCCCUGAAAAUACCAAAUUCAUCAGGUGUUAGAAAACCUGUAAUCAAUGUUUGCAUUAUCAGUCAAUUUAGGAAUAGAAAGAUUAGGGUUUAGAGUAGUAUCGAUCAAUGUAGAUACAGAUGCAUCGAUCAAUGGCAGAGUAAUUUCUGCAGAACUUGUGUUCUUGAGAUGAUUGCUCUUCAUAGAUUUUCCUGUUGAUGUAGAUGGAAGAGUGUUCAUCUUUUUUGCUUGUGUCUCUGCUCUGGUGUGUGGUGGUGGUUUCGGGGGUGCAAAACGUUUUAUAUAGGUAUCUCUACACCUAGUUGGAGAGGGAAUAUUCUCCUGCUCCUGAAUUUUCGUUGCGGCGCGAAUAUCAUCGAUGUUCCAGUACGUGUGUCGAUCGAUGUGAGUGGUUGUUUUGCUGGACGAGGGUGGGUAUUGAACGAUGUGGAGUGCACUUCGGCGAUCGAUGUUGGAAAUAUGUUGGUGAACUUAUGUGUUUCAAAUCUUUCAUCCUGCAAAGACAUUUCUAUUGCACGUUCUUUCCAAUAAUCCACAUCGUAUUCCUCUGUAUGUUCCUCGUUAGAUGAAGUAAUUAGAGUGUCAACUGCAAAACUUUCAUGGAAACCACUGUCUGCCCAACUGCCUAUGGAAUAAUCAUCACGUCCUCUCUUGCUUGGAGGUUGGAAGGCAAAGUGGGGGUAACAAUGAUUAGGUGGAGCAAAAUGGUCAACCGACUGCUUUAUGUCGAGUGACGUGUUGUUGCGGUCAUCGGUCACAAUUGACUCAUUGGAAACAAUUGAUGGAAAGGUGGGGGUGUCGAUGAGCUGGUUCUGGUCACAAUUGACUCAUUGGUCACUUGGGAAUUUUCUCCUUUCUUUUCCUUAACCUUCUCCCUUCAGUUUCUUGUUCCUCUUGAACUGGUUCUGGUGAACUAUUUAAAGGGCUGGGUUUUGGUUCCGGUGGGGUAGCUAAUGGUUUAGGUGGUGGUCUGAGUGCGUUGAUAUAAUCAUUAUCGAUUGAGGGUAACCGCACUCGGUAUGUCAGAGGUGUCUGGAUCGAUGGGAGGUGUGUUGUGACGAUCGACGUCAGACUCACUCUGUCGAUCGAUGGUUGGCUCAACCGGUCGAUCGAUUUUAUCAUAGAAAGAGGAGGGUGGGUGAGGAUGCUUAGCUGCGAAUUCUUCAUGAGUUAGAAUUUGAACUGCAUUGCAUUCAGUUGAUUUAGCAGACGACGUCGAUCGAUGACUGGAGUAAUCCGUCCAUCGAUCUUCGUCAUGGUCUGUCGAUCGAUGCGAGUUCAUCGACAUCGGUCGACACCAUUGGGAUCCGCCGAGACUCAUGGAGCUUUCGAUUUCGAAUUCUCCUUCCUCAAGCUUUUCAUUUCUCACCACUUGCCAGAAAUCAGCAUCUAUGAUGGCAUUUACGUGGUGUUUCCCUUUGUCGGCUCUUGCCUCUCUAGCGAAAGUUUCUUGCCUUUUUAUAGUCUCGCCCGUCUGAAUUACUUGCGUUUCAAGUUUUCUCACCUGAGUCCCUAAAGUCUCGAUUUUGGUGUUCAGAUUGUUGUAGGCGGAGUCUAUUUUACCAUUGAAAUCCACGGUGAUUUGUUGUUGUCCCAACAGUACCCGAUCAAGCAUAUCUUCGAUCUUGCUUCCCUGAGUCUGGGGUGGUGGAUUCUGGUAGUAGGAGUUCGAGUAGCGUUUGCUGUUGUUGAAGGGUUUUUGAAAUUGUGAACUUUGGUUACUUCUUUGACCAUUUCCAAAGAAGUUUCUGUUUCCGCCCUGGUUUCCAAAUUUCUGGAAUGAGGUACCUCCGAUGUAGUUCACAUUUUCUUCUCCUUCCGUAUCUGCUACUUCUCCUUCAGCUGAACAGACUUGCUUCCUAAGAAGCUCGUGCACCACAUCUAACUUAGCUCUUACUUCGUCCAUCUGUUCCUUCCAUAGGAUGCUCGUGCGGUAACCCAGAGUAGGGUAUCUGCGACACGAGAGUGUAGUAUUGAGGCUUCAGCUCGAAAUUCUGCUUCUGGAUCUCCGGAAGUCGAAUAGCUGAUCUGUUGGAAUAGUACUCAUCUGGGCGAUUGUAUUCGGCCAGUGGUUUCGAUCGAGCAUCCACAUCUACAGGUUGAGCAGCUCGUGUAGCAUUAGCAUCAGGGAUUACAGUCCCCUGAGCGUCUAUUUUUUGACCUGUUGCAUUAUGCAGAUGACCGUCCUGGUCAUACAGGUUUCCCUUCUCGUCCUGUGUUAGAAUAAUAAUGUUUACCAUUUUUGACGACACGGUAUCGAUCGACGUACGCGGUGUAGUAUCGAUCGUUGUCGAACGAUUGAGAUCGAUCGACGAUGAAGGUCUGGUGUCGGUCGACGGUUGGUUGUGCAUAUCGAUCGACGACGAUGUUGUUGCGUCGAGCGAUGUUGAACAUUGACCUCUACGGAUGGUGCGUUCCAAAUGAGCAGGAUCGUUUGAGAACAGCAAGUCUUUCUUCUUGUUGCUUUUGGUACCCCUGGGCAUGCACCUGAAAAGACAUGAAAAAGAUUUAUUAGAAAGGGGGUAGAGAAAAUAAUAAGAAUCAAUAAAACUAAAUCUAAUGGCGAUCAAAGCUCCCCGGCAACGGCGCCAAAUUUGAUACCACUCAAAUUACCCUAAGGAGUUUUACUCUCAUCAAAAGAGGUUCAGAUGUAGUACUUAGGGAUCAAAUCCACAAGGAGCUAGGGAACAAUUAAAUCUAGUGUUUAUUAAUUCUAAAUUAGCAAGGCUAAAACAAGCAAUGAAUACAAAUCUAUCAUGAAUAUCACAACAAGGCAGAUCUAUAGUUUGGGGCUAAUCCCACAAACCUAUCUGAACCCUGGAUCUAAUAAUUGAACUACUCAGACAUAGCAAAGCAAUUCAUAACAAUGAAGAAAUAGAAACUCAUAGUAUAGAUGAAAAGAAAUGAUAACAAGGAGUUCCAAUCACAAGUGAUCUUCUCUCCCAAAACUCUCUCUUCUCUCAAAGUGAAACUUGUAACAAAAAAGGUCUCUCUGCCGUCAAAACACUUAGGCAUUAUAUAAUCUACUAGGUUAAAAACUCGUCAUGACAUUUUCGUAAUUUGGCUUGGCCUUGGGUUUUAAGUCUGCUGAAUCCAAAAUGUCGCGUGUCUGAUGUCUCGACAUCGAUCGAUGGUACUUGUGUACAUCGAUCGAUAUUAAUCUUCAUCUGUCGAGGCAUUUCCUGAUAUCGAUCGUCAGCACUGAUGCGCAUCGAUCGAUUAUUCUUCCUCUCGUCGACCUCUACGUGGUCAGCUCGGGUGAAAUGUCCUUUAAGCUCCAAAAUGCUCCAAAGUCAUAGCUUUACUCCGAAAUGCACCUGAACCUGAAAACAUACCUAGAAGAGUAUAAAACAUAGAUAUAUAUAUAGUAAAACACCUAUAUACCAUGGAUGAAAACGGGUCAAAUCCAAGGUAUAUCAACGACUAUAUAAGAGCAACAACAACCUUCAAGCAAGGGAUCGAAUUCUCCAAGGCUUAGAGACUAGAAUUAGACGGCUAGAAUUAGGGUUCUUCUUGAAUACCUUGUAACCCCGUUUGUUCUUGCUGUUAUAUCUAAUAAACCGUCUAUCUUUCCAUUGUUCUCUCAAAUCCCUACUAAAUAACCACAAACACUCGAAGUUUACCAGCUUAUCCAUCGAUUUGUGGUACUCUAAAAGAGCCUACACAAAAAUCCCCUAACAGUUUGGCGCUAGAAGGAGGGGAGUGAUCUGAGCUACGUGACGAUGGCGGUGGAUGAGCAAGACAAUACGUCAGAAUUUACCCCAAGAGAAGCCGAGCUUUAACGACAGAUCGACGGACUGCAGAGCCAAGUAACCGAAUUGCACAAGGCUCAGGAAACAACCGAAAAUCCAGAGCUUUCCUCCGAGGUUCAGAUCCUCAAGGAAAAACUUGGUGAACACCCCAAACAGCUGGAGUUAAGUGCCGAGAAACUCAACCAACUACAGAUUAAGAACGCUGCACUCUGAUACCAGAACAAAGCUCCCAACCUGGUGAGCAACAAGAAGCGUUGCCUUAACACUCGGGUUCCACCUAUGGGACCUGAGCACUCCCUACACCGGAGAAAGCCAUACUAACCCGACUCCUGCAUCCGGAGCGGCCGGGGCAACACGAGAAGGGAUCGAGGAUCACCAGAUCCACGACCUAGAGGAAAGUGAUUCCGAACCUGAACCCGAGAAAGAAGCACCCGAGAAGACGGCAGCCAAGUCUUCCAUAACCGACUAUCGGGAGCAGAUCUUUUCCAAGAGGUUCGACGCCAUGCAAUCCAUGGUGGAACGUCUACCAGGAGUAGCUCCCCCAAUCCGGAGGAGCAACCCCGACUCGUACACAGAUACUCCCUUCGCGGAGGAGAUCGCCUCAGUCGAGAUGCCUCAGAAAUUCUCCUUCCCCAGCAUCAAGAUGUACGAUGGCACCAGAGACUCCGACGAUCAUAUCGCACAAUAUAAACAGAGGAUGCUAGUGGUUGCGCUCCCCAAGGAGUCCCGUGAAGCUACCAUGUGUAAAGGGUUCGGCUCCACUCUAAUUGGACCCGCCUUGCAAUAGUAUAUCAAUCUCCCUACCAGGUCCAUCUCUUCUUUGCCGGCCUGAACGACAAGUUCGUAGAAUAAUUCGCAAGUAGCGGGAGCCUGGAGAAGACUUCAGACGGUCUCUACGAGAUCCUCCAACAUCGAGUAGAACCCCUGUGGGACUACAUAGCCCGUUUCAAUCAAGAAAAGGUAGCGGUCCCUGAAUGCAGCAUCCCUACUGCAAUCUCUGCCUUCAAGAGGGGCCUACUUCCAGCCGGAGGACUCUACAAAGAGCUAACCAUGUACCCUUGCAAAACCAUGGAGGAUGUGCUAUCCCGAGCGUGGGCACAGGUGAAGUGGGAAGAGGACUUUGCUAGCCGCGCCAAGAAUCAACCAACAGGAUCAGAGGUCCACCUGAUCAGACCGGGGAGACCGAGAAGAAAGAUCCUCCCAAAAGGGAUCCAAGGACUCCGGAAGCAGGAACCGGGGUAGGUUCCAAUACCGGAUAUUAGAAAAAGAAGAAGGGAUGUAUGUAUCUACCUGGCCCGAUAUCUCCCAUCUCUCAAUAUCCACACCAGAGCUGGUCAACACGCUGAGGCAGAUGGGCCAACAGGUCAAGUGGCCCCCAAAGAUGAAAGCACCUGAAUCAUUCCGGAACCCGGGACUCUGGUGCGACUUCCAUCGCGAUCACGGCCACAAAACUGAAGACUGCGUCGCCCUGAAAAUUGAGGUCAACGAACUGCUCCAGAAGGGGCAUCUCCAAGAAUUCCUUUUAGAGAAAGCCAAGGCUCAUCUCAGCAAAGAAGCAGCAGGAAAAUCCAAAGGAGACGCACCAAGCUUACCAUCUCGCCAGGACCGGGUGAUUCAUGUCAUCUCAGGAGGCUCUGAAGUACCAAUGAGAUAAGCUUCAUAGCCAAGGAGCAAGAGAAGAUAUUAGCUCCCCACCACGAUGCUCUAGUUGUUUCUCUCACCAUAGCGAUGUGUUUGGUGAAAAGAAUACUAGUGGACAACGGGUCCUCCAGCAAUAUCAUCUUCCUGACUGCGUACCAAGACCUAGGGUUAGAGGAGAAUACCCUGACGCGUAGAACAACCCCACUUAUCGGGUUCAUCGGCGAGGUCAAGCAAACCGCUGGGGAGGUCGUUAUGCCAGUAUAUGCUGAAGGGAUCAACCUAUCUACCAAAUUCCUGGUUGUGGACUGCCAAUCGGCAUACAACAUGAUCUUAGGAAGACCCUAGAUUCAUGGCAUGGGAGCAGUCCCCUCGACCCUCCAUCAAAUAGUGAAGUUCCCUACCCCCAGAGGCAUCACAGCAAUCCGAGGAGACCAGGAGAAUUCUAGGUCCUGCUACCAGACCACCCUAAAGGGGAAGACCAAGGUCUUAUAGCAAUUACAGAGGAGACCUCAGAUCCCGCGGAAUCGGGAAUCAGGGGUCAACAAUAGGGGCAAUUCAGGAACCCUCCGCGUAGUCCGGACCCUACAUCCAAGCUUCAAGAGAGCUUACGUCUACCGCUUCGCAUGGUCUCCCCUAAAAACCUGCAAGGCUACACCUGCUCACAAAAUCUGGUCAACACAGGACCCUCGUCCUCCGCCUCACAUAGAUAAGAUAGCCAGAAGUUUCAACAGUUAUCAACCGGCGAUCUCACAUAUAAACGAGUACGGCACGAACACUUCGACAAAACCCCCUCGGAAGAGAGCUCCCAGCAGGCACCAGACGGAGAUAGGAGACCUCCAAACACAUUUUCUCCAGUGGUUGAAUGCGACCACAUGCUGCAUGAAAGCGCUGAAAACCUCCAUCGAUAGGAGACAGUGGCCCCCGAACGUCAGCAACACAGAGAUCUGCAAGGGCUGGGGCAUGAAGAAACUCCCAAACAAGGUCCCUAGAUUCAAAAAAAUGCAGAACCCUGCAGAGGAUGAAGGAACCCUCCAGCAAAGACAGUCGUCUCAAAAUCAAGUCAAACCCCACGGGUCAGGCAGCAAUAAGAGGUAAAACAUGGCCUAACCACCGGGGUAUCUCAGAAGCUGAUAUCUUGUGCGGUCUCUUGACCAUGAUUUCUAUAUAAUUAUUCUAUCUUUUAUUUAAGCAUUAUGUUUUUCUACUCAUAUGUACGCUGAAAGUCUACGGACAUAGCCUAUAUAAUAAAAUAGUUCCGACUAUAGGAGAGAGUACGAAUACAAUAAUAUUUAAAGGGGCAAACGAGCUGGAUCAGGUCAAAGAGACCUCUGAUCCUGGCCAACCCUCAAUGAUAAGUGGCACGACCACACAAAAACGAAAUGGGUAUGAGACAUAAGGUAGGAAUGGGUCUGCGCAAGCCCGAGUAUGCCGUCAAUACUACCUAAAACCCCUGUAUAGCCUCAGGCAUAUCGGGGUCCCAAACUAAAAUAGCAAAAAAGUGAAAGGUACCUGUAUUAAAAUGCUACGUGCUAAAUUAAUACAUGAGACACGAGGUAUAAUUGCCACUGAGCAAAUGCAAAAUUCUGGGAGCACCUUAAUAAUAUCCUUUUUCUCCAGACGUGGAAAACAUCGUAACUAUGGCACCUGGGUUUUCACCCACACCAGCACCCUCUAAGACUGAUAGUGGCUUUCUGCAGAAAGCAGAGAGCAGCACGGGAACUCGAUAGUGACCAGCCACGAGCGGUAGAAAGCGAUACCCUACAGGUACCGAGAGUGGCCACACCUAGGGUGGCAGAAUGCGGUCCCUUUAAAAUUUAAUUUCGGGUUCUGAGAAAGAUCUCCGGGCUCAGAUAGGCCCUAAGGCCAAGAAUCUACAGGUUCCUUAAAAAGGACCUCAGGGUUCAAAGACCAUGGGUCUAAAACAAGACCUCAGGGUCAGGAACCUAUCGGUUCUCUUUAUAACUUAAAUCCGGAUUCUGAGAAUUCCGGGCUCAGACAGGCUUUAAAGGUCAGGAACCUACGGGUUCCCUAAAAACAACCUCAGGGUCCAAGGACUACAAGUCCAAAUCAAGACUUUAGGGUCCAGGACCAACGGGUUCCCUAAGAAGGGACCUCAGGGUCCCAACGUUAUUCAAAACCUCUAAGUGAUCCUAGUGUCCCGAAAGAGAUCUAAUUCGACAAGACCUAUGAGAUCCGGUCAUUUUAAACAUCCAGAGGUUCUAUGUAACCCAGACACCAAGGAUCCCUGAGUCCUUCGACAAUCAUCAAGAAGCCUGCAAAAGAGCUCAAAAGAAGAAAAAAGCAAAUCCAGAAUGCAUAAAGGGCCACAGCAGGAACAUUGUUCAAAACAACAAAAUAGAGGCACGAAGGCCCGAUCCAAAAGUUCUAAAACCCCAUCGGAGGUAAAUACAAAAAGAUAUCCCUUCGCGGAGUUAAAAAACACAACUAGCAGAAAUAGGGAUCAGUUGAUAGGAGGAUCAUCAGCAGGAGGUUUCGAUGCCCCCCCCCCUUUUUUUUCGUCUCAUCACUACCAGGAACCUAAGGCUUAUACUCGAAGGAAGGAGGUGGAAGUCCAAGGAACUCGGCUUCACUGAUCUUCACCACCUUAUAUUGCUCAAAGGAAGUUAUCGGAUCCCAACGGUCGGUCUGAUCAUCAAGCCACUCCCGCAUCAGUUCCCAACGAACUACAACCUUAGCGUCAUUCACGGCCUUUAUCUUCUCAGCAUCAAAGACUUCAGCGGCAUGCCUAAGUUCGCAUAUCUCCUCCUCCUUAUCCUCUAGCCGUCACCGCAGGGAAACAUCCUCCCCUUCCAGACAUUCCCUUUCCUCAUCCAAAUCCUGUACUCUGAGCUUCCAAGCCUCAAUUUCCUCAUCCUUGGCCAAGAUAGCGUCUUUCUCUUCACGAAGCCGGAUAGCCAACGCAUCCCUUUCAGCCUUAGUAGCGCUUCUGUUUUUCAUCCUCCCCUUAAGGUAGAACAAUUGAGACAUCACCUGCACCAACAAAACUCAGCUCUGAGAUCAAAAAGAAAGGAGUCGCGAGAGCAAUAGGAAGAUUAUCACAUCACCCUGAAGGGAGCAGACAACCUUGGAGGUAUCCUCAUCUAAUGACGGACGUGUGAGAGUCAUAGGGAAUACCUCCGAAUCCAAGCUAGCCAGAGCCUUAGAACAGCUGCGAGAGGCGGAAAUGGAAGGCUUGAAAACAGAGGCUCUAGACCUCUUCUUAGAAGACAAAGGAGACACAAAAGGAGAUGCUUGGCACUUACCACUUCAGGUAAAUUGAAUAUUACUGCCUCCAGCAGGAACUACCCGAUGAAUCGCAGCCUUCCUCGCAGCCAUCACCUCGAGAGCUUUCUUAUACUCCUCCAACGCCUCCGCACCCCUAAGGCCCGGUAUCACACCUGUGGGACAAGAAUCAUUCAACAAACAACGAGAAGGAAACAGGAAAGUUACAGAUAUGAAGCUUACCCCUGAUACUACACCGAUCUAAUGCCCCUCACUCACAAGAAACAAAAUCUCACGGCGAUCAACAGGAAGCCCUAGCAACUGCUAAAUUAUGUGCCUCCCUGAAGAGAAAUCCGCGCGGGAAAUAUCUAUGGAAGGAAAAAUGAAGAAUGUUAAUAUCAUAAAAGUCGACAAGAAAUGCGAUGCUCUGCGCGACUCACCAGCCGUUCGCCAAGUUGAAGAAAAGCCUAGAAGAGGCAUAAAAGCAAACUUCGAUGCCCAGUUCCCUUAAAAAACCGGAUGAUGCUUUUUCUCCGACCUCGAUAGCUCCUGAACUGGGAGCAUCCGGCCGCGAGGAUGCAGAUGAUAGCUACGUUCUCUACCAUUUAGAGGAGAAACAGAGUAACAGUACAGAACCUCGGCGAUCCCGACAACUAAACCUUCGAGGUCACCAAGAUUUUGCAUAGCUAUCAAAAUCCUCCGGGCAGGAGGAUUCAGCUGUCCCGGAGAGAUAUUUACCGCUCUCGAAACUUCGGCAAUCAAAGAAGAAACUUGAUCCCUGAAACCCGAUUCAAAAAAGCCUUCAUAGACUGGGACUUCACCUGCCUUGAAAUCUGAAACCGUGUCGAAAGGACCGGGAAUACGGAUAACAAUUCGUGGAGAGAUAAAGCUUCUGUCUCCAAAACGCAACCUCCUCUACUCCUAUCUCUGAUACGGGACCCACCAGCAAAGAUCCACCUCCUUCCGGAAGCAACGAGGUCUCCCCCAUGGCUGUGUUCUUGAUCUCUUCUAUUUCGACAGACAGGCCCAGAGAAGAUCCCGAGGAGUUCAUCUAUUCGCAAACUUUGUCUCCAAUCUUGCGUCGAGAGCGAACCCUGACGCCAAUCGAUGAUGAGCCGGAGGCAAACUCAGGCUCGCUUUUCAUCUUAAGAGAUCCGGAGUAAAAGGACAAGAGAAUGGAGAGCUGUCGAAGAGACUAAGAAUCUAGGUUUACUGCACAAAGAGCUUUGAAAAGAAACUCAAGAGUCCAAAAUAAAAAAGGGAAAAAGCCUUAGGAUCAACACGUGUCAGAAGAGUGUGAUCGCGCGGGAAAACAAUCUCAGGAUUCAAUAAGGGAUCUUCUCCCGAAAAAUCGAGGGGUGAUAAGGAAUCAGUUACCAGCCAAAUCGCCGACCCACGCGUGAACCGCACGACAAAGCUCCAGCCUUGUCAUCUCCAGGAAGAUAGAAGAAAAUACUAUCAGAUAUCGACUGAACACGAAGGGACAGGUCCUUACCUAGGUUCAGAAUGAGUUCCGACUUGAGUGGAAUCUAGGCUAACAAGAUCAUCGGACCAGGGUCCUGCCUAAAGGGAGCCUGCUGAGAAUGAGCAACCCUGGUUGACUUGAGUGCACGGGUUGUUCCCCGACUUUGAUGACAAAGUCGAGAAACAAGGGGCAAACUGUUGGGAAAAAAUAUCCCGGUAUUAUUUCCCCCAGCCUCCAGACAGGACCCGGAUCCCUGGUAAAUGGGUUCCCCGGGUCCCCAUCAGAGGGAACCCUGGGCUCGAUCCCUGGACCAUACUCCCUUUCAAGAAAUGGAAAACUUCCGACAAGGAGAACCUUCCGUAUUUCCGAAUAUGGAAGAGUUUAACCUAAUGAAACCGACUUCUAGACGACUAUAUAUGAGCAAAAACAGCAUUCAAGCAAUUAGGGUUCUUCUUGAAUACCUUGUAACCCCGUUUGUUCUUGCUGUUAUAUCUAAUAAAACGUCUCUUUAAGCCUAUCUUUCCAUUGUUCUCUCAAAUCCCUACUAAAUAACCACAAACACUCGAAGUUUACCAGCUUAUCCAUCGUUCUGUGGUACUUUAAAAGAGCCUACACAAAAAUUCCCUAACACCAUGAGCAAAGGUGCCCCCUUUCCCACUUUCGAGAAUGAGCCUGCUAUUCCGCAUCUUCUGAUAAGGAUGUGGAUUCAGCCUGUUGUGGGCUUCUUUUUAUCCAGACACUUGCUUGCUUUAAAUCGAGUCAUAGUUUUGGGGUUGUUUUGGUCCUAAAGACUAUGGACCGGUCGGGAGAUAGCCUGGGAACCCUGAGGUUGUGAUUAUGUCUUGCGGGACGGGCUAUAUAUCCGAAGGUUUCGAAUACGGACUGUUGGAGUCUAGAGAUCGUUCACAGGAUCUGGAAAUUAUGUGGAGAUUCGAGGGUCGUGGAGGGGGAUCAGAGGCUCUCCUUGGAUCCAUAGAUCGCGUUUGGGACCCGGAGGUCCCUAUCAGACCACAAUGUAUUUUAUCUGGGACCCGGAGGUCUUUUCUCUAGGUCCUAGGACCGAGACUGGGGCCCGUAGGCGAUGUAGGAAUCCGGAGAUUCUCCAGUCAGAUCUGGAGAUCAUGGUUCGAAACCGGAGGUUUCUGUGGUUGUGAUUGGACCCUGAGGUCGCAUAAGAGUGCAUGGUUGUUCCUUAGAUCCGGAGAUCGUUUCGGGCCCUGAUGCACUUGGACCCUGAGGUCGCAUGGAACCCAGAGUUUCUUUCGGGAUGUAAUGACCCCGAUGCGCCCUCGGCUGCACAUGAGUUCUAUUGUUUUUUGCUAGAAAUUAGGCGUUUGAGGCCAUGUCGAAAACCGGAGGUUUGGAUCCGGAGAUCAAUUUUGGAACUCGGAGGUUCUUUGAAGCUGUAAGGACCCUGAUGCGCCCUAGGCUGCAUAGAGGUUCUAACUUCUUUUAUCUUUGGAACCCUGAGGCUACAUAAGAACCUGAAGGUUCUUCCUUAGAUCCUGAGAUCUUUUGAUUGGAAACCGGAGGCUAUGGAGGAACCCGGAGGUUCUUCCUUAGAUUUUAUGCGUAGGUCCCAAAAUCGUUUGGAGAACCUUGGGUUCCCUCUUUAGAUUGGGGGCUCGCAUAAGGACCUGGAGUUCCUUGGGUACCAGGAAUGUUUUAAUUUCGCAGAGACCAUACUCUACCUUCCUAGGCAAGACUACUACCGGUAGCCGUUUGGAUUUCGCAUUCUGCCGCUCGGAAGCUGGCCACUAUCAAGUUCCUAUGCUGUAUUCUACUUGUGCAGGAAGUCACUGACAGGCUUAGAGGGUGCUGGUGUGGGUGUUAUGACAUUCUUGCAACCCGUAGGCACCUGCUCUCCGCACCUCGAUGACCUUAUUGGGUCCUUCCCACCCGGGGGUGAGUUUCCCCGUUGUUUUUUUAGUUCGUCGUAGAACUCAAUCCCCUUGCUGGAAGGUUCUGGUUCUGACUUUCUUGUUGUACGUCAUGGCGACGUCUUGCUGGUAGGACCAGUUUCUUAGUCGAGCGGCCUCUCUUUUUUCAUCGAGCAGGUCAAGGCUUAGCGCCAUCAGCUCGUUGUUUUCCUCCUGAGUGGUAGAUCCGGAGACCGUCGUUCUUAUGUGAAUCUUUGUAGGUACAAUGGCCUCAGAGCCGUAGACUAGCGAGUAGGGGGUUUCCCCUGUUGUUGUUUUAGGAGUGGUCUGGUAGGCUCAGAGGACUCCGUGUAGUUCCUCCGCCCACUUCCCGUGAGAGCCCUCCAGUCGCUUUUUAAGCAUGUUGACCAUUGUUUUGUUUGUGGACUCUGCUUGUCCGUUGUACUGGUGGUGUCGGGGUGUGGCGAAAGUUAGUUCUAUGCCCCAGUCCUUGCAGAACUCCUUGAAGUUGUGGCUCGUGAACUGGGUCCACUUUCAGUGACGAUCUCGUGGGGGACCCCGAAGCGAGUGAUUAUAAUUAUGUAGGUCCACUGGAACUUGCGAAUCUGGAGAUCUGUUAUGCGGCUGAGCACUUCUACUUCGACCCACUUGGAGAAGUAGUUAGUGACGAUCAGAAGGAAGACCUUCUGCCCCGACGCCAUAGGGAAUUUCCCUACUAUAUCCAUGCUCUACUUCCUGAAGGGCCAUGGUGAUCUUAUGGACUUGAGGUUUUCCCGGGGAAGCUUCGAGACUGGAGCGUGCCUUUGGCAUUGGUCAUAGUGCUUAGCUUGUCUGUCGGCGUCGGUGGCCAUCGUGGGCCAGUAAUAACCAGCCUUUCUGGCUCUGAGCACCAGGCUUCUGCCGCUAGAGUGGGAUCCACAAUGUCCUUCGUGUAGUUCUACAAGGAUUCUAGCGGCUUCCCAGGGUGUGACACACCUCAGGUAUGGGCAAGAGAAAGAUCUCCGGUACAGCUUCUCCUUGGAGAUCUCCGGUACAGCUUCUCCUAAGUUUAGUAGCCAUCCUUCCAUCAAACAACUCUUUGCCAAGCUGAACAAUUGUCGUGUUCAACUUGUUUACUGUUUACUGCUUUUUAUAUCUUUAUUUACUGCUUUAAACCUAUUAGCCUAGCUUAAUCAAACUGAUUAGAUUUAUUUGGUUUCCUAGCUCCUUGUGAAUUUGAUCCCUAAGUACUACAACUCGACCUCUUAUUUGAGAGAGUAUAAAUCACUCCUUAGGGUAAUUUGAGUGAUAUCAAAUGUGGCGCCGUUGCCAGGGAGCUUUGAUCGCCAUUAGAUCUUGUCUAGUUAGAUUUAGUCUAGGUUUUACUACUGUUCACAAAAAAAACUGAUAAAUUUUUUUUUCUUGUGUUUCAGGUACAUCCAUAUGAUUACCAGAAGCAACAAGGAGAUAGAGGUCUUACUAGUAGAGCCACUGGAUUUGAAACGCGUGAGGGACCCCGAUGCGCCUUAGGCUGCACAUGGGUUUAGGUAGUUGUGAAAGCAUACUCAAGCCUACUCAGGCUUGCGCAUACCAAUUCCUGCUUUAUGUCUCAUACCCGUUUUGAUUCUUUGUGGGCGUGCCACUAUGGUCGUGCCUCUUUUUGUGAGGGUUGGCCAGGAUCGGAGGUCUCUGGAGACCUGAUCUAGCUCGUAUGCCCCUUUAAGUAUAAUGAUUUCCCCUCUGCUUUUAUUGCCGGAACUAUAUUAUUUUAAGCUUUGUCCGGAGACGUUUAGCAUACAUAGGAGUAGGAAAUCAUAAUGCUUAUAUAGUGUAUAGUAGUAUAGAAAUCAUGAUCCGGAGACCGUAUUAAAAAUGAUAGGCUUUGAGGUGCAGGACGUUCCAGCAGUUGGGUUGUAUUUUACCUUUGCAUUCUUGCAACCCGUAGGCACCUGCUCUCCGCACCUCGAUGACCUUAUUGGGUCCUUCCCACCCGGGGGUGAGUUUCCCCGUUGUUUUUUUAGUUCGUCGUAGAACUCAAUCCCCUUGCUGGAAGGUUCUGGUUCUGACUUUCUUGUUGUACGUCAUGGCGACGUCUUGCUGGUAGGACCAGUUUCUUAGUCGAGCGGCCUCUCUUUUUUCAUCGAGCAGGUCAAGGCUUAGCGCCAUCAGCUCGUUGUUUUCCUCCUGAGUGGUAGAUCCGGAGACCGUCGUUCUUAUGUGAAUCUUUGUAGGUACAAUGGCCUCAGAGCCGUAGACUAGCGAGUAGGGGGUUUCCCCUGUUGUUGUUUUAGGAGUGGUCUGGUAGGCUCAGAGGACUCCGUGUAGUUCCUCCGCCCACUUCCCGUGAGAGCCCUCCAGUCGCUUUUUAAGCAUGUUGACCAUUGUUUUGUUUGUGGACUCUGCUUGUCCGUUGUACUGGUGGUGUCGGGGUGUGGCGAAAGUUAGUUCUAUGCCCCAGUCCUUGCAGAACUCCUUGAAGUUGUGGCUCGUGAACUGGGUCCACUUUCAGUGACGAUCUCGUGGGGGACCCCGAAGCGAGUGAUUAUAAUUAUGUAGGUCCACUGGAACUUGCGAAUCUGGAGAUCUGUUAUGCGGCUGAGCACUUCUACUUCGACCCACUUGGAGAAGUAGUUAGUGACGAUCAGAAGGAAGACCUUCUGCCCCGACGCCAUAGGGAAUUUCCCUACUAUAUCCAUGCUCUACUUCCUGAAGGGCCAUGGUGAUCUUAUGGACUUGAGGUUUUCCCGGGGAAGCUUCGAGACUGGAGCGUGCCUUUGGCAUUGGUCAUAGUGCUUAGCUUGUCUGUCGGCGUCGGUGGCCAUCGUGGGCCAGUAAUAACCAGCCUUUCUGGCUCUGAGCACCAGGCUUCUGCCGCUAGAGUGGGAUCCACAAUGUCCUUCGUGUAGUUCUACAAGGAUUCUAGCGGCUUCCCAGGGUGUGACACACCUCAGGUAUGGGCAAGAGAAAGAUCUCCGGUACAGCUUCUCCUUGGAGAUCUCCGGUACAGCUUCUCCUAAGUUUAGUAGCCAUCCUUCCAUCAAACAACUCUUUGCCAAGCUGAACAAUUGUCGUGUUCAACUUGUUUACUGUUUACUGCUUUUUAUAUCUUUAUUUACUGCUUUAAACCUAUUAGCCUAGCUUAAUCAAACUGAUUAGAUUUAUUUGGUUUCCUAGCUCCUUGUGAAUUUGAUCCCUAAGUACUACAACUCGACCUCUUAUUUGAGAGAGUAUAAAUCACUCCUUAGGGUAAUUUGAGUGAUAUCAAAUGUGGCGCCGUUGCCAGGGAGCUUUGAUCGCCAUUAGAUCUUGUCUAGUUAGAUUUAGUCUAGGUUUUACUACUGUUCACAAAAAAAACUGAUAAAUUUUUUUUUCUUGUGUUUCAGGUACAUCCAUAUGAUUACCAGAAGCAACAAGGAGAUAGAGGUCUUACUAGUAGAGCCACUGGAUUUGAAACGCGUGAUCCAUAAGUCUAAGAGGGCAGUCAACACCCUCCAAGCAGCGAUUGACAGCGUAGAAAUCCAAGCAAUGCUCCUCGCCUAGGACUCCUUAUAUACUAGCUCCAAGGUCGGUUUACGCUUUUACUCUUCUGCCCUUAAGCCGUCAUAGCAUAAAAAUGGAGAUAUUCCAUUUUUCCCGAUCUUCACAUUUAUCUUCAAAACUUCCGUAUUUAUCCGCGGAAACUUGACACUUAUCAUUCCUCGUGGGCAAAGCGUGAACCAUGCUGUGGUUCACGGGCUUUUGGUUAGGAAAAAUCGUAGGAUGGUUCAUAAGGCUGCAGAAGUUACACUAUCUGAUAAAGAGCUUGACAUUGCUCACAGAUAUGUGUUAAUGAACACUGCAGUUGUAAAUCCAUAUGUCGAGUAAGUUAUUAUUUUUAGUUAAUAAUUCUUAUUUAAUAUAUGAUUGUUGGUUGUUAGUUAAUAAUUCUAACUCUUUGGAUUUCUAAAUCAGAAUGCAUCUUGAAGAUUUACAAGAUAAGGACGUCCGUUGCAGAAGGAAUCAAACUCUUUUGUGGAAAGUUACAUGGUGAAUGGUUUUCACAGUGGCUAAAAGAAAAGGUAUUUACAAAGUUCUCUAUACAUCUCUUUCUCUUUUACUCAGUAUUGAAAUUAAAACGUUAGUCUAAUGUUUUUUUUUUAUAUCAGAUCCCUAUUAAUUCAAAAGAGCAUUCGACCAAGCUAAGAUGGUUAGCAUUUGGUCCAAGACAUAAUGCUCAAAACUAUAAUGGCUAUAGCAUCAAUGGACAUCGUUUUCACACCGAAUGCUUAAAGCGGAAGACUCAGAACAAUGGAGUAGCAUAUGAAGCUAUUUUUAUAUGUAGAUCAAGUGUGAAAAAUACCAAUCACGUGGCAGAUGUAGUUUCCUAUUUUGGAGUGAUACAAGAGAUAACAUUGUUGGACUACCACAUGUUCCAGGUUCCAUUAUUCAAGUGUAAGUGGGCCAACAAAGGGAAUGGUCUCAAGGAAGAAGAUGGCUAUAUGCUUGUGAACUUCAGCGUUAACCAAGCAGCAUUUCUCCAAGAUCCAUACAUUGUGCCUUCUCAAGCAAAACAAGUGUUUUACUCCAAAGAAAAUGACUCAUCAAAUUGGAGUGUUGUUAUGAGGGCACCGCCAAGAGGGUAUCAUGAGUUAGAAACCGAAGAAGAGUUCGUAGUUGCGCCAAUAUCCAUCGAAGACAAUGAUGAUUUGGGGAAUGAAUCUUCUGAUGAUGAUAGUUUCUGCGUUAGGGCUGAUUGUGAUGGGGUCCUAGUACUUGAAUAAUUGGGCUAGGUCGUUAGGUUAAUUAGGUAGUUAGAAUUAUUAGGUAGUUAGGAUUAUAGUUUCUGAUUGUUUACAAUAGUUUCAGGUGAAACAUUAUGAAGCCGAGAGCUGAUGCAGCUAUACGUUGCAGUAAGCGCCAAAAAGGCGAAGAUGCGAGUGUUAAGCCAUUGAACACUCAAAAAAGACGUAGGAGGCUUACUGGUCAAACAGCAGAAGAAACAGCAACUGAUAUGCAGAUUGGUACUCAGGAAUCUGCAUUGGAAGAACAUCCUCUUGAACAAAAUUCAGAGAAAGAAAACGAAAGAGAAUCACCAGAAGACGCAGGAGAAAAACUAGAAAGUUGUGAUUGGACCCUGAGGUCGCAUAAGAGUGCAUGGUUGUUCCUUAGAUCCGGAGAUCGUUUCGGGCCCUGAUGCACUUGGACCCUGAGGUCGCAUGGAACCCAGAGUUUCUUUCGGGAUGUAAUGACCCCGAUGCGCCCUCGGCUGCACAUGAGUUCUAUUGUUUUUUGCUAGAAAUUAGGCGUUUGAGGCCAUGUCGAAAACCGGAGGUUUGGAUCCGGAGAUCAAUUUUGGAACUCGGAGGUUCUUUGAAGCUGUAAGGACCCUGAUGCGCCCUAGGCUGCAUAGAGGUUCUAACUUCUUUUAUCUUUGGAACCCUGAGGCUACAUAAGAACCUGAAGGUUCUUCCUUAGAUCCUGAGAUCUUUUGAUUGGAAACCGGAGGCUAUGGAGGAACCCGGAGGUUCUUCCUUAGAUUUUAUGCGUAGGUCCCAAAAUCGUUUGGAGAACCUUGGGUUCCCUCUUUAGAUUGGGGGCUCGCAUAAGGACCUGGAGUUCCUUGGGUACCAGGAAUGUUUUAAUUUCGCAGAGACCAUACUCUACCUUCCUAGGCAAGACUACUACCGGUAGCCGUUUGGAUUUCGCAUUCUGCCGCUCGGAAGCUGGCCACUAUCAAGUUCCUAUGCUGUAUUCUACUUGUGCAGGAAGUCACUGACAGGCUUAGAGGGUGCUGGUGUGGGUGUUAUGACCCAAGUGCCAGGCUUACGCUGCUUUCCACCUCUGGAGCAGCAGGAUUUAGAUUGCUCCCUUUAUUUCACAGUACUUUUGCAUAUACCAUGUGUUCCCUGUAUCGUGUAGCUCGUAGCGUUUUAAUACAAGUACUUUUCACAUUGGUACUCUGGGGACCCCGAUGCGCCUUAGGCUGCACUUGGGUUUUAGGUAGUUUUGACAUCAUACUCAGGCUUGCGCAUACCAAUUCCUGCUUUAUGUCUCAUACUCGUUUUGACUCUUUGUGGGCGUGCCACUUUUGUGAGGGUUGGCCAGGAUCGGAGGUCUCUGGAGACCUGAUCUAGCUCGUAUGCCCCUUUAAGUAUAAUGAUUUCCCCUCUGCUUUUAUUGCCGGAACUAUAUUAUUUUAAGCUUUGUCCGGAGACGUUUAGCAUACAUAGGAGUAGGAAAUCAUAAUGCUUAUAUAGUGUAUAGUAGUAUAGAAAUCAUGAUCCGGAGACCGUAUUAAAAAUGAUAGGCUUUGAGGUGCAGGACGUUCCAGCAGUUGGGUUGUAUUUUACCUUUGCAUUCUUGCAACCCGUAGGCACCUGCUCUCCGCACCUCGAUGACCUUAUUGGGUCCUUCCCACCCGGGGGUGAGUUUCCCCGUUGUUUUUUUAGUUCGUCGUAGAACUCAAUCCCCUUGCUGGAAGGUUCUGGUUCUGACUUUCUUGUUGUACGUCAUGGCGACGUCUUGCUGGUAGGACCAGUUUCUUAGUCGAGCGGCCUCUCUUUUUUCAUCGAGCAGGUCAAGGCUUAGCGCCAUCAGCUCGUUGUUUUCCUCCUGAGUGGUAGAUCCGGAGACCGUCGUUCUUAUGUGAAUCUUUGUAGGUACAAUGGCCUCAGAGCCGUAGACUAGCGAGUAGGGGGUUUCCCCUGUUGUUGUUUUAGGAGUGGUCUGGUAGGCUCAGAGGACUCCGUGUAGUUCCUCCGCCCACUUCCCGUGAGAGCCCUCCAGUCGCUUUUUAAGCAUGUUGACCAUUGUUUUGUUUGUGGACUCUGCUUGUCCGUUGUACUGGUGGUGUCGGGGUGUGGCGAAAGUUAGUUCUAUGCCCCAGUCCUUGCAGAACUCCUUGAAGUUGUGGCUCGUGAACUGGGUCCACUUUCAGUGACGAUCUCGUGGGGGACCCCGAAGCGAGUGAUUAUAAUUAUGUAGGUCCACUGGAACUUGCGAAUCUGGAGAUCUGUUAUGCGGCUGAGCACUUCUACUUCGACCCACUUGGAGAAGUAGUUAGUGACGAUCAGAAGGAAGACCUUCUGCCCCGACGCCAUAGGGAAUUUCCCUACUAUAUCCAUGCUCUACUUCCUGAAGGGCCAUGGUGAUCUUAUGGACUUGAGGUUUUCCCGGGGAAGCUUCGAGACUGGAGCGUGCCUUUGGCAUUGGUCAUAGUGCUUAGCUUGUCUGUCGGCGUCGGUGGCCAUCGUGGGCCAGUAAUAACCAGCCUUUCUGGCUCUGAGCACCAGGCUUCUGCCGCUAGAGUGGGAUCCACAAUGUCCUUCGUGUAGUUCUACAAGGAUUCUAGCGGCUUCCCAGGGUGUGACACACCUCAGGUAUGGGCAAGAGAAAGAUCUCCGGUACAGCUUCUCCUUGGAGAUCUCCGGUACAGCUUCUCCUAAGUUUAGUAGCCAUCCUUCCAUCAAACAACUCUUUGCCAAGCUGAACAAUUGUCGUGUUCAACUUGUUUACUGUUUACUGCUUUUUAUAUCUUUAUUUACUGCUUUAAACCUAUUAGCCUAGCUUAAUCAAACUGUCUGGAUUUAUUUGGUUCCCUAGCUCCUUGUGAAUUCGAUCCCUAAGUACUACAACUCGACCUCUUAUUUGAGAGAGUAUAAAUCACUCCUUAGUGUAAUUUGAGUGAUAUCAAAUUUGGCGCCGUUGCCGGAGAGUUUUCAUCGCCAUUAGAUCUUGUCUGGUUAGAUUUAAUCUACGUUUUACUACUGUUCACAAAAGAAUACUGACAAUUUUUUAUUUUUUUUGUGUGUUUCAGGUACAUCCAUAAGAGUACCAGAAGCAACAAGGAAAUAAGGCUCUUACUAGUAGAGCAACUGGAUUUGGAACGCGUGAUCCAUAAGUCUAAGAGGGCAGUCGACACCCUCCAAGCAAUGAUUGGCAGCCUAGAAAUCCAAGCGUCAAUCGAUAGUAUUCAUCCCGCGUUUAACGAUACUGUUCACUCGAUGUCGAUCAAUAUUGUUCAACCUACGUCGAUCGACACUAUUCAACCUGUGUCUGAAAACACUGUUCAUUCCCCCGUCGAUCAACACUCUUCAUCCCGCGUCGAUCGAUACUGUCCAUCGCGACACUGUUCACCGUGCAACUGUUCACCGUGACACUGUUCAUCCAAACACUGUUCAUCCAAACACUAUUCAUCCCGAUACUGUUCAUCCGAUGAAAAAUGACACCUCUUGUGUGGGAACCGAAAUUCGCACUGUCGAUUUCCGUUUAAAUAAGGAAACUAGGAAAACCCUAACUUCCCAGAGGACCCAGAUAUCUGUUAAUUACCCACACGUCAAGCAAUCAGAACACGAGAACAACAACGAUAAAAAUAAGAAAUCGAAAAGAGAACAAAGUAGAUCUUAUUCCGAAUCUGCGUAGGAGCGUUUACAACAAGGUAUAAGCCUGGGCUCGAGAGCUGUCGGCGAGAUUCCUAGUUCUAGAAACCCUAAGACGACUAAACCUAAUUGAGUCGCAGCUCGAAAUAACAAAAACGGAAAAUUGCCUAAAUUGCUCUAAGUGCUAAGUUUGCUCUGAAAAAGUUCUCCCCUCUGCUCCUCGCCUAGGACUCCUUAUAUACUAGCUCCAAGGUCGGUUUACGCUUUUACUCUUCUGCCCUUAAGCCGUCAUAGCAUAAAAAUGGAGAUAUUCCAUUUUUCCCGAUCUUCACAAUUAUCUUCAAAACUUCCGUAUUUAUCCGCGGAAACUUGACAUUUAUCCUUCCUCGCGGGCCAAGCGCGAACCAUGCUGUGGUUCACGGGCUUUUGGUUAGGAAAAAUCGUAGGAUGGGCCUCGAGUCGUGUUUUAGGUCCCUUUGGGCCGUCUUCCGACUCGACACGUUUACUACGAGUUUUCCGCGGUUUCUAAUCCGCGAAGUUUGAUCGAUGAAUUAGAAUAGCGGGAAACAUGGACUGAGCUUGCUACGGUCUUCGGGAGAUAGCAUUCGAAGGUUUGACGAGAAUGCAAGGACUGAUGUCGCAUCGAUGUUCGGAAAGGUUCAAUCGCUACAUAGCGACCGAACUUUGGCUCGAGCCCGGUCGCUACGUAGCGACCGAGCGAGACGAGUGCUCGGUUGCUACGUAGCGACCGAGCUUUGGCUUGAGCUCGGUCGCUACAUAGCGACCGAGCGGGACGAUCGCUCGGUCGCUACGUAGCGACCGAGCGUGGCUGAGCUCGGUCGCUACGUAGCGAACGACCUGUUUCGAGCUUUCGUCGGACGUCUCGAUUCUUUCUUCCGCCAAGCUUUUUCGUAAGGAAGAAUCUAUUUCGAAAAGUACUCUUCGGAGAAACUCUUAUUUUCUUCUUCGAACGUUUUGAAUGUUUAAAUUUGUCGUAACCGUUUUUGACCCCAACAGUUAGCCCCCCAGCCCGUUAGAGUUGUGACUCUAGCGGGCGGAUAGGUGACUUUGACAAGGUUAAGUGUAUUGGACGAAAUUUACAUUUGAAAUUCCGCGGAAAAAAGUUGUCGAGACGACAUUCCGAACCCAUACUUCUAUAAGUAGUGAGCUCUUGUCAUUCAUUUUCUUCACACCUUCCCUUCUUCAUUCCUUCAAAAACCUCUCUAGUUUCAAAACUUUCCUUUCAACAUGUCUUCCUCCCAAGGUGAUAAGAAAGAUUCCGACGUCGACAUGGGUGAUGCCACUUCUCCGGCUCCGAUUCCAACUUCUCCGGCGGAAGUGCCGGCUUGUGUUGCCGGUCAUCUUUCUUUCCGAGAGAAACUAGUUCGUCGCCAAGCCGAGAAAGAACUAGCUCAAACUGGCUCCAAGUUUCCGUCUUCUUCCGCGCAGGUCGUUGCCCCGUGUGGGACCGACGUCGCGGCUCCUCUCCCGCUAGCCCUACCUGCGGGAUCUUCCACGACUGCGAUCCUCGUCGAGGACAAAGAGAAGGCCGCUGACUUUAUGCCUCCUCCUCCAGCCAGAAAAGAAAUCGUUCUGGCAUUGCGUGCUCCUAGCGCUAUCCUGGCUACUCAGCCUAAGAGUCGGAAGAGGAAACUUGCCAAGAGCGGUGACGGGGAGACUUCGCAGCGAGGUGGGUCGAGCCUAGCAUCAGGACUUCGCGGAAAGGUUUGUUUCUUGUUUGAAUUCUCGAUCGUCUUUCGUGCAUUCUCUUAGUCUUAAGAAUUUUACCGUUUGCAGUUCAUAUCGUUGGUCUUAAGAAUGUGGUUCUGAGACCAGUCGCCUGUCCGGGGAGUUGGUGGAGCUUCAGGGCAGAUGGUCCGAAACCGAGGCUAUGUUGACGGCUGUCGAGGACUCUCACUCUGCGAAAGUGGCGAAGCUCGAGGUUGCGAUAGGAGAGCUUGAGAGGGACCUUGGGAAGACGGCGAGUUCCUUGCUUAAGGAAAAGAAGGCCAGGAAGGCCAAAUCCUCGGAGGUGCGUCGACUCCAGCGUCAGAUCGAGAGUGACGCGGGACUAGCGCGCCGCGGGAUCCAAGAGGCUACGGAUGCCCUUCGUGCGGAGUUUCAAGCUCGCUUGGCGAAGAUUUCUGCUUCCCUGGGUUCCCUCGAGUGUAUCCGGAGCAGGGAUUUCGCUUUGGCGACGAUUGAGGGCGGGAUGGCCGUGGUUCGGUCGUUCCAAAGUGAGACUCCCCCGACCUUGGAGGCCGAAGAGGCCCGACUGUCUGGAUGCAAGGGAGAUAUGGCGGCCGAGGAUGGAGAUUUCGGUCUCAUCCUGGCCGACCUGAAAUCCGCGUGCUUCCUUCCGACGUGUUCAGAAGACCCAGAGGGGAAAGACCCGAUGGUCGGAGAGAACGGAAGUGACGCGGCUCCAGGCUCGGACGAGGCAGCGGGUGAAGAGGGGGCGUAAGUUCUGAGGGUGACUUGGGUUAGAUCUCUUGCGAGAGAUUUUUUUUAUGUUUUUAUGUUUCGGCCUUGAAUGGCCUUGUUUGUAUUUCGGGACUGGCCGUGUGUGGCUUUGAAUCCCUGCCGCUCCGCGGCUUUCUUUUUAUAGUACGAUAAUCGGAUAACGCUUUUUAUGAGUUUGUGAAUAGUGGGGAGGAAGGUGAUGAGUUGUCGUCUCAUAUCCUUCUUCGAUUGUGAAAUGUUUCAUUCAAGAUCUGUUUCGAGAGUUCUUCCGCGAGAUUUGAACUCUGCGGGGGUGCUGAAGGUGUCGAACAUAAACAUAGAGGCAUGGUUUAAGAAUCUCUUAUCUUUUGAUAUCAUGUCUUUGAGAUGUUAGAGACCAGUGCGCUGGGUUUAGGGCAAGACCUAGGUUUACUUUCGGUUUAAGGAUUGUGCGGUGACUAACCGGCUAUCGUUUUUUCCUGUCGCGAUUUCUUCCUGAUUCGUAUCGAUGUAAAGUCCGCGAUAGGUUCUCGGCUUAUAUGACUUGUUUGAUACGAACCGAGCAUCUCUCCGGAGACCGGAAGUGCUAGACCAAAAUUUUGGAUUUCUUUUAUAGCGCUAUUAUCCUUGUGUCGGAUGUAAGAGAGUCAUCUCCGUGAGAUGGCUAUGUCUGUUUAGGACGUUUGUGAGUUCGAUGUGAUCAGCAUCGGACUUGGUGGCGCGUGCCGUUGUUUUGAAUAUUUUGCGCAAAAUAAGUGUUAGUGUGUGCAUAUAUAUAUGCCUUUUUUGUGACGGAGGUUUCGUUCGCUUGAAAGAAAUAAACUUUGAGGCAUCUUUUGCGACGUCUCGCGAUGCUAAAGGUUGCUUCUCCUAAGCGGCCGACUAAUUUCCGAAGACCUCGUUUUGAUUUUACGAGUGAGGAUGUUUUGAUAAGUCGAAAACGCCAAAGCGUGGUAAGAAGUUUUUCGAUUUUUUUGGGAGUAUACGAGUAUACGUACCCACUCCCCCCCCUUUUAAUGAGGGGGGACAGCUGAAUUUGCCUUUCGGCAAACUGCCUACGUACUCCUUGCGGAGAUCAAGCCGUCUCGUAGUUCAGUGAUUGCGAGUUGGUUUGUUUAGUGAUAGUAUUUUUUGAGAUGCAUCGCAUUCCAGGUUCUAGGGAUUUUUAUGCCCUGCAUGUUGGCUAUUUCGUAAGAACCUGGUCGGACGACUUUUUCGAUUUUAUAGGGACCUUCCCAGUUUGCUCCGAGUUUUCCCGCGUUUCGUUCAGCGGUGUUUUGGAAGACUUUGCGAAGGACCAGAUCUCCCUGAUUGAACCUACGAUUCCGUACGUUGGAAUUAUAGUAUCUCGCAGCGGCGUGCUGGUAGUUUUGAAUUCGGAUGAGCGCUCGAUCCUGGCGUUCGUUAAUGAGGUCGAGGUCGUCCAAGAGCAUAGCAUUGUUGAGUUCCUCUCGUUCAGGUAAGAACCUUCUUCGAACACCGGGAAAUUCUACUUCUGCGGGAAUCAUGCAUUCCGUGCCGUAUACCAGGGCGAAGGGAGUUUCUCCCGUUGCUCGCCUUGGGGUGGUACGGUGAGACCAGAGGACUCCCUCGAGUUCGUCGGCCCAUCUACCUUUUUUGGCUUCUAAACGUUUCUUCAGUCCGUCGAGAAUGGUCUUGUUGAUUGUUUCAGCCUGUCCGUUGCACUGCGGAUAUCUGGGAGUUGAGUUGUUGAGUCGUAUCUUCCACUUUUCGCAGAAUGCCUCGAAUCGGGUGGAAAUGAAUUGAGACCCGUUAUCGGUUACGAUUUCGUAAGGAACUCCAUGCCUACAGAUGAUGUUUCUCCAUACGAAAUUCUCGACUUGGACGUCUUUUAUACUUGCGUACGAGUCCGCCUCUACCCAUUUUGAGAAAAAAUCAGUAAGGACUAGAAGGAAACGUUUUUGCUUUGAAUUAUGCAGAGGUCCGACAAUAUCCAUGGCCCAACGCAUAAAGGGAUAGGGCGAUGUAAUGAAGGAAAGAACUUCGGCCGGUUGUCGGAUAGUUGGCGCAUGCCUUUGGCAUUUUUCGCAUUUUCGUGCGAAUUUCUCGCAGUCUCCGAUCAUUGUUGGCCAAUAGUAUCCGUGGCGUUUGAUUUUCACGGCUAGUGAUCUUCCGCCGGAAUGGUUGCCGCAGGAGCCGGAAUGUAUUUCCUCCAUUACUUUCCUCGCCUUUUCUCCUUCCAGGCACGUCAGGAGUGGUCCGAAGAAUCUCCAUUUGUAAGUCUUCUGAUAGCUUAAGGAUCGAACAAGGUAGAGAAAUCAUCAGCACGACCGUCGGUACAUGCGGUACGAGCCAAUCGAGCCAAAAGAGAGAAGUCUCGAUCAUUUUGUGGAACCUCAUGAUCCAAGUCAAGUCUGUCAUGACCCAAGUCAAGUCUGGCAUGAUCCUUGUCAAGUCUGGCAUGAUCCAAGUAAAGUCUGGCAUGAUCCACCUCAAGUCUGGCAUGAUCUACGUCAAGUCUGGCACAGUGAAAAACAUGAACCUCGGUUGAAAUGUUCAGAACGUCCUGAACUCCAUGCUGAGCUGGUUCCAUGUAAUGAUCCGUGGACUGCGGCACAUCAAUAUGUCCAGAAGACGCCGAACUCAAUGAAGAAUUAUUGAUCCACCAGUUAGACAUGAUCGAGGAACGACGAGAAAAAGCAGCUAUACGAGUGCAAAAUUACCAACAAGCCGCGGCACGCUUUUACGACUCCAACGUAAGAAACCGCGCUUUCUCCGUACGCGACCUAGUUCUCCGAAAGGUGUUCGACAGAACAAAAGAACCCAGGGCAGGAAAACUAGGGGCAAAACGGGAAGGACCGUACAAAGUCACCAAAGAAAUCCGAACCGGGGUCUACGAGCUAGAAAAACGCAAAACCGGCCUCCCAGAAAUGAGACCUUGGAACGCCUACAACUUAAAUAAAUAUUACAAAUGACGCAAAACCCGAACCUCGACCAUAACCGUCAAAGCUUCGAGCUGGGGGGCUACCAACCUCACCCUACAGCUCAGUCAAAGAACAACAUGAACUACGAAAAGGCUUGAUCCCUCGAAAAGGGUAUGUAGGCAGCUCAACACUGAGCGCAACCCAAACAACCGAACAAACAUUUGUUACUUUUCUUAGAAUAUUCAAUCCUGAUAGCCCGACUUGCUAUCUGGCCAUAUAAAGGCCCACAAAACAGAUUCCUGAUCAGUCUCUAUUCUACACACACCUUUUAAAUAUUAAAAGGAACAAGCUCAACGUAGCUAAAGUUAAACAAAACAUUCGAUUAGGAAAGGUAUUAACCCGAUAAUCCAUUUUCUGAAGACAUAUUUAUGUUUUUUUAAACAAACCAAAAGACAAAAACUACAAAUUCCAAAGCAAACAAACUAACAACUCGCGUUAUUCUUGGUCAACCGAAUCACCAGAAACCUCAGGAAGAUCGGGGAACUAAGGAAAGAAUCCGACACCGAGGCAAUGCCAUAAUCAAGAUCGAGCGAGUUCUCCCGAUCUUUAAGACGCACCAAUUCCUCUUCGAGCUUGAAACCGUCUUCGAUAUACUCGGUCAAAGCCUCGAUACGAGCUUGCACCUCCUGCAAACGAAUCUCUGCAGCCGUCUCUUCCUUUUUCUUCCGGAGCUUAUCCUUCACCACGAAAAGAACCGCGUCAUACUCUUGGGCAAGAGAUCGACAAGCAAGAUUGCGUUCUUUGAGAGCUGUCGCCUUGCAACCCUCAAUCUCCCGUCUAUGCUUUUCCUCCAUCGAGUCGAGAUCAGUCUGAAGAGCGACCUUCUCCGCCUCAGUAGCAAACAACUUCCCCUUCAGCCCCUCGACCUCGACCUCGCGCUGCUUCUCUAUUACUCGAACGAUCUCCAACUCACCUCGGAGCUGUUGAAUCAUAAGAAGAUGACCCCCGACCUCCUCUUUACACGGAAUAUCAGCUGAGCGCUUCUCCAUCAAAGCGGCGUAUUCAUUACUCGCCUCCAUAGCCUAAGCAAAAGCAACAACAAAGGUCGAACAAUUGUCAGCUAACCGGAUAGAGUAUCAGGAGCUAUCGCGAGAAAUAUUACCUUAUCAUUCGUGACCGCCAUCUGCACAUAAGCAUCACGCUCACGCAUAUCAUCUAGAGGAGGAAGCUCGCACCCCUUCUCUCUGAUCUUGCGCCAAAUCAGAGCAAGACGUUCGGGGUACUCGAGGAUCGGUACCUCAUCGUCAUACGAAAAUAUCCACGAAAAGGUCUCCUGCGCAUCCGGAAUACGAGCGCUCGGGUCAACUUGCGAAGUACCUUCGCCAUGCCGAGUUUUCUGAGCUCGCUGCAGUGACCCGACUUCAGAAGACUCAUCAGGACGGUUGGGCAGCGCCUCCUUCUCCCUCGCCCCUGAACAAAACAUAUUUGAGAACAUUAAGCAACGCAUAGGCAUUCAAAUCCUCCCAAACAAUAGAAAGUCAGCUUACUCUUAUCGCGACAACCUCUCCGGGGUCGAACAUGUACCACUGAACCGAUAGGAGUAGCACGGUUCUCGCCCGACGGAAGGGCGUAAGCAGCUUUAAUUCGAUCUACGGUGAACACGAGCCAUCGAGGGAUACCUCGCCUCAAAGUGGCAAUUAACCCCCGAAGCUCGGGAGUCAUAGGCGCAGAACCGAAUGGCUCUGCAAAUAAACAGAGAGAAGUCAUAAAACACCAAAAGAAAUCAAAGAGUGAAGCCCUCUAAGAGGAAAUAGAAAGAAAAACCUACCAAUCUCAUUGGACCAGACCCUAGGGAUCGUCCCAAAGUCGAAGUCACCGACCGAGGCUGGAUUAAUCUUAAAAACGAAAAAUUUCUCCCUCCACCGGUCAUCCCUAUUAGGAAUACCGUCUAGAACAGAACGGCCAGGCCGAGGGGCAAGAAUCAUUGUUCCUGGGAAGCCAUUCUUCCCCUUAAUACAAAACUGUUGUUUCAAUUCUUCAAAACCGAACCUGAGACCCUCCUCCCUGGCUCGAUCCACGAAGCCAAGAAAUAGCGCCAUAAAUAGGCGCCAUAUGGGCAAAAGCCAUCCCAAGCUCCACGAGCACCUCGAGAAGAAAGCGAGGAAGAGGAAAUGACAAACCUCCAUCUUGGAAAUGCGACGUGUAGGCCCUGCAAUACCCCGUCCUCACAGUCUCUAGAGUUUCGCCCUCUUCAGCCGCUUCAAUCUCAACGGCAUAAUCGAUUCCCAGAGCUCGUAGAGUUUUUUGAUAAAUUUCGGCUCGAUGAUCGUGGGAAGAUGAGGACCAAAUUUCUCAAGCGCCAUAGACUCAAAACAGGAAAAGAAAAAAAACCAAAGAUGAUGAAAGAGAAAGAAAGAUUGUAGUACUGAAGAAGACGAUACGCCCAGUGAAGCAUAAUAUAUAUAUAUAUAUAUAAACGGUUUCCGAGACACAAAGGAUUAACGGACCACGAACUCUCAAUCUUGACCACAAACUAUAUAUAUAUAUAUAAACGGUUCCCGAGAUCGCAGAACGGUUAUGGAGAUCACGAAGUCGACCUACUAUAAAGAGAGGAGAACACACAUGGAGAGACUCACGUUGAAAACCCUAGAGAGCGCUACAUCCACAUUUCGACCUUGUUUUCAUCGAUCUUUAUAUCAUUUCUCUUAACGAUCUAAUUGUAACGUUCUAUCUCGUUUUACUCAUUGUAUUCAAUUUCAUUCAUCAAUAAGAAUCCAUUUUUGCCUACCGGAAAUUGAUUACAUCGUUGUGUUCUAAAGAUAUUGUUGCCUACAUCAUUUAUCUUCUCCUGAUUAAACUCUCAAUCACUAUCAAAUUCUUAGUGUAGAUUUUAGGAUCUACAGCGAUCCCUUACGCAUUUAGCCUCUGUUGGUGUCUUUGAAACUGUUGGAUCUCUAUAGUCUUUAAACUCUUUACGUUUCUUUUGUCUCGUUAAAAAAGUAUCCUCUUAGUUUGUUGACUCUUUGAAGUAAUUUGACAAGAACGUUAACAGUUUUCGCAUUCUUUUUAUUUUCAUUUUAAUCAGAAACUAUUUUAUUUGAUAUGUAUUAGUAUAUAAAACGACAUCUAUAUUAAUAAAGGGACUUUUUGAGACUCCAUAGAGUGUCCACAUCAGCAAAAAAAACUUCUCCCGAAAGAUGACACGUGGCAUAAAAUAUAGUUUUACAUUUUAAUAUUACUAAUUUUCGAAAAUUAUGAAUAAUAUGUAAACAUACAGCAUAAAAAUGGAAAAACUACAUUAAACAUAUGUAAGAUUACUAUUUUUCACUUAAAAAAAAGACGGUUUAUCUCCAUAAUGUAACACUACCAUUUUAUAAAAAAACAAAAAACAUUAUAUAUAAUUUCGAAAAUAAUAAAUAUAAGUAAACAUACAAUAUAAAAAAUGGAAAUACUACAUUAAACAUAUGUAAGAUAACCAUUUUACAUUUUUAUUUAAAAAAAAAUGUAAAUAUACAACAUAAAAAAUGGAAAUACUACAUUAAACAUAUGUAAGAUUACCAUUUUUCACUAAAAAAAGACGGCUUAUCUCCAUAAUGUAACAUUACCAUUUUAUGAAAAAAAAACAAAAAACGUUAUAUAUAAUUUCUAAGAUAAUAAAUAUAAGUAAACAUACAAUAUAAAAAAUGGAAAUACUACAUUAAACAUAUGUAAGAUUACCAUUUUUCACUAAAAAAAGAACGGCUUAUCUCCAUAAUGUAACAUUACUAUUUUGUAAAUAAAAAACAUUAUAUAUAAUUUCGAAAAUAAUAAAUAAUAUGUAAACAAACAACAUAAAAAAUGGAAAUACUACAUCAAACAUAUGUAAGAUUACCAUUUUACAUUAAAAAUGGAAAAAUAUAUUAUGAUUUAAACAUCUAUUUUAAAAUAUAAAAUAUAAAUAUUAACUAAAUAUAAAGUAUAAGAACGAGAAAUGCUCAAUAUAUAGAAAAAUAAUUAAUAAGUAAAUAUUAUAAAUAUAUAAAUAUACUAAUUAUAUAUACAAUAAUAAGUAAAUGCACAAUUUUUAAAAAAUGGAAAGAGUACAUUAAAUAUUAAACAUCUAUCUUAAAAUGUAAAAUAUAGACAUUAAGUAAAUAGGAAGUACAAGAAAAAGAAAUAAACAACUUAAAAAAAAUGGAAAAAGUAUAUUAAGAUUUAAACAUCUAUCUCAAAAUGUAAAAUAUAGAUAUUACGCAAAUAGAAAGUAUAAGAAAAGGAAAUACACAAUUUAAAAAAAUGGAAAAAGUACAUUAGUAUUGAAACAUCUAUCUUAAAAUAUAAAUCUAUCUUAAAAUAUAAAUUUAUUAGUAAAUAGAAAGUAUAAGAAAUAGAAAUACACAAUAUAAAGAAAAAUAAAUAAUAAGUAAAUAUAUAAUAUCAGUAAAUACCCAAUUUAAAAAAUGGAAAAUAACAUUAAGAUUUAAAAAUAUAUCUUAAAAUUUAAAAUAUAGAUAUUACGUAAAUAGAAAGUAUAACAAAUGGAAAUAUACAAUUUAAAAAAAAAUAGAAAACGUACAUUAAGAUUUAAACAUCUAUCUUAAAAUGUAAAAUAGAGAUAUUAAGUAAAUAAAAAGUACAAGAAAUGGAAAUACAUAUACAGGAAAAUAAAUAAUAAGUAAAUAAUGUAAAUAUAUAAUAUAUGAAUUAUAUAUAUAAUAUUAAGUAAAUACACAAUUUUUUUUAAAAAUGGAAAAAGUUCAUUAAGCAUUAAACAUCUAUCUUAAAAUGUAAAAUAUAUAAUAUAAGUAAAUACACAAAAAACAAUAAAUUGUUAAACAUCAAUAUCAUCUAGGUUAAGUAUACGAACAACACAAAUUAAAACAUCACAAAAAAUAUUUACAAAAACAUUAUAAUACAAUAAUUUAAUCAAAAAUACAAUUAAAAAAAAACAAUAUUCAAAAGAAUAGUUAUAUACUUAAUAUUUUAAAAUCAAAGAUAUUUUUGCUAAAAUUGAACUUACCUGGCCAAGGAGAUCGAUCAUCUUUUUUACGGAUCGAUCGAUUGUUGAGCAUGUGGUCGAUCCGAAAAUACUCUGCAGUUUAAUUAAAUAUCUAAAACACUUAUUCCAACAAUCAACAUAUAGUUUUGCUAAAUAUAAUAACUAGAUAGCCAACAAAAUUACAAAAAAAAAUAUUGAAAUAGUAAAAAAUAUGUUAAUUUAACGUGUUAAAAUUUAAAAAUAAAUUUUAUUUAUGACAUGCAUCUUAACAUUUAUAUAAAUAUAUAUCAUAACCUAAAUAUAAAUAAUUUAACAACAUAAAUUCAAAAAAAUAAAAAUCCCGAACGUAGCCCGGGUUAAUCCCUAGUCUAUCUAUAUUAAUAAAGUAGCCUAGAAAGUAUGGCUGUUCAAUAUGGUAAAACCGAACCGUACCGAACCGAACCGAACCGAAAUAGACAAUAUGGUUUGGUUUUGGUAUAUACCAUAUAAACCGAAUGGAUAUAAUUUUCUAAAAACCGUAGGAUUUGGAUAUGGUUUGGUAUAUAACCGAUUAAACCGAAUAAACCGAACAAAAUCGAUUAAAAGUAGAAACAUGUAAAUAUGUAUCUAUUUUAUAACAAUACAUGAAAAUCUAUCUGUUACAUAAUUUAAAUUUGUGUUAAUAAUUAUUACCAUGAUUUUAUAGUAAUAAAAAAUCUUAAUUUGUAAAACACUUGAACUAUAACUAAAUAACAAUACAUCGCAAUUCAGACAUCUUAUUUUCUAAGUCUUUUUUGAUCUUUUUGAUUUAUUUUAGUCUUCACUAAAUUAAUAUGAAGAUUAUAAAUUUGAUGGACAAUAAUUAAUGGAAAAUUUUCAAUUGAAAAAACAUGACUUUAAUGAACACUAAAUAUGGAAGAGUGGAAAAACUUUUCUUUCAUGUUUCUGUUUUGUUUCAUAUUUUUAUUUUCAAAAUUUCAAGCUUUGAUUUUAGUUAUAGAUUUGAUUAUUUUAUUUGAUGGUAGAAGCAUUUUUACUUUUUUGUUCAUUUAUUUGAACAUGUAAUAUAUUUUUAAUAAAUGAGUGUGUUGACAAUAUGACUCUAAAAUUCAUAUAAUAUGAUCUCAAACAAAAUAAUUAUGUUUUUUGGUAUAAAACCGAAUAAACCGAAAACCGACGGUAUAUAAACCGAACCGAACCGAAGUAAAUAUGGAUUUAGAAUGGUAGUUAUAUUUUACUAACCGAAAUACCGAAAACCGAAAAAAACCGAACCGAAACCGAACCGAUAUCCGGAUUGAACACCUCCACUAGAAAGGUUCCAGGUGAAGCGACGUCAGCGAAAGGGUUUCCUUUGUUUGACACGUGUCAGUAUAUGAAAAACUCACCAAAGCGUAUUUUCGUUUACCUUUUUCUCUUGUCUUUUUAUGUCUGAUUUAUAUUACGGGCUGUUAUGUGUUAAGUUUGUGGGCUUUCUAUUUUAAUCUGACCGGCCAAGUUGUGAUUAGGUUUUUUUUUUCACUUACGCAAAGAUGGAGAUUAAUGUCAAAACGCCGUAGUUCUUCACAUCUUACCGGUUCUGGCGCAAAGAUGGAGAUCGAAGGUUCGUAACGCCUUCAUUUAUCGUCACUUAAUCGAAGCAUUUACGUCUUCUUCACCACUCUGCCCACUCUUUUGAAUGAAAUCGGCCAUUGCAUCCUCCAUGGUAACGGCCUUAAGCUGCAUCUAUAAAUGGCUUCGUUCUUGGGAUGAAGAUUCAUAUCAAAACAAAAUCCCAAAGUUUUUCUCUGUGAAGCAUCAAAUCAAGCAAUGGCUCAUUCGUCUUUUCGAGAUCCAUCAGAAGCAUGAGGUUACUCUCCUGGCCGAUUUGAAAGCUUGAUGCUGUUCAAACACCUCGAAGUCCGUGUCCUUUGAUUCUGGAAAGCAAAAAGUGUUAAGAAAGGUGGCCAACUCAUGGGUGUCGACACCACUGUGUUUUAUUAGAUCUUUCGACAUAUCUCUCUAUAUUGAUAGUCCGAUCUUUUUUUUUUGGUCAAGCAGUCAACCCUCAUCCAAGGAACUGUCCGAUGCCAGUGGGCAGUGUUGUCACUUAUCGACAGUACCGACGCUUUUUCAAAGAGGGUUCUGUCUACUAGCUUAGUGGUUUCGACAUAGCACGGAGCCUCUAUCUCUAUUCAAUUAUGUGAUGGAAAGUCCUUUGUUGAAAUGACGAAUUCGGUAAGGCAAUCCCUACAAAGCUUUUAUGAUUCCGCAACCACGAGCAGUUAUUGGCGUUAGCAAAUAUAAACAAACAGCUACCAGGUUUUAAAUCCAAUUUCUUAAUCUACUAUUUCAUUACGCAUCUAUACAAUAUUUAAACGGCCGUGUUCCUAAAAAAUGGCUAGACAUCCUUGGCGAGGUCAGUGCAAUCAGGAGCACAAUCAAUGACAGAAUACACGAAACACAGUGUGUAAUGCUUACUCUACGUCUAUAAAGGUGUACAUCUGCAACUCCAGUGUUUGGUUUGCCAUAAAAUUUCACAUGUUAUCUUAUGCUACACUUAUCUCAUUACCGUUGCUACUUAACAGGAAUAUGAAUGUGUGAGUCAGUCUCUUCGAUGGCUUAGCUUUUGCACUUCACGAUAAAUUUGAAAGCUGCGGGUCUGAGCCAAAAUUAGUGAUAGUCACUAGCAUCAAUCCCAAGAUUGUUUGAGGUAAAAAAAAAUAUUAUCAUCUUUCUUGCAUAUACAUAUAACUGUGACCGCUAUAUUAGGAUUUAUUUUGCUAUUAAAAAAAAUUUCCAUAAAAGUCUUUCCAUGAUGCAGGCUGGCUAUUUUUCAACGGCACAUCUGGAACCCACAUCUGACUCUCAGACAGAUGUCUAAAAAAUCUACAUGAAAAAUUAGUAUUUUGUUAUGCUUUUAUUAGAUGGUCCACCUCGAGUGCGUAAAAUAUCUUGUAAAUAUAUCAUCUUACGGUACUGUGAUGUCAUCUUUAAACUCUUUAGGUUGAGUGGGGAUGCCUCAACACAGAAUGGUUCCUCAUCCAAGCUGUUUCAUGCUCAAAAAAUAGAACCACUCAUCUUUGAAGUUACACCUUUUCACUUGGAACACUACUGGUGCCGAGUUACCUUCCACUACAAGAAAACGUAGCAGUAACAACGAAGAUUUACGACGAAAAUAUUUCUUUGUAAAUUUGCAAGGUGUUUACAACGCAAUUACGACGAGACCAAAAUUCGUCGUAAACUCCAUGGAACUUUACGACGAAAGUGUUUCGUCGUAAAGUCCAUGUAAGUUUACGACGAAAGUACGUGGAAAGCGAAAAUAGUCGUAAACGUUACAUCGACAUUACAACGAAUCAUGUUACCGUUAUAUUUAGGUGAAAACGUGUAUUCAAUGUGCUUUAACUUACCUAAAUUUGUUGUAAAGUCGUUGUAAAUAUUAUGUUAAAACCAUGUAAAAUCCAUGUAAAAUAUUCCUUGUAAAAUCGUUGUUAUAUUUCAACUACCCAACUCGAAAAUUUCUCUAUAUAUAUGUCAUUUCCCACAACUCUCUUCCUCACAACACAAAACUCUCUUCCUCACAACACACAACUCUCUUCCUCACAACACACAAACGGAAAAAAAAAAUCAGCAAAAAAAAAUUUUCAAAAAAAAAUCUAAGAAAAAAUGGCGGUGGCGGUAGUAUUUACGAUUUACGAAGUUGGAUGUAUUUGCACAAAGAUUCCGAUGGGAGAGUGACGAACGCAUUUCUGAACGGGCUAGAGACAUUCAUGCACCAAGCGGGCUGUACACCGAUCACGCAGGAAAGCGGUAAGAUGUUCUGCCCCUGUCGAAAAUGCAAGAAUUCAAAAUUUGCACGUAGUGAAACUGUAUAGAAUCAUUUAGUAAACAGAGGAUUUACACCACAGUACUACAUUUGGUAUCAACAUGGAGAGGGUUAUGGGGGAAAUGAAGCUAGUAGUAGUAAUAAUAAUUUUGAGGAUGGUCAUCAUAGUGAAGAACCGAAUCAUUUGCAUAAUGAAUAUAAUUAUCAUCAAGAUCAUGAGCAGAUGGUAGAUCAUGAUAGGGUUCAAGAUAUGAUUAGUGAUGCAUUUUUAGAAACAACUACAACAAUAGCUGAUGGAACUGGAAAUGUAGAAGAACCUAAUUUGGAUGCAAAAAGGUUUUAUGAAAUGCUAGAUGCAGCAAAUCAACCAAUCUAUCCUGGUUGUAGAGAAGGUCUCUCUAAAUUGUCUCUAGCAGCUAGGAUGAUGAAUAUUAAAACGGAUCAUAAUUUACCUGAGAAUUGCAUGGAUGCAUGGGCGGAGUUGUUUAAAGAGUAUUUGCCAGAAGACAACGUGUCUGCUGAAUCUUAUUAUGAGAUUCAGAAAUUGGUUUAUAGUCUUGGGUUGCCUUCGGAGAUGAUUGAUGUUUGCAUCGACAACUGCAUGAUCUACUGGAAAGAAGAUGACAAGUUAGAAGAGUGUCGAUUCUGCAAAAAACCACGAUUCAAACCGCAAGGCCGUGGGAGGAAUAGGGUACCGUACCAAAGGAUGUGGUACCUACCAAUUACAGACAGAUUGAAAAGAUUAUAUCAAUCUGAGAGGACUGCUGCAUCGAUGAGGUGGCAUGCGGAACAUGUCCAGAGAGAUGGUGAGGUUGCACAUCCAUCAGACGCAAGAGCGUGGAAACAUUUCAACAAGGUACACGCAGAUUUUGCUACAAAUAUUCGGAAUGUCUAUCUUGGGUUAUGCACCGAUGGAUUUAGUCCAUUUGGAAUGUCUGGUAGACAAUAUUCUUUGUGGCCAGUCAUUCUUACGCCGUACAAUUUACCGCCGGAUAUGUGCAUGGAACAAGAAUUUCUAUUUUUGACCAUAUUAAUCCCUGGGCCGAAGCAUCCAAAACGGUCUCUUGAUGUUUUUCUUCAACCGUUGAUAGAAGAGCUAAAGCAAUUGUGGUCAGAAGGGGUGAGGACGUACGAUUGUUCCUUGAAAAACAAUUUUACGAUGCGAGCAGUUCUGCUGUGGACGAUAAGUGAUUUCCCUGCUUAUGGGAUGUUGUCUGGCUGGACAACACAUGGAAGAUUAUCUUGUCCAUAUUGUCUUGGAUCGACGGAUGCUUUUCAACUGAAGAAUGGUAGGAAGAGUUGUUGGUUUGACUGUCAUCGUCGCUUUCUUCCACUUGCCCAUCCGUACAGAAGAAAUAAGACAUUGUUUCGGCACAAAAAAAUUGUCAGAGACGGUCCUCCUCCAUAUCUCACCGGCCAGCAGAUCGAAGCAGACAUUGAUUAUUACGGAGCUCAGGAAACAGUUAAAGUUGGAGGAAAUUGGCAUGUUCCUGGAAAUAUGCCUGAUGGAUAUGGUGUGUCUCACAAUUGGCAUAAGAAGAGUAUAUUUUGGGAGCUACCCUAUUGGAAGGAUCUUCUCUUACGCCACAAUCUGGAUGUCAUGCAUAUUGAGAAGAACUUUUUUGAGAACAUCAUGAAUACAUUACUUAACGUCCCUGGGAAGACAAAAGAUAACAAAAAGUCAAGGAUGGACUUACCUGAUAUUUGCUCAAGAAGUGAGUUACAUAUCAAGAGCAAUGGAAACGUUCCUGUUCCCAUCUUCCGGUUGUCAUCAGAAGCCAAAACAACCUUGUUUGACUGGGUUGCAUCAGAAGUUAAGUUUCCUGAUGGUUAUGUUUCAAAUCUGUCAAGAUGUGUUGAACGAGGUCAAAAGUUCUCCGGAAUGAAGAGUCAUGAUUGUCAUGUGUUUAUGCAACGACUACUUCCAUUUACUUUUGCCGAGCUCCUUCCAGCAAAUGUCCAUGAAGCACUUGCAGGUAAUUAUAAAUUUGUAAUAUAUAUACAUAUGUUAUGAAAUGUUAUUAAUUUGAUUACUUUUGCAAUAUACAGCCAUCAGAGCAUUUUUCAGAGAUCUUAGCACACGUACGUUCAAGGAAGAAGUCAUCGAACAACUUCAUCACAACAUUCCGAUCAUAUUGUGCAACCUGGAGAAGAUAUUUCCUCCUUCAUUUUUUGACGUCAUGGAGCAUCUAGUUGUCCACCUACCGUAUGAAGCAUUGCUUCGUGGACCUGUUCACAACGGAUGGAUGUAUCCGUAUGAGCGACAGAUGAAACAUUUGAAGGGGAAAGCAAGAAAUCUUGCAAAGGUAGAAGGUUCAAUAGUUGCGGGGAGUUUGACAGCCGAAACAUCUAACUUCACAUCAUACUACUUUGCUCCAACUGUUCGUACGAGGAAAAGAGUUCCUAGAAGAUAUGAUGAUGGUGGAGUACCGACAUCAUAUCCAAUUGAUGGUGUUCCUGACAUUUUCUGCGAAAUUGGACGGUUUGGUGGUAAAACGAAAGAAGUAUGGUGGUCAUGUGAAGAGGAUAAACAUAGUGCCCACACUUAUAUUCUGCUCAACUACGAGGAUGCAAUGACCCGUUACUUUGAAAGGUAAAUAUUUUUGUGAAUGUUAAUUAUAUGGACUGAAGUUAAUUAUGUAUGACUUGAUUAUUUGUUUAAUUUGCAGCAUGUUUGUAUCUCAAGUUGAAGAAGCAAUACCAGGAAUAUCUGCAACUGAUGUGGACACACGUAAAGAUAUGCACUUUGUCAAGUGGUUAAAAUCACAGGUACGUAAUAUAUCUCAUACAUUGAUUAAUUAAGUAAGUGUUUUGAUACUUCAAUAUUAAUUAAGAAAAUAUGCUUUUUGCAGGUUGAUUAUGACGAUCCAUAUUAUCCCGUAUGGUUUCACGAAUUGGUUCAAGGUCCAGUUGCAAAGGUCACUACAUCACCUAUGUAUUUCACACGAGGAUUUACCUUUCACACAUACGAGUAUGAGAGACAUCGGGCAACGAGUGACUACGGAAUAUGUGUGAAAGGUGAAACAGACUUUUACGGGAUAUUGCAAGAGAUUAUUGAAGUGGAAUUUCCGGGGUUAUUGAAGCUAAAAUGCGUCCUCUUCCAAUGUGAAUGGUUCGAUCCUGUUGUGAACCGAGGGAUUCGGUAUAACAAAUUUGGUGUUGUGGAUGUCAAUUAUGGGAGAAGAUACAACAAAUUUGAACCUUUCAUUUUAGCUUCACAAGCCGAGCAAGUUAGCUUCCUUCCUUAUCCUCGGCUUCGAACUUCCUGGAUAAACUGGGUAGCUGCUAUCAAAAUUACAACUCGUGGACGCAUUGUCGCUGGAGAAGAACCGCCCUUGCAAGAAGAAGACGCUAUCACUGAAGUUGAGGUACCAGAACGACCAACUGAUGAAAUCCUUUUGAUCGACCCGCAAAACUUUCAAUAUGAAGAUAUUCCCGAAGAUGCGACAGAUGAAGCACGUGAAGACGAGUUCGAGAGAAGUGAAGAUGAUGAUUGUAAUGAUAGUGAUGAGAACGAAACGAUUUAGAGUGAUGUAAUAUUGAUGAGAACGAAAACGAUUUAGAGUGAUGUAAUAUAUGUAACAAAUGUUGUAUUUCUCUAUUGUAAUGUAUGUUUAAAGAAAUAUUAUUUUUUUACCAUCUUAAUAUAUGUGUAACAAAUGUUGUUUUAUAUAAUAUGUAUUUCUUUAGUUUUUAAAAAAAUUAUUUGGAGUUUUAGGGUUUUAGAGUUUAAGUUGGAGAAAGAGCAAGAAGUAGUAGAGAAGAGAUAUGAUGUUAGAUGAUAUGUGACUUUGGGGUUUAGGGAUUUCAUUCUCGGUGUUUAGGGUUAAGCGUUGUAAAAUCGUCGUAAAUGGUUAUCUAUUCCACGUAAUUUCGUCGUAAAUGGAAAAACGCGGGCCUGGUAACUUCGUCGUAAACGUGGGCCUGGUAAAUUCGUCGUAAACCGAUGUUUCGACGUAAUUUCGUCGUAAAUCGAAAAACNNNNNNNNNNNNNNNNNNNNNNNNNNNNNNNNNNNNNNNNNNNNNNNNNNNNNNNNNNNNNNNNNNNNNNNNNNNNNNNNNNNNNNNNNNNNNNNNNNNNNNNNNNNNNNNNNNNNNNNNNNNNNNNNNNNNNNNNNNNNNNNNNNNNNNNNNNNNNNNNNNNNNNNNNNNNNNNNNNNNNNNNNNNNNNNNNNNNNNNNNNNNNNNNNNNNNNNNNNNNNNNNNNNNNNNNNNNNNNNNNNNNNNNNNNNNNNNNNNNNNNNNNNNNNNNNNNNNNNNNNNNNNNNNNNNNNNNNNNNNNNNNNNNNNNNNNNNNNNNNNNNNNNNNNNNNNNNNNNNNNNNNNNNNNNNNNNNNNNNNNNNNNNNNNNNNNNNNNNNNNNNNNNNNNNNNNNNNNNNNNNNNNNNNNNNNNNNNNNNNNNNNNNNNNNNNNNNNNNNNNNNNNNNNNNNNNNNNNNNNNNNNNNNNNNNNNNNNNNNNNNNNNNNNNNNNNNNNNNNNNNNNNNNNNNNNNNNNNNNNNNNNNNNNNNNNNNNNNNNNNNNNNNNNNNNNNNNNNNNNNNNNNNNNNNNNNNNNNNNNNNNNNNNNNNNNNNNNNNNNNNNNNNNNNNNNNNNNNNNNNNNNNNNNNNNNNNNNNNNNNNNNNNNNNNNNNNNNNNNNNNNNNNNNNNNNNNNNNNNNNNNNNNNNNNNNNNNNNNNNNNNNNNNNNNNNNNNNNNNNNNNNNNNNNNNNNNNNNNNNNNNNNNNNNNNNNNNNNNNNNNNNNNNNNNNNNNNNNNNNNNNNNNNNNNNNNNNNNNNNNNNNNNNNNNNNNNNNNNNNNNNNNNNNNNNNNNNNNNNNNNNNNNNNNNNNNNNNNNNNNNNNNNNNNNNNNNNNNNNNNNNNNNNNNNNNNNNNNNNNNNNNNNNNNNNNNNNNNNNNNNNNNNNNNNNNNNNNNNNNNNNNNNNNNNNNNNNNNNNNNNNNNNNNNNNNNNNNNNNNNNNNNNNNNNNNNNNNNNNNNNNNNNNNNNNNNNNNNNNNNNNNNNNNNNNNNNNNNNNNNNNNNNNNNNNNNNNNNNNNNNNNNNNNNNNNNNNNNNNNNNNNNNNNNNNNNNNNNNNNNNNNNNNNNNNNNNNNNNNNNNNNNNNNNNNNNNNNNNNNNNNNNNNNNNNNNNNNNNNNNNNNNNNNNNNNNNNNNNNNNNNNNNNNNNNNNNNNNNNNNNNNNNNNNNNNNNNNNNNNNNNNNNNNNNNNNNNNNNNNNNNNNNNNNNNNNNNNNNNNNNNNNNNNNNNNNNNNNNNNNNNNNNNNNNNNNNNNNNNNNNNNNNNNNNNNNNNNNNNNNNNNNNNNNNNNNNNNNNNNNNNNNNNNNNNNNNNNNNNNNNNNNNNNNNNNNNNNNNNNNNNNNNNNNNNNNNNNNNNNNNNNNNNNNNNNNNNNNNNNNNNNNNNNNNNNNNNNNNNNNNNNNNNNNNNNNNNNNNNNNNNNNNNNNNNNNNNNNNNNNNNNNNNNNNNNNNNNNNNNNNNNNNNNNNNNNNNNNNNNNNNNNNNNNNNNNNNNNNNNNNNNNNNNNNNNNNNNNNNNNNNNNNNNNNNNNNNNNNNNNNNNNNNNNNNNNNNNNNNNNNNNNNNNNNNNNNNNNNNNNNNNNNNNNNNNNNNNNNNNNNNNNNNNNNNNNNNNNNNNNNNNNNNNNNNNNNNNNNNNNNNNNNNNNNNNNNNNNNNNNNNNNNNNNNNNNNNNNNNNNNNNNNNNNNNNNNNNNNNNNNNNNNNNNNNNNNNNNNNNNNNNNNNNNNNNNNNNNNNNNNNNNNNNNNNNNNNNNNNNNNNNNNNNNNNNNNNNNNNNNNNNNNNNNNNNNNNNNNNNNNNNNNNNNNNNNNNNNNNNNNNNNNNNNNNNNNNNNNNNNNNNNNNNNNNNNNNNNNNNNNNNNNNNNNNNNNNNNNNNNNNNNNNNNNNNNNNNNNNNNNNNNNNNNNNNNNNNNNNNNNNNNNNNNNNNNNNNNNNNNNNNNNNNNNNNNNNNNNNNNNNNNNNNNNNNNNNNNNNNNNNNNNNNNNNNNNNNNNNNNNNNNNNNNNNNNNNNNNNNNNNNNNNNNNNNNNNNNNNNNNNNNNNNNNNNNNNNNNNNNNNNNNNNNNNNNNNNNNNNNNNNNNNNNNNNNNNNNNNNNNNNNNNNNNNNNNNNNNNNNNNNNNNNNNNNNNNNNNNNNNNNNNNNNNNNNNNNNNNNNNNNNNNNNNNNNNNNNNNNNNNNNNNNNNNNNNNNNNNNNNNNNNNNNNNNNNNNNNNNNNNNNNNNNNNNNNNNNNNNNNNNNNNNNNNNNNNNNNNNNNNNNNNNNNNNNNNNNNNNNNNNNNNNNNNNNNNNNNNNNNNNNNNNNNNNNNNNNNNNNNNNNNNNNNNNNNNNNNNNNNNNNNNNNNNNNNNNNNNNNNNNNNNNNNNNNNNNNNNNNNNNNNNNNNNNNNNNNNNNNNNNNNNNNNNNNNNNNNNNNNNNNNNNNNNNNNNNNNNNNNNNNNNNNNNNNNNNNNNNNNNNNNNNNNNNNNNNNNNNNNNNNNNNNNNNNNNNNNNNNNNNNNNNNNNNNNNNNNNNNNNNNNNNNNNNNNNNNNNNNNNNNNNNNNNNNNNNNNNNNNNNNNNNNNNNNNNNNNNNNNNNNNNNNNNNNNNNNNNNNNNNNNNNNNNNNNNNNNNNNNNNNNNNNNNNNNNNNNNNNNUUAUUGAAGCUGAAAUGCGUCCUCUUCAAAUGUGAAUGGUUCGAUCCUGUUGUGAACCGAGGGAUUCGGUAUAACAAAUUUGGUGUUGUGGAUGUCAAUUUUGGGAGAAGAUACAACAAAUUUGAGCCUUUCAUUUUAGCUUCACAAGCCGAGCAAGUUAGCUUCCUUCCUUAUCCUCGGCUUCGAACUUCCUGGAUAAACUGGGUAGCUGCUAUCAAAAUUACAACUCGUGGACGCAUUGUCGCUGGAGAAGAACCGCCCUUGCAAGAAGAAGACGCUAUCACUGAAGUUGAGGUACCAGAACGACCAACUGAUGAAAUCCUUUUGAUCGACCCGCAAAACUUUCAAUAUGAAGAUAUUCCCGAAGAUGCGACAGAUGAAGCACGUGAAGACGAGUUCGAGAGAAGCGACGAUGAUGAUUGUAAUGAUAGUGAUGAGAACGAAAACGAUUUAGAGUGAUGUAAUAUUGAUGAGAACGAAAACGAUUUAGAGUGAUGUAAUAUAUGUAACAAAUGUUGUAUUUCUCUAUUGUAAUGUUUGUUUAAGGAAAUAUUGUUUUUAUAUCAUCUUAAUGUAUGUGUAACAAAUGUUGUUUUAUAUAAUAUGUAUUUCUUUAGAUUUUAAAAAAUUAUUUGGAGUUUUAGGGUUUAAGUUGGAGAAAGAGUAAGAAGAAGUAAAGAAGAAGAUGAUGAUGUUAGAUGAUAUGUGACAUUGGGGUUUAGGGAUUUCAUUCUCGGGGUUUAGGGUUAAGCGUAGUAAAAUCCUUGUAAAAAUAACACGGGCGUGGUAAUUUCGUCGUACAUGGAAAAAGACGGGCCUGGUAAAUUCGUCGUAAAUGAGAAAACGCGGGCCUGGUAAAUUCGUUGUAAAUGGAAAAGCCUGGUAAACCUAUUCAACGUAAUUUCGUCGUAAAUCGAGAAACACGGGCCUGGUAAUUUCAUCGUAAAUGGAAAAACACGGGCCUGGUAACUUCGUCGUAAAUAGAAAAACGCGGGCCUGGUAAAUUCGUCGUAAUAUUACGUCGCGUUUACGACGAAUCGUUAUCUAUAUAAUGAGACGCCGAGAGCGAGACUACCUCGUUCAUUCCUCCCAAACUCCUUUGCUCUCCCUCUAAGGUAAACUCUCUCUUCUCUUUUUUUUUUUAAAGUUAGUUUAGGUGAUUAAUUAGUUAGGUAAUUAGUUUAGGCGAUUAGUUAGGUAAUUAGUUUAGGUGAUUAGUUAGGUGACGGAAUACUAGUUUAGGUGAUUAGUUAGGUAACGGAAUAGUUUUUUAAUUAUGUCGUAAUUGAUUAAAUUUAUUUUAAUUUUUUUUAGAUGGCUCCUAGGAGGAAAUCAGCAGCACCUAGUUAUGCCCAGUUGUUUGGCGAUGGUUCCGGUACGUCUUCUUCCGGUCCAUCGUCUUCCGAUGCAGUUCCAGACUCUCAGCCUUCUCAGAGAGUUGCUUGGAGUCCUCCUCCUCCACCGCAGAUGCCUCCACCUCCUCCUCCAGCGGCUGCACCUCAGCCUGUCCCAGAAGGUGCAGUUCAUCCGGAUUUGCGUGUGCCUUCAUAUGCCCCAUUCGCGAGAUAUACGGUGGAGGAUUUGCUUGCCCAGCCUGGUCAGGAGGGUUUGGAUAUUCUAGACCCCGAUAGACCCCGACGAACUUAUUGGUAAGUUAUUAAUUUUUAUUACAUUAAAAUUUAAAUUAUUUUUAUUUUGUAACGGUUAUAUUGUUUUUUUUUUCAGGUUUGGGGCUAACAACCGUGUUAGCCAGAGAGUUUCGAAGACGAUUAAGGGUUAUUACGACGGGGCAUAUCCGAAUUGGAGCAAGACACCAAAUCACGUUAAGAUCACUUGGUUUAAAUGUUUUGCGGUAAUAUUUUAAAAUUUAAUUAAAUUUUCACUUUUAAAUAUAUAUAUAUUUUAAAUAUUUAUUAUUAAUUAUAAUUUCUUCAAAAAUUUUGUGUUUCACCAAAAGUGGCAUUGGUCUUUGGGAAUCACCGAGAGGGUGAAGGCGGAAUUUGUUGCAAAGGCAAAGAUCCGCCUCUGCAACACAGUCUCUGAUUGGAUGGACAAGUGGGAGAUCUACGGGUAUGAGGGAUAGCCCACUGAGCUCACGAAGGAUGUGUGGGAUGGCCUCAUCGCCUAUUGGCAGCACCCCUUUUCGAUCAAAAAGGCCAAUUCGUGCUCGGCUUCUCGAAGAACGAAGGAUAAAGAUGGUUAUUUGCCCAUGCUUCACAGAACCGGACAAAAACCUCAUGCAGGAAUCCGUUUAGAAGCUGUAAGUUUUGUUUUAAAUAUUUAUUUUAAAAUUUUCAAAUAAUUUAAUUUUUUUUUGUAGUACGAGAAGACGGGAGUCUUACCAUCUCUGUCUGACCUAUUCAAGAUGACUCACGCCACAUCCGACGGAGUUUUUGUGGAUCCUGCAUCUGAGAAACUCUUCCAAGCAGUGGCUUCUCGGAUUGAAGAACAGGAGACGCAACUAACCCAGGAGUCUCCCGAUGGAUUACCCGUCACAUUGUCCACCGAAGACGCCGACAGAAUCUUCGAAGAGGUACAACUUAAAAUUUUUGUUUACAUUAUUUUUAAUAUUUUAACAUAAUUAACUAUAUUAGUAUAUGUUUUAAUUUUAUAGGUGGCUCCUAAAAAGAAGAGACGAAUAGUCGGUACAGGCUCUGUUAACGAAGUUGCAAGGACAAUUUCGUCAUACACUUCGAGACGGGAUGAAGAGACUUCUCAGAUGAAGAGACUUCUCAGAUGAAAGCUCGAAUGGAUAGCCAGCAGGUUCGUUUAGACUCUCUUGAGAAUUUGCUAGACGUGAUGGCCGUGGGAAACCCGGUUAUGCAGAGAAUGUUGAGUGAAAGACGAGCCGCUCUUGGGUUGCCAAUACGAGAUCCCCAAGAGUCCGAUCCAACCCGUCAACAGCCGAGCAACCCCACCGACUACUUCGAUGAUAUGUAGUUUUUUUUAUAUAUCGGUUUGUAUUAUGAAUUUAAAUAUUAUUGUAUGACUUUUAAAUGCUUUUUUAAAAUAUGUUUUUUAUUUUCAUAUUUCGUUUUAAAAUUAAACUUAUUUUAAAUUCUGAAUUUUAAAUAAAUUCAAAUUUAUAUUUGAGGUUAAAAAAAUAUUCAAAUCUAUUAUAUAUUAAUACGAAUCGAUGUAAACUCCACGUAAAUGCUUACGAUUGAUUAACGUCGAAAGAUUUACGAGGGUUUUACAUCGAAAAGUUUACGUGUUCUUUACAACGAAAGUAUUUAUGUCUGCUUUACAUUGAAACCUUUACGUGGAGUUUACCACGAAAUAUUACGUGUCGUUUACGACGAAACGAUGCCCUGCGCUUUACGAGGAAUAUAUUUCAUCGUAAACGAACAAGUCAUUUACGACGAAACCUCAGUUACGACGGACGUUUUACGACGAAACGUCUUUCGAGGUUAAUUCGUCGUAACACCCCGUUUACGAUGAAUUUAUAACGUAUAUUGCCCUCGUAAAAAAUAUGUUUUCUUGUAGUGUUCGUUAGGUCAAGAACCCUUAGUUAUGUCAACAAUCAAACAAGCGGUUAAGGUAUUACACGUCAACCCUUUGGUUUCUGUCUUGCGCCUUUUGUAUUUGAUUUUCACUUACAUAGACUCUCUUUUCAAUUUUAGAUUGGGUACAAACACAUCGGUUGUGCUUCGAUAUACGGUCACGAGAAAGAGGUAAACAUUUCUAAAUCAAAGAAUUUGAGAGAGACCAUACACUUAAGUAUGUGUAGUUGAAGUUUGAUGCCUCUGUAUGUCACGUUCUCCUCACACUAUGAAUUCAUUAACUAGAUUGGUAGCGUAGUGAAGAAGUUAAUAAAUCAUGGUUUCGUGAAGCUUGAGGAGUUAUUCAUCACUUGGAAACUCUGGUUUGUCUUCUCUCUAUGACCAAAUUUUUCUUUAGUGCAUGUCUAUAUUAAGUUUGUAGUUCCCAUCACCCCUCACUGUUUCUAUUUAUAUUACACUAGCAGCAAAUGUUUUCUGAAGAAUAUCACCUGGAACAUCAAGUGAGAGAGCCUGGGAGUCAACAACAGUACUAUGUAAAAGAGUGAGCAUGAAGAAAUGCUUUGCCUUGACUAUGUAAUAAGUUACAUUACUUUUUGUUGCAUUACUCUUUGUUGUAUCAAGUAGUUAAGUUUACGGUUUACCAUGUGUAGAAUAUGCACAUAACUAGCCUAUCAACCAUCACAGCACUAUGAAUUCCCAUAUAUAUAUAUAUAAGUGGGGUCUGUUAUUAAUCUAGAGCAAGUUGAAUAACAACACUAAAGAAAUCUAUUGGGUCUUUAAUACUUUUGGCACUGGUGAUAUUUUUUUAAUAAAGUAAGGAUGAAGUAGAUCUACAAAGUAUCAGUUAAAUGUUCGAAUCCGAUCUGUGAGGAUAGUUUUGGGAAGUAGAUGAUGUGAUUUUCAGUUGAAAAAGCCAAGAAUUUUUAACUAUCGCAAAUUACCCAAAAGAAUAUUAUUAUUGACAAUUGACGAUGUGAGCAUUAACUGUAAAGCAGAUUAAAUCAAUUUUAUAUUGGUUUAUGAGAUGAAUCAGUUUAAAGAAGCAAAGCGAAUCAAUAUUCGAUAGAAGAGAAUAGGUAACCUUAGUUUCUUUUACUAAAUCGUUCAAACGAUUGCGUCAGUCAAAAUUUGUAGAGCACAACAUACAUAUGUUUGUCACAAAAGAAAAUACUCCUCUAUGUUGUCAUUUUGCCUAUCUCCUCUUACUCAAAACAUAUAUAUUUAGUGAACUGCACAUUUAUAUCAUACAUUAGGAAACACAGUAGAUCAACUAUAAACUAAACACAUUUCAACUAUGAUUUUCUUUUAAAAAUUUACAUGAAGAAAUCACAUCCAGGGUUGGCUCAAGAAUCAUGGAGGCCUUUGGCGCAAAAAAAUGGUCGUUACAAAAAUAUAUAUUUAAAAAACAUUUAGUAAAAAUUAUGUUUAAUAUAGUUAUUUAUUAUAUAUGAGAUUUUUUAUUUAAAAUAGUAUUUAAGAUAUAUAAAAAUUAGCUAAAAAUCUACUUAUACCUAUAAAAAUGUUUAGUUUAUUAAAAAGUUGAAAUUUUGGAUCUCGGACCCUAGGAGGUCGCACUCCCCGCCCUUCUACUUAAACCGCCCAUGAUCGUAUCACAAUAAUAUAAUAUUGUCUUGUCUACUCCAAUAUCAAAUACAUUUGAAAUAAAACAAAUAUGCAAAACGAAUUACACAAGUGAAUAACAUAAUUGGUAAACAAUCCGCGCGAAACGCGGACACGCCACUAGUAUAUAUUAUAUGAGAUUAUAACAAAAUGUGUUUACAUAAAAAAAUAUAAAAGGCUUAAAGGGUUAAAAAGGGUUCAGCCCUAUUUUACAUAGUUUAAUGGGUUCUAAAAGGGUUAGGGCUCACUUAGGGUUGAGCUUAAGCUAAAUAGGGCUGGAUUGCGCUGGACAACCCAUACAACAUCCCUAGUUCUGAAGAUCCAAUCACACAAAGUUUAAUCAAAGAAGAGGUUCAUAAAUGGCAGAAGGAAGGUGCACGCAUUGUGUAUCGUCAUCGUGUGAAUAGAGAAGGCUACAAAGCUGGAAAUCUUAAGUCUUCAAUGAACUGUAGCUUUGUCAAAGACUACAUAACUAUGUCCAUUUUCGACGCUGAUUUUCAGCUUUUACCCGAUUUCCUCAAAAAAAAAAACAUUCCUCAUUUUAAGGUAAACAUUUGUUUGUAUGGCUCCCAAUUUCAGAGAAUUCAGAUUUAUCAUUUUUGAAUUGUAACAGGACAAUGAAGAAAAGGGACUGGUACAAGAGAGAUGAUCGUUUGUGAAUAGGGAAGAGAACUUGUUGACAAGAUUACAGAACAUUAACUUGGCAUUUCACUUUGAGGUUGAACAGCAACUGAACAGUGUCUUCUUGAUUUUUUUUGGGUUCAAUGGAACAGCUAGUGUGUGGAGGGUCAAGGAUUUGGAGGAGUCUGGUGGCUGGCUUGAGAGAACCACCGUUGAGGAUAUGGACAUUGCUUUUCGUGCUUAUCUCCAUAGGCUGGAAAUUCAUUUUCUUAAGCGAUGUUGAGGUAUUGUUGCCAACAUCAUAUACAAAGUGUUUGUUUUUGUUUGGCUCCUGGCUAAUGUGCCAUUGUCUUUCUCUCUCAGUGAAUUUGUGAAUUAUCCACAUCUUACAAAGCUUACCGAAAACAGCAACACUGAUGGCAUUCGGGACCUAUGCAACUAUUUCUCAAUAGUUUGCCGGCUGUAUAGCCUAGGGGGUUUGCUGAUACCAUGCAGUGUGUGUGUUUUGCAGAUAAGCAUAGGCAAGAAGUUCAAUUUGAUAUUCUUCUUCUUCCUCCUAAGGAAGCUUAUCUUGCCCUUCAAUUCCUUCACGCUUUUUUUUGCAUCAUCUUGCCAAUGACUAUUUUUGUGCCGAAGACUGAGCUUCCUGCUUGGGUUGUAUGCUACAUACCUGCCACAAUGUCCUUCCUCAACAUCCUUCCAGCCCCAAAUUCAUUUUCGUUCAUUGUCCCAUACCUUCUCUUUGAAAACACAAUGUCUGUGACAAAGUUCAACGCAAUGGUCUCAGGUCUGUUUCAGCUAGGAAGUGCAUACGAAUGAGUUUUUACAAAAAAAAAAACAAGACGAUCAUCAGAAGGAGAUCUGGCUGCUUUAGUUAAAAACGAAGGAGGAAAGAAAAAAUAACAUCAGAGAGGCGUGUCUGCACCGGGAACAGAGGCUGAGAAAAAGCUCAUAAGAAGAUCAAGAAGAAGAAGAAGAAGAAGCACAAUAGGAUAUAUAUAUAUAUAUAUAUAUAUAUGAAGGAGCUAUCACUAGCGUUUCUGCUAUUAACCGCAACAACUCGAAGUUUGUUAUCAGCUCAAGGAACCCAUUUCCACUUCCUCUUGUUUUAGGGAAUUUCUUUCUUACUGGUUGCUCUUGAUCUGAUUGGAGAGCAAGUUGAAUAACAACACUAAAGAAAUCUAUUGGGUCUUUAAUAGUGAUUUUAGAGAAACAUUGUAGAAGACAUGGAAGGGUCUGGACCCAAGAAUACAAUUUACAUUUAUCACAUUACUGAACAUAUAUCAGGUUCACAGAGGAAGGACUGUUCCUAACGUGCACGCUUUAUCUACUUUAUUUAAUACGAGUGGUAUUCCAGUGCUAUGCGCUAGUAUCAAGCCGUUCCCGGAGCUCACUCUGAGGCAGCUGCCGGUAAGGCUUACCCUUACUGUCAAGUUGUCCCUUGCUAUCAGUUUGAAGUUUCGUUUCAAAUGGUAGAGCUCUGGAUCGCUGACCGCACGGUUCUACCGGUUGAGAACUCUCUCGGCGGAAUGUUUAUUGUAUUGUUUUCAGUUGAGUUAAAAUACUAUUUUAAGAUAUAUUUGGAUUAAUAACAUUUAAUUGUCAAAUUUAUCGUUUUAAAUAAAUAAUACUUAAAUUUAUAAAUAUAUUUUACUAUCUCUAUAAUUUUAAUAUAUUAUUUUUUUCUUUAUCAUAUAAAUAUGAUAAAUAAGUUAAUGUGUGGGUAUAUGUUACGUGGUAAACUAUAGGAAAAGGGUUGUUUCCAUAUCUGAGAGUUUUAGAUACAUUUAAAAUAUAUGUUAUAAGAUUUUAUUAGUUUAUAAAAAAUUAGUUUCUAGAAUUUUAUAGAUUUACGUAUUUUGAAUUACAUUUUUAUGCAAAAAGGAGGUUUUUAAAGUGUAUAUAUAAAUUAAAUUUUACAAAUGCAAAUUUCAUGUUAUUUUAUUUGACCAUUUGAUGUACUGAAUUUAUGUAGCUUAAUGCAUAUGCAGUUUUACAUGGGAAAUAAUAAAAUAACAUCAAAAUAUGUUGAAGUUUUUAGAAAAACUAAAAACCGACUACUGUGUGAAAACAAACAAUCAAAUAUUUUCUUUAUAUUUAUGUAAAUUUUGUAUACAUUAAUUAUAAAUUGUUGUUUAUAUUGCGAGAAUAUAUUUAUAAGAUAAUUUCAAAAAAUAUAUUUAUUUAACUUAAUUUAGUCUGUUUUUUUUACGAUUAUUCGGGGGUCUCCGGUCGGCCGAGGCCUAACCGACUAAUCCCAUGGAGAUUUACUCGUAAUGAAAAUUAUAUAUCCAUGUCACCUCAAUUUAGUCAUAUUUUACACUGAUCUAAUUCAAAAUAAAAAAAAAGUUAUUAAUUUAUUUAUGUUGGUAAUUAUCGAUAUUAAUUCAUAUUCUUUUUACAAUAUUGUUAAUAGUGUAAUGGUGGUAGUUCUUUUAUGUGUUAUUUCGAUGUAGAGUUCAGUUCCUACUUUUGUUGAAUUUAUUUUUGAUGUUAUUAUCUUAUCCUAUUUGCAUUUAUGUGACUGUUGAAGGGAGUCGUUGACCGUCAAGCUUUGACACCCGGUCAUCGUUCUUCGGCCAUGGCAGCCGUGGCCAUCACUGCUCGCAGCUGAAGUUUACUUAAUCAUCUCUUGGUAAAGCAGAGGGUAGUCAAAGGUGAAGCUGUUAGCUCCAAGUUUCUUGUGCCAGAGUUCUGUCUGUGAUUCUUUAGCAGUUAGACAUUGACUUGAUGGUUUCCACAUGUAGCAGUUGUUGCCCGAACGAUAUCCACACAAUACAAGAUCCCCUCUGUCGUUUACUGCUCGGCACUCUUUUCUGUCAAAGAUAACUUGGAGUCCUUCGUCACAGAGUUGGCUCACACUGAUGAGAUUGGCUUUCAGACCUUCGACAUAAAACACAUUUAUGAGACGUGGGAGGUCAGCUCUAUCUGUCAAACCAACACCAAGUAUCUUUCCUUGACCUCCAUCUCCGAAGGUUACUUUUCCACCUUGAAUUUCUUCUACAUUCUCCAGACAUUCCAGGGUUCCAGUCAUGUGUCUAGAGCAACCACUAUCAAAAUACCAUGGGAGAUCAGUCUGCUUAGCGCUGUCAGUUGAUGUGUAUGCCACGUUUCCCACUAUCAUCUUAUUACUCAUGUCUUCAAGUAGAGGAUCGCAGUUCUGAGGGAGUGACAUUUCAUCUUUGUGGUGUGACACAGCCACUUCAUCAGAUGGUUCCCAGUCUCGAAUAAAAGCAAGAUUGCACAUUAUGGCUUUUCCUUCUCUCUGAUCACUGAUAGGAGUGAGUUCAGGUCCUGAUCCAGUCGUUUCAUCAGCGUUGAUCCUGAGUGGUGAGACUCUGUUUCCAUAUUUUGGAUACAGAUCAGUCUUAGCAAUCCACACAUGUCCCACUUUGCUAGGUUCCAUGAAACAUCUGCUGGUCCUCCAAGCGCGUUGAAGUUGAUUUCUCAUGAAAUAACAGUUAGAUGCCUUAUGACCUGCUUUGCAGCAAAACAUACAUCCAUUCUUUCGUUUUGUGGAAGGUACAUUGAAGCUCUUUGUGGCCGUUGGGUUGACGGAACCAACUGUCUGAGGUAUGCUUGAACUAGUCUGUUGAGAGCCUUUCACAAACGUUACUCCUUGGGUCAGAUCCUUUGACUGUGAACAAUAGCCUUGAUAUCCAAGUCCACGGCAAGUGGCUGGUGAUUGUCCGACCCUCAAAAUGUGAUCAAGUUUGUCAGAUCCAGUGUUAAGCAUCCUCACUUUCUUGUAGUUCUCACUGAGCUCGUACUGCAGCAGUCGACUCUUUUCUAACUCCUCAUUCAGCAACAGCUUGGUUUGAUCAUAUCUGGUCUCCAGGCUUUUUAGGCUAUGUGCCUGAUCUGAGAUGGUUUUCUCAAGAGAGUCUCGUUUCUCUUUUUCUCUGUUUUCAGUAUUCACAGGAGUGACUUCAUCAUCUUUUGCCGGUUGUUCCAGUUCAAGAAUGUUUACCUGAGCCUUUAGCAUUGCUCGAUCCUUGAUCAGUUGAAGAUUCUCAAGACUCAGCUCAGUGAAUUUAUCAAACAGAAGUCGGUACUCAGAUUUGAGAUCGGAGUUAUCUCCUUCUGGUUCUAUCUCAGAUUCUGAAUCUGUCAUAGAGAUUGUCUCACAUGCGUCAUCUUGGCCAACCAGAGCUACAAAGUUCAUAAGUAGUUCUUCAUUGUCACUGCCCUCCUCAGACUCUGUGUCGCUGAAACAGAUGAGUGAUUUGUCCUUUUUGAGGUUGUUAGGACACUCGCUCCUUGUGUGUCCAUACCCCUUGCAUUCGAUGCAUUUCAGUUCCUUUCUUUUGGUCAAAGGACAUUCAUUACGAUAGUGACCGUAGCCUUCACAUUCAUGACAUUGUAGUUCCUUUUUACGGUUUCCUCUUCCUGAGUCAUUUCGUACGUUCGAGCGAUCACUGUCUCUGCUCUGAAAUCGGUUGCUAGACCUGUUCUGUCCCUUCUCAACCCGUUUAAGCAUUUUGUUGAAGUUCUUAGCCAUAAGACUCAUGUUGUCCUCAAUUCGUUUGACACGAUCAAUCUCCUUAUUGUCUGCAGUAAAAGCGAUUCCUUUUUGCUCUUUGGGAAGUCCUUCUGCUCGUUCCAGGUCAUGAAUUUUGAGAAUCCCGGCCAGUUGAUCAAACUUCAUCUCAUCAGUGUUGAUUGCAAUCUUCAAGACAGCUUUGUAUGCCUCAAAUCGAGGAGGGAGACAUCUCAACACUUUUUUCACAAGUUUCUUUUCGUUAUAUUUCUUUCCAAGAACAGAGGCUUCGUUGGCUAUGGAACUGAUCUUUGAGAUGAAGCUCCCAAUUGAUUCAUCAUCCUCCAUACGUAGAUUCUCGAACUUAGAAGCAAGAUGGUCAAUUCUAGUGCGUCUUACACUCGUGUUUCCCUCAAAGUGAUUGAUGAGUGUGUCCCACGCUUCCUUGGCUGAUUCACAACCCUGAAUGAUUUUGAAUUGAUCAAGAUCAACAGCUGAGAAGAUCGUUGUGAGAGCCUUAGAGUUGAACUUUGAUGCAGCCUUAUCAGAGUCAGUCCACCUUUCCUUGGGUAAGGGUCCCAUGGACUUGUCAUCCAUCACCAUGGUGGGAGCAGUCCACCCUUGUUCAACAGCAGUCCAUGCGUCUUCAUCUAUCCCUCGAAUGAUAUGUCUCAUUCUCGCUUUCCAAUGCCCGAAGUUCCCCUCAUCCAACAUGAUUGGUUUUUGUAGUGCAACGAGUUCCUUCAUAGUUUCCAUGAUUGUCGCAGGAUCUCAACCUGUGAGUAGACUCAAUGUGUCCACAGAGGUGACCCGCUCUGAUACCAAAUGCAAGAUCUAGGAUAACUAAAGUAAAGAACACUCAAGGAUUUUCAAACACAAACUUGUUUUAUUAAGAAUCUUUUAGACAAUCCAACAGGACUUAGUCUAAUCCGAAUGAUACAACGUCUAACCUGACUUGUGACGGACCAAUUCUUAAUCUACCCAGUGCACUAACGAUGACAGCUUCACCGUUUGCCAACCUAACGUGUACUACUGAACAAACCUCAGAGCACGUAGAAAUAGUUCUCAAAAGCGUAACCUCGACACCCUGUCGAGUUCCCUUUUUAUAUCCUAUUCCCUAAGAUAUCUAAUCUUCCUGAUAUCUCUCCAACAGACGAGAUCUCUGAUUGCUUCUCUCUGAAGCAAUAUCUUCGUAAUGGUUAUCUGCCACGUCAUUACCGUGUAACGGCUUUGUCACGCGAUAUGUCACAUACCGGUUCAACCGUGUAGCACUUGCCCUGCUCAACAUUGAACCGGCUCCAACUUGGAGCUAACAGAAGCUUGUUAAGAAAGAAAUAUUAAUGUGGUUAAUAUAAAAGCAGAUGGGGUCGGUGACUUUGUUUAUUUUCGACCAAAGUGACACUUGUUGAUACAUAAGUGCAGUGACCUUUAAUGUUAGUUCUGAAUGCAUUGAAAGGUGCAUAUUAUAAGUAAUCUGUUUUUAUCAUCAACAUCCACACUUAAGAACAUGCAUUUGGAUCAAUAACACGGUCUACUGGUACAUCAUGAUGAUAUCGACCAACUAUAGGUCAAUAGAAAGCACAAAGACCCAAACUUUAUGAUAAAAAACCAAUAGAAAUUGUUAGUAGAACAAAGCAUUAGGUAUUCGUAGACAUAUGACAAACUUCAAACAAAAAGGGAAAAGAAAGAAGAAAUCUAAUAGAAGACUAUCCUAACCCACCAGGGAGCAAAAGUUACUCGAAGGCCUAUGCAUUCUCCUUGCGAACCUCAGCUUCUUCCUCAGAUGUGUAGUCGUUCUUGAUGUUGAAGUGCGUGCGCAUCGCUUCCCAAGUCUUGCCUAUCAACAUAUCUGCCACAGUCUUACACGCCAGGUCAAGAAGUCCAGUGAUGUUUCCACAUUUCAUAGGUAGACGUGUGUAACUGUUUCGAUUAGAAGUUACACAUAUUUCGUGUUUGAUGUGGUUCUUUGAAGCUUAGCUCCCAAUGUUUACUAUGUCUGGCUGUCACCAUAUCAUAGAAGCUUGAAUAUAGGCGUACAUGUUAAAUUUAUCAUGGCUAAAAUUUCUUAAGAAGAGUAAAUGAGAAGGUGGGAAUUCUCGUUUGGUUAGCACACGAAGGUGUCACACGGCUGACUUUGUCCCAUCAUCGACUGCCAUCUCGACCCGUUACCUAGAAGACAUAAACAUUUUGAGUUGUGGACAUAUGGUUAGUCCGAUGACAUCACUUGAUAGGAGCUCUAGGGAACAUGAAUGCUACAAUGGUAAAGUGUUACCUGACGACAGAAAUGGUGGUGGUGUCACAACAUGUUGUGCAAUUGAAGGAUCAUAUUCGAGGCUGCAGUUUUUUUGGAACAUUUGGGACAUGAAAUGUAGCACCACCCAUUGAUAGGUUCGAUGGCCUCAACUUUACUGUUUCAUAGGGAGUCAACUGUCUAUGUGGACAAGAGGGAAAUAAUUUCUAUAAUGUGCGAGUCAGGAGAAUGUAUGUUAAGGUGGUUAGAGUUGUUGUGUACCAGUAUCUGCAAGUAUUGUCUUCUCAUAAAAACUCACAUUUUACAUCCUUUUAGCCUCCUUCCAAAGAGAGGUGCAAUGGAUACAAUCUUAGGCUUUAUUUGACUAACGCUUGCAAGGAAGGUUAGGUAGGUCAGUUUCUUGAAUCAAUCUUUGAUUCAAAAAAACACUCUGAACCUUAUAUAUACCAAACCAAUAUCUGCAAUUUACUUUCUAAGAGACUAAGAAAAUAUUACUUGUUUCUACUCGCUAUGCUUACACAAUGAUAAGCUUACAAACAUAUACCUAGCGUCUAAGGCUGGGAACGUUUUGCAGAGGCCAAGCUCUUCAGAAUAAGCCAGCUUCCAAGUAAACAUUCACCUGCAAACCAAAAGCAGAAAAUUGUAACAACCUGUCUCGUAGACCCCACCGAUCCCGUGGACCUCAAGUUCACAGACCUGCAGGGCACCGACCCUAACCCCUCACAUGUGCGCCCUCACUGACUCCUCCAUGUAAGUUAUUGAUGCGCUUGGCGUUACUCGAAUCCAAGAUCUCAUCCUUUAACAAAUUUCCAACAAGACAAGCUGUCACCGAUUGAAUUGUAACAUCCAUAUUUCCCGUAAUAAAUAAUAAAAAUAAUAAUCUUGAAAUCUUCAUUUAUUAAUCCUCAUAAAUCGUCUCUAAACUCUAUAAAUCCAAUAAAUAGCCAUAAAUCCAAAUAACUUAAUAGAUUCCAAAAAUAUCGAUAAAUGCAUAAAAACCGCAAGUCUGAAAAAGAAAGAAAUAAAACUUCCAAAGCACCAAUCCGAUAGCAAUCACUCAUGUUCAUUAGUCUCACCUGAAAGGGGAAGGAAAGGAGGGGGGGAGUAACAGGGAAGUUACUCCGUGAGGUAUGGGAUGCUAAACACGCAAACUACCGACUUGAGUAAAUAGAAUUCCCACUAUGGAAGUUUAGCUCUAACAUGAACAAGCAAGACGCUUAAAGCAUCACACAUACACAAAAACAAACAAUGCGAUGAUACCAUAUAUCUAGUCCAUACACCCCACAUCUCCUCAUAUGGAUAUAUAUACAUACGCUGCUUCGCUAGUACAGUCUGUCUCUGUACCCCCGCCCUCCAAAGCUGCAUCGAAUGCAAACGUCUCCGCACCCAUGCCCCAAACAAUCUGCAUCGCUAGCCCAGAUGUCUCUGAGCCCCGCACUCCAUAGUUGUGUCACUAGUCCAGACAUCUCUGAACCCUCCCCCCCCACCCCCCCUCCCCCCGCAAAUAAAGUUAUAAAUGUUGCUUGUAACACAAGAAACAAAGGAGAAGACUCCAUAACCUUCACGGCUUUGACUUGUCAAAGGAUCUUGAACUCCGGUGACAUAUAGUUAGGGAUGUUAUGUACAUGGUUAAGGUUAAGUCCUUCUUUGGGUUAUAUAAACCUAGCCCUGUUUUAACCCAACCCUAUUUUAACCCAACCCUAUUUUAACCCUACUUUUUGUUAAAGGUUAGGCUAGAUCAGGGUUAGCCUAUUUUUUUUUUUUUACAAGUCAAUAUAUUUUUGCCUAUCAAAUUUGACUUAAAUUUAAAUGUUAAAAACUGUAAGUAUGAUCAUGUAAAUGCAAAAUGUGUCUUUUAUUCAUUUUUGUCUUCACUGAAAUUAAAAACUAAAGUUUACAUUCAUGUUAAUGCAAACUCAUUUUAUUAAACUCUCCAACGCAGCCAAUACUUGUUGCUCUCCAAGUCUCUUGACUCUUGAGUCUCUUCAAACACUCGUUGCUCUGUAAGAAGCCAAAAACAGAAUCAGUUUAUCACAGCCAGCAGUAAGAUGCUUGAUUCAUGAGCUAAAAGCUAAAACAGUCAAAGAAGACACAGUCCGUGAAUGCUAUACGAUUUGUGAUGUAUGGGUUUGAGGCAGAAUCAAUCAAAAGUAUUCAAAGUAAACUCAAACACAAGAGCUAAGAGAAGACAAUCACAAAUUGCAGAACACACCUAAGUGAACAUAAACAAGUACAAGCACCGAGAGAACAUAAACAAGCUGAAACAAAACUGACAAAGACAAAGGCACAAAGAACCAAACAUAAUAUACAUUUAAUACAAAGGGAGAAUCCAAACUAACAUAGGGAGAAUUCUACAUUGGUACAAAAUUUACAAAAUAGACCCUCACUUUAGCCAAGAUAAGAGAUGAAUCAUGAAACUCCCAAAAACUUGGUAUGCAACAAGACUCGGUAGGUUAGGCUUUAGAAUUGGUUUCUUGUCCGAUUCUCCCAACGAAUGAAACCCUUAAUUAAGGUUUAAGUUAUAAAUGUUGCUUGUAACACAAGAAACAAAGGAGAAGACUCCAUAACCUUCACGGCUUUGACUUGUCAAAGGAUCUUGAACUCCGGUGACAUAUAGUUAGGGAUGUUAUGUACAUGGUUAAGGUUAAGCCCUUCUUUGGGUUAUAUAAACCUAGCCCUGUUUUAACCCAACCCUAUUUUAACCCAACCCUAUUUUAACCCUACUUUUUGUUAAAGGUUAGGCUAGAUCAGGGUUAGCCCAUUUAAUUUCUUUUACAAGUCAAUAUUUUUUUGCCUAUCAAAUUUGACUUAAAUUUAAAUGUUAAAAACUGUAAGUAUGAUCAUGUAAAUGCAAAAUGUGUCUUUUCUUCAUUUUUGUCUUCACUGAAAUUAAAAACUAAAGUUUACAUUCAUGUUAAUGCAAACUCAUUUUAUUAAACUCUCCAAGGCAGCCAAUACUUGUUGCUCUCCAAGUCUCUUGACUCUUGAGUCUCUUCAAACACUCGUUGCUCUGUAAGAAGCCAAAAAUAGAAUCAGUUUAUCACAGCCAGCAGUAAGAUGCUUGAUUCAUGAGCUAAAAGCUAAAACAGUCAAAGAAGACACAGUCCGUGAAUGCUAUACGAUUUGUGAUGUAUGGGUUUGAGGCAGAAUCAAUCAAAAGUAUUCAAAGUAAACUCAAACACAAGAGCUAAGAGAAGACAAUCACAAAUUGCAGAACACACCUAAGUGAACAUAAACAAGUACAAGCACCGAGAGAACAUAAACAAGCUGAAACAAAACUGACAAAGACAAAGGCACAAAGAACCAAACAUAAUAUACAUUUAAUACAAAGAGAACAUAAAGUUUCAGAGAUCCACAACGUUGAUAACUAAAAAAUUCUUGUUUCAGACACAUGAUAAACUAUAAAACCACUUAGACCCAUGAACUCUAGAUCGAUUUUCUCACCGAUGUCAAGGAGAGAGGAGAUUGCUCGACGGACACAACACGGAGGAUCGCGAGAGAGGAGGGAAGUUUUUCGAAAUGAAAUGAUGGAGAACUGGAGACGAAAUCGUGUCUCCCGAUUACAAUCAGGUGAUGAAGAACUGGAGAAGAAAUGAGAUCACCAUGAAGCGUCGAGCCGUCGAGGAGAGAUGGAGAACUAGAGAAGAAACUAAAAACUGCGCCGUUCUGAUUUGUUUUCACAAAAGAAAAAUAAAGGACUUUUGGGUUAAAAAAAUGGAUGCGGGCUGGGCUAACCCUACAGACCAAAACCCAUAUUAAUAUCCCUACAUGAAGUGCAUGUCCAGUGGCUCACCAUUGAUGAUGGUGAAGAACAACAACGGAAAUAUGAUGAUGCGGUGGCUCCGUCUCUUCUCCACGUCUACACCUCUCGUUUCCAUUACAUACCGUAGACAGAUCACCACAAUACUUCUAAAGGCAUGACUGCUCCUCCGGUAAUGAUGUCUAUGAUCUUAUGUGGUUUGGUACAGCUUGGACGGUGGCUACGUGGAUCUCCGGUGGCGGUGACUCAUAGAUCAUGGCCAUGCAAUAUGUGGCUGGUUGCGAUGGAACGCGAUGGCUCCGGUUACACUUUCUCAUUUCGUCUUAGUCAUGUUCCCAAUAACAUGAAUCACAACAACGAUGGUUUCUCCUAGGCCUGCGAUUCCGAACCGAACCGAAUGGUCCGAACCGAACCGAACCGACAUUUUGACAUUUUGGUUAUUGUUCGGUUACGGGGAGGAAACCGUUCGGCAGAGAUUUGUAUAUAGUUCGGUUAUUCCCUCGGUUCGGUUUGGUUAAGAGUAACCGAUCGGAAACCCGAGAAUCAUUAAACCUAGGUAUAAAUACUUCUCUUAAGCUUAAUGGUCGGUUAACCUUUUACUAAGCAGAUCGAAAACAUAACCUCUCUAUCUAAUCUUUAAAAUCAAUUCCAUUUCUCUCAAACCGAUCGAUUAAAAAGGUUAGUUCUUCUUCAAUCUCCAUCUUCUUUCUGCUUAUGAUUUGGGUUGGGAGGAUUAGGGUUUGUAUUUCGAUUUUGGGAUUUAGGAGAAUUUCACUUAAGGUAUUUUCGAUUUCACUUUCUCUCUAUCUAUUACCACGGAUUGUCUGUUGAUUUUGUAGAUUAGGUUUCUGUUUCAGAUCGAUUUUGAAACAUUUAGCAUUUAGGGAUUAAAGUCAAAAUCGAUAUGAAUUUUAUGAUUAGUGUUGAAUAAUGGUUUGAUUUAAGUGUGUCGAUUUUGUAGAACAUGGUCUUAAUUUUGUGUUGAAUGUUGAAUGAUGGUUUGAUUUUGUAUCUCAUUGUCUUAAUUUUUUUUCCCUUGAUGUAGAUGUCUGCUUAUGAAGAUAACAUUGAUGAUGAUCAACCUGAAGAAGGACAUGAAUCUCAAGCUGGUGGAAAGAAAAGGCCGGCUUCAGAGAGAUCAAGUACCGAACUGCCUCCACCUACAAAGAAGAAACAAGUUCACAGAGCAGAAGUGUGGCAACACUUUAUUCAGAGGGAAGAUGACCCGAGCAUAGCUAACUGUCGAUAUUGUGGUCAAGAUAUAGGCUGCGACUCUAAGAAGAGUGGAACAAGUGCCAUGAAAAAUCACAUAUCUCGCUGUAAGUUGCAUGAACUCUUUAAGUCUAGUGGGGGUCAGACAAUCCUAGGUGGUGAUAGUAGUGGUGUAGUGACUGCAGUGAAGUAUGAUGCUACCCUGUUUAGGAGAUCUGUCAAUGAGAUGAUUGUGUUGAAUGAGUUACCGUUUGCUUUUGUGGAAUCUGAAGGGUUUAGGCGUUUCUGUAAGAACGUGUUGCCUAUGUACACGGACAGCUCACUGGAUUGAAGAGAGGACAUUUUUGGGAUGUUCUUGAAAGAGAAAGAAGCGUUUAAGCACUUGUUCAGUUCUGAGCAGAAGAGGGUCUCUCUAACCACAGAUAUAUGGGUUGCUCCUACAACCUCUUGCAGCUACAUGGUUGUGACAGCUCACUGGAUUGACAGAAAGUGGACUAUGCAGAAGAGGAUUAUUACAAACCAAAAUCGGUUAGCAUAACCGGGUCGUUACAAUUCUUCCCCACUUACUAGGAAUUCGUCCUCGAAUUCAAAUCCUGAGUCGGCUUUUUAAUAGCAUCCUGAAAAAGCUCUGGAUAAUCAAUCCUCAUCAAAGUCUCAGUCUCUCAGGUCUCCUCAGAUCUUGUCUCUCUCAACAAACGUUGACCAACAUGGUCAACAUCCCUUGAACCUCUUUCACUUGCCGAUCUAUAAUCUUAACUGGCUGACAAGGCGCAAACAAUUUUUUCUCAAGAUCACUGGAUGACUGCUGCAAAAUGAGCUCUAGCUCUCUCACGAUUUUCCUCAAAACUGACACAUGGAACACUUUGAUGAUAACUGCAAUAUGUAAGCCACUGCUUCAAUCCGCUCCACAAUUGGGUACGGUCCCAUAUAUCUCGGUUUAAGCUUCUUUAGCUUCAGAGUCCUAGAUCCUCCCUGAAAUGUCCUCAUUUUCAGGUAUACUAAGUCUCUACCUGACACUCCAAGUCUUUACGGCGCUUAUCUGCAUAGCUCUUCUGACGGUCAUGGGCUUCCUUAAGCUGAGUCUUGAGCAUCUCUACCUGCUUUACUAUCUCCUCAACCAUUGCUGGUUCUAAGUCUUGCCGCUCCCCCACGUCUGUCGAACAAAGUGGUGUAUGACAAGGCCUACCAUAAAGCGCCUCAUACGGUGCCAUCUCAAUACUCGAAUGAUAGUUGUUGUUGUAAGCAAACUCUGCUAGAGGCAGCUUCCUUCCCAAUAUAAAAUGCAAGCUUUAAGAAUAUCCUCAAAAUUUUGAAUAGUCCUCUCUCACUGACUACAUGUCUGUGGUGAUAGGCUGUACUCAUAUGAACCUUUGUCCUAAGUUCCUUCUGAAAGGCUCUCCAAAAUGUUGAUGUGAAAUUUUGCAUCCUGAUCUACACAAUACCAACGAGAACUCCAUGUAACCUCACAAUCUCUCUGAUGAAACCUGCGCCAACUGAUCAUCACUGUCCGUCUUCUUGAUCGCUAGGAAAUGGGCUGACUUGGUGAGUCUAUCCAUAAUACUUACCGAUAUAGAUAUAUUCAAGGAGCCGCUAUGACAUUAGGUUGACUGUAGUCCAGAAGCUAAAGAUAGUUUAGUUGGUGUCCACAGAUCCAGCGGCAGCAAAAGCACAAACUAAGGAACAUAAGCGAGCUUGGUUCAAUGCGGAUCUUCGCUGGGAAGGAGAACACAAGCAUUAUCCUAAUAAGUUGCAUCAUUAUAAUGUUCAGGCGUUGACAAAGUUGAUCAAGCGAAGGAAUAGUCUGAUGGGAAGUGAAAUAGGGUCAAGUAGGAACCGACCUUCUGGAUGAAAUAUUGUCGAACAUGAGUCAGAACACUCCUUCAGAUUUUUAAGCUUUUCCUUCUCGACUACAAUUUUUAAGCUUUUUCUAACUGAAUUCCCUCCGGUGCUGAUCCGCGCUGAAAGGUUUUAGUAAAGUUUAGUAUCAUAUGUUUGAGAAGAAACCAAAGAAAAUACUCGUGAAAGAAAAUUGAAACUUGCAUGAUUUAAAAAAUGAGAACAAUUUUCGUUAUCAUUUCGACCUGACCAGAAGCGGUCCUGAGUAGUGCACUUUGAAGCUUUAAAUAAAUCUACUCAGAAUUCACAUAUGUACAUGAAAUAACUCACUGGCGGAUUUCUUGGCAUAAGAGACGAUUGACCCGAGGAUUGUCCUUCUCCAUUGUCUCCUCCGAGGCUUCAUUUCUUCAUGUCAAGAUCCAACUCUCAACCCUCUCCAAUUUAUAGGUUUGACGUGAAGGAAACAGAGAGGUCGUCAUCAUUUUUGGUUUCAAUGAAAAUAACAUUUAUUAGCGAAAUUAAGAGAAAUACUUUGAACAUAGGGAAGGUUAAGAGUUGUGAGAAGAAAUAAUUGUGUGUGUGCGUUCAAAGAUUAGCGGAGACGGCGAUAUCGAAAACUGGAAGAACGAAAAGAAUUAAACCCUAAUCUAUUGAAAGAGAAAACGCAGAGUUUGACUUAAUAUCUAACCGAACAUGGAGAACCAAAAUCAGACAGAACACCAAACCUAAUCGACUAAUCAUAACCGGUCAGAACGCGGGGCCCACAGUCUUUAAGAAAUCAGGCAACUCAUUAAUGACACGGAGGAUUGCUGUAAUUUUAGUGGCUGAUUUUCUAAUCCGAUGUGGCAUAGCUCAGAGGGCUUCAUAUGUUCUUUUUAGUAUUGUUUGAUUAUGUUGGGCUAUAGCCCAAUAUGCAUCCCUUAAAAUCAAACCUGAGUCCGCCACUGCAAAUAGUGACUUGUGUUUGUAGCUUCCAUUGGAGAUAGAUUUCAUCAUGGUGCUCUUUGUCCCAGUAGCAUUGUUGCUACAAAAGAAGAUAGGAGAUUUAGUAGAUUUGUAUUUUGGAAAAUUAAAAAUGUAAGAAUGAAAACGAUAGAGAAAGAGACACUUACUAAGGGUGGGCAUUCGAGUAUCCAUUCGGGUUCGGUUCGGAUCUAUUCGGGUUUUGGAUUUUCGGAUUGUAGCUAUAGACUAUAGUUUAUUCAAGUUGUAGAUAUGAAAAUAAUGGACUAUCACAUUGUCAGUCUCGUUCAUGACUCUUAACAUUUUGGCUAUCUUACAACUCCCCCCAUUCACUUGAUAUUUCGUAAAAAAAAAGAAAUUUGAAGUUUAUUCGUAAGUGUAUUGGAAAAUUUACAAUAAUGUUUAGAUUAUGAUAAUGUUUAAUACUCUGCUAAAUAUUUGAGUCUAUUUUGCUUCAAUUGAUUGUUUUAUAUUAUGUUUAAACAAUUAUUUCCUGAAUUAUUUACUUAUAUAUGAUAUCAAAAUAUUGAGCAUCAAAGAUGCUUGAGUAAAUUGCAUAAUACCAGACAUAAUUAUGAUUUUUCAAAUGAAACAAUAUUUUUAUUUUGAUAAUAAUUACAUUAUUUUACUUGUUCUUAUUUUUCUGAAUCUUAUACAUAUAUAUAUAUAUAUAUAUAAUUUAAGAAGUGAUUUUGCUGAUUUGUCACAGUCUCCAUGAUUUUAGAUAAUUUUGUUUAUUUUACAUAUUUUCAAAUAAUAGUAUGAAUAUAUCUAAUUAUUAUAAUAACUAUGAUCAAUUGGUAAUAACCUUUCAUUCAUUAUAAUUUUAACAUAGUUUAAUAUUAAAAAUGUGAUAUUUAUAUAUGCUCUACAUACUGUUAUUUACGUAAUAUUAUCUACAUUUUUUUUUUAUAGAAAUACUCUACAAAACAUACAAAGUUAUACAUCUACUCUUUAUCAUUUAUUUAAUUUUAUUUUUGAUAAGUUUAGUUGUCUAAGUAAUUUACUGCAGAAAUAUGAAUAUUUUAAUAAGUAUAAUUAUUUAUUUUUGUUUAUUUAGGAAUUGUGAUUUGGCUUAAAUAAUUCAGAGAUUGUCAAUGAUAAAAUACUUUGAUCAAAUGGUAAAGUUAAUUCCAAAGCAGUGGUAGUCGAUUAAUUUCUCUGAAUCAUAUCAUGCUAAGAAACUUGGAGGAUACUUGCUUUAUCUACGUAUUUCCAAACAACUAUGAUAUAUCACUUUAUUAUAUACCCUUUUAGAAUUAAUAAACUGCAAAAAUUAUAUUCGUGUUUGGUAAAUUUGUAUUCACCUCCCUUAUAGUAUAGAUUUGAAAGAUAUAGGUUUUAGUUUGGGGUUUAAUUUCCCUUACACAUAUGGGCAUAAUAGAUGUAAUAUUUGUAUAUACAUGAAUGUUUUAAAAUUUAUUAAACAGUACAAAAGUAUUUAUGUUAUGAUAAAUUUGUCAUAUAAAGAAUUUAAUAUUUAAUAUAUUAUUAAAUAAUUUUAAUGCAUGAAUAUUUCAAAAUUUAUUUACGCAGUAAAAAGUAUUUCUAUUAUGACGAAAAACUUUGUCAUGAUGUUCAACUUAUCACUAAAUAUUUCUAUUAAAAUGAUAAUGCAUAUAUUUAUCAAUAUUUGAUAAAAUACUAUGCCAGUAAGUGUGGACAAAAUACUUUUAACUUACAGUUUAAAAAAAAAAAUUAACUUUUAACUUAAGUAAUAAGUAGCAUUAACGUUCACAAUUUUUUUAACAACAUUUGUAACUAAUUGUUUUACCAUUCAUUUUAAAAAUUAUAUACUUGUUGAAGAUGGAUGUACUCUUGAGCUUUCGUUGAUGUACCCCUGACCCAACUGUAAUUAGAUUAUUGUCUGAGGCCCAUUUACAAAAAAUCAAACGAAACAAAUAUAUCCACGUUUGGACAUACUCCAAUAAGUUCAUAAUGUUAUUGAUUUUACCAUUUAUUUCAAAACUACAUGAAACCUUUGUUUAGGCCUUAGGUGAUUCUAUCUUUUUGUGAUGUCUAUCUCUUUGUAGCAAAUACAAUGAGACUUAUUAUAAGAAAAAAUGUAUACAGUUAAACUGGUCAAGUAGUGUUAACCCAGAAAACCAAGAUUUAAGAAAAUGGAGCCAAACUCAAAUUACUUAUAAGUUACAAUUAUAGAGAAAGUGAGUGACAAUGUCUGGAGAUGUUAGUAAUGGGGCUCCUCAUAUAGGAAGGUAUAUAAAGUUUGGAAUAGAGUAAUGGAGGAAAAUAUUACAUUGCAUCACAGUUCUUUAGAUAUAAAAGCUCUUUGGAAAUCAUUGAUUGUGGCCACUAAGUACUCAAAAAAAGAAAGAGAAAGAUCACACUAUUAGUUACAUGUUAGAAACUACAUAAGAAACACAUCUGUUAGAAUAUAUGUAGAUAUCCUAAUUGUUUGAGAUCAUGGGCAUGAAUCCAUUAGGGUGAAAGUCUAAAAAGUGAUGAAAGAUUUUAAAGUUUACGUUAGUUUCAAAAUGUAACUAUUUAGAUCUCACUGAAAACAGUGCUCAGAAUUCUUUUCCUUUGCAAUGCUUCUAUCCUUUAGCCAUCACUAAUAUGCAUCAUUUUAUCAGACAAAAAACAUCCUUAACAAUUAUUUCCACUAUAGCUUCAUAAUUUCCAGUUUAGCAAUCUAAAACAGCCAGCAAAACCACCAAACAAAUAGCUACUCUGCAUGGUAUAUCCCAAACUAAAGAGUAAAGAAAUUACCGUGGAACUGAGAAAAAUGACUUGGACACAUAACUUGAGAAUAAAGGUCGAUGCCAUUCAAGAAGUCAAGCUCUCAUCUUCCUUCAGUAUUUGCAGCUGCUACCUCUGUUCUCCAACUCCGACCGGGCUAUACAUGUAAACGAAGAGCAGCAGAAAUGGCAAAAAAGCUGCAUAAACGUUUCUGCUUGUCUAUUUUGGUAGGCCCAUAAAUCUGUUUGGUGAAUGAUGGAGGGGCUGAUGAGAAUUGCGAUUAAAGCUUAGAAAACCUAUUCAGCCACACCUUUAAAGUUACAUCACCUGGUGGCAUUGCUAAGCCUGCACCAAUGGAGUCAAACGCAGCGUUACGUCCGCUGUAAUACACUCUCAGUCAAACUCGAUGUCAUGUCAUCAUUCAUACACAUGAGGUAUGAACAAUAUAUACUUUUAAACACAAUGAAAAAGUAUUUCAAACUUCAAUGUUUUCUAUAUAUGUUGAACUUUUUGGACUACUAAAUUUUGAACUCUAUAAUGUUGAGGGAUAAUAGCACAUGACAUCAAAGAACAUGAUCAACUGAUAUGCAACUUUUGAAAAUGCAGAAGAGAGUUGAUCAAAUUACCUAUGUAGUCUUUGUACUCAGGAUCAACAUAAGAGUUCAGAAGCACAAAGAAAACAGUAUGAAUUCCUCAACACCUGCAAAAACCAAGACACAUCAAUUGCCCAAUCAUAUACUCUCGCCCAGAUCUGCAAAAUUAGAGCGAUAGCCAUAAUGUUUCUGAGUGGAAACUUGAUUUACCAAGAAAAAUAAAUUAAGAAUUACAUAGUACAUACAUGUAGCUCUCUUAGAAACUGAUUUGUUGCUAUUAGAUGACUUAUAUUAAUUAUUUCUUUCAGUACUCAUAUCUUAUGCAUGACAAAAAUACUUAAAACCUGUCAAAUAUUAUUUUGGAGCUAACAUUUUGAACAACCUUAAACUCAAGUAAUGGAUCUGCCAUGAAACCACCGGAAGACAAAGAGAAUUCCAGUAAAAGAAUACAGAGGAAGUAAGCAUACCAAAAAAAGAGGAAAGGAAAAGAUCUAAGGAAACGUAUGAUUGGUUCCGCAUAAUCCGUGGACUUUGUUUAUCGCCAUGGCUGUGGACGUUUUGAGAUCUCUGUGAAGCUUCAGGAAAGUUAGAUAAAAUCUCUGAGAAGACCUCCAUCGAAGGUCGCCACCGCAAAAGUCCUGAAUAUGUUCAUACCACCGCCGUAUAAUCUCAGUCAGUAUUAUGUUGAAUGUAUUAGUCUAAUCCUCUCAAACAUUACGCAAAUCCUAUAACAUAAAUUUUCAUAGGCCUAAAUAGCAAACCCUAAGGGAGUUUAACCGCGAGCUUCCGUUGGCCUGUUACCCGGAAGAUUGCGCUCGCUUGCUGUAGCUGGUCAAGGGCGGUCCCGACCAGCUUCCUCCGGUGGGGGAUCUCCUUUUUAAGGAUGAGUACCAACACAGAGAGACGAUUGUAAACCCUAAUCUUGCCGCUAAGUUUGUGUAGCUAAGUGUCGAUGCCUUUCAGAAUUUCCCUGCCUUCCCUAUAUAUAUAUCACUCUGUUACAGUCUACAAAAAAAUCCUUCACUUCCAUGACCAACAAAUCAGCAAUAUCAUCCUCCACAUUCACUACGCUAUGUUCUUCAGUUAUGUUCUUCUCGGCUUGGUAGAGGCAAAGCUUCUAUUUAGGAUCAUCCAUUUUUGGGAUCCCAGAGCACAGCGAGAGGAUACAUGCUUAUUGGUCUGGAUAUAAGGAGAGGAGGCGGAUUCAAAAUGCAUGUUCUUUCGACUACUGCAAAGAGAUUUCGUUUGUGAGAUUAUCAAUACCAAACUACUGAUUUGUAAUUUGGUCAUUUGUGAUUCGUUGAACCAAACUAUUCGUUUUCUUUCAAUCUCUGUCUUUUUCUAAGCCAAAACCUUAUUUUUGGCAUUUUUCAGAUUUAUAGGAACUUCUAGCCAAAACAUGGAAGACCUUGACAGUAUAUCGAAGGCUUGGUUCGAUUUUUGGAAAGAACGCUGAGGUGGAAACAUCUAGCUCCCAUUUCACAAACAACACCCGGUGAGUGAGAGUACACUUUCCCUUGCAUAUUUUACCUUUUUGGGACUAAGCCCUCAAGAAAAAUGAAAAAGUACAAAAUGAAACUCAUUGGUUUAAUUCACUUUCGUACAAAAUUUCUCAAAUUUCUAUGGAUUCAAAGUUUUUUUUUGGUUGAGCCAAGAACCUGAUCAUAGCUUCGUUUUGGUUCUUUAGCAAUGAUACGACGGUUGACGCUUUCGACACUUUCGUCUGCAAAAAUGGAGCCGGAAACCAUAUUCUGGGAGCUGUCUUUGUUGAACUCGAGACCAUUGUCAUCUAUGAAGUCUACCGGGACUUACUAGCAGCUUUUCAAUCAUGAGUAACUUAACUCUGGGAACAACUUCGCCAAUGGUGAGAGAAAAUUUUAUUUUUCUCUUCUUCUUACUGAUUAUUCAAAUGGUGAUUAGAAGUUAUAUAGUCGCAGUUGGAAAGGAGAUUGUGGACCUUUGUCUUAACAGUGUCAGAGAUCUUGCCGACAACUAUACAUGCUUGCAAGGGGUUAUUGGUCUUUAAUGCUGUUGGUGGAGUAACUGGUUCUGGUUUGAGAUAUCUGUCGUUAGAACCUUUGUCUGUAGAUUAAGGAAAUAAGUCGAAACUUGGAUCCACCAUAUAUCCUUCUCCUCAGGUACUUUUCAAGAAAAAUAACACAUUACAAAUUACAUUGAAAUUGGAGUUCUCCCAAAAGCUUGGUUUGAUGCAUUACCUUUUGAUCUCAGGUUUGUACUGCAGUUAUAGGUACCUUACAACGGUGUUCUCUUGUUGCCUUCGCUACUUUUAAAAUCUCUCAUAUUUCCUAAAUUUUUCAAGCUCGGUGUUGCGGUUGUAGUGCAUUGAAGUUUGAGCUAAUGAUCUCCCUCAAAUGUCGGCACAUAUUUUGACAGGGAUUCAUGUGGGCGAGAAAGUCUUAUUCCUAAGGAUUCAGUUAUUCGCAAAUGACAAUAUGCAUCCGUUCAUAUUCCAAAAGAGGCAAUACCCCCAAUAAGAGUAUGUUAUGCACAGGUUGCCCUCAAUCUCCCAAGACCAGUUUGUAGGCAUGGUCAGUUUUUUUUGGCUCUCUCACGACUCACAAAGCCUGUGAGAAUAAAAAUCAACAUUAUAAUAGGACAGUUUCAAGGCUCCUUAAGGUGUACACGUAGGCAAACGUGUGGGACCCACCUUAUUUAUUUUUUCCGGACCCCGUGGGCUAAAUAAAUGGGCUUCGUGUUUGUUCAUAGCUAUUGAAUGGGCUUAAGGGUUGCUCCUGCGUUUUGGUAAGAAGAAAGACCGAGCCCUCGGCUUCUUCCAGAUCCUUCACCUAUGGUCGAUUCCUCUUCGGUCUUAUCGGAUUAACUCGAUCUUUAUGGCUGUCUUAAGUUCCUCGGACGACGAAACGUCAACCUCUAACGCAUCCAGAAGAUCCUAUAUAUAGGUUCUUCAUGAAAUCAGGUAUCGCCCUCCUCGCUACUUUUUCCUCCCUUUUUUCAUCCUGUUUCUGAAUCCGUUACGAUAAUGGCUUCAUCCCCAACUCCAGUCGUUAAUGCCGCUGCCGCCGCCGCCGUCGGCAACCCCACGUUUUACUCUCUUCGUCUCGGAAGAUCUGCUUAAUCUGUUGUUGGUCGACUCAUCCGGUUUUGGGAUUCCCGCAACGUCAGCAAGAACGGAGAGUUUAUGGGGAUAACAAUUCUACUCCUCGAUGAAUUAGUAAGGAUUGUUUCUGACCCUGACUUUUUUCUUUUCGGAUUGUUGUCAUGAAAGACUAUUAAUCUUCUUUUAUUUCUUACAGGACUCAGUGAUUCAUGGUUUCAUUCCAGCUAAUCGGGCCAACCAUUACCGGUCCUCUUUGAAAACCGGUUCUAUUGUCAGAUUGGACCGUUUUGACGUGGCAAGGGUGGGUCACACGUAUAAGAUUACUGAGCAUCAGUACGUCAUCCGGUUCAUUCCUUCAACGCGUGUUGUUGAGGUCCAAACGGAUGCCCCUGUGAUCAAGAUGGACAAGUUUAUGGUUAGGCGUUACGAACAGCUUCAAGUGCUUGCGAACACCAGUUUAGAGCUACCAGGUCUUUUUUUUUCCUCAGCGAAACUUUGAAUUUCAUCAUAAUGUUGGUUGCUAAAGUAAUUUUCUGAUUCGCAGAUGUUGUUUGUGAGAUAAAAUCUGUGCAGGGGUCCGAUCUCAAGAACCAAACAGCCAGAAGCAGGGUUGUUGUCCGCCUAUUAAUUGAACCGUACGUUGUUUUAUACUUCCACUUAAACUUUCGUUAUAGUCUCAAAUUGUGUAGUCUGUUGGUCCACUUGAACUUUCGUUAUAGUCUCAAAUUGUGUAGUCUGUUGGUAGGAAUUAUAACUGUUUGGUUUUGUUUAUAUGUGUAGUUGAAACGUAUUCUUAUUGUUUUCAUAACAGGAACAUGACCGUGUUCAUGUCUUUAUGGGAUGAGGCUGCAUCAGCUUUUAGAGGUCUCUUGAAAGCUGGGGAUAAAUCACAGUCCGUGAUGUUGGUGACCACAGUUAAUCCUAAACUCUUUGGAGGUAAGAAUCAUCUGCUUUCUAAUCCAUAUAAUGUUUUUAUAUAUUUUCCUCUCAAGUUUAUUCUCUGUUCAGGGAAUCUGUAUCUCAAUUCCACACAAGGGACUAGGUUCUUCUUUGACACCAGUAUCUCUGAAAUAGCAGAGUUUGUUAGCAGGUAAGAUAAUCAAACUUAAAUAGUAGCAAAAUCUCAGCACGUUUUAAUCAUAACAACAUGCUAUAUCCAGCAUUGGAGCUACACCACCUCAAGAUUAUACAUGUGUCGACACGCUUGAAAGAGUCAAGAAAAAGGAGCUUGUGUCAAUAGGGGAUCUCAACACAUUCAUCUCGAACUCUAACGAACAGGUUGUUGUCUGCCUUUGUUUACUCCAAUAUAUAUAUUCACUUUUUUCUAUACUUUCAAUUGACUAAAAUAUUACUUCUGGGCAGACCCAAGAAGCUGAUUUCCUCUGCAAAGCCCAGAUUAUUGGUGUCAUUCAGGAAAAUGGGUGGUUCUUUGUGUCCUGCACUGGUUGCCACAAAAAAUUGGAAAAACGUGGGACGUCAUUGGACUGCAGCAGAUGUGCAACUUCUGACGUGACUGGUGUUGUUAGGUAACUUUGUGUAGUCUUUAACAUUUGGUUAAGCGGUUUCAUGUAAAUAUCCAUUUACCUGUCCAUUACUCAACGUAAGGUUCCGCGUUGAGCUUGCUUUUGAUGACGGCAAAGAUAGCACAACGUUUGUUGUCUUCGAUAAGGAGAUGAACAAGCUCACCAAACAGGAAGCUGCUGUGCUUGCCCUGGAUGAGGUAUCUCCAUCUUCCCUGGAACCAUUUUGGUUUCUGUACGCAUUUAGUGUAGGUCAAUAUAACUUGCGAUUACUGGCCGCUUGCUGCAGGUUUCAAACGGUGGAGAGGAGUAUCUCCCAAGUUGUCUUGAAGAGCUAUCAGGGAAGGAGUUUGUGUUUCAGAUCCGUGUAACACCUUUCAACUUCACUCCCAAUCACCGUACCUUCACCGUUGCCACCAUCUCUGAAGCUAGCGAGGUUGUCUAAUUUAACUUAUCACUAUAUUUACUGACUGGACUCUUUUUUAAAAUAUCACUUUCAUGUAUCUCAGACACACUCUGAGAACAGUGGAGUUGACACAGGAUUGGAAGCUUCGUCUUCGGGCCCGUCUGUUUUGGGAGUCAAGAUUAGUGAAGAACGUGCAUCAGGCAAUAAUCCAGGGAAUGAAGGCGCUCAGCAGAGACGCAAGCGUGGCCGUGAGUAAUUGGGAAAACAUAUUCCUACAAACCCGUCAUCAGUCUUAUUUGUCUUUUUUUUAAAAAACUUCUACUAGCUCUUUGACAAAAAAAAAAAAAAAAACUUCUACUAGCUAUGAUACUCAUUAUGAGCUUUGAUCUCUGUCGUUAUCGUUUUGAUUUCCAUGGAUAUUUUCUUUUUUUUCUGGAUUAUUAAUGAAUCUUUGACGGGUUAAAUUUGAUUCAUAAACCAAAGAGUACUGUUUCUUUAAAAAAUUGAUUUAAUAUAAAGAAAAUUGGCGGUAAAUCAGCCGGAAUAGGCUUAGUAUGGAUACAUGAAUCCGUUAGUUUGAUCAAAGUUAUAUUUAAUCUAGAUUGCUACAACAUGGUUGCACACUGUUACGGUUACUUACUGCACUAAAUAAUUAAUAAAUCUUCACCACUGUUUAAGGUGAGUUUGGUCUCGGAUGAAGUAAACAAUACUAAAAAUGGGUCGAACAGAGGCGUUUAUUAGAUUUCGAGACGAGGUUACAAAGGUGGAGAAAGUAAUGGCAAGCCGGAGCUCGUGAGAGCUUAAACCAGAAAAGUACAAAUAGCAGAGAGACGAUUGUAAACCCUAAUCUUGCCGCUAAGUUUGUGUAGCUAAGUGUCGAUGCCUUUCUCCUUUGCUUUCCUCUCCUUUUAUAGUCUGUUCGCGAUCGACUUAACCUAAUCUUCUUUAAAUCGAUUGGGCCUUGUCGGCCUUUCGGGCCUGGCUAGUGAAUGCUCGCCCCGAGCCGCUAAGUCGAUCGCGCUCUGUCAGCUCUCCGUUUCGACUAAAAGCAGUCCUUAGCUGAGUCGAAACCCCAAACAUCGGCUCCCGAGCCAACGACUAUUCAGCUUAUCGGAUUGGGCCUUUUGUUCGAUGGGCUUUGUGGAUGGGUUCAAUCCAUCCCCAACAGUAAGUCCCCCCCCCCAGUUCAUCGAUAGAUCGAGUGGUCGAUCCUCGAUGAAUUUGGUGUCUUUAGUUCGGAGGACAAAAGGCUUAAUCCGAGCAAAUGACUGGAACUGAUGUUUUCUCGAAGUGGAAGGUUACGGUUGCUGUCGAGGAAUCAAACCGUUGUGAUCGUGAGACGAACGCUUUUUGGCUGAGAAAACGAACCGGCGCAUGUGUCGAUCACGCGUCGUGAUCGUGAGACAAAUGCUUUCUUGGUCGAGAAAACGAACCGACGCGUUUGUCGAUCACGCGCCAAUAGGGUUUAGGCCCAUUUAGGCCUUAUUAGUCGUAAUGAUUGCGCCUUAAUCCCAGCGCUCGCCUUCCCCUAUAAAUAGCGCACCCCUCCUCGCUUCUUCUCACUUUUCUCCGCAGCGUCAAGGUACUUUCUCUCUCUACCCUCCUUCUCUCUCUUAAUCUUUGUUUUAGAACUUCGAUUAUCGAGAUGUCGUCGCCCCAAAGGUUAACUCGGGAGCAAAAGGGGAAAGAAGUAGCACUUGCUCGGGGUUCUUCCGAGGAUCCGGAGGAUAUUCAUCGCGAGGCGAUGAUGGAUACCAGGAUAUUUUGUUAUAUUUAUUAUAAUUAAAAAAAUAUUUUAAAAAUAAAUAGGUAUAUCAGUAUAAAUUAUAAGUUUUUAAUUCUGAUAUUUACAAUCUAAACCUAUAUAUAGUAAAAUUCUAUAUUUGUUAUAUCACUUGUUAUUAAAUACUAAAAUGUCAGAGAAUAAAUAGGUGAAAUUUGAUUUGAUUUAAUAGCAUGACAAAUAUUAUUGUAUGUAAUUAUUAUUUUUACAUUACUUUUUUGUUAGAUUUGCGGAUAAGAGUGGUUGUGGUUUCUAGCGGUUUUAAGUGAUUUGUAUGAUUGGUUAUGCGGUUAGAAAUUGGUGCGUUUGUGGGAUAUUUAUGACUGGUUAAAUACCAAAUGCAGCAGCUAUGUAAUAUAUGUUUUAACGUAUAUAAAAACAUCCAGAAUAUAUAUGAUAUUGUUAAGUUGGUUUAAAUAUUUGAAAAUAUAGAAUCAAAAGUAAAAUUUUAAAAUAGUUAAACUAUAAUCAAAACACCAAAAUACUUAAAUUAAUUAUUGAUUAUCUAUCCAAAUAUUUAAACCAAACCAAUUUAUAUGUUAAGUAUAGGUAUUCUGACAUAUGUUAUUUAAAUUUAUAUGUAAUUUAUUAUUUUGCUUAUAGAUUUUAAGAAAUUUAAAGUAUAUAAUGAAUUUUAAAAUUUUUAAAUAAUUUAAAUGGGUUAUCUGAACCCGAACUGAACCCCCAAAUAUCCGAACCGAACCCGAACUAAAAUUUAGAAAUAUCCGGAUGGGGCUAAAAUAUUUGAUCCCGGAAACCAGAAAACCAAACAUACUCGAACCGAAUCCAAAUAGAUACCCGAACACCCACCCUUAGUCACUAUUAUAUAUAAUAUAUGUGUCAUUAUAUAAUUAAUCGUAUUUUAUACGUACCAUCAUAUAAAUAAUCAUAUAUUAAUAGUAUUUUAUACAUACCAUCAUAGAAAUAAUCACAUAUAUUAUAUUUUUUAAACUUGAUGUGAAAUGAUGACAAAAAAAAUUGAUGUGAAAUAUAAAACCAUAAUUUAAGUUGGUAUAUGAAAUUGGGUGUUGCAUUGUAUUUUUUUAUAUAUAUUGAAAACAUUAUUUUAAUAAUGGUUAUUGAAAUAUUUUUGUAAAAAUUAAAUUUUAAAUAAAAAUAUAUAUAUAUAUAUAUAUUUAAAUCAGUUUUUGAUAUGAAUCAACUUUAAAUUAUUAUUUUGAUUUGAAAUAUGUAUAUAAAGUUGAAUUUUUGUUACUACCUUCUAGCUUUUCUGUUUGUUUGACGUCAAGUAUAUUUUUUCUCUUUUCAUUUGAAGGCUUUUAAAACCAAACUGAACGAUAAGUGCCGCAAUAAGCAAAACAUAAUUACAUGGUUAUAUGAUGCCAAAAAAAAAAUUACAUGGUUAUAUCUCCUUCAAUAUUAAAACCCAAAACAAGAUAGCAAAACGUCUCUACAACACGGUCACAAACUACACAAAAAGACGAUGAAGAAACAUACGUUUGUAGGGUAACAAAAAAACAUAACUAAAGAUAGCUAAGAGACAAAGAAGCAGUAUGAAGCAUCAAAAGCAGACCGGAGCAGCAACUUCUGUAUGUCCCUGUUACAAAGCCAUAAAACUUGUAUAAAUCUUCACAUUCAGAAUCAUUAAAUGACAGAGAGCUAACGAUUAGGCGGGGAUCACGAAACAGAAACACAAUCACAUAAAACGUGUUACACAAGCAAUCCCUAAAGUCUAAAGUCGUAAUAUAAACACACAAUCAUAAUCAAUGAAAGCUGAAGCAAACUGCACAUAAGUAGCUGUAGAUCCCAAAAAAUCCAAAUCUUUCAUCUUCAACACACACAAACCAUAAUCUAUAACAACGAAGCUGAAGCAAAUUGCGCAGGAACAGAUCCUUUAAGUCUAUCUUUCGUCUCUAACCCAAAAACGCAAUAAUGUAACUAUGAUGCAAUAAGGAGCAGUCUACAAGAAAGAUAGCAUAAGAUAAGUACCCAUUCAGUCGUCAGCUCCAUCAGCCUUUCCAGCACCAAAAGGGUCAUGAUCCGGACCCAAUUCCUCUCCCAUAUGGCGCUGCACCAGCCUCGAAAGAUCAGACAUCACCUUAGCCUCACGCUUAGCCUUCUCCUCGUAGUUAAACAUAGCCAACGCACGUUUGUCUUCAGCACUGUAAACCUGGUUCUCCUUCCUGAUACUAAUGGCAUUCAUCCUUUGAUGCCUACUCCCACUCAUGACAUACCCGAGAUCCUCAAACCUCUGAAUCUCAUCAGCGUUAAGACCCACUUCUCCUCUAUGUGGGAUACGUUUCCCUAGCUGAACGUACUGUGCUGUAGCGUCUCCUUCACCGGGUCUUAACGCACCACCGUAACUGAUGUGUCCUUCAGCUUUAGGUAAUGGCAUUGGACCCACCUCAGCUUCUUCUUCAUCUUCAAGAGCUUCUUCUUUGAUUCAUUAACCAUCUCUUUGAACUUCUUUUCUCCUCUUCGUCAAGCUCAGGCUCCUUCACAGAUUCUUCAAGUUUCGCCUUCAGAUCAGUGCCAGAACCAUCGCCUGACAGCUUCUUCCACCUCCUGCUCUUUGACCUGCUACGUUCUUCCCCAGAAGCACUAAUGUCGCUGCUCUUCCUCCUAUGUCCUCGCUUCUUUCUACUACUUCUGCUUCUUUUCUUCUCCUUACUUGUUCUCCGUCCCCUAUCUUCCUCGUCAGAACCAUCGCCUGAGAGCUUCUUCCGCCUCUUGAUCUUUGACUUGGUGUGUUGUUCAUCACCAGAAGAGAAAGCACUAAUCUCAAAAUCACCGGUUAUGAGGACUGUCAAAAUAUUCUUUAAACGGAAUUAGAUUCGAACCGAUUUCAUAUCUUAGAACUCCUAGAACCCUAGAAGUCCAAAUCGUGAUGCGGCUGGAGAAGAACUCGACGCCGACGAUCCCGGAUGCGGCUGGAGAAGAACUCGAUGCCGACGAGCCCGGAGAGUCUGGAGACGAACUCGACGCCGACGAGCCCAGACCAUCUGAAGAAGAACUCGACGACGAGCUCGGAGAGGAGGAGGAAGAGAUGAGAUAGAGGAGGAGGAGGAAAUGAUUGGAAUAUGAAGACCACGGUUCAAAAAAGUGACUUGUUUUAUCAAAAUGAAUUGAUUGGCUUCUCAACUUUUUUCAUUUGACGAUAUGUCAAUUUCACAGCCAUUUUAAGUGCUGAGGUGUCAUGCUCAUAAGAGAAACUAACCUAAUUAUUGUGUUGAUUUUGUGACCAAAAUUUAAAAUUAUAUAUUUGAAACUAAAUGUUAUUUUUAAAAGUUUUUUUUUUGUCAGCACUUUUAAAAGUUUUUUUAGUUGCAAUAAUUUAUAUGUGAAGAUUUCUCCCGAUUUCUUGAAGACAAACCUAAAGAGAGUUGCUUGUCUGAUCCUGAUCUUCCCUCGUCGACACUUGAAAUCGCGAAGCCGAUAAUAUAGCAGAUGACUGCAAAAUUGAAGCAGGUGAUGCUGCUUUGGCUCGAGGGUUUCCUAGAAGCUUGUUCUCUCCACCGUGUUGUAAUUCUCUGUCACAAGUAGGUUCCUCUGAUUUUGUUUCCCGAGAAACUUAGAUUUCCAUCUAAUCUCCCGAAUUGUUUUGAUUGGUAAUUAGGUCGCGAAAGCUCCUAUUACGAACGGGGCAGUGUUUUCUUUUGAAUGGUUUGAUUUUCUUAGGAAGGUAAAUGUCAACGACUUAACCUUUGUUUUCCUUUACCCAGUUUGGCUUGAAUUCGGGAUUACAUAUGAUCUAGAAAAAAAAAAGAUUUGAUCUUGGGAUGAGUUCAAUCAACUUGCAAUUCGGACAGGCUGAGACCUAAUUAAAAGAGAUUCUCUUUUUUUUUUCUCUUUGCCAAGAUUCUUUUGAUGUUGACUUGAGAGUUCUUCACAUGGUGUCUUAAGAUUCAAUACUCUAAGCUUAUCUUACACCUUCUUUUUUUUGAAUUGGUUUAGUUUGGGCGUCUUUAAGUGGUUUGUUAAUCCUGCCCUUGAGUGGAUAUUACCUGAUCCAUGCGCUCCUGUCACGUCUCAAGACUUUUGCUCGUAUAAUGGAUCUUAUGCCUUUCUACGUGGUGGUCUGUUGCAGCUAUUUUACGUAAGUUUACUGCUACCUUUUAGAUUUAGUGUAGUUUAUCGUUGUAUCAACUUUUUCCCAUUAGCUGACUUGGAAAGAACAUUUUUAUUACAUUGCAGGUAUUUUGGUUCUAUCCUAUGUAUAUGCUCAGCUUCAUCUUAAGUAACAUCUGGUAGCCUUCUUGCAUCUUUACCUUUGCUUUCUUAUUUUUUGCAUCUCGGAGUUAUUAUUACCAUGUGACUUAGUUGACACAGGAGUGAGAACUGCGUGUUGAAAACAAAUUUAUUCACCUUUCCAUUAUUUUUUUUCUGAGCAAUCCGUUAACUUUGUUUGUUAAGACUUUAGACUGUUUAGUUCGUUCGAUUGGGCUGUGAACUUUCAGGUAUAACGAUGUUGCAAAGUAUGGAUUCGAGGCAAUGGAAAAAUCUGAGUUAAGGUCGGCAGAAACAUUCAGGCAAUGUGACGUCCCUGCGUCAGUGAACAUGACAAAUGCUGAAAGGCCUUCUUCUGGUUUUGGAGGGUACUUGUCUACCAAAUCACUUCUUCAAAAUCAAAAAAGCAGAAACAAUUUUUAGGUGAUAAGCCAAUUAAUUUCCUUUUGGUUAAUUUUCAGGGUGAUGAUUGAUAUAGGAGAGCAGGUGUAUUCCAUAUUACUCCUGACAUUUUUCUUUAUGGAGGUAAAUUAUUUUGCCUUUGUUAACCUUCUUUGAAUGUAUGUUAACCUAAUGGGCUGUGCAAACUAGGUUUAUGUUGUUGGCGUUAUACCAUACAUUGGGAAGAUACUAAAUUUCUUACUUCUUUCAUGGAUGUAUGCUUACUACUGUUACGAGUAUGCUCUGUUCUCUCUCACCUUAUGUCAAUAAACAGAAUUACCUAGUGUCUUCAAACUCACUUAAAUACGUCUUCUUAUCGUAGAUAUAAGUGGAACUUCUUGGAGAUUCCUCUCGUGAAAAGGCUCGAGUUCUUUGAAUCUAACUGGGCAUUCUUUGCUGGUUUUGGUGAUUUUUCUUUUCUCCUUGAUUUAUUCCGUUGGCGACGUUAGUGUAAUUGAAAAACUGAAAGCUGGCUUUUAUUUGUUUUUUUUUUUUUUUUGUUUCAGGAAGCCCCGGCGUGUUAGCCAUUUUCUUUCUCUCUCCUCUUGUCAGCGGAGCGCUUAUGGCCAUACUGUUUCCAUUGGUAAACUUUUUGCGUUCAGUCAUUAACUCAGUGUCGUUAUAUUCUUGUAAACUAGUGUUAACAGAAUGUACGCAGUUUGUUUUAACUGCUACAGGGUCAGGACCUGACAAAUCUAUCGUUGCCCCAAGAGGAACUUGGAAAUGUGCAGGUUUAUUGAGGCUUCCAAUAUUCUAUGUAGCUAACACACUCUCGUAAGCAAAACUCUCUCUCUUUAACUUCUACUGAAACUUUAAGCUUUUAAUCUAUGAUGGUAAUGCUUCAUAGCUUUAUGUUGCAUAUAUAUUUCCUUGGGUAAUCUAGGAUGCUGGCGUUGUCCAUCUUCCGGUUGGAGUCCCUGCAACAUGAGAAGACAGGCUAAGGCUACUGCAUCUCUCAGUCUUAUGUCAAUACUGCCGUCUCGUUGAUUUCAAGUGGUCGUGCUUCAGCAAUUUAGGUGUGGCUUUGUCGCAUAGUUAUCUGAUAGCAAUGCAUAUGAUAGACACUAUGCUGCAAACUGCAAAGCAACGAAUAUGAAAGAAGACGGUCAUGUCGGAAGUAGAGUUUGAUUGUAAAUUAAUAUAAUCCACAAAUUAUAAGUAAGUCGGCAUACAUGCAGGUGUGCUGUUCGUUUACACAUCGAUGUUCGUACAGUGCAGCUAAAUGAUCUAACCGACUGACUGCGUUUUUAAAUCAGUUAAAUGUGUUGUUCGUUUGUUUAUCGCGGGGAUCCAUCUGGAAUAUUAGUUACUUUAGUGCACUUAAAUGCAAGAUCCAGAAGGAUCACUUAAUCUUCAAAAUUUAACUGAAAUUUUCAGAUAUAUAUAUAGUUCACCGCAGAAUGACAAUAAAAAUUAGGCUUUUUGCAUGACUCAAAACACAAAGUUAAACCUAAAAUUAACUCAUGUUCUUUUUUGGAUAUAUAUUUUUCUUUUGUCUUAUUCACCCGAGAAGUUCAUAUUAUUCACGAAAAUAACAUUGUUUUUUUUGUUUUUGAAAAUGGUAUUUUUACUCUCUCAACCUCAUCAUUUUCAAGUAUUUACAAGAGUAUUAUUGCCAUCAAUACAUCAACCACCAUGAAAAACCAAUUUGAAACUGUUAAUGCACCUCAAAUCGAUUUACAUUCAUUCUUUCUCAAUUCUUAUGAAUUAAAAACAAUAUUUCUUUCACUUUCUCUUCAUAUUCAUAAAAAAAAACCCAAGAUUUUGAUUCUAAUUUUUUUAUGGUUCAUAGAGCCAUUGAAGCUCAUGAUUCUUGAUGGGUCACUUUUGUUUGAGAUUCUGGAUGCUUGGAAAAAACUUUUGUGUGCUAAACAAGUUAUCUCAUUGGUUGAAACUAUGAAAUUAGUUUUUUUUCAAGAUCUGUUCAUCCAGAUGACUUCCGGGUAAGUCGUCUGGGUGUAAACGAUUUACAUGGAAGCCUUCUGGUCAAUGUAGAUGUUAGUUUUGCAAUUGACUUUUAAAUGAGUUUUUUCUAGACGACUUACAUAGAAUUCGUCUAUCUUUGUUUGUUAAAAAAAAAUUCGAGACGAGUUCCAUGUAAAUCGUCUAAGGUAAACGAGUUAGAUUUGCAUUUGACCGGAUUGUGUCAGAAAUUUGACUUUUCCAUGUAAGUCGUCUAGUAGAAAAUUAAAAAAAAAAUCAAUAUUUUGUUAUACCUAGACGAAUUCAAUGUAAGUCGUCCCAUGUUAGUUUUGCAAUUGAAAAAUAAAAAAAUAUUAUUUUUGUUUAGACGACUUACACGAAAGCCGUCCAUGAUUUUAUUCUGAGAUUGUGGUCAAACCUUGCUUAUCUUGGACGACUUCCAUGUAAGUUGUCGGAUGGACGACUUUCGUGUAAGUCGUCUUAAAAAAAAUAUUUUUUAUUUUAUUUUUCAAUUUCAAAACUAACCUAUGACGACUUAUGUGGAAGUCGUCUAGGUAUAACAAAAUAUUAAUUUUUUUUAAUUUUCUACUAGACGAUUUAUGUGUAAGUCAUCCAGGAAAAGUCAAAUUUCUGAUACAAUCCAGUCAAAUGCAAAACUAACAUGUUUUCCUUAGACGAUUUACAUAGAAAUCUUCUCGAAUUUUUUUUUUAACAAACAAAGAUGGACGACUUCCAUGUAAGUUGUCUAGGUUAAAAAUCAAUUGCAAAACUAACCUAAAUGGACGAAUUAUUAGAAGUCUAUCAGACGACCUCCGUGGAAGUCACAUGCGUCAAUGUUUAAUAAACUUUCCUUUCUCUAAAAUUAUAAAGACUUUUAAAAUUUGUUUUGUUAAUUUGUGUAUAUUAGUCAAUACUGGGGCUACUGAAUGAAAUUUAUAACUUAAUUGGUGAUAUUUAUGAGGUUACCAACAUUCAUGCUUAGUAAAGUUUCUACCUAAUUGAGAACACUUACACAUAAGUCUUCUACGUUAGUUUUUGUAAAUUUGUUAUGCAAUUUUAAGAUAUGUUUAUUUAAUUUUCAAAAGUGUUAAGUAAGUUCAAGAAUAUCAAGUAACAUGUUUUAAUGUGUCUUCUUAGAUCAUAAAAUAUACUUUUUACUUAUGUAUCUAAUUAAAGUGUUCUAUCUUUGAACGUAUGUGAUGUUUUAUAUUUUGUAAAUUCGACUAAGUUUUCUUUAGACUUCUUCUCCCUUAGUUGUAAUAAAUUUGAUUAAUUUUUUGUUUUAUUGUGUUUUGCUAUUGAAGUUGUAUCAAUAACUUCAAUUAUGUCAAGUAAUUUUGGCAAGAUAAUAUUGUGGAAAAUGAACAUAUUUACCAAAUAUUUUUAUUAAUAUCUCUUCAAAUUUACAAAAAAAGUCACAACUAAAUGAGUAUACAUGCAAAUUACAAAACAUACUACAAACAAAACAAUUUUUGAUCAUUCUUCUACAAAGACAAGCUUAGACACCACUUAAUAUGGAAGAAGACUCCGUUAGAAGACUUACAGGAAGUCGUCUGGAAGAUUUCCAAGAAGUCGUCUGGAACACUUCCAAGAAAUCGUCUCGAAGACUUUCUGGAAGUCGUGUGGAAGACUUCUUUGAAGUCGUGUGGAAGACUUGCUGGAAGUCUUCUAACGCAUUAUAUUUUAGAAAACUUGUGAGAAGACUUCCUAUAAGUUUUCCAAAGUCUGAUCCAUAUAUGAAAAACAUGUAUAUCAAACCCAUAUCUGAAAAACAUGCAUAUCAUAUCAAAAAACGUUCAAAUGGCUUAAAAACAGGGAAAAUGAGUGGAAAAUUAUAUAGAUAUACUUUUAUAGAACACACAAAGUACAUAUCAAAAUGGAAGAUGAGAACCAUCUGAUUAAAAUCCUGCAACAAAAAGAUAUAUUAGUGAGAAAGACAUGAGACAAAAAUGAAAAAUCCAUAUAAAGUUUAGUGUUUUCAAAUCAAAGAGAUUAUAGUGGGUUUGAAGAGUUUUAGUUUGGGAAAAAGGUAUGAACUUUAUGCAACAUGAGGUUACCAAAUGAAGAAAAAUCAGACAUAAAAACUUACCAGAACGCUCAUAUCUGUUAUGAAAGAGAGACACGGGAGAAGACUCCGUGAGAAGACUUCCUGGAAGUCGUCUGGAAGACUUCCUGGAAGUCGUCUGGAAGACUUCCUGGAAGUCGUCUGGAAGUCUUGUAGCCCAGAAGUCUUCCAGAUCUGAAAAACCUGCAUAUCCAAAUCCAGAUCUGAAAACCUGCAUAUCCAAAAACGUUCAAAUGAGUUAAAAACAGAAAAAUGAGUGGAAAAUUAGAUAGAUCUACCUUUAUAGAACACAAAAAAUACAUAUCUAAAAUUAAUAGAUCUACCUUUAAAUAAGUGGAAGAUGAGAACCAUGUGAUGAAAAACCGGCAAAAACAAGAAAAAUAAGUGAAAAAGACAUGAGACAAAAAUAAUAAAUUGAUAUAAAGUUUGAUGUUUAUAUGUUUAAAGAGAUUAGAGAGAGGUUGAAGAGUUUUAGAAUGAGAAGCAUUAUAUUUUUGUUGCAGCCAUUUGAGAGGAAAAAAAGAGAAUGUGUAAAUUUUUUCUAUAUAUAGGGAGACAAAAAAUUUAAUUAGGUUAAAUAUUUUCGAUUCUGAAGACUUGCAAGUAAGUCUUACUUGUAAGUCGUCCAGAAAACUUCAAUAUUUUUAGCGGAAAACUAAAAUAUUUUUAGCGGUACCUCAGAAGACUAAGAUGACUUCCAGUAUCUUAGAAGACUCAGACGACUUACCAAACUAUAUUCUUAAAAAAGAGUUUUGUGUUUUUUUGUUUGGUCACAAGGGGUUGGGUGUAUUUUCACAAGGCUUUAGGCUACUGAAGUCUAUUAUUUCAUAUGAGAGAUCCAAAGAUAAGAAAAAUGCUACUGAAGUCUAUUAUUUCAUUGAUUUGUAAAUGUGUAAACACAUUGUUAGCACAUGUAUUACAUCUUGGGAAACAUUAUUACUGAUUUUACAAAAAUUUACAACUAAAAGAGUAGACAUGCAAAUCACAAAACAAACCACAAACAAAACUAUUAUAGAUCAUUCAUCUACAAAGACAAGCUUGGACUCUAUUUGAAGUCUUCUGGACGACUUACCUGGAAGUCGUCUGGAAGACUUCCUGGAAGUCGUCUGGAAGACUUCCUGGAAGUCGUCUGGAAUACUUUCUGGAAGUCGUCUGGAAUACUUCCUGAAAGUCGUCUAGUGCAUUAUAUUUUACAUGACUAACAGGUAAGUCGUCCCAGAAGUCUUCCAGAUCUGAAAAACUUGCAUAUCAAAUCCAGAUUUGAAAAACCUUCAUAUAAAAAAACGUUCAAAUUGGUUAAAAACAGAGAAAAUGAGUAGAAGAUUAGAUAAAUCUACCUUUAUAGAACACACAAAAAUACAUAUAUAAAAUUAAUAGAUCUACCUUUAAAUGAGUGAAAGAUGGAUAACAUCUGAUUAAAAAUCUGCAAAAAAAAAGAUAUAUUAGUAAGAAAGACAUGAAACAAGACUGAAAAAUUCAUAUAAAAUUGGUGUUUUCAAGUCAAAGAGAUUAGAGAGAGGUUGGAGAGUUUUAAUGAUGACCAUUACAUUUUUGUUACAGCCAUUUGAGAGGAGGAGAUAUAAUGUGUAAAUUUUUCUUUAUAUAGGGAGACAAGAAAAUCUAAUUAGGUUAAAUAUUUUUGAUUCAGACGAAAGUCGUCCAGAAGACUUUAAUAUUUUUAGUGGGAAAUUAGAAUAGCGGGAAACUAAAAUAGAAGACUUCCCAGACGACUUACAAGUACGUCGUCUGGUUUAAAUUGUUUAAGCGGAAAAAUAACUUUUUAAAAUUUUUUAAAGUAAUUUCUUCACCAGACGACUUCUGUCUAGACCCUAAACAUAACCCUUAAACUUAAUUAACUAACUAAACACUUCAUAAAAUCAAAUUAAACUUCAAAAGUGUUUACUAUACACAAAAAUAAACAUGUAUAGGUAAAAAUUUAAUUUAUCAAAAAAAAUAUUCAAGCUUUGCAGAAUCCAACCCUAAGAAUACAUACAAUACUACAAUAUAUGUUGCCAAACCCUAGACCAAAGAAUACCAUGAUUCACUACUUACACUCAUCUAUGUUGAAAACAAUUCAAUUUUGUUAUAUUUUAAUUUAUAUCACUUAAAAUUGCUUAUAAUUACAUGAUUUUAAUUUUUCGCUUAUCAAAAUAUUUUUUUUAAAAUUAUUUUUAAGAUCAGUUACACCAGAAAACUUACUUUGAAGUUGUCCAGACGACUUCUAACAUCUCAGACGACUCAGACGACUUACAUGAGCUAUAUUCGUAAAAAUAAUUUCUGUUUUUUUGUUUGGUCGCAAAGGACUGGGCUGUAAUUUCACAAGGCUUUUUAGGUAAGUUUUGCAUUUGAUUCAAAUUUGGGUAUAGGUUUGAGGUUAAAUUCAAGUUGUGGGUUAGUUUUGACAAAUUUCUCUAAAUGUUAUCUCCUAAUAUGUAGGACUCAACUCUAUAUCUUAACGUUGUAUAUAUGUCGAUCACGAGUCAAUGAAUAACACAUCAGAAACACUUUGACAAAUUCCCCUAAAAAUUAUACUCUUUAAAUAUAAUUUCAUAAUUUUUUAAAAAAAAUUCAGAUCUGAGAAAAUAAUGUUUUUGGUCGAUAAUAGAAACUCACAUUUUCCGCUAAAACCCUAAGAAUAGACAAGAAUAGAUUUUUUCACCAAACUUGAAAAAAACCACAUUUUCUUCUCUAAAACUGAUUUUCUUUUUAUUUUUGUGUCAAAAUUGAAAAUAACAUUUUCUACGAAAACUGUAAUAUUUAAUUUUUCAGUCAAAUCCGUAACAUUGUAUUCAUAUGCCAAAAUAAAUCCGUAGAAUCAUAUUUUUAACUAAAACCAUAAAACUAUAUUUUUUUGCCAAACUUGCCCAAUUUUUAUUUUCUGCAAAAUUUUAUAACCGGAUAUCCUCAUAUUCCACAUCUCAUUUUUUUUUUUGCCAAAAAUCAAAAAUCAUAUUUUUUUACCAAAAUCAAAUUUUCCUUCUAAACCACAAAAUCAUAUUUUAUGGUAAAUCAACAAAAUAAAAAGAAAAUUUAAAAAUAGUUUACUUGUAAAAAUAUAAAUAAAUUUUAGAUCAAUCCAACAGAAAAUUUCAUAUUAAAUCCCUAAGUUAUAAUUUAAAAUUUCAAAGAAAAAUUAAAAUAUCUCAUUCUUCCUAUACUGCAGCGUAUAGUAAUUUGACGCAGCAGACUAGCGUGUAAGUUGAGUUUAUCUCUUCUAACAUUAUAGUUUUACAUAGAUAAUGUAAAAGCCGGUAAACCGGACUGAUGUAAACGAUAUAAUAAAAGCGAAGUUAAGGAAAUAGACGAAUAUAGAAAACGAAUACGAGAACGAUAAGAAAUCGUAUUCGCAGCGAGACAUAGAGGCGAGAUAUGAUCUCUUUCCUUAACUCAAAAUAUUCGCUCCGUUAGUGAGACGGGACUGUACGAAUAUAGAGUCCCAGGAUACAACCAUGGCAGACGAAUCACGCCUCACUCGUGAUCGCCCUAUCGAACUAUAAACUCUACGAAACACUCUCGUUUUUAUGACUUACGCUAAGGGAAUUUUGAUGCUGGUUUCGAUGUGAAAAAGUUGAAGAAAAUGAGAAGAGGAGAGUCCGUAUUUAAAGAGAAGACUAGGAGCGGUUUUUCGAAAUUGUUGCGAACGUUUUUUCCGAAAAUCUCGCAAAGAUCUCGGAGUGGAACGUUGAGCAGCUUUCUCCGCAAGUUUCUCUCUUGUUGACUCGUUCUGAUCCAUUUCGAACAGAUAAACUUCGUGUUGUUUUUAAACGAACUACAUGUCGUUUAUACACAAAUGUCAUGCUGUUUUUAGAAAUAAAAUGGCAAAGCGUUGAGCUUAACUUGGUCAAAAAAGAAUACUUCUUAUCGGGCCAAAGGCCCUCCACCCAAGCCCAAGCCCAAGCCCAAGCCCAAGCCCACGCCGAGCCGAGCCGAGCCGAAUUUCAUUUCCUCAUAUAUAACACAUGAUAUCAAGUGACCAUAUAUAAACACCUCAUUUCCUCUUGUUCCCACCGAUAUGGGACAAGUCUCUUCUUCUCAUUAUUAUUGUUUUUGGGCUGUUGAACACACAUGCCCAUGUCAUUUAUUUUUUACAAUUUCCAUUAAAGCCCAAUGGCUAUAAAUGGAUCCAACAAUCCCCCACAUGAAUAGAAAUGACUCUUCUAAACAUAUGCAGACUAAAUGCAGACUCGAUAGACUCUAAAAACUAUACUUAUUCUAAUCCUUACUAGACUGGACAGACUUAUCGAGAGUGUUUGCGAAAAAUUCACUGUGUUUGAAUUGGUGGCAUUUUUAAGCCUAUGCUUUGGUUAGAUUCUGUUUGAUUUUGUUUUCCCUUUGAACCUACGUCUUGGGAUCUCCAGUCAUGAUAGGUAGGGUUGCAAUCAAGCAUCCUCAUUCGUUAUAGGCUUUAAACCCAUUCCUUUUGAUGAUUUAGCAACAACAUCUCGUGGCAAACCUUUAGUAAAUGGAUCCGCUAGGUUGUCAGCCGAUUUGAUGUAGUCUAUUGUGAUUACACCAGUUGAGAUAAGUUGUCUAAUGGUUUUAUGUCGUCUUCUGAUGUGACGAGAUUUACCAUUGUAGAGAUUAUUCUGAGCCCGAGCUAUUGCUGAUUGACUAUCACAAUUUAUGCGUAUAGCUGGCACAGGUUUCUCCCACAUAGGGAUAUCUUUCAAAAAAUUUCUAAGCCAUUCAGCUUCUUCUGCUGCUUUGUCUAAGGCUAUGAACUCAGAUUCCAUGGUUGAUCUGGCUAACACUGUUUGUUUGGUAGAUUUCCAUGAUAUUGCUGCUCCUCCUAGUGUAAAUACAUAUCCACUUGUGGAUUUUGAGUUUUAGAGUCUGAUAUCCAGUUAGCAUCACUGUAUCCUUCUAAAACUGCUGGUUUUUUACCAUAGUGAAGCCCAAAAUCUUUGGUGUAGCGCAAGUAAUUGAGUACCCUCGUUAUAGCUUUCCAGUGUGUAUGACCUGGAUUACUUGUAUAUCGACUAAGUACGUUUACUGCAUGCGCUAGAUCUGGUCUAGUACAAUUUGUCAAGUACAUGAGACUUCCGAUCACACGUGCAUACUCGUUUUGUGAAACCGCUUCACCUGAAUUCUUUGUCAAGUGCAUUUGGGGAUCUAACGGAGUUUUUGCCGUACUAUUAGAGUAAUUUUUAAAUCUCUCUAAUAUUGUUUGAGCAUAAUGAGAUUGGGUUAAGAUAAUUCCGUUUGAAUUUCUUGUGACUUUAACCCCGAGAAUUACAUCUACUAAUCCCAAGUCUUUCAUCUCAAAUGUCCCUUUGAGCAUGUUCUUUGUUUGAUUGAUAAUGUCUUUAUUGCUUCCAAUAAUGAGCAUAUCAUCUACAUAUAGACAUAGCAAAACAUACGCAUUUUUGGUAGUUUUGUAGUAUAUGCAUUUGUCACAUUCAUUUAUUUUGAAACCAUUUGACAUCAUUGUAUUGUCAAAUUUUUCGUGCCAUUGUUUAGGAGCUUGUUUAAGCCCAUAAAGUGACUUUACAAGUCGACAUACUUUGUCUUCCUGUCCGGGAAUGACAAAACCUUCAGGUUGUUUCAUGUAAAUUUCCUCUUCUAAAUCACCAUUUAGAAAAGCAGUUUUUACAUCCAUUUGAUGGAUUUCUAGGUCUCUUAAGGCUGCGAUUGCUAUCAUCAGUCUUAUUGAUGUUAUUCUCGUCACUGGAGAAUAUGUAUCAAAAUAGUCAAGGCCUUCCUUUUGUCGGAAUCCUUGAACUACAAGCCUAGACUUGUAUUUUCCACCAGGUUUUCGUGUCAUUAUCCAUUUAUUCCCUAAUGCUUUGCAGCCAGGUGGUAAAUCCGUUAUGUAAUAAGUAUAAUUUUGCAUGAUCGAAUCAAAUUCACUCCUGACAGCUUCGUUCCAAAAUGGAGCUUCUGGUGAAGCCAUGGCUUCUGCCAAAGUUUUUGGAACAUUUUCUACUAAAAAUGCCAUUAGGAAAUCUUCUCCAAAAGAUUUUUCUUUUCGAGCUCUUUUGCUCCUUCGAGGUUCAUCUUUUUCUUCAUUUUCUGAAAUAUCAUUUAUAGAAAUCUCGACGUUUGUCUCAGUUUCUGAGUUUUUGUCAUUGUCUCUUUCUUCUCGAGUUCGUUUUGAACCUUGUUUUUCCUUAUAUGGAAAAAUAUUUUCGAAGAAAGAUGCAUUUCUUGAUUCCAUGACUGUAUUUUCAUGAAUGUCUGAUAUUUCAGAUUUAUGUACCAGAAAUCGAUAAGCAUUACUGUUAUGUGCAUAUCCGAUGAAGAUGCAAUCCACUGUUUUAGGUCCAAUAGUGACCUUCUUUGGUGGCGGUACCGCAACUUUUGCCAGGCACCCCCACACUUUGAGGUAUUUAUACGAAGGUAAAUUACCUUUCCAUAAUUCAUAUGGAGUUUUGCCAGUUACUUUGUGUGGAAUUUUGUUGAGGAUAUAAUUAGUGGUAAGCAAUGCUUCCCCCCACAUGUUCUGGGGUAACCCAGAUUCCUGCAACAUUGCAUUCAUCAUCUCUUUUAGAGUUCGAUUUUUGCGUUCAGCAACUCCAUUAGAUUCUGGUGAGUAAGGAGCUGUAGUUUGAUGGAUUAUUCCAUGUUCUUUACAGAAUGCAUUGAAUGGACCAUCAUACUCGCCUCCUCUGUCGCUUCUAACUACUUUAAUAGUUGUUUUAAGCUGAUUUUCGACCUCGAGUUUAAAUUCUUUAAAUUUUUCUAAGGUUUCGUCUUUGCUAUGUAAUAAAUAUACAUAACAAUAUUUUGUGCAGUCAUCUAUGAAGGUCACAAAGUACUUUUUACCACCUCUAGUUUGUAAGUAUUUUAAAUCACAUAAAUCUGUGUGAAUUAAAUCUAGAGGUUUAUUAGUUCUUUCAACACGAGGUGAUGGCGUUUUCGUGAGCUUAGCCUGUACGCAUACUUCACAUUUUUGUUUACUUGUUUUGCAUUUAGGAAUUAGAUUUAAAUUCAUUAAUCUUUGUAUAGAUUUGUAGUUUACAUGGCCUAAUCUUUCAUGCCAUAUAUUAAAAGACUCAACCAAAUAAGCAACUGGCUCUUUCUUAUUCAUUGAAACUUUUGAAGCUACAACUUUCGGAGGGACUGUCAUUACAUUCAACUUGACAAGUCCACCCUUAACAUACCCUCUUCCCAAAUACAUCCCAUUUUUCCUAAUCACGAGCUUGUCCGCCUCAAAAUUUGUGGCGAAUCCAUUCUUGCUGAGCAAGGUUCCCGAGACCAGGUUCUUCCUCAUGUCAGGCACAUGCUUCACAUUCGUCAGAGUGACCUCAUGUCCAGAUGUCAUCUUCAAAAUCACAUUGCCGCGUCCUUCAAUCUUGGAGACUGCAGUGUUUCCCAUCUUGAGCUUCUCCUCAGUCUUGCUUUUCUGAUAGGUGCUGAACAUCGCCCUAUCGGUGCAAAUGUGGGUGGUUGCACCAGUGUCAUACCACCAUUCCUUGGGGUUGUUGCUUUCAACCAUGUUGGCUUCAGUCACCACAGCAACGAGAUCCUCCUCUGUGAGAUUUGCCUGAGCCUUCUCAUCCUUGAUCUUUUUGCGACACUCAACAGUCUUGUGCCCCACUUUGUGGCAGUAGUGACAUUUCCCCCUGAACUUCUCCACAUUCGCAUUCGCAUUGAUUUCAAUGCCUUUGUUCUUGAAGUUUUUUCCAGAAGCCUUCAGGGCUGCAGCAGUUUUGGAAGGCUUGGCAGGAGAAUGGGCGUGUGCCUUUCCUUUGCCUUUGUGCUCAGCCAUGUUGACACUGUGCUCCUUAGCAGUGACCUUGUCAGCAGUUCGGUUUCUGGAUUCCAUCUGAAGCCUCAUGAUGAGCUCCUCGAGCCCCAUCUUCUUCUUCUUGUGCUUCAAGUAGUUCUUGAAAUCCGCAUAGCUUGGAGGAAGCUUUUCAAUGAAGCUGAGAGUUGUGAAUGUCUCGCAGAUGGACAUUCCUUCAGCAGCGAUUUCAUGGCAAAUGAGCUGAAGCGCUUCCACCUGAUCCAUGAUGGGUUUUGAAUCCACCAUUUUGAAGUCGUGGAAUUUUGAGACCACAUACUUCUGGCAGCCAGCGUCCUCACCUCUGUACUUCUUGUCUAGUGAUCUCCAUAGCUCUUUCGCCGUGGGGAUCUCACAGUAGACACGGUACAAUGGGUCAAUGAGGCGACCCAAAAUGUAGCCUUUGCAGAUGAAGUCGGAAUGCACCCAUAUGUCAACAGUUGCGAGGCUGUGAACAUCAUCAAUCCCGUAAGGCAUAAGGGGCUUGUCCUCCUGGAGGAACUUCUCCAGCUUCAUCGUUGCCAGGAAGAACAACAUCUUCUUCUGCCAUGUUUUGAAGCCUUUGCCAUCAAAUUGGUUUGGCAUCAGUCCUUGAGUGAACACACUAGGGACAGUCGGAGGAGUUUGAACUGCCACCGGACCACUUGCAGUUGCUGAAAUUGAACCUGUCUGAUAAAGACCAACACCGAAUAGGGUACGGCGGGUGGUUUCAUCCGCAGCAUUCCCCGCAGGGAGGAAAGUGCUCGUUGUUGCUGCAGUGGUUGACGCUGUGAUGUUUCCAGCGGUUGUCACGCCAGUUGCUGCAGCGUUGAGUGGAGUCUGAAUGACAUCCGAGGUGUCCAUGGGAGUGGGGGUGUCGUUCUCGUUUGUCAUUUUCCUGUAGAGAAAACAUGAAAAACGGAUUAGUACUCCAUUCAACAUUUAACAUAUUAUUUUAAAUAAAAUAAUAGUCUAAAAUCGAUGUUCAUUUUUGGUGUUUGAACCAAAUCAUAUCGAUAUAAGUCUUGGAAAAACGUUUUGCAAACUCGCUUAAAAGCGUUCGCAGAAAUCAUUUUUAUAGACUUAGAAUGUUUCACAAACUCGCUUAAGAAAGCGAUCUUGAAACGAUUCAUUUAUAGAACGUUUUGAAGAUGUAUCAAAACCGUUUUGCAAAAAAUGCUAAAAAGCAAUCCGCAAAUCGUAAUGAAAUAAAACAUAAACGUUUCGCGGAAGUACUAUAAAGCAAAUCGCAAACACGUUUUUAGAAUAACGCAGAAAACGUUUCGCGGAUAAGCGUAUAGCAAAUCGCAAACAUCGUUAUGAAAUAAGAAUAACCGUUUCGCGGAAGUGCUAGGAAGCAAAUCGCAAACACGGUUCCAAAACCCGUUUUAUAAAUCGUUCUUCAACCCGAUUCGAGCUUUAGACAUAAAGCUAUUUUGAGUUAAGAUUGUAAAAGCCGGUAAACCGGACUGAUGUAAACGAUAUAAUAAAAGCGAAGUUAAGGAAAUAGACGAAUAUAGAAAACGAAUACGAGAACGAUAAGAAAUCGUAUUCGCAGCGAGACAUGGAGGCGAGAUAUGAUCUCUUUCCUUAACUCAAAAUAUUCGCUCCGUUAGUGAGACGGGACUGUACGAAUAUAGAGUCCCAGGAUACAACCAUGGCAGACGAAUCACGCCUCACUCGUGAUCGCCCUAUCGAACUAUAAACUCUACGAAACACUCUCGUUUUUAUGACUUACGCUAAGGGAAUUUUGAUGCUGGUUUCGAUGUGAAAAAAGUUAAAGAAAAUGAGAAGAGGAGAGUCCGUAUUUAAAGAGAAGACUAGGAGCGGUUUUUCGAAAUUGUUGCGAACGUUUUUUCCGAAAAUCUCGCAAAGAUCUCGGAGUGGAACGUUGAGCAGCUUUCUCCGCAAGUUUCUCUCUUGUUGACUCGUUCUGAUCCAUUUCGAACAGAUAAACUUCGUGUUGUUUUUAAACGAACUACAUGUCGUUUAUACACAAAUGUCAUGCUGUUUUUAGAAAUAAAAUGGCAAAGCGUUGAGCUUAACUUGGUCCAAAAAGAAUACUUCUUAUCGGGCCAAAGGCCCUCCACCCAAGCCCAAGCCCAAGCCCACGCCCAAGCCCAAGCCCAAGCCCACGCCCGAGCCGAGCCGGCCGGACGGCGGGUAUGUUCUUACCGUGGGAGGCUCUCUCUUCCUCUGAGCCAUUUAACCUCUCAUGUCAUGAAGUCUUAUAUAUAUUACUCCAAUUCUUUCUUGCUAGGCGAUGUGGGACUUUGCUCCACUCCUUCAUUCAUUUAACUUAAGCCAACAAGGCUUUUUGUUACAAACCCAUAGGCCCAUUUCAUUUUCACAAUUUGACCAUUUAUUAUUAAGCCAAUGGGCUAAAUAAUUAGGUCCAACAGAUAAACCACACCAUAUACACAUAAUCAUUUAGAUGCUCAUUCUUUAGUUUUAUCAAUAUAAAUUUGAUAUUUCAUCAAAACAAAAGUGUAAAAAAAAUCAUAUAAAACUCUAUAUAUUUCAUAUUAAGUGAAAAUAAAUAUAAGUAUAUACAUUACAACAAUAUUAAUAAUAACAAAAAGCUAAUUAAAAUAUUAAAAAAAAAAGAAGAAAAUAUAAGGGUAAAUCUCCAAAAUAGCACUCAAAAACUAAAAUGACCAAAAUUUAAAUUUUUUUAUUUUUCAAAAUUUGAAAUCUUAUCCCCAAAACCUCACUUCUCAACUCUAAACCCUAAAACCUAAACUCUAAACCCUAAACCCUAAAUUCUAAACCCUAAACCCCACCCCUUGAGUGUUAUUUUUGUGACUUUUGGUCUUGAAUGCUAGUUUGGGAACAAAAACUUGAUUUAGUGCUAUUUUGGUCUUUUUCUCAAAAUAUAACCUUUUUGUAACACUAAAAGUAUAUAAUCUUCAACUGUUUUCUACAACAUUAACUUAUUUUUGUGACAAAAAAAAUAAUUAGACUAUAAUGGGUAAUCAUGCUGAAGAAAACUAAUUAAGGUAAAUUUUUUGUUUUUAUAUUAUUCGAGUUAUGUUAAAUCUUUUGUCAAAUUAUUUUUUUUUUUUGUAAGAAAUUGGGAGAAAGCCUCCCAAUAUUUAUUAAAGAACAAGAAUCAAACUACAAACGAGUCUGUUGUGGCCGUAGAGGUCCAUCAACAUCCUCACGCAAUAACGUAACAACCUCUAAAGGUGCAAUGUCAAACCUAUGAAAACCAAACGGUAAUGAAAAAGCCAGGUUAGCCAAACCAUCAGCUAAGUGGUUUGCUUCCCUGUACACAUGAACUAUUCGGACCAGCCAGUCCCUUGUCAAGAAGCCAUGGCACAGUCGUACCAGGAAAGACAGCGGAUGAGUAUUCCCAAUCCCUGUCGUCAGAAACUCCACCACCAUUUUAGAGUCCACUUCCAACUCCAAUCUGCUUAUACCUUUCUCCCAAGCAAUCACCAAACCAUAGUAGACUCCCCAUAGUUCCGCCAAAGGAGCAGAGCAUCGCCCUAUAUUCAGAGCGUAUCCACCAUACCACUCACCAUCAACAUUCCGUAUUACACCUCCUGCAGAGGCCAGCCCCGGAUUUCCAUGCGAUGCUCCGUCAGUGUUAAGCUUCAUCCAUCCUUCUCGAGGAGGCAUCCAUCCUACCAUUAUUUCAACUCUGCUGCCAAUAUGAAUACUCCCCCGUUCCACCUCCUUUGCUAACCUCACUUCUUUGGCCAAGUCUCGUAGAAACUUCACACGAUCUCUCCAAAGCCGAUUCUCUCCAAACACAUUACCGCAUCUCCACUUCCACCCCCACCAAGCCGCUAAAGCAAACAGCGUGGCCCAAGGAUUCCCACUCCCGGUAUCAUUAUCACAUAAUUUUUUGUAGAGCCAUUCGAACAAAGACAUCGAGAAGAAUGCUUGUCUCUUCCUAGCUGGGACGAAUCUGUUCCAUAUUCCUGUCAUCGCUGGACAGUCCCUAAGUACAUGUAGGAUCGUUUCAAUACCUCCUCUACAGACCUGGCACAAAUCGGUCCCACUUAGAUGCCUUCUAUGUCUCUCUGCGUUCGUCAUAAUCGCCUGAUUCCCAACUAACCAAAGAAACACCUUAACUCUCUCAGGGACUGCCACACUCCACAUCUUUCGAAAGAAGCUCUCCAUGUUUGGCCCUGGAUAUUCAUCUCGUGUGAGUAACUUAUACACAUAUUUUACUGUAAAUUGCCCACUAGGUGUUUGUCCCCAAGAUAGACAAUCCUUUGCCCUAGUGACCACAUCGACCACCACUGCUGCAAGCUCCAGCCGUGUCUCCUAUGUUAUAAAUAGAGCAAUUCUCGUGAGGUUCCAACCCCCGCCUUCCAGCCACAUUUCUCGAGCUGUUAUAUUCCCGUAUACUUCUGGCAGCUCCGCAAUCACAACUCUAUCAAGUGAAUAAUCUGAAAGCCACUUAUCCGUCCAAAAUUUAAUAUCUCUCCCAUUAUCAAUCACCCAACUAUGUCCAGGCACAAUCACUUCCCUUAUCCCCAUCGCCACACUUCUCCAUGUAGAUGAAACCAGCUGCCCUUAAUGUGUCUUCCAAGAAGUCCCAGCGAACCCUGUCAUAAGCUUUCUCCAAGUCCAAUUUUAGGAGCAUCCAACAUUUCUUGCCCUGCUUCUUUCUCAUCGAGUGAACAGCCUCCUGAACCACCACAAUAUUAUAUGCACUCAAUCUGCCUGGAAUGAAACUCGCUUGAGCAGGACCAAUCAGUUUCUUCAUGAUCUCUUUCAGUCUUCUUACCAUAGCAUUCGUGAUUAUUUUGAACAACACGUUGCAUAGACUAAUCGGUCGGAACUGUGUGAUGUUCUCCGGUUUCAACACUUUUGGAAUCAAGACGACCAGAGCAUCAUUAGAACCUUCAGGUAAUUUACCAGUUUCAAAAAAGAGGCAAGCAAACCUGACCACUGAAGCACCUACUGUCUCCCAACACUUUUGAUAAAAGACCGGCUGAAAACCAUCAGGUCCAGGCGCCUUAAAACUACCCAUGGCUCUAACCGCCUUCUCCGCCUCUUCUGCAGAAAACUGUCUAUUUAAGCUAGUCUGGUCAUGACUAGAAAGAUUUACAAAACCUCUUGCCGACAGGCCCUGCGAUUCAGUAUCAACCCCUUCUAACGAAUAUAACUUCUUGAAGUAACUAACCGCUAACUCCUCCAGCUCCUGAGUAUCUGAAACCCAACGAUUAUCAUCCUUUUGCAACAUAUCCACUCUGUUCCGCCUCCUUCUAAUAAUUGUUGACGUAUGAAAAAACUUUGUAUUUCUAUCUCCAUAAACGAUCCACUUCUCCCGCGAUUUUUGGAACCAUAUAAGUUCUUAUUGUUCAAGAACUAUCUCAAACUCCUUAAGGAGUUCACCUUCUUUCACCAACAGCUCAUCAGUUUGACUCUGCUCAAUUCUCGUCUGGAUUUCUUUUAUUUCGACAACUAACAUCUCCUUUCUUUUCUGAACACUCCCAAAAACUUCUUUGUUCCACUUUCGAAGUUUUACUCCCAGUCGCUCCAAAGGUUCUCUAGUCCCAAUCUCUCGAUCCCACGAAGCCGUUAACAUAUCUUGAAAUUCACUAUGUUUCAGCCAAGCCGCCUCAAAUCGAAAUGGACGUCUACACGCAUUGCCUUGAGUCUCUGGUGUAAUUUGUAAGUACAAUGGGGCAUGAUCCGAGGCCAAGAAUGGUAGAUGUGAGACUCUUGCCUCCUGCCAUUUGAGUCUAGCCUGAGGACAACAUAGUAUUCUGUCCAACCUCUUAGCGACAAAUGUGCUUUCUGUCUUCCCUCGCUUCCAUGUGAACUGGUUCCCACUAAAUCCCAUAUCAAUGAGUGACAAAUCAUUGAUCCAAUCACCAAAAGCUAAAGAAUCUUCAGAUAAUCUCCCAUUCCCACCACUUCUUUCAUCCAAUCUCACAAUCGUGUUGAAAUCCCCACCAAUAAAUACCGGACCAACCGCAUUAUGAAUCACCUCCCCCAACUCCGCCCAUAAACCUCUCCGAUGGAUCGGUGUAGGUGCAGCAUACACAACGAUCAAGUUAAUCGCCUCUGUUUCGUUCCCCACUCGAGCAUAAAUAAACUGAUCAGAAGACUUGACCACCUCAAGUUCUCCUAUUUCCGAUCGCCAUAGCAACCAUAAGCCUCCGCUUUUCCCACACGCAUCAACUCUAAACGAGUUUUCAAAGCCCAGUCCUUGACAGAUUCGGCCUGCAGCCGCUCCACCAGCAUGAGUUUCAAAAACGGCAAGAAUGUUUGUACUAAAUUUCUUCACCAAGUAUCUUAUCGAUCUACGAAACUGAAAUUUAUUUGCCCCCCGGCAAUUCCAAAGAAUGCACUUCAUCAAAAAUUUAUAAUCCAAACUUAAAAUCACCGGGGCAAAUUGUUAUGCCUCCAUACCCUUCAGUUCUUCUCCCAACCGACCUCUACAAGCUUCCACUUCGUCAAGAUGUGGAAUCUCCGGUAGUGCCAAUUGUGCCUGAUUGUUCCUUCGCUCAGAAGCUUGAUCCAAGUGUUUCUCAUUCUCAUCGAACUCCCCAUCUCCAGCGAAAGCACCGCCGGGUCGGCCAACACUUUCCCUUUCGAUUCGCAAUCUCUUUCCGUUCACCGACAAUUCAAUCUCUCCUCUAGCUGGGCCAUAAACAAGUCCCCGUGUAGGCCCAACAUGUUUUGCUUUGGGCUUCUGGAGCUUUAGACUUUUCAGAUUACUCGCUCUCUUUUCCUUAGGGCCCAAUCAACUUAUCGGUUGAUUCCCUUGUUUCUCCGUUCCAGCAAAUGACUUGGCCUCCUUAGUUGCACCAAACAUUAUAGCCUUCCCAUGCACUCUACUCAAGACUUCCGAGUUUAAAUUCAUAGUAUUUUCGUUCUCUUUAUUCUUAUCCACUCUUCCCACAUCAUCCCCAAGUUCCUCCUUGUCUCCCUCUUCCUCCAAACUUCCAAACCUAUUUGAUACUAGCACUUCCUCCACUGUACCACCACCAUUGCCUAUCUCCCUUGCUUUACUUCCGACCAUACCUCUUCCAUCCUUACUUUGCGCGGGACCCUCUAUAUGCCUUAGUUGCUCAGGCUCACUGGGGUAAAUUCUGCAUCCAUUCUUGUUAUCUCAGUACUCUCAUGAUUCAUAAUCACACGUCCAGGUGUCAGAGUAGGUGUCGGAGUAGGUACCCUAUUCGUAACAUUCUUGGGACAUGCAUGGGCGAGGUGUCCAUACAACCCACAUAUCGAACAUAUGGUUGACAUUCCUUCGUAAGAAACGUAAUACCUCUCACCAUUUAUCAUCACUGACCCCUUUAGUGGUUUGUUGAGGUUCACUUCCACACAGAUUCUCGCACUACAAAAAAAGUUGCUAUUCAUAGCACAUUGUUAUAGCACGUUUCACUGAACUGCUGUCGUUGAUGAGUGAAUUUUUUUUUUAGUAUAGGUUAGCAUUAUAUUAAUGCUAUGAUAGAGUUUUGCUAAGCGGGAAGCUAAAAUUAGCUUUUCCACGAAACACUUAGUAAAAAUUAGCUAAUAUUUUCUGUUUUCCCUCUCUCUAAUCGGGGUUCCCUCUCUUCUCUCUCAUUUUCCCCCUUUCUCGACAAAACUCUAAGAGAAAUCAAUCUGGAUUCUCCAUCUCCUUCUCUCUCGUUCUCUCUCUAUUUCCAUCUCUGUCUCGAUUCUCCAUCUCCGGUUCUCCAUCUCCGCCUCGAUUCUCCAUCUCCGCCUUGAUUCUCCAUCUCUGAUUCUCCAUCUCCUCCUCGAUUCUCCAUCUCCUCCUCGAUUCUCCAUCACUCUCCUUCAUCGCUGCUUCUCCCAGCUCCGAUUCAACUCCUGUUCUACAUCUCUUAGGUAUAGGAAGUCACAAUUUCGAUAUCUCUGUCAGUGUUAAGCUGAAAUCGAAGUUUUAUUUUUUUGCUUUAAUUUCUUGGUUGCUUUGAUAUGUUGGUUGCUUUGAUUUCCUGUUUUAUUCCAGUUAUCUUUUUAUUUGGUUGGUAUCGUUUCAUGCUCUGAAUAUUUUUGCUAUAUCAUUACAUCCUCUGACUCUUAUGUGUUAUGUUAUAAGUUCGUUUUGUUACAAAAGGUUUCAACUUAGGUUCGAACACAGCAUUAUGGACAAAGCUUGGGUACAUCUAAACAGGUAAUGAGCUUAAGCGUGUAUCUCAUGUUUCAUUUGGUGAUUACUGACUUAACUUGUUUAAUUUUGUUUUUCUUUUGAUUGUUAAUGGCAGAGUUGAUCCUGGAUAUGAGAGAGGGGCUUCAAAGUUUGUCCGGGAUGUGGCUUCAGCAAUGGGAGGGGUUGAUGUUAUUGUAUGUCCGUGUAUUGACUGCCGUAACAUAGUUCGACAUUCAGCAAGUGUGGUACUUGAUCAUCUUGUUACUAGGGGUAUGGAGGAGGGUUAUAAGAUGCGGGCUGAUUGGUAUCUACAUGGAGAGUUGAACGCAGAGGUUGCUGAUGAAAGCAAAGGAAGUGAGUGGAACGAUGAGAUCUAUGGGUUGUUCAGAGCUGCUGAGUGUUUUGAUGAAGAGUUAGCUGGUAUGGGGAAUCUAUCUGAUAUGGCAGAGGGAGAGGACAAGAAAGAAGAUGAGUUCUUGGCAAAGCUAGCUGACGCUGAAACACCAUUGUAUCCGAGCUGUUCAAGCCAUAGCAAGUUAUCUGCAAUUGUUUCGUUGUUCAGAUUGAAGACUCAGAAUGGAUGGUCUGACAAGAGCUUCAAUGAUUUGCUAGAGACCUUGCCAGACAUGUUACCUGAAGAAAAUGUCUUGCACACAUCACUCUAUGACGUGAAGAAGUUCUUGAAAUCAUUUGACAUGGGCUACGAGAAGAUCCAUGCUUGUGGCAACGACUGCUGCCUAUUCAGAAAGAGGUUCAAGAAGCUCGAUAAGUGUCCUAAAUGCAAGGCUUCAAGGUGGAAGACUAAUGUUCACACGGGUGAGACGAAGAAAGGCGUCCCACAGAAAGUUCUCCGUUACUUCCCUGUAAUACCAAGACUGAAGAGAAUGUUCCGGUCUGAAGAAAUGGCCAAGGAUUUGAGGUGGCACUUUACCAACAAAAGCAGUGAUGGAAAGCUGCGUCAUCCUGUUGAUUCUGUGACAUGGGAUCAUAUGAAUGCCAAAUACCCUACGUUUGCAGAUGAAGCAAGGAACCUGAGGCUGGGACUUUCAACAGAUGGAUUCAAUCCAUUCAACAUGAAGAACUCGAUGUACAGUUGCUGGCCUGUUCUGCUAGUUAACUACAACUUACCUCCAGACCUGUGCAUGAAGAAGGAGAACAUGCCAGGUAAGGGAGCACGUGCCUGUUACAGUUGAAAAUUGGAAAAAAAUUACUGAAGAAGUGAAGACAGUGCUUUGGAAAUCAGUCCAGGUAACAAUUUCUAAACGAUAACAGCAUAUAUAUUUCUGAACAGACAUCAAGUUAUUGAUUAUUGGUUGGCUAACUACGUGUGCAGGCAAGGUUUGAACUUGAUGAGGACCACCAAAGGGUUGCAGUUCUUAAGCAGAUGGGAGCCUUGUGGAGAUCAUCCAAGUCACGUCUUGUUACCCAAAUCAAUGAAGCUGAAAAUAACCAACAAAGGAUGAAUCUCAGACCUAAGAAUGUUCAUCCAAUUGAGUGGCGCAAAUUUGUGAAGCUAAAAACAAGCCAAGAAUUCAAGGUAUACAUUCUUAGAUGGAACUCCCAUCGCUAUUACUAACUAGAUUAAUAAGAUCGUUAUUACGAAAUGAUAGGUUCUGAGUGAUAGCUACAAAGAGAGGAGAAGCAAACAGAUUCCUCACACUUGUAGUAGAAAGGGAAUGGUUAGACUAGCAGAAGAGAUGGUAAGCAUAUUAUCUCAGAUUUUGGUUUCAUUUUUUUAUCUGUAGACAAGGCUGUUGACAUAUAAUUUUGCAACAGAAAAAUAGUUCUGAAGACAAAUCUGAAGUGUCGAGACUUAAAGUCUGGGUGAGGUCACGUACAAGAAAAGAUGGAACUCCCAUCAACACAAAUGCUGCUGAGAAGAUUGUAAGUUUAUAACAUAAUCUGUUCCUCCUAUUAAUCCUGGUCGGUAGAUAGAUAUGCUUAUAACUUUUUCUGUUAAUUGAGUCUCCUGCAACUGAUCAGGUAAAUUUUUAACUUAUAUGUUCAAUCAUCUGCUCAGAUUAAUAUCUGUGUUUUGAAUUGUGUGCAUGUCUAUUGUAAAGUGUCAGCUUAAGCAUGGAUCUCAGACAAUGAAACAGAAUCAGAAGUGCAAAUUGAUGGACAUUGGUGAGAGGAAACAAGUUGUUGCUGAAGGUCGUAUCCAUUCAACAGACCCAACUCAACUGGUCCACUUUGUGCGCUUGGGUCCGAAAGCAGCUAGAGUGUGGGUAGAUGCAGUGCUCGUAGAUGAUGCCGAAGUUUGGAGGAAAUCAGAUGAAAUAGAGAGUUUGAAAGAUGCACACGGUUCAUCAAUUGCAUGGCCAAUUGAUAAAUUGGUCAUAUUUUAAGCUGCUGUAAGUAUUCUGUUUUGUGUGUUUAAACCUGCAUAUGUAAUUGCAUAACUGAUCAGAGUUUUCAUUGUUGCAGCAGCUGAGGGAAUGAAGAACUUAGGUCCAGAUUUAGCUAGUGUUUAAGCUAGGCUAAUGAACUUGAUGUAUGAUAUUAUUGCUUAUGACUUUGGUUUGUGUUUUAGAACUGCAUCAGUAACACUUAUGUGUAAUGACUUAUGUAUGUCAAACUUAUUUUAUGAUUGUGUUAGUUUGUUAUGAAGUUUCUGCUUUUUUUAUUACAAAUUUUCGAAAAUGCAAAUUCAUAGCUCGUGGACAAAAUAACAAUAGCUAAAAAAAAACAGUUAUGCUUGUAAAGCAUAGCAUUAAAUAUUUCAUAUAAUGUAAACUAUCAUAAUAUAUUUCUAAGCUAUUAAAAACUUUAGUAUAGCACUUAUCCACAGCAAUUACCAAAAUAAGCUAUUGCUAUUGUAGACGUUGCUACCAUGGCACACAAUACGUACCAUAAUCAAUUUGUAACAAAAAAUAACUGUGCCGUAGAUUCAUUAAUAACAUCAGCUAAUUAAUGCUAUCGUAAACGUACAUUUCGUAGCAUCAAAGAAAAACGCUAUUGUAGGGGGCCUACCUAUGAUGGCUGCCGUAUACACAGCAGUUGUGAAUUCGCUAUCAAAACUCUAACAUAGCAUAUAACCCGCGCUAACAAUGAGCAUUUUUCUUGUAGUGUCGCAAACCUCGCUCUUUCGAAAUUCAACGUUGUUCCGUCUACCUUGAUCGGGCGCCCUAGUCCCUUUGCUAUACCCAUCAGUAUCGUCUUGUGAUAGAAGUUUACUGGGAUAUGUGAUAAACGAACCCAAACUGGAGUCGUAACUAUCUCGUCUUUCAGUGGGUCAAAUUCAGGAGUCCAUGCUUGCACCAUAAGGUAGCUGCCAAAAGCUCUCCAUGGACCCCCUGAUAAUGCAGCCAUAUACUCCUCUUCCAACUCAAAGCGUACUAUAAAGAAGUUUCUAGGAAGAUCCAUGACAAACAUCGACCCUCUAGGCUUCCAUAGUUCUCUUAGUUUCCUAUUAAGGUUCGUGAUCGGAACGUUCCUUCCCAAAACCCUAACGAUCAUACAUCUCUUCCACAGACUAUUCAUAGCCGUUAAUACUUCCUCUCCUAUCAUUAUCACCGGUUCUCCAUCCUCACCAUUCGGAAACUCCAAUCUCAAUCUCGCCUCCACAAACUCUUCCCCCACAGCUUUCUCCGGGACAUGCCUUCCUCCCGCGUUGCCUCCUACAACUUUCUUCAGCCAAGAGCCAGGAGCAUCCGGAGGGUCGCCCGGUGGCCUUUCCUUCUCUCCAAUAUCCUCCAUAGUAGCAUCCUUUCCUGUCUCACCCAAAACCUCAAAAUCGCCUCUCAAAACCCUAGCCGUCAUAUUCUUUUUUAUCUUAUCUUUUGUCAAAUUAUUAACAGGUGGGUUUCAUUUUUUCCACUAAAUUUUUCAUGGAUGGAUAAAUGAAUAUAUAAAUUUUUUUUUUAAUUUUUCAGUUCCUCAAAUUAACUGGUGGGUCCCACGUCUAGUCAUACUACAUUACAAAAUAACACAAUACACUAUGAUACUUUAAACCUGUUCGGAGAAAUUUAUAAAUCAUGAUACCAGAAUAAAAACUAAGAUUAUUGUCUAAAAAAUUUUGUUUUGACUCAUCUCUUUCAUUUCAAACACAUAUCCUUCUGCUGCAAAAAUGAAGAAUCCAUUUCUUUUGGCUAUUUUCCUUGUUGGCGCCCUCGCUUUACAAGAUACAAGAAGCAGGGAAGAAGAAAGACUCACUUUUAUAGACAAAAGGCUUGAAGUAGUGUACCCAGUGAUCCAGGGAUUCAAGUCACUCAUCACCCUCGACCCGUUUAAGGUAACACAGACAUGGAUAGGUUCAGAAAUUUGCAGUUACAGAGGCUUUCACUGUGACAAUCCUCCGGACAACAAAACCGCAAUCACUGUCGCUUCCAUCGAUUUCAAUGGCUUCCAGCUCUUUGCUCCCUCCAUCGAAGGAUUCAUCGAUCAACUCCCAGACUUAGCUCUGUUUCAUGCAAAUUCAAACAACUUUGGUGGUACUGUCCCUUCCAAGAUCGUUAAUCUCAAGUAUCUCUAUGAACUCGACAUCAGCAACAAUAAAUUCACCGGUCAGUUUCCGACCGCGGUAGUUGGUAUGCCUGGUUUGUCAUUUCUUGACAUCCGUUUCAACUCUUUCUCCGGUUCAAUCCCACCACAAAUCUUUGGUCAGAACCUCGACGUUCUCUUCAUUAAUGACAACACCUUUACUGCGAGCCUCCCGGAGAUACCUGGCGAUAGUCACAUCCUUUUUCUAACUUUAGCAGACAAUAAGUUCAACGGUCCUCUCCCGAGAAGCAUCCUAAGAUCUAUGACAACGUUAACCGAGGUACUUUUCUUGAAUAACGACUUUACGGGUUGUAUCCCUUACGAAAUCGGGUUACUCAAGGGAGCAUCAGUUAUCGAUAUCAGUGGAAAUAAGCUCACAGGUCCUUUACCCCUUUCACUUAUGUGUCUAGAGAAAGUGGAGCAGCUCAACUUUGCUGGGAAUCUCUUGUUUGGGGCAAUCCCAGAUGCAGUGUGCAUGUUCCUCCGAGAGAAUCUUGUCAACUUUUCCUUGUCUGAUAACUAUUUCACACACGUGGGGCCAUGGUGUAAGAUUUUGGUUGAAAGAGGUGUUCUUGAUGUUAGGAAUAACUGUAUUCCUUUCUUCCCAGGACAAAGAUCUAUUGAAGAAUGUGCGGAGUUCUUUGUCAAACCUAAUUACUACUGUCCUCACGCAUGGUUUCAUAGUUUUCUUCCUUGUAGAUAUUCUCACAUAUCUUCUUCCUCUGCUAGUGAUUUUAUGCCCAUGGUGGCUCCCUCACCUUGAUGUUCAUCAUCAUAUAUAUCAGCGUGUUUGUUCUCUUCAUUGUAAUGAAAAUAAUCGAAUUAUGUUUCCACCAACAAAAUCAUGGUAAGAGAAGGCCAAGAGUGGUGUUGUGUUGGGAAUACAAGUAUAAUCUUGUAUUUGUUAACUAGUAUAUGAUUUCCAUGUCCAUUAAUGAAUGUGUCAAUGCCAUUUGCGUAUAGUAGUCACGAUUCGUGAUACAAAGAAAAUUCUAUUGUUUUUAUGGUUAAAUAAGACGAAUUGAUAGUUGAGUUAAUUAAAAGCAAUGCCACAGUGUUUGCCUGUAUUAAUAAAUUGAUGAUUAUAAGUACAAAAAGUGUUAUAUUAAUACGUAGACUUAUAUAGAGAUAAAAAAGAAAAAAUAUAUAUAUAGUGAGUUUGUUUGAAUGUACACCGUAGGGAUAGCGAUAACGAUAUAAUUGCGAGUAAUGUAAUAAUGUAAGUGGUCCUACUCAUGGUCUAUCAUAUAAAAUUAUAAAUCAUGUGAAUGGGCAUUUUUCCUCCACGUCUAUUGCAUUUGAUGGGUUAAAUGUACCAAAGAUAAAGAGGGGUGACCAAAGGUGACCCCUUCCUACCAAACCCAUUAACAUUUUUCGUCAACUAAUCAUUUAUAAUUUUCUUUUUCCAAUCACAAUAGACUGCAUCCAGCUAAGAAAAGGCAACCCGCAGCUACGAAAUAACAUUUAACUUACCUAUCUAUCUAUAUAUAAUACUCCAUCCGUUUUUCAAUCCGUUUUUCAAUAUAAGUCGUUUUAAAGAAACUUUUUUGUUCCAAAUUAUGUCGUUUUUGGUUUUCUAUGUAACAUUUAUUAAUAAUUAAUGUUGUCUGACCAAUGAUAAUAUAUCUUCUAUUUUUCUAUUGGUUAAAUUGUGGUUUGGUAAAUAAUUAAUGAUGUUUUUGUUUUGAAAAUAUAAAAAAUUAAUGAUUUUCUUAAUCUAUGUGCAUAGCUUUAAAACGACUUAUAUUAAAAAACGGAAGGAGUAAUAAAGAGGGGUUUUCUCUCACCACAGGCUGCCAGAUCAGCAAGGAGGAGGUAGCGUUUUUGGACAGGUGUAGCCUCAGCAAACCAACUAUAUAUGUGUAAUUCCGGUCUUAUUCGAACUGGACUUUUAUUAAAAUUUGUUAUUAAGCCCAAUAUUAUGUUAAGCCCGCGUAUUAUUAGCUAUCUUACUUCCCUGACACAAUUUCCAGAAACUUAAAUCGACGUUCAGAUCUCCGUAUCGCCUCAGCUUUCCAUUAAUCUGUUCUUAACUCAGAGUUUUUGCGUGAUCCACUCCUCUCACUGGAAGCUUUCAAUCGAUCCAGAAACAUAUUUUGUUCUAGGGACGAUGGCGACCAGCUUUCAGCCGGUCGAGUUCUUCGCAGCUGGUGGUCACGCUUUCGUUUUCACGGAGGCACCUAAUCUAUAUUAAUAAGAAGGGAGCUAAUGGGUUGAUAUCCUCCUCAAUGAUGAAAAGAUUGUCCUCCUCAUCUUCCCUCGCCUUCCUUUUCCAAUAUAAACUGCCAUCACCUAUUAUCUUAACCAUAAUAUAUUUAAUUUUAUUGAGUGCUUUUUAUAUUUAUGGUUAAUUAUAGGUUUGGAAAUUUCAUAGAGGUAUUCCAAAUUUCACAGAGAUUCAGUCCCAUAUGUUCCGUUUGAUUUGGGUCUAUGACUUUUAAAUUUUUUGUUUUUGUUAAGGAAAAGGGAUGAUGAUAGACGCGCUGCUUCUGCUGUUGCCAAAUUGAUGAUAGACGCGCUGCCUCAGAGCGUGCUGCCAAAUUGAUGAUAGACGCGCUGCUUCUGCUGUUCCUGGCUCUCGCAAGACGGUGACUUGAGGCUGCGCAAGCUCAGGUUUGGCUCCUUUGAAAUCUGUGUGUUCUUUGGUCGUUUAUAUUUUCAGUGCGUUAAGGUGUUAGCUUCUGCUUCUUGAUUAGUUUUAAACAAAGUGUGGAGUAUGUUACAACAAUCAAGCAGAAAAAUUCAAGGUAGACCGAAAGUUAGAUUCUUUGAUGUGUGAAUCUGUGGCUAUGAUGUAUUAAAACAUUUUGGUUUGCAGGAACAAAUUGUUACCAUGAAGUUAAGAUCGUAUGGAUAGUUGGAAUCUCCUAUAGUUGGAACCUCCUUUGCAGCUGAAGAAUAAGCCUGUCGCUUCAAGUUUCUUACACACAGCUCCUCAUCAUGGGAACUUCGUAGACUCUGCUUCUGGUGGUUAAAGUUUUCAUUCAUAAACAUCGGAAUAACAAAGGAAAAUUUUGACUUUUGAGAUUCAGGUUCCAUGAGCACUAAAGUUUGGUUUUGGAUAGGGAGUUUAGGUAAGACGUUCCUGACUCUUGAUCGACGCACAUGGAAAGUCACUGCAGACGUAGCUGAAGGCGACACUGACGAUAUCAACCAGGCGGUGAAAGCUGCAAGGAAGACCAUUGAUGUGGACCUUGGCCAAAAGAUGACCGCUUAUGUGUAAUAUUAUAUAUUGUUCUCGAGUAUUGAAAGUUAUGAAAUUAAUGUGAUAUGGACUUAUCUUUGUUUUGUUUUCAGGAAAGGUGAAGGACAAUGUUGAGAUUCAUGGGACAAUGGGAAGACCUAUGAACAAGCAAAAAAAGCAGAGAUUCUAGUGCUUGCCAGAUUGUUUCACUCCUAUGCUGGUAUACCACACAAAAAUCUUGAGAAUAUUAUAAAAGUUUCUUGCUUUUAUUAGUAAGUUUGCUUUGAUGUGUAGGAUGUGCGGAUAAGAUUCAUGGACUAAUUAACAGUUCCAGUUGAUGGAAACUAUCAUGUCCAGACACUGCAUGAACCAAAAGGUGUUGCUGGACAGAUCAUUUCAUGGAACUUUCCGCUUCUUAUGGUUGCUUGGAAAGUUGGUCUUUCUCUUUCUUGUGGUAAAACCAUUGUCCUCAAAACCGCCGAACAAACUCCCCUCACUGCUUUUUACGGAAAGCUUUUCCUUGAAGUAAUCAAUGUUCCUUUCACCUGCUACUUACCAUUCUUGCUACUAAAAUAAAAAGCUGUAAGUAAACAAUGUUUCUUGAAAUGUAUGAUAGGCAGGUCUUCCUCUUGGUGUUAUAAACAUAGUUUCUGAAUUUGGUCCAAUCGCAGGGACUUUCCUCACGAGCCUCAUGGGUUUGGCUCUUACCAAAUUUUCUAAGUACAUCUUCACUUUUUGUUCUGGCGUAUAUGUGUCUUCUUUUAUUGUUUGUUUCUCUUUAAUUAAGAAAAGUAGGGAUUGGCUAUAAGCUCUAGCUGUGUGGUUGAUUCAGAACAAUGAUUGGCACGCGCUGUAUCCUUUGACUUAUUUUUUUUUCUUUUUCUUAAUCGCAUCUCACCAUAUUUUUCCUCUCUUUUGCUUAAUCGCACGGUACCAUACUCAAUUUUGCUCUCGAUUGUUGUCAGGUUAAUAUAAUAGAUACUCGACUCAUCACUGAAGUUGAGGGAGGGAAGUCUCUUAGAAAACCAACAUAUAGAAGCUAUAUCAGUUUAGAGAAACAGGGAAGAAGCAAGAGAGGAGAGAUGCACAUACAUAGCCAAGAAGAUGCAAGAACUUAACAAAGAGCAGAGGAGGAAAAGUCACUAGCUUUAGCUGCUCAAGCGGAGCUCAGAAACGCGAAGGAAGAGUCAGGUUAAGCGAAGACAGGAGUCUCUUCAAUAGAAAGUCAAUUGAGGCGGAAAGGGAAAUGAGUGGGGUGAUGGAAUUCAUGGACCAUAGUCAGCUACAAUGCCUAUACAAUGUGGUCGCUGAAGCCUUCGAGAGAGAAGGAGACUUGAAACAAAUGGAAUAUUUAUUAAGGCUACUGCAAUCAGAGAGAAUAAAACAAAGAUGUGUUCACCUUUGUCAUUUUAUAAGGAUUUAUGACAUAUAAGUGACUUUGAAGGGUACUUCUCAAAACUUUAUGCUAAUCUCAGAUUAGUCUAUAAAUGAUAAACUGUACAAAUGAUUUAUUAACUUUUUAUGCCUGGUUUGUCAUUUCUUGACAUCCGUUUCAACUCUUUCUCCGGUUCAAUCCCACCACAAAUCUUUGGUCAGAACCUCGACGUUCUCUUCAUUAAUGACAACACCUUUACUGCGAGCCUCCCGGAGAUACCUGGCGAUAGUCACAUCCUUUUUCUAACUUUAGCAGACAAUAAGUUCAACGGUCCUCUCCCGAGAAGCAUCCUAAGAUCUAUGACAACGUUAACCGAGGUACUUUUCUUGAAUAACGACUUUACGGGUUGUAUCCCUUACGAAAUCGGGUUACUCAAGGGAGCAUCAGUUAUCGAUAUCAGUGGAAAUAAGCUCACAGGUCCUUUACCCCUUUCACUUAUGUGUCUAGAGAAAGUGGAGCAGCUCAACUUUGCUGGGAAUCUCUUGUUUGGGGCAAUCCCAGAUGCAGUGUGCAUGUUCCUCCGAGAGAAUCUUGUCAACUUUUCCUUGUCUGAUAACUAUUUCACACACGUGGGGCCAUGGUGUAAGAUUUUGGUUGAAAGAGGUGUUCUUGAUGUUAGGAAUAACUGUAUUCCUUUCUUCCCAGGACAAAGAUCUAUUGAAGAAUGUGCGGAGUUCUUUGUCAAACCUAAUUACUACUGUCCUCACGCAUGGUUUCAUAGUUUUCUUCCUUGUAGAUAUUCUCACAUAUCUUCUUCCUCUGCUAGUGAUUUUAUGCCCAUGGUGGCUCCCUCACCUUGAUGUUCAUCAUCAUAUAUAUCAGCGUGUUUGUUCUCUUCAUUGUAAUGAAAAUAAUCGAAUUAUGUUUCCACCAACAAAAUCAUGGUAAGAGAAGGCCAAGAGUGGUGUUGUGUUGGGAAUACAAGUAUAAUCUUGUAUUUGUUAACUAGUAUAUGAUUUCCAUGUCCAUUAAUGAAUGUGUCAAUGCCAUUUGCGUAUAGUAGUCACGAUUCGUGAUACAAAGAAAAUUCUAUUGUUUUUAUGGUUAAAUAAGACGAAUUGAUAGUUGAGUUAAUUAAAAGCAAUGCCACAGUGUUUGCCUGUAUUAAUAAAUUGAUGAUUAUAAGUACAAAAAGUGUUAUAUUAAUACGUAGACUUAUAUAGAGAUAAAAAAGAAAAAAUAUAUAUAUAGUGAGUUUGUUUGAAUGUACACCGUAGGGAUAGCGAUAACGAUAUAAUUGCGAGUAAUGUAAUAAUGUAAGUGGUCCUACUCAUGGUCUAUCAUAUAAAAUUAUAAAUCAUGUGAAUGGGCAUUUUUCCUCCACGUCUAUUGCAUUUGAUGGGUUAAAUGUACCAAAGAUAAAGAGGGGUGACCAAAGGUGACCCCUUCCUACCAAACCCAUUAACAUUUUUCGUCAACUAAUCAUUUAUAAUUUUCUUUUUCCAAUCACAAUAGACUGCAUCCAGCUAAGAAAAGGCAACCCGCAGCUACGAAAUAACAUUUAACUUACCUAUCUAUCUAUAUAUAAUACUCCAUCCGUUUUUCAAUCCGUUUUUCAAUAUAAGUCGUUUUAAAGAAACUUUUUUGUUCCAAAUUAUGUCGUUUUUGGUUUUCUAUGUAACAUUUAUUAAUAAUUAAUGUUGUCUGACCAAUGAUAAUAUAUCUUCUAUUUUUCUAUUGGUUAAAUUGUGGUUUGGUAAAUAAUUAAUGAUGUUUUUGUUUUGAAAAUAUAAAAAAUUAAUGAUUUUCUUAAUCUAUGUGCAUAGCUUUAAAACGACUUAUAUUAAAAAACGGAAGGAGUAAUAAAGAGGGGUUUUCUCUCACCACAGGCUGCCAGAUCAGCAAGGAGGAGGUAGCGUUUUUGGACAGGUGUAGCCUCAGCAAACCAACUAUAUAUGUGUAAUUCCGGUCUUAUUCGAACUGGACUUUUAUUAAAAUUUGUUAUUAAGCCCAAUAUUAUGUUAAGCCCGCGUAUUAUUAGCUAUCUUACUUCCCUGACACAAUUUCCAGAAACUUAAAUCGACGUUCAGAUCUCCGUAUCGCCUCAGCUUUCCAUUAAUCUGUUCUUAACUCAGAGUUUUUGCGUGAUCCACUCCUCUCACUGGAAGCUUUCAAUCGAUCCAGAAACAUAUUUUGUUCUAGGGACGAUGGCGACCAGCUUUCAGCCGGUCGAGUUCUUCGCAGCUGGUGGUCACGCUUUCGUUUUCACGGAGGCACCUAAUCUAUAUUAAUAAGAAGGGAGCUAAUGGGUUGAUAUCCUCCUCAAUGAUGAAAAGAUUGUCCUCCUCAUCUUCCCUCGCCUUCCUUUUCCAAUAUAAACUGCCAUCACCUAUUAUCUUAACCAUAAUAUAUUUAAUUUUAUUGAGUGCUUUUUAUAUUUAUGGUUAAUUAUAGGUUUGGAAAUUUCAUAGAGGUAUUCCAAAUUUCACAGAGAUUCAGUCCCAUAUGUUCCGUUUGAUUUGGGUCUAUGACUUUUAAAUUUUUUGUUUUUGUUAAGGAAAAGGGAUGAUGAUAGACGCGCUGCUUCUGCUGUUGCCAAAUUGAUGAUAGACGCGCUGCCUCAGAGCGUGCUGCCAAAUUGAUGAUAGACGCGCUGCUUCUGCUGUUCCUGGCUCUCGCAAGACGGUGACUUGAGGCUGCGCAAGCUCAGGUUUGGCUCCUUUGAAAUCUGUGUGUUCUUUGGUCGUUUAUAUUUUCAGUGCGUUAAGGUGUUAGCUUCUGCUUCUUGAUUAGUUUUAAACAAAGUGUGGAGUAUGUUACAACAAUCAAGCAGAAAAAUUCAAGGUAGACCGAAAGUUAGAUUCUUUGAUGUGUGAAUCUGUGGCUAUGAUGUAUUAAAACAUUUUGGUUUGCAGGAACAAAUUGUUACCAUGAAGUUAAGAUCGUAUGGAUAGUUGGAAUCUCCUAUAGUUGGAACCUCCUUUGCAGCUGAAGAAUAAGCCUGUCGCUUCAAGUUUCUUACACACAGCUCCUCAUCAUGGGAACUUCGUAGACUCUGCUUCUGGUGGUUAAAGUUUUCAUUCAUAAACAUCGGAAUAACAAAGGAAAAUUUUGACUUUUGAGAUUCAGGUUCCAUGAGCACUAAAGUUUGGUUUUGGAUAGGGAGUUUAGGUAAGACGUUCCUGACUCUUGAUCGACGCACAUGGAAAGUCACUGCAGACGUAGCUGAAGGCGACACUGACGAUAUCAACCAGGCGGUGAAAGCUGCAAGGAAGACCAUUGAUGUGGACCUUGGCCAAAAGAUGACCGCUUAUGUGUAAUAUUAUAUAUUGUUCUCGAGUAUUGAAAGUUAUGAAAUUAAUGUGAUAUGGACUUAUCUUUGUUUUGUUUUCAGGAAAGGUGAAGGACAAUGUUGAGAUUCAUGGGACAAUGGGAAGACCUAUGAACAAGCAAAAAAAGCAGAGAUUCUAGUGCUUGCCAGAUUGUUUCACUCCUAUGCUGGUAUACCACACAAAAAUCUUGAGAAUAUUAUAAAAGUUUCUUGCUUUUAUUAGUAAGUUUGCUUUGAUGUGUAGGAUGUGCGGAUAAGAUUCAUGGACUAAUUAACAGUUCCAGUUGAUGGAAACUAUCAUGUCCAGACACUGCAUGAACCAAAAGGUGUUGCUGGACAGAUCAUUUCAUGGAACUUUCCGCUUCUUAUGGUUGCUUGGAAAGUUGGUCUUUCUCUUUCUUGUGGUAAAACCAUUGUCCUCAAAACCGCCGAACAAACUCCCCUCACUGCUUUUUACGGAAAGCUUUUCCUUGAAGUAAUCAAUGUUCCUUUCACCUGCUACUUACCAUUCUUGCUACUAAAAUAAAAAGCUGUAAGUAAACAAUGUUUCUUGAAAUGUAUGAUAGGCAGGUCUUCCUCUUGGUGUUAUAAACAUAGUUUCUGAAUUUGGUCCAAUCGCAGGGACUUUCCUCACGAGCCUCAUGGGUUUGGCUCUUACCAAAUUUUCUAAGUACAUCUUCACUUUUUGUUCUGGCGUAUAUGUGUCUUCUUUUAUUGUUUGUUUCUCUUUAAUUAAGAAAAGUAGGGAUUGGCUAUAAGCUCUAGCUGUGUGGUUGAUUCAGAACAAUGAUUGGCACGCGCUGUAUCCUUUGACUUAUUUUUUUUUCUUUUUCUUAAUCGCAUCUCACCAUAUUUUUCCUCUCUUUUGCUUAAUCGCACGGUACCAUACUCAAUUUUGCUCUCGAUUGUUGUCAGGUUAAUAUAAUAGAUACUCGACUCAUCACUGAAGUUGAGGGAGGGAAGUCUCUUAGAAAACCAACAUAUAGAAGCUAUAUCAGUUUAGAGAAACAGGGAAGAAGCAAGAGAGGAGAGAUGCACAUACAUAGCCAAGAAGAUGCAAGAACUUAACAAAGAGCAGAGGAGGAAAAGUCACUAGCUUUAGCUGCUCAAGCGGAGCUCAGAAACGCGAAGGAAGAGUCAGGUUAAGCGAAGACAGGAGUCUCUUCAAUAGAAAGUCAAUUGAGGCGGAAAGGGAAAUGAGUGGGGUGAUGGAAUUCAUGGACCAUAGUCAGCUACAAUGCCUAUACAAUGUGGUCGCUGAAGCCUUCGAGAGAGAAGGAGACUUGAAACAAAUGGAAUAUUUAUUAAGGCUACUGCAAUCAGAGAGAAUAAAACAAAGAUGUGUUCACCUUUGUCAUUUUAUAAGGAUUUAUGACAUAUAAGUGACUUUGAAGGGUACUUCUCAAAACUUUAUGCUAAUCUCAGAUUAGUCUAUAAAUGAUAAACUGUACAAAUGAUUUAUUAACUUUUAUAAAAUGUUUAUAGAUCUUUAUAAAUUGUUAUGAACUCUUAACUUUAUAGCUUCAAAUAAUGCAUCGAUAAGGUAGCCUUUAUGUUCUUAACAACAAAAAAUACAUUAUUUGUCUUCUACCAAAACUAUUUGUAUAUUAUCAAACAAAUAACAUUUCCGAAUAUGCUCAAUACCACCAAACAUAGUAGCUAUAAAUACAUUAUAAGUGAACUAGAAAAUCCUACAACUAUUCACCAUAAGAUAAUCUCUAUGAUUUUCAUGAUGCAAUCAUAUCUCACUUUUUUUAAAAGGGCAACCGCCUCGACAUGAAUAGCAACUACAAUAGUAAAUUUUCAAAUUAAUCAAAAUAGCUACUUAUAAAUGCCCAUAAAUAAAUUACACAAAUAGCGGUUUGGAGUCAGCAAUGGAACUAUCUAUGCUCUCUUAUUUGUGAUCAUAUUUUUCAUUUCUGUUGCAUUGAUCAAUGGCUUCGCACAAAUAUAAGUUGUUCUAUAUAUAAGAAAAGUCAUCUAUAUUUCAGCAUUAUUACAAUUUAUAAAGGGGUUUCUUAUGUUCCAAUUUUUAGUUUCAUUUACAUACUGCUUUUUAAGUUUUGUUUUAAUUUCCGAACAAAAUAUUUUCCUCAUUUUGUAAUAUGUUACAUUAUCAGAAUAUGUUUCUUGCCAAAAAUAAAAUAAGAAGAAUAUAUAAACAAAAAUUCAUUACAUACAUCUAAAUAAAACAUCAGUUUUACUUUAUGUUUAAAUUUCAAUUAAAUUAACUAUGUAACGACUAUCGAUUUUUACUCUACUUUUACUGAAUCAAUUUGCCAUAACCACUUAUGCUACUAUACUUUGAACUAAACAAUUUCAAAACAAAUUAAUACACUACGGCCGUUAACCAUUAUCAAGUGGAUCAGAAAAAUAUAAUUUUCUUUCAACAAAUUUUUAUUUUCAUAUUUUUGAACAUAUUUUCUUUACUAAAACUAUAAAAUAAAUUGUAAAUACAUGUAAAAAUAAAACAUACGAACCCGGCGCGUAGCGCCGGAAUACCACUAGUCUUAUCAUAAAGUAGAAUUUCCUCUCUCUCUUGGAGAAGCCACAUCAUCAAAUCAAAUUUUUCUGUGCUGACAUGUGUUCCUUUAAAACAAAAUGAUGCGUAUUAUUAAAUGAGUCAGCGAUAUGGUGGGUCUAACUAGACUUUGUAUUUAAAUAUCAUUAUUGUAGUUUACGCCUGGACUGAAUUGAUAAUUAGGCGCUUUUAACAAGUUAAAACAAAAUUUAUUAAAAACACGUGUACACACGUGUAAACAUGAAGAGAAAGUGAAAAAAGACGACCAAUUCAGAAGAACUGACAUCAAUCACCGCAUCUCUGACCAUCGCUUCAAGCUCCUUCUACAGGAAUCACCGGCGUUGAUCCACUCAAAACUUGAUACAACCACCUUAUAAUACAAACCAACAAAUUUCUAACCUAUCUGUGGAAGAAAAGCUUCGCCACAACUUGCAGUAGACCCUCACAUAAAGAUGAAGGAAGCAAGAUAUUAAUCUCAAACUUGGAGAGGUUCGAGCUCAGUUUGAAGCAUAUGCAUUGUUAGUGUUUAUGAACUGAGGAAGAAGAUGAAGUUGUAACUAACUUUCUCAUUUCUGUUAAGCGUAAAAGUGUACAACAUCAACCUUAUAUAGUGAGCUUUUCACCGGUUUACAAGAUAAAAUAAACCUGAGACUAUACUACGAUAAACCAAUAUUUAUAGCACUAAUAUUCCCCUCAAGAUGGAAAAUAUAUGGACUUUAAAGUCAUCUUGCCCACCAACGAAAAAAAUUAAGGAGAGAACAAAGCUUUGGUAAAGAUGUCAGCUACUUGGUUGUUGGUGCGAACAUGAAAAAGCUUGAUGAAACCGUAUACAACAAGCUCUCGAACCUGAUGACAGUCCAGCUCAAUAUGCUUUGUGCGUUUGUGAAACACCGGGUUGCUAGCAAUGUGUAUAUUUCCAUUGAGUCACAGUAGAUUGCUACUGGACCAUGCCAAGGAGAUUAAAGUUAUGCCAGCAGAUUACACAACCAAAUCACUUCAUGUGAACCAUAUUCCAUUGUUCUGUACUCAGACUCUGCCGAUGAAUGAGAUACAGUCUGUUGUUUCUUAGACUUCCAAGAGAUCAAGGCAUUUCCAAGAAAUAUGAAGUAUCUAGAGCUAGAGCGUUAUGAGUCUAAGCAAGAAGCCCAAUAUGCCUCGGAAAAUUCCUUGAGAACUAAGUCAGACUCAACAUAGUAGAAAAGACCUUGUCCAGAAGUGCCUUUCAAGUAACAAAGAACGUUUAGAGCUGCUUGAUGAUGAGACUUCUUCGGAGCUGAUAUAAAUUGACCGAGUUUGUUCGCAGCAAAAUUGAUAUCCGGUCUUGUGAUUGUCAAAUACAUCAAAUGUCUGACUAAUCUUCUAUAAGCAGCCUGGUCUUCAAGUAAUGGCUCUGUAGAAUGCAUACAAAGUUUAGCAUUAAGGUCCACAUGGAUAAGGGAUGGUUUAGACGCCAAGAGUCCAGUAUCCUCCAAUAGACCUAAUGUGUAUUUGCUUUUACACACUGAGAUGCCUCUUUUAGAACGUGCCACUUCAAGACCAAGAAAGUAUUUCAAAGCUCCAAGGUCUCGAAGCUUAAACGCAACACUCAAGUCAAGCUUUAACUGAUCAACAUCUUUAUCAUCAUUUUUGCAAUGAUAAUGUCGUCAACAUAAACCAAAACAGCUGUCUAAACGCCUUGAAGAUUUCGGAUAAACAAGGUGUGAUCAGCAUUUGAUUGACGGAAACCAAGAUAAAGUAGUGUAUCACUGAGAUAUUAGAGGUAUUAGAGGUAUCUAGCUGUGUAAGACUCUAUUUCGUUGUAGCUGACACUGAAAGAAGAGUUUUAACAGUGGUCACUUUGCCAACUGGUAAAAAGGUUUCAGCAAAAUUAAUACCAUCUUCUUGCGUGUAGCCUUUAGCUACAAGACGAGCUUUGUACCUCUCUAUUGUUCUAUCAGGAUUGAUCUUGAUUUUGUAGGCCCAUUUGCAACCAAUGACAUGCUUUCCUAGUGGUAGAGAACAAAUAGACCAAGUGUAUGUACUUUCCAACGCUAUAAGUUUCCCAUUAAUAGCCUUCAACCAUUCAUCAAAGCGUUUUGCUUGAGUAAAACUUGUAGGUUCAGGAUAUAGAGCAACAACACAUAUAUAUGUUUUGUAUUCUCCAGAAAUUUUUUCAUAAGACAUGUAUGAGGAGAGGGGAUAUGGGAUCUCAAAAUUCUUCUCAGCAACAUUGCAGUAAUAGUCUUGAAGAUGUGGUGGAAAUUUAGAGAUCCUUUUGCCUUCAGCAACUCAUUUUCCUUCAGCUUUAUCAACACUAGAAGAUCCUUCUUCUUUUAACAGUUCAACAUUCUAUGUUAUUGGAACAGAAACAUUUUCCGGUUAUGGAUGAGAAUCAGUAGUAUGUUCUGAGAUAUUCUCUGUUUCUUGAACAAAGGAGAAAAUAUCCUCAUAUGUAUCAGUCGUGGCUUUUGCAUAAGGAAAGAUCUCCUCAUGAAAGUAACAUUCCGAGAGAUAUGAACUUUAUUUGAUUCCUAAUCCAAUAGCUUGUAACCUUUGUAGUGUGGGAACCGAAAUUCGCACUGUCGAUUUCUGUCUAAAUUAGGAAACUAGGAAAACCCUAAUUCCCCAGAGGUCCCGUAGAUCUGUUAUUACCACACGCUAAGCAAUAAGAACACGAUAUACCAAUGACAAAGUAUAGAAAUCGUAAGAAGAGAGCAAAAUAGAUCUUAUUCCGAAUCUGUGUUUGAGCGUUACAACGAGGUAUAAGGCUGGGCUCGAGAGCUGUCGGCGAAAUUCCUAGUUCUAGCAACCCUAAGACGGCUAAACCUAAUUGAGUCGCAGCUCUAAAUAACAAAAACAGAAAUAUGCCUAAAUCACUCUAAGUGCUAAGUUUUCUCUGAAAAAGUCUCUAUCCCAUGCCUCUCGCCUAGGACUCCUUAUUUACUUGCUCCUAGGUCGGUUUAUGCUUUUCCUCUUCUGCCCUUAAGCCGUCAUAGCAUAAAAUGGAGAUAUUCCAUUUUUUCCGAUCUUCGUAAUUAUCUUCAAAAUUUCGUAUUUAUCCGCGGAAACUUGACAUUUAUCUUUCCUUGCGAACCAAGCGUAAACCGUCAUGCGGCUUAUGGGCUGUUGGUUAAGAAAUCAUAAGUUGGGCCUCGAGUCAUGUCUUAGGUCCCUUUGGGCCGUCUUCUAACUCGAAGUGUUUAUUAUGGCUUUUUUCGAUAAAGAACAAACUUUCCACGGUUUUUACCGUAAAGUUUGAUUGAUGACUUAGAAUGGUGGAAAACAUGAAAUGGGUUCGCUACGGUCUUCGGGAUAUAGCAUCGAAGGAUAGACGAGAAUGCAUGGACUAGUAUCGUAUCGACGUUUAUCAUGUCUUAGGUCCCUUUGGGCCGUCUUCCGACUCGAAGCGUUUAUUACGGCUUCUUUCGAUAAAGAACGAACUUUCCACGGUUUUUACGGUAAAGUUUGAUCGAUAACUUAGAAUAGUGGGGAAUCGUGAAAUGGGUUCGCUACGGUCUUCGGGGGAUAGCAUCGAAGGGUACACAAGAACGCAUGGACUAAUGUUGUAUCGACGUUUUGGAAGAGCUCAGUCGCUACGUAGCGACCAAACAGAACGCACGCUUGGUCGUUACAUAGCGACUGAGUGGGACAGACGCUCGAUUGCUACGUAGCGACCGAGCUUGGCUCGAGCUCGGUCGCUACGUAGCGACCAAGUGGGACGCGCGCUCGGUCGCUACGUAGCGAUCAAUCUUGGCUCGAGCUCGGUCGCUACGUAGCAAUUUCAACUCGUGGAAGAAGUUUUUCUUCUUCGUUCUUAUAGACGCUACGUCUGUCGAAGAGAAUUGUAUUCCAUUGUUCCGGAGGUUGCCGAACGAUCGUCCCUUCAUCAAUCCGCUUGCUCCGUUCCCCGAAGAUAUUAUCACAGUGAGGGAUCUUCUCAGGAAUGGUCCAUUUUUCUGGACUUCCUUUACGCCGAAGCGAGUUCGAAAGGCGUUGAGGUUUGUGCAUCCUGGUCCUGUUUCGGGCGUGGAAACAGGGAGUGACUCCAAGCCCGAUGACCAAGGUCCCGAUGCUGCUCCCACGGUUGCAACGGGGUGGAACUCUUCGAAGGGGAAAGAUAUUGACCUUGGCGACAUAGAGUUUUCGGUGGAUGAUUCUAUGCUUCCAGGAUGGGAUCCAGACCUUGCUUACGGCGAUGGAAGCGGUACGAGCGAGGUCCCUAUUCCGGACUUUGAUUAUUUCUUUGCUGGUAUACCCUCGGGCUUCGAUGCUCCUCUGCCUACGAACGAAUCGGGGAGGCCGAAAGUCAUCGCGGAAGGGUCUCUCAUCAUCAACGGGGUUAGUUUUCGAAAAUUACGGCGAUUGCCUUAAGUAUUUCUUUUUCCGCUUACAACGUGUUAAUCGGUUUUGCAGGGCCUGAACUUGCUUGGCUCGGCCAUUGAGGCGAGCCAUAGAGAAGUCAUGGUCUAUCGCUUUAAAGCGGAGAAAGCGGAAAGGGAUCUUGCUCGCAUGCAAAGCGAGAUGUUGGAGCGAGACGCGCAACUCGAUCGUGAUCAUGCAAGGGCUGUUGGCAUGGCGGAACGGAAGGGCAAGAGGGAGAUUGUCAAGGUGAUGAAGACUCGCGCCUCUCAAUUCCAGAUCGAGUACGGGAACCUCAAGGAUGCUUUCACCUCGGUGGGCGAUUUCCGUGAGUGUCGCGGUUCAGUCGGGAGCCUUUGGAAGACGCAGGCGGACGACUACGUUUUCAAGAAGGAGAUGGAGUUCCUCACGCUGAGGCGCUCAUUCCUCCGAUCGACGAGAGGAUCCAGGGAUUCUGGGAUCCUAUCCCGGUUUCUCCCGAUACUGUAGAGACCACGACCGAGUUUCCCAGUGAUUGCGAGGAGGUGGAUUGUCCUGCGGAUGCGUUUGGAGCUUCGUUGUCCGUGAACUUUUACUUUGAACCUUGAGAGGUGGAGUGAUCAUAUAGAGGGAGGAGGUUGUUUAUUUAUCAUGCGUUUGUUGCCGAGUAUGGCUUUUAUUUGUCUUUUCCUGCCGAGUGUGGCUGUGAUUUCGAGACAUCACAUGGGCCUGUUUUGGCCAUUUUAUCGUUUACCGGGACUGGCCGUCGGUGGCUUUGAAUCCCUACCGCUUUAUGCGGUCUUUAUAUAUAUGAUGGGCGUUUUAUUUCGAAUUGUUGUGAGCAAAUUUGAAGUAAAUUUGAGUUGUCGUCUCAUAUUUAAUUCUGUUGGGACUUUCAAUCUGUCGGUACGUUGAGAUGUGAACGGAGAGACAUGGUUUAGUAUCUCGUAUCGUUUAGAUAUCAUGUCUUGAGAUGUCUGAGACCAAUGCGAUGGGUUUAGGGCAAGACCUAGGUUUAAUCUCGGUUUAAGGUUUGUGCGGUGACUAGCCGCCUAUCGAUUUUCUUGUUGCGAUUUCUACCUGAUUCGUACCGAUUUAAAGUCCGCGAUAGGUUCUCGGCUUAUAUGACUUGUAUGGUAUGAACCGAGCAUCUUUCCAGAGACAAUUUUUAAGCCAACUGGAAGUGCUAGACCAAAAUUUCGGAUUUUUUUGUAGCGCGCUUUCGUCCUCGUGUUGGACGUUCGAAGAUCAAAAGAGUGAUCAAGUUGCGUUUGUUUAAGAUGGCUGGCGUGUUCGUCGGGGCCAAUCGACGAACGGGGUGUAAGGUUUUUGUGGUCGUGGUCUGACAAUUUGUUCGCAUCAUCUCGAAUUUUAACUUGGCGACGUCUCGCAAUUGUUUCGAAGACUAUACGUAUAUCUUAAGUGCUGAGGGAGGAUUAUUUUGCGAUUUUGGGCAGGAUGAGGCCGCUGACAAGAGUCUUAACGUUUGCAGAUUUUCUAGGCGUGUCCUGAGACUUUUGCGUUAACUAAAGCGUAAGCGUUUUAAUUAAAAAGGAGCAGUGCAUAUUGUAGUAAAAUUUCUCGAAAUCUCAUAAAAAACUCGAUUAGAAUAACGCGUCUUUUCCUAUGUGGGAGUAUACGAGAAUACGCACCCACUGCCCCCCCCCCCUUUUUAGAGAGGGAGAUAGCUGAACUCGUCUUUCGACGAGCUGCCUACGUACCUAUUUCGAGGAUCAAGCCAUCUCGUAGUUCUGUUUUAUGCCGCGAGCGUUUUUACUCAGCGGUUUUCGCCGUGUUGACCGCCUUGAUCGUGAUGACCGUGGCUGGGUCAGUGCUCUUUUCCGGAUGGUCCGGUAGUGUUGUAGUGUCGGCUUCGGACUUGUGUUGAGUUUCGACGUCCGAAGCGUUUGCGUCGGCGGACAAUGUUAAUUCAUCUUUCCUUGAAGCGUUUUUGGCCGAAGAUUGAUCUAUCAUCGUGCGCUUGCGAUUUGCCAUCGCAGAAGUCGCGGUUUGCCUUAACUUGUGCUCCGCAAGGAAGCAUAGUCGCGACUGUUUCUGACAUCCCCAGAUAGUUGCGACUCCGUUUUGGGGUCGGGAAUUUGACACCCAGGUAGUAUGUCGAUGGAACCGCUUGCAUGGCGUUGAGCCAUGGGGUUCCCAUGAUCACGUUGUAGAUGGCAGGAUGAUCGACCACCGCGAACUCGACGAUUUUCGUGAUCUCCUUGGCCAUGACUGGCAGCUGGAUUGACCCGAGGGUCAUCGAUACUUCGCCUGAAAAACCCGUGAGCGGUUUCGGCGUUGGAGUUACUUCUCCGAGUUAGAUGCUCAUCCGAUUGAGAGUGUCGCGGAAGAUUAAAUUGACCGUGGUUCCCGUGUCAAUGAGUACUCUUCCGACUUCCAGAUCUCGUAUGACGAGAUCUAUGACGAGCGGAUCGCAGUGAGGUUGAUCGAUCCCGCCAGCUUCCUCCUUCGUGAAGGUGAUUGAGCAAUUUUGACCGUCUCGGGGAGGAGACCAUGUAGGCCAGUUUGCACUCGACUCUGCCUUCCGCUGAUAAGCCUUGAUGGCCGAAACCGUAUCGUUGCAGUAUUGCAAUCCUCCGAUGAUCAUAUUGACUCUGCGAUGAUUGUUAUCGUUUCCCUUGUUGUCCGGCCUUCUGCCGCGUUUAUCCCCGGAUUGGUUUCUUUGAGGGGAUUUCUCCGCGGGCGGAUUUCUGUCCGUCUUCGGGGGGCGAUCGGUCUGGAGGAUGAGAUCUUUCACGCUGGUCACUUCCGAGAGCUCUCCAGCUAGUAGCUUCGCGGCCAGCCUUGCUCCCAAGACUUUGCAGUUAGUCGUGGAGUGUCCUCGGGACUGGUGGAACUCGCAGAAGGUGUUUUCGUCAUAUCGUUGAUUGCGAGUCCAUGUGUUACCUGUGGUUCGGCCUUGGUCUGAACUGAUCGCGUAAUUGUGCGCUCCUUGCAGACUUCCCCCUCGUGAUGGACAUACUUGUCGUUACGAGAGUUCUUCUUCUUCGUUUUCGGAUCCACGUCUUUCGAGGAUGGUCUUGCCGACUUAUUUUUUUUUUGCGACAAGACUUUCGUUUCUUCCUCGAUUAUGAUGUAGUCCGUUGCCUUGUGGAGGGCGUCCUGGAUCAUCCGCGGUUUGUCGAGGGUUAUCCAUUUUCUGAAUUUCGACUUGUACGAGAGCGUUUUUCUGAGCGCGUCAAUGGCCACCUUGUCGCUUAUCCCGCUGACCCUGGACAUUACCAGCUUGAAUCGGCUGAUGAACUUGCGGAGGGGUUCGUUCUCUCUCUGGGACAGACUCCAGAGAUCGACAUCGGAAGUUUCUUUGUCUAUGAACAUAGAAUAUUGUUUGAGAAAUUCUGAUGCGAGCUGUCGGAAACUCCCGAUAGAGUUUCGCUUAAGGCGUGCGAACCAUUCAAGGAAUGCUCCUUCCAGACUCUUGACGAACUGGCCGCAAUAGCUGGUGUCUUUUUCGCCGUCCUUCAGUCUCGCUCUUCCCAUCGUAAUGUGGAAAGCCUGAAGGUGCGCCUUCGGAUCGGUCAUACCAUCAUAUUUUGGUACUUUGAUUUUUCCCGGAUCGGAUACCCUCAUAUCUGAGAUGCGAGUGGUGAAGGGGGUCUUCCGAGCCCCUUCCAGUAGCAUGUCGAUCUCGGGGGCAGAGCUGGUAGCGUGAUGGAUUUGGGAUUUUACGGCUCUUACUUCUGCUGCAGUCUUGGUGAUAUAGUCGCGAAGAUCGCGGAUAUCCGAUGUCUCGCCAGCAGAUUUCCGAGCCUGUCAGCGUUUACUGCGAGUGAGCUCGGUUUGCUUUUCAGCCAGCUCUUCUUGUUUUUUCCAAUAGAUGAUUUCCUCCUCUUCUGUCAUUGGUUUGUCGAACGUAGAGUUUUCCCGAGCAGAUCGGCUUCUGGUCCUUCUUGGAUGUCUGUCGACGUCCUCAUCACUAUCGUUGGAGACAUCGCUAGGAUCCAGGUCGACGUGCUCGACUUCGUUAUCCAAAUCCUUCGCGGUAGGCGGAGGACUUUCAGGAUUCCCCUUUUCGGUGGGAGAUUUUUCGCUAGGGUUUUGACCCGAAGGUCGUUCCCGCACGGCUCCAGGCCUAUCGAAUGGGGUGGCGAAGUCGAGUCUUUUCCUGCGGACUUAAGGUGGUUCUGCGGGGACGGAUCGCUCGGGUCCUUGCCGUUAAGGUUUCAACCUGUUUGGUCAAGGUGCUCACGAGCCUGUCCUGUUCUUCCGACCUUUUUUCGUAGGUGGCGAACAUCUUAUCAAACUCCUCGAGCGCCGCGUCGUUGGCUGGUUCUUUGGCCGCGGAUACGUCCGCUGCUGGAAGAGGAGUCUGCAUGUUAUCCGCGUCGUCAGUUGACAUGUCUGGUUGAGCGUGAUGUGGUUGAGAGUUAGAUUGAUCCGUACCCCCCCCCCCUCCUUCUAGCGCCAAACUGUGGAAACCAAAAUUCGCACUGUCGAUUUCCAUCUAAAUUAGGAAACUAGGAAAACCCUAAUUCUCCAGAGGUUCUGGAGAUCUUUUAAUACCACACGCUAAGCAAUCAGAACACGAUAUAUCAAUGACAAGUAUAGAAAUCGUAAGAAGAGAGCAAAAUAGAUCUUAUUCCAAAUCUGUGUUUGAGCGUUACAACAAGAUAUAAGCCUGGGCUCGAGAGCUGUCGGCGAGAUUCCUAGUUCUAGCAACCCUAAGACGGCUAAACCUAAUUGAGUCGCAGCUCGAAAUAACAAAAACGGAAAUAUGCCUAAAUCGCUCUAAGUGCUAAGUUUUCUCUGAAAAAGUCUCUCUCCCAUGCCUCUCGCCUAGGACUCCUUAUAUACUUGCCCCUAGGUCGGUUUACGCUUUUCCUCUUCUGCCCUUAAGCCGUCAUAGCAUAAAAAUGGAGAUAUUCCAUUUUUUCCGAUCUUCGUAAUUGUUUUCAAAAUUUCGUAUUUAUCCAUGGAAACUUGACAUUUAUCUUUCCUUGCGAACCAAGCGUAAACCGUGAUGCGGCUUACGGGCUGUUGGUUAAGAAAUUGUGAGUUGGGCCUCGAGUCAUGUCUUAGGUCCCUUUGGGCCGUCUUCUAACUCGAAGCGUUUAUUACGGCUUCUUUCGAUAAAGAACAAACUUUCCGUGGUUUUUACCGCAAGGUUUGAUUGAGGACUUAGAAUGGCGGAAAACAUGAAAUGGGUUCGCUACGGUCUUCGGGAGAUAGCAUCGAAGGGUAGACGAGAAUGCAUGGACUAAUGUCGUAUCGAUGUUUUGGAAGAGCUCGGUCGCUACGUAGCGACCGGGCUUGGCUCGAGCUCGGUCGCUACGUAGCGACCAAACAUGAAAUGGGUUCGCUACGGUCUUCGGGAGAUAGCAUCGAAGGAUAGACCUAGUGCGUAUCGACGUUUCGNNNNNNNNNNNNNNNNNNNNNNNNNNNNNNNNNNNNNNNNNNNNNNNNNNNNNNNNNNNNNNNNNNNNNNNNNCGGAAGAGCUCGGUCGCUACGUAGCGACCGAAGGCACGAGCUCGGUCGCUAUGUAGCGACCGGACAGCGUGCAUGUGCGGUAGUAGCGUAAUGGCCGAGCUUGGUUUGUCCGUGUUCCGAUCGUCAUACUCGAACCUAUCCGUAGUUGGUUUGGGUAUGUUUCCGAUAGCUUAUGUUUGAUCUAAAUAGAAUUCGAACGAAGCUUUAUCUUGGGAACAUACGUUGUGACGUUUUCUUGACCGAGCACGAUUUGUUGCGGAAAGACACACUUGCAUUUUGCAGAGAUUUGGACGUUGACUUCGUCGUAACCGUUUUUGACCCCAACAUGUAGCCUGAAUGAUAUCCCAAAAACACACACGCUUUAGAACGAGGCUGAAAUUUGUUUCUAUCUUAGGUGAAGUUGAGCAAUAAGCGAGGCAACCAAACACCUUUAGACCAUCAUAAUCAACUUUCUUCAGAGUAUAAACCUCAUAUGGAGAUUUUUCUUUAAGAAGAGGAGUAAGAAGUCUGUUGAUGGUAAACACUGCAGUGAGAAUGUAAUCACCCCAAAACUCUAGAGGAAUGUGAGAUUGGAACAUCAGAGCACGUGCAACAUUAAAUAUGUGCUGAUGUUUCCUUUCCAUUCUUGAGUUUUGUUCUGGAGUCUCUGGACAAGAAUGAUAAGCCUCAAUACCUUUCUUCUUAUAGAGAUCAACAAACUUCAAUUCAGGAGCAUUAUCUGAUCUUACUGCCUUGACAAUAGCCUUGUAUUGUGUUUCAACCAUAUGAAUGAACUCGGGAAACACUGUUAAGACCUCAUCCUUAGUGCAAAUAAGAUAAACCCAAGUCACACGUGUAUGAUCGUCGACAAUAGUCAGAAAAUAUAUGAAACCCUCAACUGUAGACACAAAAAACGGUCCCCAUAUGUCUAUGUGUAAGUGAUAUCGCUCAAAUUAUCCUAAAAAAUGAUUUACACUCUAAAAUAAGAGGUUCAAUUGUAGUACUUAGGGAUCGAAUACACAAGGAGCUAGGGUACACAAUAGAUCCUAAUCAACAGUGAUUAAGCUAGGUAAAUUAUGAAAACAGUAAACAACAAGCAAGGCGAACAAGGCAGUUGUUCAGUUUGAUUAGUUUGAGGUUUGUAAACAGGUAUUAGAAAUCACUAGAUCUAGGGUUUAUAUUCAGGUAAUUAUGAUUAUAGAGGUAUAGAAUACUUCGGUUGUCAAUCCUAGAACUCGACUUCUACUGUAAAGAUACCCAACUUUCGCAUGUGAUUCUUUUGUUUUGACUAAGUCCAAUAUCUCAGUUGUCGCUUGUUGAUAUGGAUCGAACGUCGAUCGAUGUUUAGGUAAGAACGUCGAUCGAUGUUCACUUAGACAUGCCUUAAAGAGUUGAUCGAUAGGUUCGGUAAUAUUGUCUAAAUCAGUUUUCGCUUGUUUCUAGCAAUACUAGCUGAAAGGAAUUAAUUCUGGUGCAAAACCUACCGUUGUAGUUGUCCGCAAUCCUAACUAAGUUCAAGGUUCUAGUUAGCUACUAUAGAACACAAGCAUUAAUCACAAUUCUGUGAAUGAUAUUUAUCACCUUAGAAAUUCUAUAUUUUGGGUUAAUCCUUCAUAACCUAUUUGAACCCUAAAUCUAACAGAUGAAUUACUCAGACAUAGCAAAGCAAUUCAUAAACAUAAACUGAAAAAUGCAUAAAUAGAAUAGAGUUAGAAAUAGUGGAGUUCCAAUACAUAUCUCGGAAGAAGUCUUGGAUCUUUUCUCCAAAUCUACUAAAAACCCUAAGUAUUGUUUGCAAUAAAAAAUAGAAAAUAUGAAAGCGUGUGUUGCCUAGAACAAUUAAAGAGGACAUAAAUAUUAGGUUAAAAUAGGCUAGGGAUACUUCUAUAAAUGUGUUGUGACUGGGACUUAAGUCGGCUGAAAACCUAGACGGGUCUCGUGCGCUUCGCUGUCGAUCGAUGGCACAUGAUGUGCAUCGAUCGAUAUUUAUCUCUGAUUGUCGACCUUCGGACUGGUUUGAUGGUCAGCUAUGGGUUUCUUCUCAUUUUAUCUCCAAAAUGUACCAAAAUAACCACUUUCCUCCAAAACACUCCUGAACCUGUAAAUAUGCUAAAAAGACUCCAAAACAUAAUAAAUAGUUCCUAAAAUACCUAUAUACCAUGGCUAAAAAUAGGUAAAAUCUAUGGUAUAUCAACUCCUCCACACUUAUCCUUUUGCUUGUCCUCAAGCAAAACAAAGAGUAGUCUUUAUGAAAGAGGUUUGAAAACGGCAGAGACUCACAUAAUUUAAGAACUCACCAUCAUCACCUCUACAAUGUUGCAAGUCACAUCAAAUCAAUUCAAACUUUUGAGGUAUUCUAUAUACCAUAUCAUAGCUUAGCAACCAAAUCCAUCUAACCAGCAACUUAGCUAAUAAUGUCUAACUAUCCCAUCUACUGACCUCUUUUAUUACAUAUAUAAAAGUGUAGGCUUUACCUUGGGAGUAUCGAUCAAAAGACACAUGGACUCUUAAUCAAGCAAGUUUCUGAACAUACAUGUAGUCUUAUCUGAUCCAUUUCUUCCCUCUUUUUCUCUUCCUGAAUCUCAAUUCCAGUGAACAAUGAUGCUGAUACAGUCCAUCUUAUUCAUCUUCUUUUCGAUUUUUCUUUCUUUUUUUUCUCAUUUUUUUUAUUUCUUGGCAAAGUGUAGGCGAAUAAUGGAGGUAACAGGAGACACUCCUAUCCCUCGCUUCCAACGAUGUGUGAUCAUUCCAUUAUAGUGGAAUAAUGGGGUCGCAUGAGACACUCCUACCCCUCUAAACCGUAGGAAAUAAUUUUAAUCUUUUAUUCUUAUGAAUGCCGAAGAGAGAGAGAGAAGGGAAUCAGAAACACAAAGCUUUUUACCUUCCAGACUUGCAGGAGGAAUCCGAUCUAAUGUAUACCAAGCCCCAAGAAAAGCAGAUUAAGCUCAGUUAGGUUUGAGGUCAGCUUUGGUUCCUUCAAACAUUCUCAGCAAGUAUGGAGAUUUGGCAGGUGAUCCACUUUAGUAUCUCUAAUACACUAUGCAGUUAAUAAAUCUAAGAGUGGUGCUAGAGAGUUGUUAGAUAUUAAGUGAAAUUGAAAAAGUUCAUUGUCCAUUUCUUGACUCAAUAAAAAACUUUUUGAAUUUUUUUUAUAAAACUCAUAAAUAAACUAAAUAUUAGUAAGCCUCCUCCCGGACUUAAAUACACUGUCCCCAGUGUAUAUCUAGUCGAAGUUUGGUGAUAACAUAAAUCAUAAGUACACAAUUUAACAAGGAAAAACGAUAUACCUGGCCGCCGAUGUUGAUGUCGAUCGACACAAUUAAGUGUCCGUUGAUCGUUGCUGGUGUGGUACUGUCGAUCGAUGUCGACCUUUUCUCAUCGGUCCAUAGGCUGAGCAAUCGUCUCCUCGGAUAUCUUUUAAUUUGUUUUUUUUGACCUGCAAUAAAUUAAAUGCAAAAAUCAGUAAUAAAUUCAAAAUAAAACUAAGUAAAACUUACCUAAUAGUGGGUUGUCUCCCACUCAGCGUUUUGUUAUAGUCAUUUAGCUUGACUUUUGAAGGUUGGUUGACUAGUAUGGAGGGGACUGACUACUUGCUGAAAAACAAGUGCUACAUCUUCUUUGCUCAUCUGAAACCAGGUACCAACGAAGCCUCUUAUGGCUUCAUCUCCUCUGGUCCACUGGUUUUUCAGUAUCUCCUUAUCAACCUCAUUGACAUGCAUCCUGUACUGAAGGUUUCCAAUACAGCCUUGCUGCAUUCUAAGUCUGGCAUGAGUUGUUUUCUCGACGUCCUCAAAUCUCUGGGAAAAAUCCUCCUUCAUCAAGUCUUGAGAAAAAUUAAUCUCAUCAAGCUUGUCUUCUAAUAGCUUCACUGUUACCAGCCUUCCUCGUAAAGAUGCGUGACUAUUAUCGAUCGAUGGUUGUGUGUAACCGUUGAUCGAUGCUUCUGAUCGGAUCACAUUUUGUUUCCGAAUCACGUCUAUCUCCUCUUUCAGCUCAUCCAUGCGUACAAUUAGUCUGUCAAUGCUGUUGUUGAUCGGGUAGUAGACAUCAUCAAGCCUCCUGUAGGAGUCAUCCAGUGAAAUCUCCUAGGCUUUAUAGGUCACAUGUACCAUGUCAUCAAUCUCUGCUCUGUUAUAAGUGUCUGGUGAUAUCACUCAAAUUACCUUAAGGAGUGAUUUAUACUCUGUCAAAUAAGAGGUCGAGUUGUAGCACUGAGGGAUCGAAUUCACAGGGACUAGGGCACACAAAAUAUCUAAUAGUUAUAUGGUUAAGCUAGGCUAAUAGAUUAUAAAGCUGUAAAUAUAGUAAACUUGGAUGGGCGAACAAGGUAGUUGUUCUUAUGGGACUUAGAGUUGUUUGAUGGAAGGAUGGUUUCUAGAUCUAGGGUUUCUAUUCAGGUAAUCAGGAUUAUAAUGAUAUAGAGACUAAUUGUUGUAUGCAAGAUAUUAAAGAGCUCAACACUUAUAAGAACAAAUCGAUCAGCAUUCGCCUUCUAGAUUCGUCCAUUGACUAUAUCUAAUGAUCUCAACAAUCGAUUUUCGAUCAAUUAGAAAGUGUCGAUCGAUGAUUUUAGAGGAAUAUCGAUCGAAACACCUUUCACGACGUCGAUCGAUUAUUCUAUUGAAAUAUUGAUCGACACCUUUCUAGCAACCUUUGCGCGCGGGUUGAUAAAGUACUCACUAGGGUUGUAGAUUAGUUGCAUCUCACGGCUCUUGAGGCCGUGUUUCUUGUCAGCGAGGUAAGCACUAUUCCCACUCUAUGACGUUGCUUGAUCCAUCAACGUGCAUGACCUAUUCUCCCUCUUCCUUGGUUUCGCUUCAGAGGCAUACUUCUUGUUCAAGAGCCGGGAGCAAGGUCGGGUAGAACUUGGCCACAAAGUCUGCCAGGACCUGUGACUUUAUAGAUGUGGCUGGUCGAAAGAUUACGUCGUACUCCCCUAGUUCCACAGCCCAUUUAGCUAAGCGUCCGGAGACUUCGGGUUUGUGGAGAACCAACUUUAUAGGGAAGGAGGUGACAACCAAAAUUGGGUGAGCCUGGAAGUAGGGUCGCAGCUUACGAGCGCGACUAUCAGGGCUAGGGCCAGCUUCUCCAGAUGGCUGUAGCGGGUUUCCGCAUCCAGGAGAGCCUUAUUUACAUAGUAGAUUGGUAGCUGCUUGCUUCCCUCCUCGCGUAUUAGGACGGCGCUUACGGCGUGCUUCGAGACUGCUAGAUACAACAGCAUGACCUCGUCGAGCAGUGGCUUGGAUAGGAGAGGAGGAGUGGUGAGAUACUCCUUAAGCUCAUGGGGAGCGGAUUCACACUCUUCCGUUCACUGGAAGUCCUUUGGGGUUUUUGAGGGUUCCAAAGAAGGCAUGAGAUUUGUCGGAGAUUCUAGAGAUGAAUCUAUUCAAUGCCGCCAUUCUUCCUGUUAGCCUUUGAACCGCCUUGACGUUCUUCAGGGAAGGGAUCGAAUGAAUGGCUCUGAUUAGCUCUGGGUUGGCCUCAAUGCCCCGGUGGGUUACAAUGUACCCGAGGAACUUGCCGGAUCUGACCUGGAAUGAGAAUUUGGCUGGUUGAGUUUCAUGUUGUGCUUCCUGAGAGUGGAGAAGGCUUGUUGCAGGUGGGAUAUGUGGUCUUCAGCCUCUAGGGACUUGACCAGCAUGUCAUCGAUGUAGACCUCCAUGGUUCGCCCUAUCUGCUCUGCAAACAUCAUUUUCACCACUCGCUGGUAGGUUGAUCCCGCGUUUUUCAAGCCAAAGGGCAUAACCUUGUAGCAAUAGAUCCUUCUGGACGUCAUGAAGGAUGGUUUCUCAUGGUUUUCUGGAUGGAUAAGUAUUUAAUUAUAGCCGGAGAAAAACGUCCAUGAAGCUCAUCAGCUGAUGCCCCGCGGUGGCGUCGACCAGCUUGUCGAUAUGAGGUAGAGGGAAGGGGUCCUUUGGACAUGACUUGUUGAGGUCCAUGAAGUCUAUGCAUACUCUCCACUUCCCGUUCUUUUUCUUGACUAUGACAACGUUGGCUAGCUGAUAUACCUUGGAUUUGACACAUUUUUAUCCAUGGUAUAUAAGUAUUUUACUAUAUAUAUAUCUAUGUUUUCUACUCUUCUAGGUAUGUUUUCAGGUUCAGGUGCAUUUCGGAGUAAAGCUAUGAUUUUGGAGCAUUUUGGAGCUUAAAGGACAUUUCACCCGAGCUGACCACUUAGAGGUCGACGAGAGGAAGAACAAUCGAUCGAUGCACAUCAGUGCUGACGAUCGAUAUCAGGAAAUGCCUCGACAGAUGAAGAUUAAUAUCGAUCGAUGUACACAAGUACCAUCGAUCGAUGUCGAGACACCAGACGCGACAUUUUGGAUUCAGCAGACUUAAAAACCAAGGCCAAGCCAAAUUACCAAAAUGCCCUGAUUGGAACUCCUUGUUUUCAUUUCUUUUCAUCUAUACUAUGAGUUUCUAUUCCUUUAUUGUUAUGAAUUGCUUUGCUAUGUCUGAGUAGUUCAACUGUUAGAUCCAGGGUUCAGAUAGGUUUGUGGGAUUAGCCCCAAACUAUAGAUCUGCCUUGUGAUAUUCAUGAUAGAUUUGUAUUCAUUGCUUGUUUUAGCCUUGCUAACUAGAACUUGAUCAUAGGAUUGCAUACUCAAGCACCCUUGUUAUCCCAUCCUGACAUCUAUCUAUCAUAUUAGGACUGCUAGACAGGGCUAAUCGCCAAUUUAGCAUCUUAGUAGGGCAUUUCAUACUCGCGCAUAGGCCUGGCUAGAACCCGUCGAUCGAUGUGCUCAACUGACUAUCGAUCGACAUUGGCAAAGGUGUAUCGGUCAACGUCUUAAUAGACCAUCGAUCGACACUCUCUCGUUGUCUGCAUACUAACCGUUGAGACACGAGAUCUAGUCUAUUAACCAGUGGUACAUGCGACAGCUGAUCACUGAGUUAAGCGAAUGAGCUCUAAUAUAUCAUGCAUGCAACAGUUAGGCAUCUAUAGGUACUACAUCUGAAUCUCUUUUGAUGAGAGUAACACUCGUUAGGGCAAUUUGAGUGGUAUCAAAUUUGGCACCGUUGCCGGGGAGCUUUGAUCGCCAUUAGAUUUAGUUUUAUUGAUUCUUAUUCUUUUUUCUACCCCCUUUCUAAUAAUCUUUUUCUUGUCUUUUCAGGUGCAUGCCCAGCGGUACCAGAAGAAACAAGGAGAAAGACUUGCUGUUCUCAGACGAUCCUGCUCAUUUGGAAUGCACCAUCCGUAGAGGUAAACGUUCCACAUCGCUCGACGCAACAACUUCAUCGUCUAUCGAUACGCACAACCAACCGUCGACCGACACCAGACCAUCAUCGUCGAUCGAUCCUGAUCGUUCGACAAUGAUCGAUACUACACCGCGUACGACGAUCGAUACCGUGUCGUCAAAAAUGGUAAACAUUAUUAUUCUAACUCAGGACGAGAACGGAAACCUGUAUGACAAGGCCGGUCAUCUGCGUAAUGCAACAGGUCAGAAAAUAGAUGCUCAGGGAACUGUAAUCCCUGAUGCUGAUGCUACAGGAGCUGCUCAACUUGUAGACGAGGACGCUCGAUCGAAACCACUGGCCGACUACAAUCCCCCAGAUGAGUACUAUUCCAACAGAUCAGCUACUCGACUUCCGGAGAUCCAGAAGCAGAAUUUCGAGCUGAAGCCUCAAUACUACACUCUCGUGUCGCAGAUACCCUACUCUGGGUUACCGCACGAGCAUCCUAUGGACCAUUUGGAACGGUUCGAGGAUCUAAUCACUGCUAUUCGGAUGGAAGGAGUCCCCAAAGAUUACCUGCUGUGCAAGCUCUUCAGAUACACGCUUAAUGGAGAAGCGAUGCACUGGCUUAGGCAGCAACCCACAGGAUCUUUAACAUCCUGGAACGAUAUCAAGAAUGCUUUCUUACGAAACUUCUUCGAUGAGGCGCGCGCUGAAGAACUUCGGAACAAAAUUUCCACAUUCUCGCAGAAGGUUGGAGAGUCUUUCAAAGAUGCGUGGAUUAGAUUUAGGUUCUUCCAGCGAGACUGUCCACACCACAGAUUUAACGAAGUGCAGCUGCUAAGCACUUUCUUCCGAGGUCUCGCCUUACAGUAUCAAAUAGCCCUUGAUACGGCGAGUGAAGGAAACUUCACUACUCGGAAUACGUUAGAAGCUGUGAGACUUAUCGAAAACCUUGCUAACAGCAGCAGCACCAAAAACACUGACUCUGAACGGAAGAAGUCUGUAGCCUCUAUCGGGAAGGAACAGAUGGACGAAGUAAGAGCUAAGUUAGAUGUGGUGCACGAGCUUCUUAAGAAGCAAGUCUGUUCAGCUGAAGGAGAAGUAGCAGAUACGGAAGGAGAAGAAAAUGUGAACUACAUCGGAGGUACCGGAUUCCAGAAAUUUGGAAACCAGGGCGGAAACAGAAACUUCUUUGAAAAUGGCCAAAGAAGUAACCAAAGUUUACAAUUUCAAAAACCCUUCAACAACAACAAAAUCUACUCGAACUCUUACUACCAAAAUCCACCACCCCAGACUCAGGAAAGCAAGAUCGAAGAAAUGCUUGAUCGAGUACUGUUGGGACAACAACAAAUCACCGUGGAUUUCAACGGUAAAAUAGACUCCGCCUACAACAAUCUGAACACCAAAAUCGAGACCUUAGGGACUCAGGUGAGAAAACUUGAAACCCAAGUAAUUCAGACGGGCGAGACUAUAAAGAGGCAAGAAGCUUUCGCUAGAGAGGUAGGAUCCGACAAAGGGAAACACCACGUAAAUGCCAUCAUAGAUGAUGAUUUCUGGCAAGUGGUGAAAAAUGAAAAGCUUGAGGAAGGAGACUUCGAAAUCGAAAGCUCCAUGAGUCUCGGCGGAUCCCAAUGGUGUCGACCGAUGUCGAUGAACUCGCAUCAAUCGACAGACCAUGAUGAAGAUCGAUCGACAGAUUACUCCAGUCAUCGAUCGACGUCGUCUGCCAAAUCGACUGAAUGCAAUGCGGUUCGAAUUCUAACUCAUGAAGAAUUCGCAGCUAAGCAUCCUCACCCACCCUCCCCUUUCUAUGAUAAAAUCGAUCGAUCGGUUGAGCCAACCAUCGAUUGACAGAGUGAGUCCGACGUCGAUAAUCACAACACACCUCCCAUCAAUUGACAGGCACCAAUGACAUACCGAGUGCGGUUACCCUCAAUAGAUAAUGAUUACACCAACGCACUCAGACCACCACCUAACCCAUUAGCUAACCCACCCGAACCAAAACUCAACCCUUUAAAUAGUUCACCUGAAUCAGUUCAAGAAGAACAAGAAGCUGAAGGGAGAAGGUUAAGGAAAAGAAAGGAGAAGAUUCCUAAAAACCUUAAGCAGGAAGCUAACGAUAAGGAGAUGGAUGGUUUCACUAAAAGAGUCCUCAGAAUCCCAAUCGAAAAACCUUUUGAUGAUGCUUACUUCACACACCGGUUGUGAAUGUUCUUCAGAGAAACAAAGGUAACUGAGGAGGACAUUAGGAGAAUGUUUCAUCAAGUCAGAGAGAAGAUGAAACACAGGAUCACAUUGACGAAGAAGAGUGAUCCUGGGAAGUUUGCAAUACCAUGCGUAGUCAAGGGUGUUGAAUUUCCCCAUUCAAUGUGUGACACAGGAGCAUCAGUUAGUAUCCUCCCUAGGAUCAUGGCAGACCAGCUUGGUUUGACCAUCGAACCUACAACGGAAUCUUUCACCUUCGUGGAUCUUUAAGAGAAACGAUCAGGAGGAAUCAUAAGAGAUCUGGAGGAACAGAUUGGUAAUGCCCUUGUCCCUGUAGAUUUUCAUGUCCUAGACAUCGAGCUUAACUGGAACUCUUCACUUCUGCUUGGACGAUCUUUCCUAGCUACAGUAGGAGCCGUAUGUGACAUGAACAAAAACAAAUUGUGUCUAACGCUCAUAGACCCAAACAUCCACUACGACCCCAUCCGACCUAAGAGAAAGGUCAUUAAUUCUGUGGAUUACGGGAAAGAACUUGGCUUCAUUGGCUCAUGCCAUUGUGGAGCAGAGUAUGAAUCAGAGUACAAAACAGAGUACUUGGAAUCGGUCGACACCACCACCUUUCCAUCGAUCGAUUCCAAUGAGUCAACGGUGACCGAUGACCGCAACAACACGUCACUCGACGUAAUGCACCCAGUUGACCAUUUCGCUUCAGCUAAUCAUUGUUACCAACACUUUGCCUUCCAACCUCCAAGCAAGAGAGGACAUGAUGAUUAUUCCAUAGGCAGUUGGACAGACAGUGGUUUCCAUGAAAGUUUUGCAGUUGACACUGUAAUUACUUCACCUAGUGAGGGACAUACAGAGGAACACGAUGAGGAUUUUUGGAAAGAACGUGCAAUAGAAAUGUCUUUGCAGGAUGAAAGACUUGAAACACCUAAGUUCACCAACACGUUUCCAACAUAGUUCGAUGCUGUGCACUCCACAUCGGUCGAUACCCACCCUCGUCCAGCAAAACAACCGCUCACAUCGAUCGACACACGUAAUGGAACAUCGAUCGAUAUUCGCGCCGCAACAAAAAUUCAGGAGCAGGAGAAUAUUCCCUCCCCAACUAGGUUUAAAGAUACCUAUAUAAAUCGUUUUGCACCCCCGAAACCACCUACACACAUCAUAGCAAACACACAAGCAAAAAUGAUGAACACUCUUCCUUCUACAUCAACAGAAAAAUCCAUGAAGAGCAAUCAUCUCAAGAACACAAGUUCUGCAGAAAUUACUCUGCCAUCGAUCGAUGCAACUGUAUCUACAUCGAUCGAUACUACUCUAAACCCUAAUCUUUCUAUUUCUAAAUUAAAUGAUAAUGCAAACAUUGAUUACGGUUUUCUAACACCUGAUGAAUUUAGUAUUUUCAGGGACCCAGAUGGCAACACACGUGCAAUGGAUGGAAGGAUUUUACAAGUGUCCAGAGAGGACAUAGUAGACAUCCUUCAAGUAGCCAAUGGACCCGACAACCUAUUCUCACAGCAACAUGGCACUCCAGACGUCAUUCAAACAGAUCCUAACAACCACGUAGGAGUCGCCACAACAGAGAUCAAUCCAGAUCUAUCACGCCAACCUAAUGGGCAAGCAUCAAUCGACGGUACAUUGGAGACAUCGAUCGACAGGUAACACCAACGUCGAUCGAUAGAGAUGAAUCGACGUCGAUCGACAGACGGUAUGAAUGUGGAAACCGCGCUUUUGACAUGUACGGAGCCAGAAUGUUCACUUGGGAACAAAGGGACGAGUAUGGAGUCUACAGAGAUGAGUGUGGACACGCACGAGGCGUAGCUGGUGAGAUGAUACCUGUCACAAAGGACGACAUCACAAAAUUACUGGAAAGAGCAUCUCUUUUUGAAGAGAGCCACAUCUGUCUUCCAGAACAUGCCACUUCCUUCAUACUCACAAGACUGGCACCAGAACUCUACACCAAAGAUGAAAUCGAUGGGAUGGUGUUUGGUAUUUGUGGAGCUCAGGAGAAACUGGGAGAGGAGCUCAAAACAUUGGUAGAAGAUACACAUCAGCCUUUGGAUAGAGGCUACAAUGAGCUUUUCAGAAGUAUGACAGAAAUGAGAACAGAAAUUGAGAGUUUACGUCAGCAACUUGAGAAGGAAGCUACGACCUCGACAUCGAUCAACGCACCACAUGCAACAUCGAUAGACGUCAGUCUUCCUACAGCUCAGAUCCCUGCAGAACCGCAAUGUUCAACACAACAAAGGGAUGAAUGGGAAGUCUCAUACAUCGACACGAGGAUAAACGACGUUUAUUGCCCUCUCAACAACAAAAUGGACUGGCUAAGCACUAAAAUCGAGCUACUACAGCAAGAUCUGGACACCAUUCGCAAGAAGGACCAACAACCAGCCACAUCGAUCGACAUGUGUACCUUCAUAUCGCUCGACGCUAAAGUCUCAGCCAUGAAUGAGAGGCUGAGGACUUACGAGGAUAUGCAUGACCGCUUUAUAUCACCAGUCAUGACAUAUUUAAACAGAUUGUCUAGUCAAUUACUUCAUGCCCAAAAGGAUAUUGAGAACAUUACUAAUCAAAGGCUUUUGCAGGAAAAAUCAGCAUCGAUCGACAGGCUACGAGGACCUUGGAUCGAUGGCAAGAAACCUGUGGAGUUACUUCCUUACACAGCAGCAGAGGUUGACAAGAUCACAUCCAAGAUCUACACUGCUCUAGACACCAUGGAGGAACGACUUGACAAACGCUGCGAUGACAUCUACUUUCCAUUCGACAACAAAAUCAGUGGACUCGACAGCCACGCAUAAUGGCUACAGAAAGAAGUCAAAGCCAUUCAGAGGCAACUCGCAGCUCAACACCAGAUAUCAGCAUCAAUCAACAGGACACGAGCGAAAUCGACCAACGAACACAUAAUCGCAUCGAUCGACGCCGAGUCUACACCAAUCGGCGAGCGGCUGAUACACAAGACAGUAGAGUCAAUGCAAAAGGAACUGACAGAACUUUCAGCAUACGCCUAUGACAACAUAGGCUGGCACCAGGUCAGCAUUGACAACGUUCAACAAAGGCUACAGAACAUCUCCAAUGUACUUGAGAAGAUGGAUGACAAAUGGACAAGAAAUGAUGAGGCCACAAGAAGUUUCAUUGCAUCUUGGUCCAGAAUGCGCAGAGAUGAUGUGGAUGCUUGCUUUUCAACAAGCAGCUGUUUCUCUACCCAAUAGCCAAUCACUACCACAGUCAAGCUAAAUGACUAUAACCAAGCGCUGAGUGGGAGGCAACCCAAUAUUAGGUAUUUUAUUUUGGUUUUAUUAGCUAGCAUUUAUUUACUUUUGUUUUAUUUCUUUUAGAUUUAGGAGACCCAAGUAGGAGGACCUGAAUAUCGACCGACGACGAGAUGUCGAAAUCGCUCGACAUAGACAACCACACGACGAUCGAUGUAACACUUUCACAUCGAUCGAUAUCUAAUCCGGUCAGAUGUAUCUUCCUUACUUGUUACAUUUCGUACAUCAUGAACUAUUCAUCAGAACUCCGGCUGAGUUACACUGGGACAGUGUAAUUUAAGUCUGGGGGAGAUUUACUGAUAUAAUUUAUUUUAUUCUUAUGUAAAAAGGAAUUUUAAUAAAUUAUGCUUAGCUAUUAAAAAUAAGGACUAUAAUCUUAUAUUGAUUUACACAUGAAUAUAUAACCAAGCUUUAGCACCAUUUUAUAUUUACUGAUUGUAGAUAGCACUAAAGAUGCUAAAGCGGAUCAACCUAUCACCUACACACUUGCCUUGAACCGUAUGAAGUAACCAAAGCUGAUUUCCAACACUAAACCUGACAUAACCGCUUGUCUUGGGGCUUGGUAUACAUGGGAUCGGAUUCUUCAGACAGGUCUGGAAGGUAACGCCUGGUUUAGAUUAUUUAUCACAUUUUCUCUCUCUAAAUUUCGACCCUAGAUUAGUUAGUAAGUAUUAUUCAAAAAAAAAAAAAGUAAAUAAAUAAGAUCUAUUGUUUAAUUAGGAUGAGUCUGAACAGGACUUGGUGGCUAAAACCAUUAAGGCUUGAUUCAUAAAGACUCAAAUACAAGAGUUCGAAACGGGACUUGGAGGCGGCAAUCUUCAAGGCUCGCUUUCGCAAAGAACUCUUGGAUAUAGGUCAAAAAGAAGUGAACAGAACUUGGUGGCAACCACCAUUAAGUUUUGAUUCAUGGAAGCCUGUCCAAUCUUGGUCACUGAUCCUGCAAUGGAAGCAGACUUUGACUCAAGAGAGAAAUUUAGAGAGAGAGAAACUAGGAACUAACUUUUACCUGCAGCUCCAGAUACCUGUCUGAAAUCCUUGCAUCAUGUGAACGAUACUCCCAAGGUAAAGGAUUCACUUUAUAUUUAUGCUAAGAAAUAAAAUCAGUAGAGGGGAUGUCAGACGUGAAUUGAUGAGUUGUGUUAUGUUAGAAAUGGUUGCUAAGCUAGGAUAUUGAAUAGUGUGCUUUUUUGAUUAGGAGUUUUUAAAUGUGGUUGCAAAAUUGUUGAGGAAAGAUUUCUAUGCUUUAAAAUCUUAAGUCCCCAAUAUUUUCAAACCUCUUUCAGAGAGACUGCCUGUAUGUUUUGCUUGAGGACAAGCAAAACGGUAAGUCUAGGGGAGUUGAUAUACCUUGGAUUUGACCCAUUUUUAUCCAUGGUAUAUAAGCAUUUUACUAUAUAUAUAUAUAUAUAUAUAUAUAUAUAUAUAUAUAUCUAUGUUUUCUACUCUUCUAUGUAUGUUUUCAGGUUCAGGUGCAUUUCGGAGUAAAGCUAUGAUUUUGGAGAAUUUUGGAGCUUAAAGGACAUUUCACCCGAGCUGACCACUUAGAGGUCGACGAGAGGAAGAACAAUCGAUCGAUGCGCAUCAGUGCUGACGAUCGAUAUCAGGAAAUGCCUCGACAGAUGAAGAUUAAUAUCGAUCGAUGUACACAAGUACCAUCGAUCGAUGUCGAGACACCAGAUGCGACAUUUUGGAUUCAGUAGACUUAAAAACCAAGGCCAAGCCAAAUUACCAAAAUGCCCUGACGAGUUUUUAACCUAGUAGAAUAUAUACUGCCUAAGUGUUUUGACGGCAGGAGAGCUUUUUCUAGACCUAGUUUUGUUACAAGUUUCAUUGGGGAGAGAAGAUUACUUGUGAUUGGAACUCCUUGUUUCCAUUUCUUUUCAUCUAUACUAUGAGUUUCUAUUCCUUUAUUGUUAUGAAUUGCUUUGCUAUGUCUGAGUAGUUCAACUGUUAGAUCCAGGGUUCAGAUAGGUUUAUGGGAUUAGCCCCAAACUAUAGAUCUGCCUUGUUGUGAUAUUCAUGAUAGAUUUGUAUUCAUUGCUUGUUUUAGCCUUGCUAACUAGAACUUGAUCAUAGGAUUGCAUACUCUAGCACCCUUGUUAUCCCAUCCUGACAUCUAUCUAUCAUAUUAGGACUGCUAGAGAGGGCUAACCGCCAAUUUAGCAUCUUAGUAGGGCAUUUCAUACUCGCGCAUAGGCCUGGCUAGAACCCGUCGAUCGAUGUCCUCAACCGACUAUCGAUCGACGUUGGCAAAGGUGUAUCGGUCNNNNNNNNNNNNNNNNNNNNNNNNNNNNNNNNNNNNNNNNNNNNNNNNNNNNNNNNNNNNNNNNNNNNNNNNNNNNNNNNNNNNNNNNNNNNNNNNNNNNUUAGGUAAUAUAAAAUACAAUAUAAUAUUAUUAAUAUAAAAUUUGUUUUAAUUAUAUAAUAAGUCAAAUACCUAAAAUCGUGGAGAACAUGACAUAUAAGCAAAUUCACUUCUCAAAUAAUAAUAUAGAUUUAGUCUUCUACUAAUAAUGAUGACCGGUCAAAGCGGUUUAUUCCUUUUCCGGCUGCCGCAUCUUAUUACCCUCGGUCAACUCCUUCCCUAUUUAUCACCAACAUGACCUAUUUUUUUUUUUUAAAGACCUAAUCUCAUUUCAUGAACUUUUUUUGGGUGUUUAAACUAGUAGUCAUCGUACUCUGGAUCAUUUAUUCUUUCGCCUCAAAAAAAAACUAGUAGUCAUGUUCAUGUAUCCUGUAUAUAUAUCUCUGAUGAAAAUGAAAAUAUUUAUUUGUCGACGUCUAAACUCUCCCAAUACGGCAGGCCUCAUCCGGCAUGGCUAAUAUUGCAUUAUAUAUUGCGAAGAACUGCUUAAUAAUAGUGGGUGCCUAAUCGUAUGGAAAAUGCUAUAGAAUGUACAGAGCUGCACGUGUCUCCAUUUAUUUUACAAUAUUUUUAAUUUGGGUCAAUACAAUAUGCGUCUUUAAUUAUAGUUUUAGAGUACUAUAUGUUGCUUCGAAUUAUUUGAUGGAAAAUAUGGAAAGCAUUAAUAUAAGAGACCAUAUAGACAUUUUUAUCAUAUACAAGCUGAGAAGUGAGCAGCCAUGGACGUGUAUUAUUUAAUUUUAUAUGUACUAGAUUUUUUAACCGCGCUACGCGCGGAUAAGAUAUUAUAUGUAUUUCUCAAUUCAAAAAAAAUAUAAUGUAUAAUACUGUAUUACAUUAUUUAAAGAAUAUAAAAUAAGACUACAUAACAUAAAUAUAUUUUUUAAAUUUUCUUUGUGGAAAUCAUUAUGUUGUUUGAUUGUUGUACUUGAUUCACAUAUUUGCAUAGUUAUUUGUGAUAGAUGAAUAACUAUAUUUUUAUUAUCAGUAAAUAAUAUAUAUUUAUUAUAUAAUAUAAGAAAAAUAAAAUUAUAUUCUUCUAAAACAAACUUGUCUGAUGUAGGGACUCGGUUAUAGACAUAUCAUAUUCAAAUGAGACAUUUUACAGUUAUCAAUCUUCUUAACAGUCAAGAAACAAAUCUGAAUAUCAAAACAAUAUCUCAUACGAUCUCUUUGUGGAAUAACUGCUAUGAAGAAAUUGAAUUUAAGCAUCAAAAAGGACUGAAAAUGGAUGUGCAUAUGUGUUAUCUAAGUCAGUUUUACAAAGUACUAUUCAUAAUUCAUAUAUCAUUUAUGUCCAUCCUAUUUUUUGUCCAUAUUUUCUUAAACAUCUUGAAAUAACUGAUGCUAAUUAAUAAUAAACUUUUGGCUGGCAAAAAAAGAGUCAAAAUUGUCUAAUUAUUGCUUAAUUUGUCUAACUGAUAUAUAUGUAUUUCUCAAUUCUAAAAAAAUAAUGUAUAAUAUUGUAUUACAUUAUUUAAAGAAUAUAAAAUAAGACUACAUAACAUAAAUAUAUUUUUUAAAUUUUCUUUGUGGAAAUCAUUAUGUUGUUUGAUUGUAGUAUUUGAUUCACAUAUUUGCAUAGAUAUUUGUGAUAGAUGAAUAAUUAUAUUUUUAUUAUCAGUAAAUAAUAUAUAUUUAUUAUAUAAUAUAAGAAAAAUAAAAUUAUUUACUUUUUAAACAAAGUUGUCUCAUGUUGGAGAUUCGGUUAUAGACAUAUAAUAUUCGAAGGAGACAUUUUUACAGUUAUCAAUCUUCUUAACAUUCAAGAAACAAAUCUGAAUAUCAAAACAAUAUCUCAUACGAUCUCUUUGUGGAAUAACUGCUCUGAAGAAAUUGAAUUUAGGCAUCAAAAAGGAUUGGAAAUGAUGUGCAGAUGUGUUAUCUAAGUCAGCUUUACAAAGUACUACUAUUCAUAGUUCAUAUAUCAUUUAAGUCCAUCCUUUCUUAAACAUCUUGAAAUAACUGAUGCUAAUUAAUAAUACACUUUUGGCUGGCAAAAAAAAAUUAAAUUUGUCUAAUUAUCGUUUAAAUAUUUUAUUAAUAUUGUCUAAGAAGCUUUCAAUUGAUAUCAUAGUUUAAUUUUUAUUAGUUUUUUUUGUUAAUUUAAGGAUUUUUUGUAUUUAAGAUUUUUUUCCAUAUUAAGCUUAUAUUUCUUUCACAUAAUAUAUAUAUAUAUGUGUCAUAAAAAUUACCAUCAAAUCAGUUUUACUUUUUUAUUAUUUUAUUUUUAAUGAAAAUACACUUUUAAAUAAUUUAAUUUAAAAUAAAAUUAUAUAUUAAUUUAUUGUAUUCUAACAAUUUGAUUGAUUUAAUUAAUUUGCUUUGGUGGAUAACUUAAAAAGUUUUCAUAUGAAUCGGGGAAAGCAAGCUUAUGUUGUUAUAUUAUAUUUAUUUGUGUAUAUAGAAUCUUGUGUAUAUAGAAUCGGGGAAAGCAAGCUUAUGUAAACUUACUUUUACAAAAGUCUUAACUUUGUCACGAAAACAAAAAUCUAUGCUUUUUCAUAUUUGUCAAUGUUCUCACACUUUCAAAGAAUAUAUUAGCUUAGUCACUUUCUUAUUUUUUUUACAAAACAAAAUAUCGAAGGCUUGAAAGUUGAAUCCAUAUUAUUGUAAAUGUACAUAAGAGUUUGUGAUUAUAUAUUUAGUGAUUCUUGUAUAUGUGUUCAAGAAAGUUUCAAUGGCUUAGCGGUAUAUGCUCUAUAUUUAUGUCAUACUAACCUGGGUUCGAUCCUGUCCUUUGCAUUUUUUUUUCAUUUUUUACGAAAAAAUAAAUGAGAUGACGUGGCAACUUCGGGCUCUCUGAUUGGAUGAUUAUAUAUGCUGAUGUGGACACUCUAAGAGGGGUUUAUAUCUCCCUUUUAGUAUAGUAUAGAUUUAUAGUCUAUUACACCACAACUUCAGAUCAUAAAAUAUAUUGGCUACACACGUGAAGAAAAAAAAAUACUAAGAAUAUAGAUACACCAUUAUAGUGUUCCCAUAAUUUGCCAAUAGUUUACGUGAGUGUAUUUGCUUAAACAUAUCCUAAGUAGUCAGCCGCCCCGCAAAAUUAAAAUAAGAAGAUGAUGUUUUCCAACUUAUAUGCAUAAUGCAUUGCAAGACCUCAGUUUAAUGCAAAUGAGCUUAGUUUAGAGAGACGCUGUAGAAGCAGACGUCCUGUGUAGAAGUUAUGAUGUGUUGGUAGUUUACCUUGUAGUUUAUAUGAUGUACAUAUAAAAAGGGGAGAUACUUAUGAAACAAGGUUAUGUAUAUUUGAGAAAGGGGGUGUUUAUUUGAGAGAGAGGAAAGUAAAGAUGGAGAAAUAACGUAAAAAAGGAAAUGGGUGGAACCUGGACCGGGCGGAUAAGUGUUGGGGGUGGGGUCACAUUUGGGCGUAAUCAGUAGGGGAGGAAUGUAUUUUUGUUUUUGUUUUUGUUUGAUCUCCUCUUUAAUUACUUAAUCACGAUUUUAAAAUGGGGGAUUAAGAAAAUAGAAGAAGUCGCCUGCUUGAAAUGACAAAAAUACCCUAAAACAUUAAAGGAUUAGUAUGGCCACGGCGGCAUGAGUAAGAUGCGGCGUCGUUUAAAGACAAGGAAGAUAGAGAUAAAAGCUCAUUAGACCUGCCUCCACAAUACUUAUUAGUGAUUGAUGAUCAUCUCUCUCUCUUUGCAUUUGAAUUGAUUUUGCAAAUCUCAUAAAAGGGGAUUCAGUUAUAAAAAAAUUAAAAAAAAGGAAUCGUUGAGUUUAAUUUGCUCAAUGGUGGUGGUGAUGGAGAGUUGCGGAAGUAGAGUCUUACCGAUGAUGUCGCAGGCGGGCAUGGAGCGGCGGGAGCGGAUGAAAGUGGAGGUGUUCGAAGAGGUCAUCCUUCGUCUCCGUCAAUCUGAUAAUAUUGACACGGAUCUCCCCGGUUUCGUCGACGACCUCUGGGCUCACUUCAAUCGCCUCCCGGCCAGGUAAACAGAUUUUGAGAUUAAUGUUUCCGUAUAGGCAAAUGAGCAGCUCAAAAAAGAUUAUUCUUGUAUUAGGUAUGCAUUGGAUGUGAAUGUAGAGAGGGCUGAAGACGUUGUCAUGCACCAGAGAUUGCUUCUUUCGGCUCUUGAUCCGCAUAACAGGAGGCCUGCUAUCCAAGUUCGUCUCGUCCAGGUCCAGGUCCUUUUCUUAUCUUCUUUCUUUCUUUCUUACUUGUCUUUUAUGAUCCUCACGGAAAAUGAAUGUUAGGUUCAACAACCUCCAGCUGACUCGGACUCUCUUACCAAUGAAACAACUUCUUCUCCUGCCAGGUGACCAACCAACCAAUUCUUCAUUCUCUUUAAAACAUGCAAAGCAAAGCAAAGCAAAGCAACUAACCUCUGCUUUUCCACUUUCCAGCAUUCAUCCUCCGCCUGCCUUUGGUUCAUCUCCCAAUCUCGAAGCACUUGCCCUUGCACUUGCUGCCCAUGACCACGAUGAGGGCGACAACUCUGUGCGUAACAAUUCUCUCUAUUCCCGGUAUGUUUUGCUACUCUUCUACUCUUUCCUUGUGGCACUAUUCAACUCCUAACUCCCCCUCUUUGUUGCAGUCCCCUGCAUGAGAUCACCUUUUCCACACUAGACAAACCUAAACUCCUUUUGCAGGUAAGAUUCUCACAUGGAAUCUAUAUUGCAUUAUGUAAUCCUGCAUUACACGUCUUCGGCUUUUCUUUUCUUCUUUCCGCAAUGCUUGAAAAUUGGGAUACUUUUAUUGUUUCUUCCUCCCAAAUACUUUUUAAAAUAUGGUAUGUAGUUGGAAUAAGUAUGUCUGAGUAUUGAUGUCAUCAAUUUGAAUAUUCGUAUUUUGCAAUUACAGUAAUACCUACGAAUAUAUAUGACUGACUUUGAAAUAUAUUUUGAUCAUUUUGAUUCAUCACUGCGUUACUAAGCCAGCUUAAACGAUGCAGUUAACUGCAUUGCUUGCUGAGCUUGGGCUGAAUAUUCAAGAGGCGCAUGUUUUUUCUACAACCGAUGGCUUCUCACUCGAUGUUUUUGUCGUUGAUGGUUGGUACGAGGUACCUUCUCUUGUUUCCCCUCUCCUUUUUCCUUCUCUAUUGCAAGUUGUUCUUUCAUUUUACGAAACCCUUUUACCUUUGCUUUAUUUUUUCAAUCGUUUAGUGAUUUAGUUGCUGAAAUGCAACUUGAAAAGAAAAAAAAAACAAACUUAUAUGAAGAAAGCUUCCUAGUCAAUAAGCUGGUAUGCUACCUUUUUUAAUUAUUCAGGAAGUAGACAGACUUAGAAUGGCAUUGGAGACAGAAGCAGCAAAGAUUGAGGUAAUUUAAUACUUUCGUGCAAUAUGCAGACUGGUGAUUUAUGGACUACGCUUUCUUUCCAAUCACUUAAUUCCUAAUGAAAUAGAGUUGGUAGCUCUGUACACUUUCUCAACAUCUCACAAUAAUGUCAUGUCGUGUUGUGUGUUAUUAAUGAAUUUCAUUACACUCAGUUGCAGGACCAAAGCUGGCCUAUGCAGCAAUCCUUCUCUCCUGAAAAGCAAAACGGGACAGCGAAAGAUCAUGUCGUAAUACCCACUGAUGGAACUGAUGUUUGGGAAAUUAACCUUAAACAAUUAAAAUUCGGGCAUAAGAUAGCAUCUGGUUCUUAUGGAAAUCUGUAAGUCGGUUCCACCUAUUAAAUACAUUUUGUCAUUUUAAGAUGCUCAAAUCUAUCUUGUAUUAUUCAGGUAUAAAGGUACAUACUUAAGCCAGGAAGUUGCUAUCAAAAUCCUCAAGCCAGAGCGUCUAGAUUCUGAGCUAGAGAAAGAGUUUUCCCAAGAAGUCUUUAUUAUGAGGUUUGUGUGCCUUCCUGUCUUGGGCACGCUGUGAACUUAUGUGUUGAUAAAAAAAAAUAUCAUCUUAGACUCGUAAGAUAUCAUUCCAAAUCUUUCCAUUUUCAGGAAAGUUAGGCACAAAAACGUUGUUCAGUUCAUUGGUGCUUGCACCAAGCCUCCACAUCUCUGUAUUGUUACAGGUAUGCCACAGUGAACCUAUUUAUGUGCAUUACUAUACUUGAUGUAAUUUUGUUCUAGGCUUAUUAUACUUAUUUUUCGUUUCUCUCUUUGUUAUUUAAUUAGAAUUCAUGCCCGGUGGAAGUGUAUAUGACUAUCUACACAAGCAAAAGGGCGUGUUUAAGCUUCCAGCUUUGUUUAAAGUAGCUAUAGAUAUUUGCAAAGGGAUGAACUACUUGCACCAAAAUAACAUAAUUCACAGAGAUUUGAAGGCUGCCAACCUUCUAAUGGACGAAAAUGAGGUAACACUCUCAACUUAGUGUGAAUUGGCAUUUGGGCCGACCUUGCAUACUUUGGUUGAAACUCUACUCUAUGUAAAUGUUCAAAUAAAGAUAUUUUGACUGCAUCACAUAUGCUAUAUCCUAGAGCAUGAGUUCUACAGGAUGCUGCUUGUCAAUCAUGUUCUUUUGAGUGCACAGUUGCGUAUUCAUAGUGGUGUGUGGAUUUUUGUUUUGUCUGUUGGUACAGGUUGUUAAGGUUGCAGAUUUUGGGGUGGCUAGAGUAAAAGCACAAACUGGAGUUAUGACAGCUGAAACUGGAACAUAUCGGUGGAUGGCUCCGGAGGUAUGGUUGUGAGAUGUCCUUUGAUACUGUUUGUAUAGUUUAGUAUGUCAGUAGCAUAUGAAAGUUUGCUCAGCCAAUGUCUCCGAUGAUUAGGAUUAUUCCAAAAUCGGUUAGCUAUUAUGAGAUGACCAGUAAGUAUCUUGUGUGGUUGGUUCUGACUUCUGAGACAAUAAAAAUUUGGUGGAAAUCCAGGUGAUAGAACACAAGCCAUAUGAUCACAAGGCAGACGUUUUCAGCUACGGGAUUGUGCUAUGGGAGUUGUUGACUGGCAAGGUAAUUGGGCGACUUUUGUCUUGAGAAAAAUAAAGUCUUGCAAAGGAAGGUGACAGUAUAACUAACGUUAGUGAGGUUUUUUAUGUAACGGCAGCUUCCUUAUGAAUACAUGACGCCAUUGCAGGCAGCCGUAGGGGUGGUCCAAAAGGUAAAUUGCCUGUUUUCAUUUGUUUGCUUGGAAACGCAGAUAGCUAAAAAGGGGGCUGUGUUGUGGGUGGGAAAACAGGGAUUAAGGCCGAAAAUACCGAAGAAGACGCAUCCGAAAAUGAGAGAGCUAAUGGAGAGAUUGUGGGAGAAGGAUCCAAGCCUGAGACCAGACUUCGCAGAGAUCAAAGAGAAGCUAGAAGAGAUAGCCAAGGAAGUAAGUAAGAGAAAGAAAUGGUUAUGAAAGUGGAUUGAAUAGAGAGAGAGUAAUUGAAGUGAAUGUGUGUGUGUGUAGGUAGGAGAAGAGGGGGAGGAGAGGAAAAAAGCAUCAAGAGGAGGAGGGGGUAUCUUUGCAGCACUGAGGAGAAGUGCAACAACACAUCAUUGAAUAACAUACAAACAUGGCUGUGCAUAUGAUAUUAUAAUUGUUAGCUGGUAUUCAAUUGAUUUUGUAAGUUAUUAUAUACACCCCAUACUCAAGACUCUUAAGAAUUUGUUGUUGUUGUACGAGACUGUUAGCAUGUUAAAGAUUGACCCCAAAAAAAAAAUCAGUAACUUUGAGGGACAUAAAAAUAUCUACCACAAUACAUAUUACAAGUAAAAACAGGACAUGGGGCUACUUGAGAAGAGGAGCGGCAUUGCGAAUGGAGAGAUAGUGGUGGACUUGGUGGGUGGAGAGUGACCUUAGAGUCUUGAAAACAUGAGCAUUUGCAUAGCGGAGGUUUGUUCUGGGGUCUACAUAUGGCGCCUGUCACCAAACCAAGAGAUGAUCAAACUAAAGAAAAGGUCGAAAAUCAGAAAUAAAUUAGAAAUACAUACCUCGAAUCCAGUGACAUCACAAAUUCUCUUGCAUGGUUGAGUGGAUGGAGGCGACUCGAUGUUGAUAUCUGCACACGAAAGAAAGAUUGAUUGAUUACAGUGAAGAGGAGGAGGAGGAGUAUUUUAAUUUUUGUGAAUCGAGAGAGAGAGAUACAAAAGGGAUGAUGAUCAGGGUCAGCUUGGAGGAUUUGCUUGAGAUGUUUCCACCUUCCUCGAGACUGGCCCUUUGGGUACUUUUCAUAGGCCUGUGUCUUCUUAAAGCUCAGAUGCAUCGGAACCACUAUAUCUGCCUCCACCAACUCCCCCUCCAUCUUCUCUUCUGUUUGUUAAACCCUAGAUCCAUCCAUCCGAGGAGGACGACGAUGCUUUUUAUACGCGCUCUCUCGGUUGUUAAUAACCGGUCCAGUCCGGUCCGGUAUUGUUAAUUAAGAAAAACAAAUGAGUAAACCAAGCUAUAAGAGUUCCUUCUUCUUCUCUCUCAGAUUAUGGCAUGAUUCGAAUUAGGAGCGGCUCUUUUCAAACUGAAUGAAGAGUGAUUCCCACCAAUUCAAACGCUCAAUCUAAAGGUCAGAGAGCUCUCCUCUGAGUCUGAGAAUUAGGUGGAUCCAUGAAUUGUUUGAGUUAGUAAUGGAUAUUUCUAUUGCGGCUGAGUGAGACUGAUGAUGAUGAUGAUGAUGAUGAUGCCUUCUUCUUCUUCUCUCCCACUAGACUGCUUUGCUUGCUUAUUCCAACAGCUUCCUUUUUCCCAUUCCCGUUGCCUACAAUAACCCUGAUAAAGGUUCUCCUUCCCACUUCAAUAACCCCUCAUUCUAUUCUCACCACCAAUCUUACCUACAUUACAGAGGAUGAGGAUGAUGAUGAUCAUCAUCAUUCCUCCACCUCUCCUUUUCCUCUCUUCUCUUUAGCGCCAACAUUACCUGCUCUCAGUCAUGAAGGUAGUAACUAUCCCCCUUGUAUUUACCCUUGUUCCCUUCCAAACUAUUAUUAUUUGUAUUCUCUUUCAGGUCAGGUCCACUGCGGGUUCAUGCCAGGUGGUUUGUCGUCUCUGGAUAAAGAUUUCGUAAACAAAUGUAAUUUUGUGGUUGCCACUGGGAUUUUCGAUGCAUAUGAUCAACCCCAUUAGGAGGAACGGCAAAAUCUUAAUUACUACUGUUAAUUAGUGGUAAUUAACAUAAAUAAAACAAUGUCUCCUUGUUAAUAAUUAUGCUAAGUCCUUUCUCUUGUUUUACACACACAUGUUCCAGAGGGAGCGGUGAUAAUAAGAGAACACACUGCAAUUACCAAUCUCUUCAGCUGCCUGUGGUUCUACGAGGUACACCCAGGGACCAGCUUAGCUUUGGGUACGUAGUGGACAGACUAAAAUGAGCCUUCAAGGUGUUCAUGUUUCACAACUGUGAUGUGAAUACAACUCUCUCCUUCCCUCACAUCCGACAACAUUCCUCUAAGAUCGAGUGGGUCAAGAGUGUCAACGAACUCAAAAGGGAAAGGAGAGUGUUUGAAGGAGAGCCGAGGCGGCUUUGGGCUCUGGACUCCUUAUCCAGGGGAUCUUGAUUCCGUUGAGCUGCCACAAGUUGUAAGAACUUCCAAUGCUGGUUGAGGCAAAAGCACGAUUAUAAACUAAGCUUUGCUAGCAAGGCAAAAACAUGCUAACAAAUUUGAAGAGAGAACAAGGCGAUUUGCUAAACCAGCCAAAAAGCCAUUAAGUGCUUGAAUUGUUUCCUGGUCCUUCGAGCAGAUAUUGUGUUCCUAAUUGCCCCUAGGACAAUUCAAAAGCUCAGAGAAGAUUGACAGCCAGCUUCGGUUUGAGCCUGCAACCUAGAGGGUGAAUAAUCUCCGUUUCUCAUCCACUCUGAGUUGUCGAUGCAUAUCAUUGUCGCCUACGCACCACAUCCGAUCCACGAAUCAAUCUAUAAUACUCAAAAAUCAGGAAGAAGCAGAUGAUGAAAGCCGAAAAUCACCUCGAGGACUUGGGCUUUUUUUUUUUUUUUUUUUUUUUUUUUUUUUAAUUUUGGUUUCAUCUGCUUCUGUGCAUUAACAGCAUUAUUUGGGAAAAGUCCAAAAAUACACUUUUUUUCUACACAACUACGUAAGAGCAUACUAUUUCUGAAACAAGAAAGGAAUGGGGGCAAAAUAAGAGUAUUAGAGCAAGAGCAUUAGAGGUUCAAGAGGGAGGUUCACACGUUUUACGAGAAAAAAAAAAUAUUAAAAAAAGCAAAAGUGAUACCCUCUCUCCUAAAGUUCAUCACUGUAGCGCGGGCCCCACGACACGUGGCGGCCCGCGAUUGGUAAAUUUUUUUUUUUUUUUUUUUUUUUUAAAAAAAAUCAAAAUGAAAAAAAAAAAAACUUUAAUAAUAAAAAAUUAAGAAGGUGAAUCCCAAAGGGGGGUUCACUGAUGCUCAUGCUCUUAGAACAUUUACAAUUUGUCUACCGUACUACUAGUAGUAGUUGUAUCACAUUUGACGGCGGCGUUUUCUAUACAUAAAAUUUUUUGGUAUCCUAUCUGCUGCCCUGAAAGAAGAAUGAGAAGAGGAGCUACUGCAAAUGUAUCAUGCUCUUGUUUACUAGCGGAAGUGUCGCCCCGUCUUUCCUCGAUCCUAACAGCUUCUCGCUGCAUAAAAACACAACUCAUAAAAUCAAAUACUACUACUUGCUAAGCUCCUCUCAUAUUACCUUUUAGUACAAUUUUUAAUCAGCACUUGGUAAGCUAAGUUGAUUACACACAAUCUCAACACAGUUGUCUGUUGUAAACGCCAAGUAUUCAUUUGAUACCCACCCCCCCAUCAAUCAAUCAUCCCGACUCCACUUAUUAGUAUUAGCUAAAGUUGAGUAGUAAACCAUCUCAUCUCACCUUGUAUACGGCGGCGGACAGAAGAUGAUGACGUAGUCUGCUCCGGUGGCGCAAGUGUAGGUGCUCGUCUUGUCGUCAUACGCGUAGCUGUAGGCGCGUGGACAAGCGUGCUUGAAGAAGAGCGAGUAUACCGAAGGCUGACACGUGUCAGGCGUGGCGUAAGCAUCGCUGCAGCAAUACCGCGGGUCUCCGAAGGCCUCGCAGGCGCUGCGGCAGGCCACGCCGCCCCUUCUGCCACGUGCCACCAGCUUAAGGUCUCUGGGACAGGCGCCGUUCAAGUCAACGAGACACCCGGUGGCUCCGCAUCCUCCAAGGACGAUUUUCUUGGGCAAGAUUAGCACCGGGAGGUUGUAGCCGUCGACGAGACUGACGUCGUAGAAGUCUAGUCCCCCGGUGCCGUUGAGGGUGAACUCGGCGAGCGUUGCGGGAGGUUUAGCUCCGGAGCCCGAACACUCGACCUUACCGGAGCCGCAGUCAGCGGUUAAGCAGGAGAAAGAACCGGAGCUGGGAUCUUGGGAGCACAAGGUUCGAGCCCAGAGACGACCGGACCACGACGCCGGAAUUGUGACGGACUUGGAUUUUCCACGGGAGAGGCGAAAGCCAGUGGUGGGGAGAGGGGGUGAGGUGGCGCCGGAGAGAAAACCGGGCCAGAUGGUGUUCCGGCAACGAUUGGUGAUCUUGAACGAAACAGGCUCAACUUCUGCAGAAAAAAAAAAAAAAAAAAUCAACUUUACGCAUCACAAAAAAGAAAGAAAGAGAAUCGAAUCGAAUCGAAUCAAACCUGAAAGAGAAACCAACAAGAUCACAAACAGGACGAUUCGAUGAGCCAUCUUCUCUGUUCCGAUUUAUCAAAACUCUGAUGAAACCCAAACAACUUUACUUUCAUAGCCGCGGAUGAUAUAUAAUAGUGGAGAGAGAGUGUGUGAGUCUUGAGUGAGUGGAACAAGAUAAUUAUUAACCCGAAUCGAAUCGAGUCGAACCUAAACCGUUGAUGAUGCUAGUCCAAACCCGGUUUUCAGGUAGGGCUCUUUGUGUGGGCCUUUACACAUGGGAAAUUCUAUUGCACUCCCAUUCAUCUAAAAUCUUUCAAGUUAGGCCCUUUUUAUUUUACACUCUACUUAUCAUAUUCUCGUCUAAAACCUCUUUCACCAGUUCUUGAUAAAACUAUUCACUAAAACAAUGUUGUCCCUCUCUCUCUCUCUCUCUUAUCUCUCUCAAAUUUUUCAGAGAGAGAGAGAGAGUCGAAACCUGAGUCUCGCCGGUGGAUUCGGGUGGUUUGAUUCUUGUUGAUCGAGAAUCUGUUCCGGCAUAGGUGGAUCCUUAAUCACCUUUGGCUGGUUUAUGUCUCCAACGACGGUUCUUUCUAUUGGAAAGCCGUUGGUUUUUGACUCCGGCGACACAUCAGAGACUCCUGUGUAAUUGUCGGCUUUUGGCUCCGCUUCUACCUUCCUGUCUGUUGUAGAUAGCGCAUUCUCUCCGGUUUUUUUUCUAGAUCUAGUUGUUUUUUGCUUCCUGCUUCUCUUUAAUCCAAUCAUUCUCCACUUUCCACAAUCGAUUGACGGUUCCUCUCCUUGGUCAAGGAUGUUGCAUCUUCAGUGAUGCGCCCCAAAUCAACAGCAGAAACAAAUCAAGAAACCCAAAGAAAGAAGGGCCCAACAAGAAAAUACAAGUCAUGGUUGAAUAAUAUAUCAAUCUGACGGUAAUUCAGAGACCGUCAACCAUACAGAAGCACGAGAUCAGCCGAAGAGUUUGGCGACCACAAUCUUCCAAUUUCGGUCAAGUCAAGACAUUUAUGAUUUUUGGUCAAUUCAAGGUCUUUGGUCAAGUCUUUCUUGUUUUUAUAAGUUGCUAAUUUCUAUGUUUGACUAGUCUUUUAUAUUCCAUCUUUUUGUAUGCUUUGCCUAUUAUAUAAAGACCAUUUGAUCAAUGAAAUAAAAUAAGCUUUGAUUAUUAUUUUUGGAACCUUGAGAUGGAUUCUCACUUCUCGUUUCUUGGUGUGGUUAGCUCCAAGUAAACACCUCUUUUCCGUUGGACUUGUGCGUCAUAUCAAGCAACGGAUCGAGAUUGCUUCUUUGUUGGACCGGUGCGUCAUAUCCGGCAACAAAUUGGCUUUGGGAAUAUCAACAGCCUUCCGCAUCUGCUGUGCGACCCUUCGUUUCACCAUUACUUCCUUUGUUGGACUUGUGCGUCAUAUCAAGAAACAAUCAAAGCUUGGUAGUAUCAAGAGACUCUCCGCCCCUCUUGUGUCACCAUUCAAUCCACCAGUUCUCCCUUUUAGCGAGUUUAUCUCCUUAGUCCGGCUGAGUGAUCCUUUCCCUAAUUUAGGGCAUAUAAUUCGGACUUCCAUCUAUCUUCAAAGAUGUCUGUCACUACUUUUAGGAAAAUUGAUUGUUUGGUUGCGGUUGUGUUCGAUUGGUUCUUCUAUUCUGAAGCUAAGUUUCGUGUCUCCAUCCUUUGGCGUUUUAUGUUGCUCUGGUGUUAAGGUUUGCUCUCGACUUGGGUCGAUUGGAGGCUCACCUGUUUCUGGUGCUGGCGACAAAGGUUUCGGUUUGGCUUGUCAUUGCUAGAAUUAUCUCGACGGUUUCUUCUCGUUGACGUCCUGUUUCCGGUGUGUCCAGUGGAUCAACGUCGAGUUGUUCCGGCGAUGACUCUCCAGUCGUGGAGUCGGUGGAUAUGAGUCAACACGUGUCUCCCAGUUUCUCCGUGUUCAACACGUGUGUCGACUCUCUAGGACUUUUUUGAGUCUGGGCUUAGGGUUUCAAACAACAAUAAAAUCGUUAUUCUAAAGAAACGAAGACAACAAAGGUUUCAAACUUCUCUGACCAUCAUCAUAUGUUAGUUCAUGAUACAACUAUGCAUUAAAAAAAUAUUGUUAUAUUUUUCAAUUUUUUUCUCAAAAUCUAUGUGUUAUAACCCCUAUAAAAUAUUCAGUUUUUCCGGUAAAUGGUUAAUAUACUGAAGCCUAUAAUCUUUAGUGUUGUUUUGAAAUUUCUAACCACAUUAUACAUUUGUAUUAAUGUAUUCUAAACUCUCUUUCACGGUACAUUGGUAUCAUUUUAUUUCUUUAUUAAUUAAUUUAGUAAAACUUCAUUCCCUAAAUCAGUGGAUAAACUACAAUAAAAUCACUAUUCUAGAGAAACAGAGACAACAAAGGUUGAAAACCCUUUUGCCUAUCAUCAUAUGUUAGUUCAUGAUAAAACUAUGAAUUAAAACAAUAUUAUCAUAUUUUUUGAAAUUUUCUCAAAAUUUAUGUGUUAACCUCUACAAAAUAUUUAGUUUUUCGGUAACUGGAUAAUAUAAUGAAACCUAUAAUCUUAAGUGUUAUUUGAAAAUUUCUAACCACAUUCUACAUUUGUAUAAAUGUAUUCAAAACUAUAUUUCAUGGAACAUGGGCAUCGUUCUAUUUUUUUUAUCAAUUAAUUAAGUAAAACUUCAUACACUCCCUAAAUCAGUUGAUAAACCACAAUAAAAUCGCUAUUCUAGAGAAACAGAGACAACAAAGGUUCCAAACCUCUCUGACCAUCAUCAUAUGUUAUUUCAUCAUACAAUUACGCAUUAACACAAUAUUGUCAUUUUUGUUUCUCAAAAUCUAUGCGUUAACCCCUAUAAAAUAUUUAGUAUUUCGGUGAACGGUUAAUAUACUGAAGCUUAUAAUCUUCAGUGUUGUUUUAAAUUUUUUAACCAUAUUCUACAUUUGUAUUAAUGUAUUUUAAACACGCUUUCAUGGUACAUGGGCAUCGUUCUAUUUUUUUAUCAAUUAAUUUAGUAAAACUUCAUGUGCUCCCUAAAUUAGUUGACUAACCACAAUAAAAUCGUUAUUCUAGAGAAACGGAUACAACAAAGGUUUCAAACCUCUCUGAGAAUCAUCAUAUGUUAUUUAAUAAUACAACUAUACAUUAAAACAAUAUUGUCAUAUUUUUAAAAUUAUUCUCAAAAUCUAUGUGUUAACCCCUACAAAAUAUUCACUUUUAUGGUAAAUAGUUAAUAUUCUAAAGCCUAUAAUCUUUAGUGUUGUAUUAAAAUUUAUAACCACACUCUAUAUUUGUAUUAAUGUAUUCAAAACUCUCAUUCAUGGUACAUGAGCAUCGUUUUAUUUUUUUAAUCAAUUAACUUAAUAAAACUUCAUAUGCUCUCUAAAUGAGAGGACAAAACCAAUAAAAUCGCUAUUCUAGAGAAACGGAGACAACAAAGGUUCUAAACCUCUUAACAAUCAUCAUAUGUUAGUUCAUGAUAAAACUAUGCAUUAAUACAAUAUUUCAUUUUUUUGAUUUUCUUAAAAUCUGUGUGUUAACAAAACCUACAAAAUAUUCAGCUUUUUAGUGAAUGGUUAAUAUACUGAAGCCUAUAAUCUUUAGUGCAGUUUUAAAAUUUUUAACCACAUUCUAAAUUUGUAUUAAUGUAUUAUAAACUCUCCUUCAUGUAUAUGAACAUUUUUCUAUUUUUUAUCAAUUAAUUUAGUAAAACUUCAUAUGCUCCCUAAAUCAAUGAACAAACCCCAACAAAAAUCACUAUUCUAGAAAAAAAGAGACAACAAAGGUUACCAACAGUUAUAACCAUCAUCAUAUGUUAGUUCAUGAUACAAAUAUUCAUUAAAACAAUAUUUUCCUUUUUUAUUUUUUCUCAAAAUUUGUGUGUUAAUCCCUACAAAAUAUUCAAUUUGUUCGGUAAAUGGUUAAUAUACUGAAGCCUAUAAUUUUUAGUGUUGUUUUAAAAUUUCUAACCAUAUUCUAAAUUUGCAUUAAUGUAUUAUAAACUCUCUUUCAUGGUAUAAGAGCAUUGUUAUAUUUUUUAUCAAUUAAUUUAAUAAAACUUCAUGUGCUCCCUAAAUCAGUGGACAAACGCCGAUAAAAUCGCUAUUCUAGAGAAACAUAGACAACAAAGGUUCCAAACCUUUCUAACCAUCAUCAUAUGUUAGUUCAUGAUACAAAUAUGCAUUAAAACAAUAAUUUCAUUUUUUUCUGAUUUUUCUCAAAAUUUGUGUGUUUACCCCUCUAAAAUAUUCAGUUUUUUGGUAUAUGGUUAAUAAACCGAAGAAUAUAAUAUUUAGUGUUGUGUUAAAAUUUCUAACCACAUUCUACAUUUGUAUUAAUGUAUUCUAAACUCAAUUUCAUGGUACAUGGGCAUCGUUCUACUUUUUAUCAAUUAAUUUACUAAAACUUCAUAUGCUCCCUAAAUUAGUGGACAAACCCCAACAAAAUCGCUAUUCUAGAUAAAUAUAGAAAACAAAGGUUCCAAACCUCUCUAACAAUCAUCAUAUGUUUGUUCAUGAUACAAAUAUUCCUUAAAAUAAUAUUUUUAUAUUUUUGAAUUUUUUCCUUAAAAUUUGGGUGUUAACCCCUACAAAUUAUUCAAUUUUUCAGUAAAUGGUUAAAUAUACCAAAGUAUAUAAUCUUUAGUAUUGUUUUAAAAUUUCUAACCACAUUCAACAUUUGUAUUAAUUUAUUCUAAACUCUAUUUCAUGGUACAUGGACAUCGUUUUAUUUUUUAUCAUUUAAUUUAGUAAAACUUCAUAUACUCCCUAUUUCAAUUGACAAACCCCAUUAAAAUCGCUAUUCUAGUUCAAUUAAUUAAGUAAAACUUCAUAUACUUCAUAUAAUUUUACAUGAUAAGAAUAUUCCCUAAAACAAUAUUUUUAUAUUUUUCAAUUUUUCUCAAAAUUUGGGUGUUAACCCCUACAAAAUAUUCAGUUUUUCGGUAAAUGGUUAAUAUACCAAAGCAUAUAAUCUUUAGUAUUGUUUUAUUAUUUAUAACCACAUUCGACAUUUGUAUUAAUUUAUUCUAAAUUCUAUUUCAUGAUACAUGGGCAUCGUUAUAUUUUUUAUCAAUUAAUUUAGUAAAACUUCAUAUGCUCCCUAAAUCAAUGGACAAAGCCCAAUAAAAUCGCUAUUCUAGAGAAACAGAGACAACAAAGGUUCUAAACCUCUCUAACCAUCAUCAUAUGUUUGUUCGUGAUACAAAUAUUCCUUAAAAUAAUAUUUUUAUAUUUUUGAAUUUUUUCUCAAAAUGUGGGUGUUAACCCCUACAAAUUAUUCAGUUUUUCAGUAAAUGGUUAAUAUACCAAAAUAUAUAAUCUUUAGUAUUGUUUUAAAAUUUCUAACCACAUUCAACAUUUGUAUUAAUUUAUUCUAAAUUCUAUUUCAUGGUACAUGGACAUCGUUCUAUUUUUUAUCAAUUAAUUUAGUAAAACUUCAUAUACUCCCUAUUUCAAUUGACAAACCCCAAUAAAAUCGCUAUUCUAGAGAAACAAAGACAACAAAGGUUCCAAACCUCUCUAAACAUCAUAAUAUGUUCGUUCAUGAUACAAAUAUGCAUUAAAACAAUAUUUUCAUUAUUUUGAAUUUUUUUCAAAAUUUGUGUGUAAACCCCUACAAAAUAUUCAGUUUUUUGGUAAAUGGUUAAUAUACCGAAGCAUGUAAUCUUUAGUGUUGUUUUAAAAUUUCUAACCACAUUAUAUAUUUGUAUUAAUGUAUUCUAAACUCUAUUUCAUGAUACAUGGGCAUUGUUCUAUUUUUUAUCAAUUAAUUUAGUAAAACUUCAUAUGCUCUUAAAUCAGUGGACAAACCCGAAUAAAAUCGCUAUUCUAGAGAAACGAAGAUAACAAAAGUUCCAAACCUCUCUAACUAUCAUCAUAUGUUAGUUCAUGAUACAAAUAUGCAUUAUAACGAUAUUUUCUUUUUUUUUGGAAUAUUUCUCAAAAUUUGUGUGUUAAUCUCAACAAAAAAUUCAAUUUUUCGGUAAAUGGUUAAUAUACUGAAGCAUAUUAUCUUAACUGUUCUUUUAAAAUUUCCAACCAAAUUAUACAUUUGUAUUAAUGUAUUCUAAACUCUAUUUCAUGGUACAUGGGCAUCGUUCUAUUUUUUAUCAAUUAAUUUAGUAAAAUUUCAUAAGCUCUUUAAACUAGUGGACAAAACCCCCCAAUAAAAUCGCUAAUCUAGAGAAACGGAGACAACAAAGGUUCCAAACCUCUCUAACCAUAAUCAUAUGUUAGUUCACGAUACAAAAUGCAUAAAAACAAAAUUUUUAUUUUUUUCUCAAAACUUGUGUGUUAACCCCUAUAAAAUAUUCAAUUUUUCGGUAAAUGGUUAAUGUACCAAAGCAUAUAAUCUUCAGUGUUGUUUUAAAAUUUCUAACCACAUUCUACAUUUAUAUUAAUGUAUUCUAAACUCUAUUUCAUGCUACAUGAGCAUCAUUCUAUUUUUCAUCAAUUAAUUUAGUAAAACUUCAUAUGAUCUUAAAUUACUGUACAAACUCCAAUAAAAACGCUAUUCUAGACAAACGGAGACAACAAAGGUUCCAAACCUCUCUAACCAUAAUCAUAUGUUAGUUCAUGAUACAAAUAUGCAUUAAAACAAUAUUUAAAUUUUUUUCAUUUUUUUUUUAAAAUUUGUGUGUUAACCCCUACAAAAUAUUCAAUUUUUCGAUAAAUGGUUAAUAUACUGAAGCAUAUAAUCUUUAGUAUUCUUUUAAAAUUUCUAACCAUAUUAUACAUUUGUAUUAAUGUAUUCUAAACUCUAUUUCAAAGUACAUGGGCAUCGUUCUAUUUUUAUCAAUUAAUUUAGUAAAACUUCAUAAGCUCCCUAAACCAAUGGACAAAACCCCCCUAUAAAAUUGCUAUCCUAGAGAAAUGGAGACAACAAAGGUUCCAAACCUUUCAAACCAUCAUCAUAUGUUAGUUCAUGAUAAAAGUAUGCAUUAAAAUAAUAUUUAAUUUUUUUGAAUUUUUCUCAAAAUUUGUGUGUUAACCCCUACAAAAUAUUCAGUUUUUCGGUAAAUGGUUAAUAUACCGAAGCAUGUAAUCUUUAGUGUUGUUUAAAAUUUCUAACCACAUUCUACAUUUGGAUUAAUGUAUUCUAAACUCUAUUUCAUGGUACAUGGGCAUUGUUCGAUUUUUUAUCAAUUAAUUUGGUAAAACUUCAUAUGCUCCCUAAAUCAGUGGACAAACCCCAAUAAAAUCGCUAUUAUAGAGAAACAAAGACAACAAAGGUUCCAAACCUCUCUAACUAUCAUCAUAUGUUAGUUCUUGAUACAAAUAUGCAUUAAAACGAUAUUUUCAUUAUUUUGAAUUUUUCUCAAAAUCUGUGUGUUAACCCCUACAAAAUAUUCAAUUUUUCGGUAAAUGAUUAAUAUAGUGAAGCAUAUAAUCUUUAGUGUUCUUUUAAAAUUUCUAACCACAUUAUACAUUUGUAUUAAUGUAUUAUAAACUCUAUUUCAUGGUACAUGGGCAUCAUUCUAUUUUUUAUCAAUUAAUUUAGUAAAACCUCAUAAGCUCCCUAAACUAGUAGACAAAACCCCCCAAUAAAAUCGCUAUUCUAGAGAAACGGACACAACAAAGGUUCCAAACCUCUCUAACCAUCAUUAUAUGUUAGUUCAUGAUACAAAUAUGCCUAAAAACAAAAUUUUCAUUUUUGUUUUGAAUUUUUUUCAAAUUAGUGUGUUAACCCCUACAGAAUAUUCAGUUUUUCGGUAAAGGGUUAAUAUACCAAAGCAUAUAAUCUUCAGUGUUGUUUUAACAUUUCUAACCACAUUCUACAUUUAUAUUAAUGUAUUCUAAACUCUAUGUCAUGCUACAUGGGCAUCAUUCUAUUUUUUAUGAAUCAAUUUAGUAAAACUUCAUAUGUUCCUAAAUUACUAUACAAAGUCUAAUAAAAACGCUAUUCUAGAGAAACAGAGAAAACAAAGGUUCCAAACUUCUCUAACCAUAAUCAUAUGUUAGUUCAUGAUACAAAUAUGCAUUAAAACAAUAUUUUAAUUUUUUUUUCAUUUUUUCUCAAAAUUUGUGUGUUAACCCCUACAAAAUAUUCAAUUUUUUGGUAAAUGGUUAAUAUACUGAACCAUAUAAUCUUUAGUGUUCUUUUAAAAUUUCUUACCACAUUAUAUAUUUGUAUUAAUGUAUUCUAAACUCUAUUUCAAGGUACAUAGGAAUCGUUUUAUUUUAUAUUAAUUAAUUUAGUAAAACUUCAUAAGCUCCCUAAACCAGUGGACAAAACCCCCCAAUAAAAUCGUUAUCCUAGAGAAACGGAGACAACAAAGGUUCCAAAUCUUUCUAACCAUCAUCAUAUCUUAGUUCAUGAUACAAAUAUGCAUUAAAGCAAUAUUUUCAUUUUUUUUUUAAUUUUUCUCAAAAUUUGUGUGUUAACAUCUACAAAAUAUUCAGUUUUUCGGUAAAUGGUUAAUAUACGGAAGCAUAUAAUAUUUAAUGUUGUUUUAAAAUUUAUAACCACAUUAUACAUUUGUAUUAAUGUAUUAUAAAGUAUAUUUCAUGGUACAUGGGAAUCGUUCUAUUUUUUAUCAAUUAUUUUAAUAAAAAUUCAUAUGCUCCCUAAAUCAAUUGACAAACCCCAAUAAAAUCGAUAUUCUAGAGAAACGGAGACAACAAUGGUUCCAAACCUCUCUAAACAUCAUCAUAUGUUAGUUCAUGAUGCACUUAUGCAUUAAAACAACAUUUUUAUUUUUUUAAAUUUUUCUCAAAAUUUAUGUGUAAACCCUUACAAAAUACUCAGUUUUUUGGUAAAUGGUUAAUAUACUGAAGCAUGUAAUAAUUAGUGUUAUUUUAAAAUUUCUAACCAUAUUCUACAUUUGGAUUAAUGUAUUCUAAACUCUAUUUCAUGGUACACGGGCAUUGUGCUAUUUUUUAUUAUUUAAUUUAGUAAAACUUCAUAUGCUUUCUAAAUCAGUGGACAAACCCCCCAAUAAAAUCGCUAUUCUAGAGAAACAAAGACAACAAAGGUUCCAAACCUCUCUAACUAUCAUAAUAUGUUAGUUCAUGAUACAAAUAUGCAUUAAAACGAUAUUUUCAUUUUUUUGAAUUUUUUUCAGAAUUUGUGUGUUAACCCCUACAGAAUAUUCAGGUUUUCGGUAAAGGGUUAAUAUACCAAAGCAUAUAAUCUUCAGUGUUGUUUUAAAAUUUCUAACCAUAUUCUACAUUUAUAUUAAUUUAUUCUAAACUCUCUGUCAUGCUACAUGGACAUCAUUCUAUUUUUCAUCAUUUAAUUUAGUAAAACUUCAUAUGUUCCUAAAUUACUGUACAAACCCCAAUAAAAACGCUACUCUAGAGAAACGGAGACAACAAAGGUUUCAAACCUCUCUAACCUUAAUCAUAUGUUAGUUCAUGAUACAAAUAUGCAUUAAAACCAUAAUUUAUUUUUUUCAUUUUUUUCUCAAAAUUUGUGUGUUAACCCCUACAAAAUAUUCAAUUUUACAGUAAAUGGUUAAUAUACUGAAGCAUAUAAUCUUUAGUCUUCGUUUAAAAUUUCUAACCACAUUAUACAUUUGUAUUAAUGUAUUCUAAACUCUAUUUCAAAGUACAUGGGCAUCAUUCUAUUUUUUAUCAAUUAAUUUAGUAAAACUUCAUAAGUUCCCUAAACCAAUGGACAAAACCCCCCCAAUAAAAUUUCUAUCCUAGAGAAAUGGAGACAACAAAGGUUUCAAACCUUUCAAACCAUCAUCAUAUGUUAGUUCAUGAUAAAAGUAUGUAUUAAAAUAAUAUUUAGUUUUUUUGAAUUUUUCUCAAAAUUUAUGUGUUAACCCCUACAGAAUAUUCAGUUUUUCGGAAAAGGGUUAAUAUACCAAAGCAUAUAAUCUUCAGUGUUGUUUUUAAAUUUCUAACCAUAUUCAAUAUUUAUAUUAAUGUAUUCUAAACUCUAUGUCAUGCUACAUGGACAUCAUUCUAUUUUUCAUCAAUUAAUUUAGUAAAACUUCAUAUGUUCCUAAAUUACUGUACAAACCCCAAUAUAAACGCUACUCUAGAGAAACGGAGACAACAAAGGUUCCAAACCUCUUUAACCAUAAUCAUAUGUUAGUUCAUGAUACAAAUAUGCAUUAUAACAAUAUUUUCAUUUUUUCAUUUUUUUCUCAAAAUUUGUGUGUUAACCCCUACAAAAUAUUCAAUUUUUCAGUAAAUGGUUAAUAUACUGAAGCAUAUAAUCUUUAGUGUUCGUUUAACAUUUCUAACCACAUUCUACAUUUGUAUUAAUGUAUUCUAAACUCUAUUUCAAAGUACACGGACAUCGUUCUAUUUUUUAAUCAAUUAAUUUAGUAAAACUUCAUAAGCUCCCUAAACCAAUGGACAAAACCCCCCUAUAAAAUUGCUAUCCUAGAGAAAUGGAGACAACAAAGGUUCCAAACCUUUCAAACCAUCAUUAUAUGUUAGUUCAUGAUAAAAGUAUGCAUUAAAAUAAUAUUUAGUUUUUUUGAAUUUUUCUCAAAAUUUGUGUGUUAACCACUACAAAAUAUUCAGUUUUUCGGCAAAUGGUUAAUAUACCGAAGCAUGUAAUCUUUAGUGUUGUUUAAAAUUUCUAACCACAUUCUACAUUUGGAUUAAUGUAUUCUAAACUCUAUUUCAGGGUACAUGGGCAUUGUUCUAUUUUUUAUCAAUUAAUUUGGUAAAACUUUAGAUGCUCCCUAAAUGAGUGGACAAACCUCAAUAAAAUCGCCCUUCUAGAGAAACAAAGAUAACAAUGGUUCAAAACCUCUAUAACUAUCAUCAUAUGUUGGUUCUUGAUACGAAUAUGCAUUAAAACGAUAUUUUCAUUUUUUUGAAUUUUUCUCAAAAUUUUUGUGUUAACCCCUACAAAAUAUUCAAUUUCUCGGUAAAUGGUUAAUAUAGUGAAGCAUAUAAUCUUUUGUGUUCUUUUAAAAUUUCUAACCACAUUAUACAUUUGUAUUAAUGUAUUUAAAACUCUAUUUCAUGGUACAUGGGGAUCGUUAUAUUUUUUAUUAAUUAAUUUAGUAAAACUUCAUAAGCUCCCUAAACUAGUAGACAAAACCCCCCAAUAAAAUCGUUAUUCUAGAAAAACGGAGACAACAAAGAUUCCAAACCUCUCUAACCAUCAUCAUAUAUUAGUUCAUGAUACAAAUAUGCAUAAAAACAAAAUUUUCAUUUUUUUUGAAUUUGUUUCAAAAUUUGUGUGUUAACCCCUACAGAAUAUUCAUUUUUUCGGUAAAGGGUUAAUAUACCAAAGCAUAUAAUCUUCAGUGUUGUUUUAAAUUUUCUAACCACAUUCUACAUUUAUACUAAUGUAUUCUAAACUCUAUGUCAUGCUACAUGGGCAUCAUUCUAUUUUUUAUGAAUUAAUUUAGUAAAACUUCAUAUGUUCCUAAAUUACUAUACAAACUCCAAUAAAAACGCUAUUCUAGAGAAAUGGAGACAACAAAGGUUCCAAACCUUUAUAACCAUCAUCAUAUGUUAGUUCAUGAUACAAAUAUGCAUUAAAGCAAUAUUUUUUUUUUUUCUCAAAAUUUGUGUGUUAACAUCUACAAAAUAUUCAGUUUUUCGGUAAAUGGUUAAUAUACUGAAGCAUAUAAUAUUUAGUGUUGUUUUAAAAUUUAUAACCACAUUAUACAUUUGAAUUAAUGUAUUAUAAAGUAUAUUUCAUGGUACAUGGGAAUCGUUCUAUUUUUUAUCAAUUAUUUUAGUAAAAAUUCAUAUGCUCCUUAAAUCAAUUGACAAACCCCAAUAAAAUCGAUAUUCUAGAGAAACGGAGACAACAAUGGUUCCAAACCUCUCUAAACAUCAUCAUAUGUUAGUUCAUGAUGCACUUAUGCAUUAAAACAACAUUUUUAUUUUUUUAAAUUUUUCUCAAAAUUUAUGUGUAAACCCUUACAAAAUACUCAGUUUUUUGGUAAAUGGUUAAUAUACUGAAGCAUGUAAUAAUUAGUGUUAUUUUAAAAUUUCUAACCAUAUUCUACAUUUGGAUUAAUGUAUUCUAAACUCUAUUUCAUGGUACACGGGCAUUGUGCUAUUUUUUAUUAUUUAAUUUAGUAAAACUUCAUAUGCUCUCUAAAUCAGUGGACAAACCCCAAUAAAAUCGCUAUUCUAGAGAAACGAAGACAACAAAGGUUCCAAACCUCUCUAACUAUCAUAAUAUGUUAGUUCAUGAUACAAAUAUGCAUUAAAACGAUAUUUUCAUUUUUUUGAAUUUUUUUCAGAAUUUGUGUGUUAACCCCUACAAAAUAUUCAAUUUUUCGGUAAAUGGUUAAUAUAGUGAAGCAUAUAAUAUUUAGUGUUCUUUUAAAAUUUCUAACCACAUUAUACAUUUGUAUUAAUGUAUUCUAAACUCUAUUUCACGGUACAUGGGCAUCGUUCUAUUUUUUAUCAAUUAAUUUAGUAAAACUUCAUAAGCUCCCUAAACUAGUAGACAACACCCCCCAAUAAAAUCGCUAUUCUAGAGAAACGGAGACAACAAAGGUUCCAAACCUCUCUAACNNNNNNNNNNNNNNNNNNNNNAACGGAGACAACAAAGGUUCCAAACCUCUCUAACCAUCAUCAUAUGUUAGUUCAUGAUAAAAAUAUGCAUAAAAACAAAAUUUAGUUCUUUUGAAUUUUUCUCAAAAUUUGUGUGUUAACCCCUACAGAAUAUUCAGUUUUUCGGUAAAGGGUUAAUAUACAGAAUAUUCAGUAAAACUUCAUAAGCUCCCUAAACUAGUAGACAAAAAAGUACAUGGGCAUCAUUCUAUUUUUUAUCAAUUAAUUUAGUAAAACUUCAUAUGUCCCCAAAUCACUGGACAAACCCCAAUAAAAACGCUACCCUAGAGAAACGAAGAAAACAAAGAUUCCAAACCUCUCUAAACAUAAUCAUAUGUUAGUUCAUGAUACAAAUAUGCAUUAAAACAAUAUUUUCAUUUUUUUCAAUUUUUUUCAAAAUUUGUGUGUUAACCCCUACAGAAUAUUCAGUUUUUCGGUAAAGGGUUAAUAUACCAAAGCAUAUAAUCUUCAAUGUUGUUUUAAAAUUUCUAACCAUAUUCUACAUUUAUAUUAAUGUAUUCUAAACUCUCUGUCAUGCUACAUGGACAUCAUUCUAUUUUUCAUCAAUUAAUUUAGUAAAACUUCAUAUGUUCCUAAAUUACUGUACAAACCCCAAUAAAAACGUUACUCUAGAGUAACGGAGACAACAAAGAUUCCAAACCUCUCUAAACAUAAUCAUAUGUUAGUUCAUGAUACAAAUAUGCAUUAAAACAAUAUUUUCAUUUUUUUCAUUUUUUUCUCAAAAUUUGUGUGUUAACCCCUACAAAAUAUUCAAUUUUACGGUAAAUGGUUAAUAUACUGAAGCAUAUAAUCUUUAGUGUUCUUUUAAAAUUUCUAACCACAUUAUAUAUUUGUAUUAAUAUAUUCUAAACUCUAUUUCAAAGUACAUGGGCAUCGUUCUAUUUUUUUAUCAAUUUAUUUAGUAAAACUUCAUAUGCUCCCCAAAUCAGUGGACAAACCCCAAUAAAAUUGCUAUCCUAGAGAAACGAAGAAAACAAAGAUUCCAAACCUCUCUAAAUAUCAUCAUAUGUUAGUUCAUGAUACAAAUAUGCAUUAAAACGAAAUUUUCAUUUUUUGAAUUUUUCUCAAAAUCUGUGUGUUAAUCCCUACAAAAUAUUUAAUUUUUCGGUAAAUGGUUAAUAUAGCGAAGCAUAUAAUCUUUAGUGUUCUUUUAAAAUUUCUAACCACAUUAUACAUUUGUAUUAAUGUAUUAUAAACUCUAUUUCAUGGUACAUGGGCAUCGUUCUAUUUUUUAUCAAUUAAUUUAGUAAAAUUUCAUAAGCUCCCUAAACUAGUAGACAAAACCCCCCAAUAAAAUUGCUAUUCUAGAGGAACGGACACAACAAAGGUUUCAAACCUCUCUAACCAUCAUUAUAUGUUAGUUCAUGAUAUAAAUAUACCUAAAAACAAAAUUUUCAUUUUUGUUUUGAAUUUUUUUCAAAUUUGUGUGUUAACCCCUACAGAAUAUUCAGUUUUUCAGUAAAGGGUUAAUAUACCAAAGCAUAUAAUCUUUAGUGUUGUUUUAAAAUUUCUAACCACAUUCUACAUUUAUAUUAAUGUAUUCUAAACUCUAUGUCAUGCUACAUGGACAUCAUUCUAUUUUUUAUGAAUUAAUUUAGGAAAACUUCAUAUGUUCCUAAAUUACUGUACAAACCCCAAUAAAAACGCUAUUCUAGAGAAACGGAGAAACAAAGGUUCCAAACCUUUCUAACCAUAAUCAUAUGUUAGUUCAUGAUUCAAAUAUGCAUUUAAACAAUAUUUAUAUUUUUUCAUUUUUUUCUCUAAAUUUGUGUGUUGACCCCUACAAAAUAUUCAAUUUUUCGGUAAAUGGUUAAUAUACUGAAGCAUAUAAUCUUUAGUGUUCUUUUAAAAUUUCUAACCACAUUAUACAUUUGUAUUAAUGUAUUCUAAACUCUAUUUCAAAGUACAUGGGCGUCGUUCUAUUUUUUAUCAAUUAAUUUAGUAAAACUUCAUAAGCUCCCUAAACCAAUGGACAAAACCCCCAAUAAAAUUGCUAUCCUAGAGAAACGGAGACAGCAAAGGUUUCAAACCUUUCAAAUCAUCAUCAUAUGUUAGUUCAUGAUAAAAGUAUGCAUUAAAAUAAUAUUUAGUUUUUUUUGAAUUUUUCUUAAAGUUUGUGUGUUAACCCCUACAAAAUAUUUAGUUUUUCGGGAAAUGGUUAAUAUACCGAAGCAUGUAAUCUUUAGUGUUGUUUUAAAAUUUCUAACCAUAUUCUACAUUUGGAUUAAUGUAUUCUAAACUCUAUUUCACGGUACAUGGGCAUUGUUCUAUUUUUUAUGAAUUAAUUUAGUAAAACUUCAUAUGCUCCCUAAAUCAGUGGACAAACCCCAAUAAAAUCGCUAUUCUAGAGAAACGAAGACAAAAAAGGUUCCAAACCUCUCUAACUAUCAUCAUAUGUUAGUUCAUGAUACAAAUAUGCAUUAAAAUGAUAUUUUCAUUUUUUUGAAUUUAUCUCAAAAUUUGUGUGUUAACCCCUACAAAAUAUUCAGUUUUUUCGGUAAAUGGUUAGUAAACCCAAGCAUGUAAUCUUUAGUGUUGUUUUAAAAUUUCUAACCACAUUCUACAUUUGGAUUAAUGUAUUCUAAACUCUAUUUCAUAAUACAUGGGCAUUGUUCUAUUUUUUAUCAAUUAAUUUAAUAAAACUUCAUAUGCUCCCUAAAUCAGUGGACAAACCCCAAUAAAAUCGUUAUUCUAGAAAAACGAAGACAACAAAGGUUCCAAACCUCUCUAACUAUCAUCAUAUGUUAGUUCAUGAUACAAAUAUGCAUUAAAACAAUAUUUUCAUUUUUUUGAAUUUUUCUCAAAAUUUAUGUGUUAAGCCCUACAAAAUAUUCAAUUUUUCGGUAAAUGGUUAAUAUAGUGAAGCAUAUAAUCUUUAGUGUUCUUUUAAAAUUUCUAACCACAUUCUACAUUUAUAUUAAUGUAUUCUAAACUCUAUGUCAUGCUACAUGAGCAUCAUUCUAUUUUUCAUCAAUUAAUUUAGUAAAAUUUCAUAUGUUCCUAAAUUACUGUACAAACCCCAAUAAAAACGCUACUCUUAGAGAAACAGAGACAACAAAGGUUCCAAACCUUUCUAACCAUCAUCAUAUGAUAGUUCAUGAUACAAAAUACAUAAAAAUAAUAUUUAAAUUUUUUUUCAUUUUUUCUCAAAAUUUGUGUGUUAACCCCUACAAAAUAUUCAAUUUUUGGGUAAAUGGUUAAUAUACUGAAGCAUGUAAUCUUUAGUGUUGUUUUAAAAUUUAUAACCAUAUUCUACAAUUAGAUUAAUAUAUUCUAAACACUAUUUCAUGGUACAUGGGCAUUGUUCUAUUUUUUAUCAAUUAAUUUAGUAAAACAUCAUAUGCUCCCUAAAUCAGUGGACAAAACCCCUCAAUAAAAUCGCUAUUCUAGAGAAACGGAGACAACAAAGGUUCCAAAGUUUUCUAACCAUCACCAUAUGUUAGUUCAUGAUACAAAUAUGCAUUAAAAUAAAUAUUUAUUUUUUUUGAAAUUUUCUAAAAAUUUGUGUGUUAACCCCUACAAAAUAUUCAGUUUUUCGGUAAAUGGUUAAUAUACCGAAACAUGUAAUCUUUAGUGUUUUUUUUAAAUUUCUAACCAUAUUCUACAUUUGGAUUAAUAUAUUCUAAACUCUAUUUCAUGGUACAUGGGCAUUGUUCUAUUUUUUUAUAAAUUAAUUUAGUAAAACAUCAUAUGCUCCCUAAAUCAGUGGACAAACCCCAAUAAAAUCGCUAUUCUAGAGAAACGAAGACAACAAAGGUUCUAAACCUCUCUAACUAUCAUCAUAUGUUAGUUCAUGAUACAAAUAUGCAUUAAAACAAUAUUUUCAUUUUUUUGAAGUUUUCUCAAAAUAUUCAAUUUUCGGUAAACGGUUAAUAUACUGAAGCAUAUAAUCUUUAGUGUUGUUUUAAAAUUUCUAACCACAUUAUACAUUUGCAUUUAUGUAUUUUAAACUUUACUGCAUGGUACAUGGGCUCGUUCUAUUUUUAUCAAUUAAUUUAGUAAACCUUCCCUAAAUCAGUGGAAAAAACACCAAUAAAAUCACAAUUCUAAAGAAACAAAGACAACAAAGGUUCCAAAUCUCUCUAACUAUCAUCAUCUGUUAGUUCAUGAUACAAAUAUGCAUUUAAACCAUAAUAGACCGAAGAAUAUAAUCUACAAAAUAUUUAGUUUUUCGGUAAAUAGUUAAUAGACCGAAGAAUAUAAUCUUUAAUAUUGUUUUAAAUUUUCUAAACACAUUCUAUAUUUGUAUUCUAAAUUUUAUUUCAUGGUACAUUGGCAUCGUUCUAUUUUUUAUCAAUUAAUUUAGUAAAACUUCAUAAGCUAACCAGUGGAAAAAACCCCCCCAAUAAAAUCGCUAUCCUAGAGAAACGGAGACAACAAAGGUUCCAAACUUUUCUAACCAUCAUCAUAUGUUAGUUCAUGAUACAAAUAUGCAUUAAAAUAAUAUUUAAUUUUUUUGAAUUUUUCUCAAAAUUUGUAUGUUAACCCCUACAAAAUAUUCAGUUUUUCGGUAAAUGGUUAAUAUACCGAAGCAUGUAAUCUUUAUUGUUGUUUUAAAAUUUAUAACCACAUUCUACAUUUGGAUUAAUGUAUUCCAAACUCUAUUUCAUGGUACAUUGGCAUUGUUCUAUUUUUUAUCAAUUAAUUUAGUAAAACUUCAUAUGCUCCCUAACUCAGUGGACAAACCCCAAUAAAAUCGCUAUUCUAGAGAAACGAGGACAACAAAGGUUCCAAACCUCUCUAACUAUCAUCAUAUGUUAGUUCAUGAUACAAAUAUGCAUUAAAACUUAUUUUCAUUUUUUUUGAAUUUAUCUCAAAAUUUGUGUGUUAACUCCUACAAAAUAUUCAAUUUUUCGGUAAAUGGUUAAUAUAUUGAAGCAUAUAAUCUUUAGUGUUCUUUUAAAAUAUCUAACAACAUUAUACAUUUGUAUUAAUGUAUUAUAAGUUCUAAUUCAUGGUACAUGGACAUCUUUCUAUUUUUAUCAAUUAACUUAGUAAAACUUCAUAACCUCCUUAAACUAGUGGGAAAAACCCCCCCAAUAAAAUCGCUAUUCUAGAGAAACGGAGACAACAAAGGUUUCAAACCUCUCUAACCAUCAUUAUAUGUUAGUUCAUGAUACAAAUAUACAUAAAAAAAUUUCUCUUUUUUUUUGAAUUUUUCUCAAAAUUUGUGUGUUAACCCUUACAGAAUAUUCAGUUUUUCGGUAAAGGGUUAAUAUACCAAAGCAUAUAAUCUUCAGUGUUGUUUUAAAAUUUCUAACUACAUUCUACAUUUAUAUUAAUGUAUUCUAAACUCUAUGUCAUGCUACAUGGGCAUCAUUCUAUUUUUCAUCAAUUAAUUUAGUAAAACUUCAUAUGUUCCUAAAUUACUGUACAAACCCCAAUAAAAACGCCAUUCUAGAGAAACGGAGACAAAAACGGUUUCAAACCUCUCUAACCAUAAUCAUAUGUUCGUUCAGGAUACAAAUAUGCAUUAAAACAAUAUUUUAAUUUUUUUUAUUUUUUCUCAAAAUUUGUGUGUUAACCCCUACAAAAUAUUCAAUGUUUUGGUAAAUGGUUAAUAUACUGAAGCAUAUAAUCUUUAGUGUUCUUUUAAAAUUUCUAACCACAUUAUACAUUUGAAUUAAUAUAUUUUAAACUCUAUCUCAAGGUACAUGGACAUCGUUCUAUUUUUUAUCAAUUAAUUUAGUAAAACUUCAUAAGCUCCCUAAACCAAUAGACAAAACCCCCAAUAAAAUCGCUAUCCUAGAGAAACCGAGACAACAAAUGUUCCAAACUUUUCUAACCAUCAUCAUAUGAUAGUUCAUGAUACAAAUAUGCAUUAAAAUAAUAUUUAAUUUUUUUGAAAUUUUCUCAAAAUUUAUGUGUUAACCCCUACAAAAUAUUCAGUUUUUCGGUAAAUGGUUAAUAUACUGAAGCAUGUAAUCUUUAGUGUUGUUUUGAAAUUUCUGACCAUAUUCUACAUUUGGAUUAAUAUAUUCUAAACUAUAUUUCAUGGUACAUGGGCAUUGUUCUAUUUUUUAUCAAUUAAUUUAGUAAAACAUCAUAUGCUCCCUAAAUCAGUGGACAAACCCCAGUAAAAUAGUUAUUCUUGAGAAACGAAUACAACAAAGGUUCCAAACCUCUCUAACUAUCAUCAUAUAUUAGUUCAUGAUACAAAUAUGCAUUAAAACAAAAUUUUCAUUUUUUUGAAUUUUUGUCAAAAUUUGUGUGUUAACCCCUACAAAAUAUUCAAUUUUUCGGUAAAUUGUUAAUAUACUGAAGCAUAUAAUCUUUAGUGUUGUUUAAAAAUUUCUAACCACAUUAUACAUUUGCAUUAUAUAUUUUAAACUUUACUGCAUGGUACAUGAGCUCGUUCUAUUUUUUAUCAAUUAAUUUAGUAAAACUUCCCUAAAUCAGUGGAAAAACACCAAUAAAAUCGCUUUUCUAGAGAAACGAAGACAACAAAGGUUCCAAACCUCUCUAACUAUCAUCAUAUGUUAGUUCAUGAUACAAAAUAUGCAUUUAAACAAUAUUUUCAUUUUUUUGAAUUUUUCUCAAAAUUUGUGUGUUAACCCUUACAAAAUAUUCAGUUUUUCGGUAAAUGGUUAAUAGACCGAAGAAUAUAAUAUUUAAUGUUGUUUUAAAUUUUCUAAACACAUUCUACAUUUGUAUUAAUGUAUUCUAAAUUUUAUUUCAUGGUACAUGGGCAUCGUUCUAUUUUUUAUCAAUUAAUUUAGUAAAACUUCUUAUGUUCCUAAAUCAAUGUACAAACCCCAAUAAAAUCGUUAUUCUAGAGAAACAGAGACAACAAAUGUUCCAAACCUCUCUAACCAUCAUCAUAUGUUAGUUAAUGAUAAAAUCGCUAUUCUCUAUAGAAACGGAGACAACAAAGGUUCCAAGCUUAUUUGACCAUCAUCAUAUGUUAUUGCAGGAUGCAACUAUGCAUUAAAAAAUUAUUGCCAUAUUUUUUGAAUUUUUCUCAAAAUCUAUAAAACCUAUAUGAAAAUAUUGAGUUUUACAUUACACGAUCUACAUACUGAAGCCUAUACUUUUUAGUGUUGUUUUAAAAUUUCAAAGAACAUUAUACAUUUGUAUUAAUGUAUGUUAAACACUCUNNNNNNNNNNNNNNNNNNNNNNNNNNCACUCUUUCAUGGUACAUGGGAAUCUUUCUAAUUUGUUAUCAAUUAAUUUUGUUUUAAAAUUUCAAAGAACAUUAUACAUUUGUAUUAAUGUAUGAUAAACACUCUUUCAUGGUACAUGGGAAUCUUUCUAAUUUGUUAUCAAUUAAUUUUGUAGAACUUCAUAGUACUCCCUAAAUCGGUGGACUAACCACUACAAUAUGGAUGGGAAGUGUAAACGAUGCAACCUACCUGAAACUAUAGAUCACUUUUUUUUUCAGUGUACUUUUUCAAAACAGAUCUGGUCUUCGGUCCAUGUUUUCCCGAGUUUUGCGUACAAUGAAUCUAUAGAGUUGAGGAGGCUGUGGAUUGAUUUGGUGUCAAGGAAGAACUUACCUCCUUCUGGAGUAGCGGCAGGACAAUUAGCUCCUUGGAUCUUAUGGAGUAUAUGGAUAGCAAGAAACAACCUAGUUUUUAAUGAUAAGCAUCUCUCAGCGAAUGAAACUCUUUGCAAAGCUAUCGCAUUGGCUCGUGAGUGGGGCUCCUGUCAGCUGCUCUACCUCCAGCAACUCGCACCAUGGUCCCUCUAACAGUACCAUCAACUAACUGUAUUCUAAUCAAAACAGAUGCUGCUUGGAUUGAAAGUGUAAACAUUGCAGGAUUAGGUUGGAUUGUGGAAUCACAAAACAGAACAUCAUCAUACUCUGCCCUUGCUCACCAUGUGAAAUCGCCUCUAGCGGCGGAAGCACUGGCUCUCUGGGAAGCAUUAUUGAAAUGUAGAGAACUCGGCCUUUCAAGAAUUCGGUGUGAAUCAGACUCAGCGGUGCUGAUCAAAGCCAUCAAAGCGGAAUCAUCCUUGGAUGGUCUCUAUGGGAUCUUGGCUGACAUUCAAGCUUUAGCCUUUUCUUUUGAAUAUAUUUCUUUCCAUUGGAUCUCAUGUAUGAGAAUAUAGAAGCUGAUAAGCUAGCAAAGCAGAUCUUGUCUGUUAAACUGGCCUUUAUGGCUUCAUCUACUUUGGUUUGAUCAUUUAAUACAAGUGUUCAAAAAAAAAAAUCACUACAAAAUCGCUAAUCUCUAGAGAAAAAGAGACAACAAGGGAUCCAAACCUUUAUGAUCAUCAUCAUAUGUUAGUGCAAGAUGCAAGAAUGCAUUAAAAUGGUAUAGUCAUAUUUUUUAAAUUUUUUUUAAAAAAUUAUGUGUUGACCCCUACAAAAAUAUUGAGUUUUUCUGUAAAUGAUAAAUAUAUUGAAGCCUAUAAUCCGUAGUGUUGUUUUAAAAUUUCUAACCAUAUUUUACAUUUGUAUUAAUGUACUCUAAAUUCUCUAUCAUGGUACAUGGGCAUCGUUCUAAUUAUUUAUCAAUUAAUUUAAUAAUACUUCAUAUAAUCUCUAAAUCAGGGGACUAACCACUAUAAAGUCGUUAUUCUAGAGAAACGGAGACAACAAAAGUUCGAAAACUCUUUGACCAUCAUCAUAUGUUAGUGAAGGUGCAACUAUGCAUUAAAACAUUAUUGUUAUAUUUUUGAAUUUUUCACAAAAUCUAUGUCUUAACAACUCCUACGAAAAUAUUGAGCUUUUCGGCAAAUGAUCUAUAUACUGAAGCCUUAUAAUCUUUAGUGUUAUUUUAAAAUUUCUAACUAUAUUAUAAAUUUGUAACAAAACAACUUAGCGGGAAAACAAGCAGUAGGUAAAGUUUGGAAUCGGAUUAUCAUUUGAAUCGGAAAUAUAAUUGUAGAGUUGUUACAAAUUAUAGUUUGAACAUAAAAUGAUGUGGUUAAUAAUGGUAAACAGUAGCAUCGUAACGGAGAACAGCAUCGCCUGUCUUCAUGUCGAUCUGAUGCGUUUUGAUUUUGACGAAGCCUCUAGCCAUUCUGAAUUUACCACGUCCUCCCACGAUCCCAAUCUCUCUCUCUCCCGCCUCUUCGGCCACCGGAUUCCUGGAGAACACGCUUAUCGAGCUUCCGUUGAAUUUCCCCGCCGUGAACGCCAAAUCCGCGUACAUCACGAUCGUGAACUUUCUUAUGUCUUUGCUCGCGGAUACGUACAUUCCACGCCCGUUUCCUAUCUCCUUCGAAUCUUUCCCGGGUCCCACGGUGAGCGGAUCGUCCAUCGCGAACAGGCUUCCGAAUCCUACUGCCGAAUCUGCGCCGCCGGUGAGAUUGGCGUGUGCGAUUCUGACGGCGCUGGGGUUUCUGCCACUGAGGAUAUCAUGAAGGUAGAAGCGGAGACGUGUCACUUUCUCCUCCUUCGGAUGAACCGGCUUGGUCGUCCCGUAGUAGUUGGAAUCGCUAUUCGCUGUAACAACCAUAACGGCUAAAUAGAGCGCAAAGAUUAGCGACAUUAUCCCGCUUUUCAUUAUUAUUAUGUUCUUAUGUAAACUUAAGAAUAAUAUACGAUGGAAAGAUUAAAGUCCAAACGAAAUUUUGAUUAUUUAUAGAGUUUCAUCAUACUAGUGUUCAAUGUGAAAACUGUAGGUAGGAUAUUCUUUAACAAAAUGGAAUGCUGCAUAAAAAGAGAUAGUGAAUAAAUGCUGCAUAAAUUCUAUUGAUAUGUUUCCCCUAUUGGGCAAAAAAAAGUAGUAAAUGCAACUCAAGCAACAUUUGCCAGAUUUAUUUACUUUUUAAAAGAUUUAGAUUAAAGAAUAGUUAGAUAGUUACUUUAAAUAAUAGAGAUCCUAGUUAUUAGUUAUAUAUCCUAGAAAGUAUUUCACAAUAAAUUUUUAUUAUCUAUAUAAAUUUCUCCAAGGUAUUGAUGAGUCUCUCAAAAAAAAAUCUGGGAAUCUCUUUACACAAAAGGGAUGAUUGGUGUAAAUGAUUUAGACAUCUAAAAUUUAGUAUAGAAUCAUAUAUAUCAAUCAAUCAAGUUUUCAUUUCUUUAAAUCUUUAGAAAAUUAAAAGCUGUAGAUUUAUGUCCAGAAUUAAAUAAAAAUAUAUAUUGUUUUCCAAAACUAUAGCACAAAAAUUUACAGCAACUUAAAUUUUACAUCAGAAAACAUAAAGUUAUAGCUCAUUCAAAUCAUCCCCAAAGACUAUAAAUCCAGUGAGCAUAUCAAAAGCUUUGGAACAUAUGCUAAUGUAUAAGGAUAUAUAUAUAUAUUCUUACAAAAAUUAUGUACUAAGAAACAAAAAUAUGAAUGUGAACGGCAAAUUCCACAAAAAUGAACCUCGAAAACACUAAUACAAAAGACAAUCCAUGUAUACACAAGGCUCAACAUUGUUCCCCGACUAGAGAGAGAUAAGAUGAUGAUGAUGAUGGAUGAUCUUGUCAUUCAGUCUAAACGAAGUUAAGUUAUCAGAUAACCUUUGGUUGCUUAUACUCAGGACUGUGCAACUGAUUAAACACGGUAAUACUUAUACUCCUCUGCCACCAAUGGGACUAUCUGCACCGUUAUGACCUUGGAUUAUUUGGAACCUUUGGAAGUCUCGAAACAAGUUGAUGUUUGAAAACAAAACCUACACAGCACAAGAGAUAGUUCUUAAGAGUAUAACUGAUGCAAAAGAGUGGAGUGAAGCGCAAGCAAGCCAGAAGGGCACAUCUCAGUACACCUCUACUCACACUGGCUCCCUGCCUCGGUCCAGUUACCCCCCUCCCGCAAACCUGACAGGUAUGCUUGUAUGCAAUGUUGAUGCAGCGUGGAAUUCAGUGUCGGGAACUUGUGGCAUAGGUGGGGUUUUCUCAGGCUAUAACGCUCCGAACCUUGCAACUGUUUCGGAAGCUCACAGCCAUGUUCUCUUCAGCUUUAAUGGCGGAAGCCUUAGCUAUCCAUCGGGCGGUCGCCCUUGCGGUUUAUUCAAACGUCUGAUCCCUGGCAGUUCUCUCCGACUCUCUCUCUCUGAUUAAGCUCUUGAAGAGGGGAGGGACUCAACCUGAACUGUUCGGUAUCAUGUUUGAUAUCUAUCACUUUAUGUCUUUCUUUGAUGCAAUUUCUUUCACUUUCAUAUCUAGGAACUUUAAUUCAGAUGCUGAUUUUGGUGGCAAAAUCAGCUAUGUCUAUGUCUGUAAUGAACUCCAUUCAUGGAGUGUAAACCCCCUUUGAGUAAUGCAAGUCUGUUUGUUCAAAAAAAAAAAAUACUUAGGACUGUGCAAGCUUACUAGAUAUCUAUACUAUUAAAGCAGGAUCCUAUUGUCUUUUUUAUUUUAGUCUGCCUUUUUUUUUACUAGCAUUGCAUGUUUCAUUAAGGGCAAUCAAGUAAUAUUAAUAACACAUCUAUAUUGGAUCAUUUUUUUCGGAUCCAGCCCACAUCAGAUCUCUCUUGGGCUAUUUGGGCCGAUUAAGAAAUCAGAUCCAAUUUUCACAUUUUUUUUCCUUUGGGCCAUUGAGUCCAAGUUCAAAUAAUUUUUUUUUUAACUAUUCUUAAUUAUUUUUCUUUUCUUUUCUUAAUAUAAUUUAAACAUUCAUAAAAAAAAUUGAAUUUUUUCAUUGAAAAGUAUAAAUCUUUAUUAAAAGUAUAUAAUUUUUUUUAUUAAAAUAUUAACCACAUAAUAAAAUUAAUUUAUCAGAGUUAUAUCAACUUAAUUUAUUAAAGAAAUAAAGUUUAAUUUUUAAACAUAAAUAGUCAUUUAAAAUGAAAUACGAUAAAUACAAAUAAAAAUUUUAAGUCUUUAUAAAAUAAAACACAAAUAUAUAAAAAUAUGAUAUUUACUAAAUAUUUGUCAAUUGAAAAAAUAAAUAAAUAAAUCCGCGCUUUGAAAGCGCGGAUCAAAAUCUAGUUCUUCGUUAAAGCUCUUCCCUGAUUCCUACCAUCUCAACGUUCCCGAAGAAGUUUCUUCCUCUUCCCUCGUCGCAUGCAGUAUAACUGUUCCUGUCAGCACCGUGAUGAAUCCACAUAUCUCAGAUGCUAUGCUCUCUGUGUUUUGCCCAUACCAGUCCAGUCCAGUCCGGACCACUAACAAGGUGGUGAGUGGUUCAAACAUGAUAUUUUUACCAGACAAAAAAAUCAUUCCGAUAUCAAAAUCCAAUUCAGAAUAUAAAAAGGAGCAGGACGAACCAGCAGGGGUUCCAUUGGCAGCAGCACGUUUGAGACCUUUCUUCUUCAAAAUGAAGCUCGAACCUACGAAUACACUCGACGCCACUGCUAAUACUAAUCCCUUGUCAUUGUCCGCGUCACCAUUUUUUUUAAUUAUCGAUCGCCUUUUUUUUCUCUCUAAUGGGUCUGCUUCUAGUUGACUACAAAUAUUUAUUGUAACAAUAUUUUCAUAUUUUUUUCACUAAUCCUUAAAUAAUUGGCCGUUUAAUUACACUUAUUCAAAUAAUAAAAUGUCACUUCAUAUUUUUUAAAGAGAAAAAGACUAUGAUAACACCAAAUCAAGUUUUUGUUUCCAAACUAGCACUCAAGGCUCAAAGUCACAAAAAUAUGUUUCAUUAAAGAGGUAAAUAUACACUUAUACCCCUUGGAUUAAUUAAUCUAAAUCUUAGGGUUUAGAGUUAAGGGGUGGGGUUUUGGAAUUAGAGUUUAAAAUUUUAUAAAAUAAAAAAUAAAUACUAAAAAUUAAAAUUUAAAAACAGUUUCAAAAAGUAUUUUUGAAUUAUAAAAAGAAAAUUUCAAAAAAAAAAUUCAAAAAAAAAAAAUUCAAAAAAAAAAAAAAUUAUAAAAAAUUAUAAAAAAUUUUGAAUCUGAAAACAUAGAAUCUGAAACUAUAAAAAAAAAUUCUUUUUUUCAUUUUUUUAUUUUUAUUUUAUUUGUUUUUACUUAUUUUUGUUUGUUUAUUUAAUUUUAAACCAAGGAUAUUAGGAAUAUUUUACCCUUUAAUGAAUGUCAUUUUUAUGAUUUUUUCCUUCUAGUGUCAUUUUUUAGACAAAAAAUCAAAAUGUGCUAUUAUUGACAAUUGCCCUUUUUGAAAUAUCACUCAGUUUAUGUCACUGCAACCUUCAAGAAAAAAUAAGAUAUGUCGUCAAAUUUCUACACUGAUGAUAAUCUCAUCAUAAUAAAAGAGAAAGGAAUCAUUACCAUAUUAUUGCUGGAAUAAUUACGCAAACAGUCUACAUAUAUAUAUAACUCGAUCGGAGAUAAAGCAAACAAAGAUUAAAUGAGACAAAAGCAACCAAAAUAUUAAACAUGCAUGCAAUAAUUUUUUUUUAAAAUACGAGUAAACGUUUAAAGUUUCAAGGGUGUGUUGGCAAGGGAGGCCAUUUGCCGAACUUGGGAUGGUGAAUGUAUUUAGGAGGAAGAGGUGGAAACUUUGAAAGUGGUGGACAUGGCUUCUUCGGAAUCACCACCGGUGGCACGUAGAUUGGUGGAUGCUCUAUCUUCGCCGGCGGCUUGUAGAUCGGGACUGGUGGUGGGAGCUCGAUCUUUGGGGGGCAUGCCUUCUUUGGUGGUAUCUUGUGAACUGGAACCGGCGGUGGAUCAACUUUCUUCGGUGGCGGCUUGUAUACGUGAACCGGCGGUGGGCAUGGCUUCUUAGGAGGUGAAUGCUCUAUCUUUGGUGGCGGCUUGUAAACGGGAACAGGAGGUGGGUGCUCUAUCUUCGGCGAUUUAGGAGGACAAGACUUCUUAGGAGCCGGUGGUGGAAGCUCCACCUUUGGGGAUGGAUCGUGAACCGGGACAGGUGGCGGAAUCUCUACCGUUGGUGGUGGUGGAACUUCCUCAAGGGGAGGUGGGCAAGGUUUCUUGAAUUUAGGAAACAGUGGAGGUAAAGGGAAAUGAUGUUCAAAUCCCUUAAAAGGAGGGAACUUAGGCAUAGGCCAAAAGAAUUUGGAAACACAAAGUUCAGGUGUAAACCUCAGGUUUUGUUUGAGGCCCAAAAUGUGUUUGUCUCCGGAUGUGUAUAGAAACACGAUCUUGUUUGACUCAAGGCCGUCGUGAGCCGGACAAGGUGCUCCCUCCGCACUGUGAAGCUGAGCAUAGCACUCCUCCUUUAAAGCUCCGUCGUCAGAGAUAAUGUCAUGAGGAAGAACUUUCAGACCGAACUUUCCUUCCUCAUCAAUGUUUCCAGAACCUUUUGUAACAAAAUGCCCUUUCUCCCCCUUACAUUCAAUCGUCACUCGGAGUCCUUGAUAAAAUCAUAAAAGUAGUAAUACCCACACAUCUUUUAAAUAACCACACUACAUACUAUAUAACAAAAAAGAUAUUAUUAAUCCUGGUGGUUGGUUACCUGAGAAUGCACGGGGAUUUUUGAUUUUGCUCUCGGCGUAACCAACAACUUCGACGACACGAGCGAGGGAUAGAGUCGCUGAAAAUAGAACCGACGACACGAGGAGAAUGAGGCAUGGAACCGAACCUCGAGGCUCUGGUAAGAUCCUCAUUGGGAUUCUCACCCUCUGACACACUACGUGUACUCUCCCGUUUCCUUAAAAUGGAGUAUACGAUGUUUAUAAGAAGAAAAGAAACUAUAUCUAGAUUUAAGUAUUAGUGGAGAAGAUGAUAUGAUUAUAGAGAGGCUCCCUCUCGUUUAUAUAAUGGUCUUAUCAUAGUUAUUUUUGUUGUUAAAUGAACUUAAUUAUUACUUCAUAAUCUGUUUUUUUUUACCACGGUUUCUUUUAUUUGGUGGUAUCGUCAUGGAAUGGAAUUUUCAUUUAUUUAGUUAUUAUCAUGGUCCAUCUUAUUGUUGUAAAUUGUAAUUAUGUCUAUUCAGCAAUAAUAUUAUACCUUUCAUUCAGUGUGGUUGAAACAAUUUGACUUUUAUAUUUCUUUAUUUAUAUUUAUACAACAAAGGCUUUCACAUUUACCUUUUUAUUGCAUGAAACACAUAUAGAUACAAAAGAAUUAAAAACUAGCAAAUCAAGUAGAAAGGAGAGUAACCGGAGGUAAAGUUAAUAAAGUGACUGCAGGAUGACCAUGAAUAUAUUUUGUUAACUGUUUUUGUCAGUGGUCACAUGCUAUAUAUGUAAUUUAUGUAAAAACAACAAAUGAAUUAAUGACUGUGUAUACGUGCAACCAAACCCAAAUUGAAGCGAAUCACAUGAUGGUUAGAAGAAAAACUUUAAUAUUUAUGGAAAAAGAUAGUCACACUUCUUGUGCUUCGAUCCCGAUCCCGACCCCGAUCCUCUUUCAUUAUACUCUUUUAUUUGAUGUUUUCUUGUAAUCCAUGCAAUAUUUUUUAUAUGCAUGGUUAAAAUUAAUUACGUUGGGCAUGCAGCAACCAUUGUAAGUAGACCAAUGUACCAGAUAUAAAUUAAGAUAUACUGUCGAAUUUGGUCAGAGAAGAGCAGCUUGAGACAUUGGCAUGUAGUUAGAUAGGAGAUAGAAGUGAGUUGAUAAAAAAAAAAGGAGAUAGCAGUGAAUUUUGGUCAUCAGUCUUGUAUAUGAGUCGGCAAGGCCCAUAACCAUAUGCAAACUAGUAUUUUUCGUAUUUUGUUGUAUGGUAGCCAAGUUAUACAUGAGAAUAUCUUCUUCUUUUUUGAACUUUAGUUGCUUGAGGAGAAGGUAAUAGAUUAGAAAAUGUUUAUUGAUUGAAUGAAAAUAAAGCUUGCCUUAGCCUAAUAAGGCUACAAUAUAUAGUAAAAUCAAAGAGAAUAUUAAACUAAUUAGGAAAAGAGAUAAAGCCAAGCAUAAUAAGGAAAACUAACAAUUAGAUAACAAUAGCUAUGAUAUGUGACUUAUCCUGUCACACUGUGCAGGUAAUCUGGUAUUGAACACGAGGGGAAGAUUGCUGGUGGCAUAUUGGGAUAUGGAUUGUGACCAUCAAUGGUUCUCAUCUCUGAGGUUGUUCAAACUUUCAUUCUUGCUGAUUUCUGUUACUACUACGUCAAAAGGUUACCACCACCCUUUAGAGGCUUUCACUAUACCACUCUUUUAGCUAUUUUAUUUUUACAAAGUAUAAACGAUUCAACCAUUUAUUUUUGUCUUUGUGCAGUGUUUUCGGACGGCAGCUUGUUCUCCGGCUUCCGUCUGGAGUAGUAUAAGUUUUUCUUUUAAAAUUAGAAUACUUGAGUCGUGAUAUGUAAUCUUUCAAACUUGGGAAAUACGGUUCAGUUUUUUUCUUUACCUCUGAUCUUAACGUUUACGUGUCUGAGAGCUGACUUGGUAAUGAAACUGUCUUAGUGUCUUGUAGUAUAUUUUUGACAAUCGUUUUACCACAACUCGUGGACCAUUGAGUUGUUAUAUCCUUGGCGAGUUUGCCUGAAAACUGAAGUUUAACAUUCUCAAGAAUGAUGAGUACUUGAUGAAUCAUGCAUGGGGUUUGAUUAUAUUUGAAUCAACUCACUUUUUAAGUGAGGAAAAAAGAGUGUUACAAUGUCUCUGUUUCACUUUCAAGGAGAGAUGUCAUCCUCAUCUCAUCUCUUGAAGAAAACUAAUUCGGAAUAGAAAAAAAUGUACAAAUCAAUAAUGAAAAAAGGUUAUUCGAGUGAGCCAUGCAUGAUCGAUCAGUUGAGGCGAGAAGCAAGGUUGAUAAAGGUUUCUUCACUGCAAGGAAUUGUGAGGCCACCCAUUGGAUGAUCAUAUCCAUAUUCUUCCUCUGCCCUUCUUAGUAGAUUUUGAAAUGAAGGUUCCUUCAAGUACGAAAUGGGAACUACAAAUCUCUUCAUCUUCCUUUCUCCUAUGUAAACCGCUAAGUAGCCUUUUGGAACAUCAAUAGAGCUAGAGGAAGAAGAAGAGAACAGUUUUGCUUGACGGAGAAUCUGCUUUGAUGAUUGUAACACGCGAGGUACCCUGAUCGCCAUGGAUUGUCUUUGUGUGUUUCUUGAAUUGUAAGUUUAAUUCUUUACUGCUGAAUGUGAGAACUUGAAGAGCAUAAAAAGGACCUAAUGAUGAGUCCAGUAUAUAUAGAUAAGGGCAUUGUUUGAAGAUAACGUUUUAUUUUGGCUAGACAAGUUUCAGUUCAUAAAUUAACACCAACCAGCACAUGGCUUUGCCGGACCACGGCAUGGUAUGUAAGGGACCGCUAGUGAUCAACUUCAUCAUUUCUGAUGUGAAGACACAAAUCAACAUGACCACUUGUUAGUUAGAUAAGACAUUAUAACUUGUCAAAUUUUCAAUUCCUGCCACAGAAAAUGUUGAAGGUUUUUGUGACUUUGUCUGUAUAUGAUCAAGUCAUGUGGUCCUCUCUUUUAAAUAUCACUGAGAAGAAGUUACUACUUAAUCAGUGAUAGAGAUGGUUCUUUAGGUUCCCAUCUUCAAGUCCCUACAUAAUCUAUAGAGAGAUUUGGCUUGUGAUGAUGUCCUUGAGACAAAUAGCCCCAAUGAAGUUAUCAUGUAGGACAUCAUAUCGUAAAUAUAGAAAUAACACUUUCUAUAAAGUAUAAACAUAAGAGAUGGAAUGUUGUUAAAAUUUAAUUUAUCAUAUCGUAAAUGUUGUUAAAUUUCCGAUUUGGAAGCUUUAUAUUCUCACAGAUUUGAUUCUCUUUUUUUUUUUUAACUUCUUUCGCGGAAGUUGAACACCACAAUUAAUAAUACACAUUGAGAAAUACUUGGGUUCACCCCCUAGGGUGAACCUCUAGGUUCACCAACCAAUAGUGUUUGAGUAUUUGAUAUUUGAUAUCUUUUAAAAAAGGAAAUAAAAUUGAAUAUCCAAAUUAGAUUAUAUCUUUAAAAUCAAAUAAUAAAAAUACAUAAAAAUAGUUACAAAAAAUAAAUAAAUUAAUAUUAUUAAGUCUUCAGCAAAAUAUUAAACCCUAUACCCUAAAUCCUAAACCCUAUACCCUAAACGUUAAACCUUAAACUUUGGAUAAACUUUAAACAUUGGAAAAUCUUAAACCCUAAAUUAUACAUUAAAAAUUAAAUUUUAAUAAAACUAAACCCUAAAUCCUAAUCACUAAACCCUAAACCCUUGGGUAAACUCUGAACCCUUGGGUAAAUUCUAAACCCUUGGAUAAAUCAUAAACUCUAGGAUUUAAUUUUAAAUAUUUUUAAUUUAGAGUUUAUGAUUUAUCCAAGGGUUCAGGCUUUAUCCACGGGUUUAUGCUUUAGUGAUUAGGGUUUAGGAUUUAGGGUUUAGUCUUAUUAAGAUUUAGUUUUGAUGUAUGAUUUAGGGUUUAAAAUUUUCCAAUGGUUUACGGUUUAUCCAAGAUUUAAGGUUUAUAAUUUAGGGUUUGGAGUUUAGAAUUUAGGGUAUAGGAUUUAGUAUUUUGCUAACAUUUUAACAAUAUUUAUUUAUUUAUUUUUUGUAACUAUAUUUAUGUAUUUUUAUUGUUUUAUUUUAAAAAUCUAUAUCAUAUUUGGAAAUUCAAUUUUAUUUCCUUUUUUAAAAGAUAUCAAAUAUCAAAUACUCAAACACUAUUGGUUGGUGAACCUAGAGGUUCACCUUAGGGGGUGAACCCAAAAAUUUCUCAUACACAUUCGCAAUUAUAUAGGCCCAAACAAAUUUUAAAUAGAAGUCCAAGCGCAUACAUUAAACGACUUAAUUCCCUCUAAUUUGCACUGUUUUGUAUUUGCUUACGUCUUUGUAAUGGUUUCUUUGUCCCCAUUAAUUAAAUUAUGAUCCUUCUUUUUCGCCCUUUUGUUAGUUAAGUUAGUAAACCCUUGUUUUUCAUCCUACACCGACCCCCGUAGAGACGUGGAAAUGGGAUAAACCCUCAGGUGCAGUUACCAGGUCAAACGGGGAAAGAGAGGAUUUUUACUUUCUUAUGUAUGUAUUCCAUUAUUUGAUUUAUUAUAAUGAACUCAGAGAAAUAAUUAAGCCUCACAUGCCAAAUUAAGUACCUCAAAACCCUACCUCAACUCCCAUUUAAUUAGCAUAUGUGGCUAACGAAAGCUUAGUCCUAUCUUUUGCCAUCUUGAUCCUUUUCUCUAGGUGCCACUCUGUUUCUUUUUUUUUACCCUUGAUGUUACACUUUUGAAGUUCAACUGUUGAUUGAUCAUCGUACAAGAAAAACUAGCCAGUCUGAGCUCGCAAUAUUAUGUCUCUUUUGGAUCCAAGUUUGCUGCAGCCCAUCCAUGCAUGUGAUGAAAGACCCUAAAUUUCACGUCAGAUCUUGCCACCUAUAUUUUUUAUUUGACUUAGUAACAGAGCUCAUGGUUUUUCUUUCACGUGAAUAUAGAACCUAGAUUCAAUCACUUCCUAUACGAAACAUACAUCGCACCUCCGAGUUUUUUUCUUCUUGUACUUGACUGGUUUUUUUCUCAGAUUCUAGAGUUUUUUUUUAUAUUUAAAAAAAAAUGAUAAUAAUAAACUUGGAGAUGAAGAGCGUUUUUUUGAACAAAGAGCAGAGUUGUAAUAACAGGACAGAUUUUCAAGGGGUUUUCUGAUUUCUGGCCACGGAAGUAGAAAACAGAGAUACAAGAAUUUCUUAAAUUCGAGCAGACAAAUUCAUUUCUAAAUAAAUCUGUCCGUAAUAAAAAAAAUGUGUAAAAAUGGAAAGCUGUACAAAAGAGGACAGUAUUAGGUAGGGAAGGAGGAGGAUUGGAGGAAGCAAGAGUAACAUGGGGAAGGGCUUUCAUGUGGUUGGUCGAUGAGACGAAAGAAUAACGACGCGUCUUUUUCAGUCCGUAAGGCGAUGUUGUCCCUUCAAAGAUCCGUAAUUUUCUCCCUCUUUCACUCCAAAAUUUUCCCAAACAAAUCUCGUUCGCAGAACAUGCUUCCUAGCCUCUCUCUCUCUCUCUCUCUGACAACGACCCCAAUCUCUCUCUCCCUCUCUCUCUCUUUCUCUCCAUUUGUGGUUGAUAAGAGAGAAAACAUGAUUCCAAAUUAUUCUUAUUCACCUGUUGGUUGAUGUGAUUGAUUUCCGAUGUAACCCGCAAGAAUAAUCAACUCGAGAUCAAAGUUUAACCUUUGCAGAGUUGCGUGUAUUACAAGUACAAUCGUUGCUAUCUGAUUUUUUAGGAUUUUUAGAACAUCCUUUGCUCAAACAGAAUAAAAUAAUACACAAGGCAAUUGCACUAAAUGACCAAGAAUAAACAUACUUCAAAAGUUAAAAUGUUCUGAAAAAGAGAAAUAGUCACGUCAUUUACUUAAUUAACUUUUGUAACAUGUUUCAUUGAACUUAUAAUAUAUCUACAGUCUGCAUUAUGGCCGACGCCGUGGAUUAGGAAGAGGAACAUCACAAGUUACAAAGAUGGGAAGCUCGAGAUCGUGAGACUUUUACAUGUUCUUUUGUCCCUAACCUUUUACGACCAGAUACAAAGAUCUAUUAAAUGCUCGCUGUCUUUAAGCAUAUAACCAUCGAACAUUGUCAAUAUAUUAUAAACAAAUACAGUUACUUGCCGACAAGAGUCAAAGGCGACUCUUUCUCAUUUUUUUCUGUAUUUUCAUGCAUUUGUUACAAGGUGUUAUCUCAAAAAGAUAUUCUAUUAUCAAAUGGUUGUAAUUAAAUAGUUUUGUUUGCUGGUAAUACAUUUGCAUUGGUUUCUAUUGGUUACAAUAUUCGUCUUUGGACUCACAUGACAGUUGUGAAUCUGGCAAUUUGUUAGCCUUAGAGUAUGAUUAAUGGAAGGUUCUUAUGAUGAGGUUUUUAACGGAAUAUAAGAAACGUCUUUUAACUAAAAAAAACUAAGAAUCGAUUUUUAAAUAAGAUAUUUAAGAAUCGGUUCUUAGCUUUUUUAGUUAAAAGUUAAGAGACGGUUUCUUAUAUUCCGUUAAGAACCACAACCUAAGAACAUCCAUUAAUCAUGUUUUAAAGUCCUAAGAGCAUCUCCAAUGUUAAACUUCAUUUUUUCCUUUAAAAUGUAGUAAAAGUGAAAAUGAAGUAAAAUUGCUCCAAUCCUACUCCAUAUCCCAUGGAAAUGAACAAACAAAAAAAUAGAUUAUUCCAUUUAUGGAGUAAAUUUCAUUAUAGAGUGAAAUAUGGAGUUGGAUUGAAGUAUUUCUUACUUCAUAUUUACUUUUACUCCAUUUUAGAGGAAAAAAUAGAGUAGGGAUGGAGAUGCCCUAAGAAAUUUAAAUAAAUAAAUAUACAUAUAUAUAUAUAUGUUGAAAAGAAAGUAUAUAAUAGUUUCAAAUCGCGUGAUUAGCCUAUUUUAAUUUUAAAAGAUGUAGAUACAGCAAACUUAUAAUGUUUAAAUAUUAUCUUGAUUCUAGUCCGGCGAUGACACCGUUUAAUUUGUUGGUGUAGACAAUGGAUUGAUUCUCUCUCCUUGACUACAUAUUUGUCCACUUUAGUUAGAGUGUACAUUAUGGCUGCUAGUUUGUGAUUACUUAGAAUCUAAUUACCGAGGAUAGUAUUUAAAGAUGACCAACAAAAAAUAUCAUAAACUAGAGGUAAUAAAUCAAAUGCAUGCUUUCAACUCUACACGCUUAACCAAAUAUAUUAAUGGAAAACAUAUAAUAUGUACUUAAUUGUGGUACAUAUUUACAUACCUAUUCGUACAUAAUUAUAAAGUAUAGUUACCACAUUGAUAUUUUCCCUAUUUAUGACAAUAGCUAAUGAACGAGAGUGAGAGGAGGGACCAUGGUGUCUUGGGGAGGACCAACAAUGAAAUUAAAUCGCAAUGGGUUUGGAUCCCACACUGUCACAUGCGUUUCUAUAUCCCUCCUGCUUUUCUUCUGCUCCUUAAAAAUAAAACUGUAUAUAUCUACAGUUAUAUAUUAAAUUAUUAAUAUCAAUAUAAUAAUCAUAGUUCUCUAUAAUAUGCAAGUGAAACUAUUGGAAUAGACAUACUAAUAUUUAAAACAUCUAAAUUACCCUCAUCGCCGUUCUUUAAAUAAUCAGCUCAAAAAAUCAUAUUAGUUUUUAUUUAUAAUAAAUUCGUAGUUUCCAUUUUCUUAUACUCGAUAUGAUAAUUCCCUCAUACAACUGGCUGCUGAAUUUUCGUUCGAAAUGUAUAAUUAUAUUUUGGAAGAGUCUUACAAGACGGCACUAACCAAAUUUUAGAUUACUGAUAAUAAUUUGAUUAUAUAUUAGUAUUAAGUGAAGAUGAGAUAAUGUAAGAACUUCAAAAAUAAUAGUAAUAUUGCUUUAGCAUUCCAUCCUCAUCCUCCUCCAUAAAUAACCCCUUUUCGCAACCUAUCUCUCAUCAAACACUUCUCUUUUCUCCUCCAAAUUGUCUCCUCGCUCCCUCAUCUCAUCAAGAAGUCAAACACUAGCUAAAACUAAAACAAUGGCGGUAAAGAGAUCUUCUAAGGUAACACAAACAGCAAUGUUAAAGCAAAUCCUCAAGAGGUGCUCGAGCUUAGGUAAGAAACAAUGCUACGACGAGGAAGGCCUCCCUCUUGACGUACCAAAGGGACAUUUUCCUGUUUACGUAGGCGAAAAGCGUACGAGGUACAUCGUACCAAUCACCUUCUUGUCUCAUCCCGAAUUUCUGAUCCUUCUUCAACAAGCAGAGGAAGAGUUCGGUUUCCACCACGACAUGGGUGGACUCACCAUCCCUUGUGAAGAAGUCGUUUUUCUCUCUCUAACAUCCAUGAUCCGAUAAGACGCAGAGAGAGUUUUACAUUAUGAUCAAGACUAAGAUUCUUUUCUUUUUGCCUUUGGAUAAUAAUUUGUUAUCCAAAUGGUUCUUUUUUCCUGGACUAAUUCUAAACCUGUAAGAUCCACCUAAAAGAUCAUUCUCUACACGGAUCAUGUAAAUCUCCAUCGGGUUUUAAUUAGUUCAUUAGUUCCCCCUAAUGGGGUUAGUAUUCGAUGGAACAUGUAUGUUUUUUUUUCCAUUGAGCUGAUAAGUGGUGGUUUGCGCUAAUAGAUGAUUAAUACCGCAAGUUGUAUUGGCCAUUUUUUUUUAAGGUUUGAAUAUUGUGAUCGUUCGAGUUCCUUGAAACGAAGAAAUGUUCAAUCUUUGUAUGAGUCUUUUCAAUGUUUUUUUUCUCGGAUGUAAGUAUUUUUUUUUGAGAUUUGUGCGAGUGAUGUAGUAUAAAUUAAAGCUUCCAUUCUGUGUUUUAUUAAAUUAAUAAUUACGUUUAUUAUAUGUGGCACCUGAACAUCUUAAAAUGACAAUAUAUUAUCCACGAUAAACAACGAAUAAAUUGAUCCAACCGCAACACAGAAGAUCUCAAUUUAGACGACUCAAUAUUAUGUGUUCAAAAAAAAAAGACGACUCAAUAUUAUUAAAAAAUAUAUAUUCAUGAGUUUCUUGAAAAAGUUACGUGCUGGAGGAAAAUACAAUUGUUUUCUUUUCUUGAAACAAGGAAAAUAUAAUUGCUAGAGUCGAAAUAUCAAACCUAGAGAGUAAUACUACUCUACGCAUCUUUAUUCUUCUUCUAAAUUAGGUUUCUAUAAUCCGACUGAGUUUUUUUUUUUUGACUAAAAGCAUAUUUGUCUCUAGUAAUUGAAGUUGGUCAUAUAUAUAAUAGUUUAGUAUUCAUUGGAAUUAACUUAAUAUGCCUUGUAGUUUUAGCUAUGAUUUUUUCUUUUGAAAAAUUGAAUGCACUUACUUCUCUCUCUCUCUCUCUCUCUCUCUCUCUCUCUCUUGCUUUUCCUACGAGCCACAAGUCGAAUAUGAUAGCAACUACUCUUCUUAAUGCACAUACCCUCUUUUUUUCCUACAUACUUUUUAUCUAAUUAACUCCGGCCCUCACUGAAGAGUAUCUUUCCGUUCAAAGCAAUUUUAUGUUCGGAAUAAAUUGUACCACAAACACCAAUAAUAUCUAUCCUGCCUCAUCAUAUAUACAUAUGUAUAUAUAGUUAUUUAGUUGAACACACGAAAUGAUCGAACAUGUUGAUUGUAGCAUGUACACAACAAACCGAUUGAUUGAAGGACAGCCACACACGAGUGGGUAAAGCCGCCAAACCGUGACUUUGAUCAGUAUACCGGGAAUUUGACUGCCGGUCAUUUUAAUUAAUUUCUGCUAAGUACAUAUUAUCAGACUUAGCACUAGUAGAAAAUGAUUACAUAUAGCAGUUAUUGUUUUGUAAUUUUACUAUAAACUGAAAACACCAAAGAUAAGAACAUUUGAAUCGAAACAAAUGUAUAUACAUGUGCAAAUAAAUGAUCAUUUUGAUAAAUUUAGUUUUAAUAAGACAUCAAAAGCAAGCAUAUUCAUCAUAAAAUAUGUAACGAGAUCGAAGAUUCAACAUAUACAAGGACUAACCAUUUUAAUAUAUUUUCAGGAAGUGGUUAACAGCAGUGUUUGGUCAGAUAUGCCUUCAAAUGCUAAAGAAGUAAGCAAAUAGAUUCCUCUCAUUUCCAUAAAAAGGAACACAACCUUGGGUUGAUCGAGCGAAAAUAUUAGAUUAAAGGCCAACAUGGCCUUAAAUAGAAAGAGAUAAAUAUAAGAAGAAACACAAUUUCUCUAUCAUAUGAUGAUCUAUUGUUCAAACUUUCAAGAUUCUUGGAUGAAAGAAUUUUGUGACUAAAUUCAAAACAAGUGUUUAUAUUUCUUCAAUACAAAUAGAACCCAAGCUUGUAGACAGUGAUAAUAACCCGAUAAGGAAAACCAUUCACGUAGUAAAAUGUAUAUCCAAAGUAUUAAACGCAGAAAUGAGGAGAAGAAGCCAAAAGGUAUGGAUCCCAACUGGAUGAGUAAAUUACAAAAAGAAGAAUCUAUAAAUAUUGUCCCUUAUCACUACCGUACGAAGUAAUUCUCUGCAGGAAAAUUCUUGGAAGCUGCAUUUGUACGGGUGUUCAAUCCGGAUAUCGGUUCGGUUUCGGUUCGGUUUUUUUCGGUUUUCGGUAUUUCGGUUAGUAAAAUAUAACUACCAUUCUAAAUCCAUAUUUACUUCGGUUCGGUUCGGUUUAUAUACCGUCGGUUUUCGGUUUAUUCGGUUUUAUACCAAAAAACAUAAUUAUUUAGUUUGAGAUCAUAUUAUAUGAAUUUUAGAGUCAUAUUGUCAACAUAGUCAUUUAUUAAAAAUAUAUUACAUGUCCAAAUAAAUGAACAAAAAAGUAAAAAUGCUUCUACCAUCAAAUAAAAUAAUCAAAUCUAUAACUAAAAUCAAAGUUUGAAAUUUUGAAAAUAAAAAUAUGAAACAAAACAGAAAUACGAAAGAAAAGUUUUUUCACUCUUCCCUAUUUAUCGUUUAUUAAAGUCAUGCUUUUUCAAUUGAACACGAAACUCUGUUUGUUUACAGAUAAGAAAAAAGUUGUAAAAAUUUUCCAUUAAUUAUUGUCCAUCAAAUUUAUAAUCUUCAUAUUAAUUUAGUGAAGACUAAAAUAAAGCAAAAAAAUCAAAAGAAAACUUAGAAAAUAAGAUGUAUGAAUUGCGAUGUAUUGUUAUUUAAUUAUAAUUCAAGUGUUUUACAAAUUAAGGCUCUUUAUUACUAUAAAAUUAUAGUAAUAGUUAUUAACACAAAUUUAACUUAUGUAACAAAUAGAUUUUCAUGUAUUGUUAUAAUAUAGAUACAUAUUUACGUGUUUCUACUUUUAAUCGGUUUUGUUCGGUUUAUUCGGUUUAAUCGGUUAUAUACCAAACCAUAUCCAAAUCCUACGGUUUUUAUAAAAUUAUAUCCAUUCGGUUUAUAUGGUAUAUACCAAAACCAAACCAUAUUGUCUAUUUCGGUUCGGUUCGGUUUGGUACGGUUCGGUUUUACCAUAUUGAACAGCCCUAUGCAUUUGUCACAUAUCAUCUUCUAUUUUAGAUUAGUUUUAUAAUUUAUUUUAUAUAAUUAUUAUUCUAAUAAUUUAUUUUAUAUAAUCAUUAUUCUAAUAAUUUAUGAUUAAUGAUAGACAAAAUAAAAUAAAACAAAUUUUUGAAACAAAUAUUAAUAUAAUUUUAUUGAAAUCAUCUCUUAAUAGAACAUUUAUGAUAUAUUAAAUAUAAACGUACUAUUGCUCACAAAUUUAAAUAUUUUUGGCUGAAAAGUACCAAACUUAUAAUGUUUUAUGGAAUAAUAAACGAAAUAUAGAAUCCCACACUUAUAUAUAUAUAUAUAUAUAUUUUAUGAAAUCUUGCUACUUGUAUUUAUAUAUGUUAUUGAAUUAAGUAAUAAUUUGUCAAUUGAAGGGAUUGUGGUAUCACAUAAUUAAAUAGGUUUUAUAUAUCGCAUAGGAAAACAUGACAAUAAAAAAAAAAAAAAGAGUAAUAAAUAAAUAAAACCUUAACUUUUCUGGUUUUCGAUAAUGACUCAAAUCCUUUAUGAACACGAUAAGGAUAUAAAAGAAAUCCAGAUUCUCUCAACAACGUAACCGACAAUAAACACACACAACUUUAUAAAUAGUUACCAUCAAAUUCAGCCAAAUCCUCACAAGCUCUUUGAUUCAAAACUAGGCUAUAGCUCAUCCAUGGCCUUCUCUGUGGAAAUCUCGUCUAUAUUCCCGUUCUCGCUAUCCGCAAAACCUAAGAAAGCUUCGCAAGAUACCCUAUUCCCAUGCUUUACCAAACCCUGCCUUAGUCCCCAAGUUUCGAAAACCCUAAGUUUCUCCGUUUCAUGCAGAAGAAGAAGCACACUUGCCCCUGUUUUCUCGUCGAUGAUAACACCACAAGUGGCAAAAGAAGACGACGAGCUUCACGAAGAAUGUGGAGUAGUCGGAAUCCACGGUGACCCUGAAGCUUCCCGUCUCUCUUACUUGGCUCUUCACGCGCUGCAACACCGUGGCCAAGAAGGAGCAGGAAUCGUAGCCGUUAAUCACAAGGGUGAUCUCGAAUCAAUAACAGGCGUCGGAUUAGUGUCGGAAGUGUUCACGGAGUCGAAACUAAACACUCUUCCUGGCGAUAUAGCGAUAGGACAUGUCCGGUACUCAACCUCCGGAGCCUCGAUGCUCAAGAAUGUUCAGCCUUUCAUCGCUACCUGCAAACUCGGAUCCUUGGCAGUAGCGCACAAUGGUAAUUUCUUGAAUUACAAGCAACUCAAGAGAAAGCUUGAGGAGAACGGUUCCAUCUUCAUCACAAGUUCUGACACCGAGCUGGUGCUUCACCUGAUCGCCAAAUCUAAGGCCAAGACGUUCCUUCUGAGGAUCCUCGACGCUUGCGAGAAGCUUCGAGGUGCUUUCUCGAUGGUUUUUGUCUUUCAAGACAAGCUUGUCGCUGUCCGAGACCCGUUCGGGUUCAGACCACUUGUGAUGGGCAGAAGAAGCAACGGUGCAGUUGUUUUCGCCUCAGAGACUUGCGCUUUGGACCUUAUCGAUGCGAGGUACGAACGUGAAGUGUGUCCGGGGGAAAUAGUGGUCGUGGAUAGAGGAGAUGUAGGGGAAAGCUCUAUGUUCAUGCUCUCUCACCCUGAACCGAAGCAAUGUGUGUUCGAGCACGGUUACUUCUCACAGCCCAACUCAAUUGUCUUUGGACGUUCAGUGUAUGAAACACGCCGCAUGUACGGUGAGAUAUUAGCCACGGUGGCACCUGUAGAAUGUGAUGUCGUCAUCGCAGUGCCGGACUCGGGGACAGUUGCUGCUCUUGGAUACGCAGCCAAAGCUGGAGUUCCGUUUCAGAUCGGUCUCCUGAGGUCGCACUACGCUAAACGCACUUUCAUAGAGCCAACUCAGAAGAUCCGUGAUUUUGCAGUCAAGGCAAAGCUGUCUCCUGUCCGGUCAGUCCUUGAAGGGAAGAGGGUGGUUGUGGUGGACGACUCUAUUGUCCGAGGAACCACGAGUUUGAAGAUAGUUCGGAUGCUAAGAGACGCUGGAGCCAAACAAGUUCACAUGAGAAUUGCAUUGCCGCCGAUGAUUGCGUCCUGUUACUACGGAGUGGACACUCCUAGGAGCCAAGAGCUUAUCUCUAGUAAGAUGAGCGUUGAGAAGAUAAGGAAGCAUAUUAACUGCGAUACUCUGGCGUUUCUACCAUUAGAUAGCUUGAAACAAGUCUAUGGACCAGUCGAGUCACACAGCUAUUGCUACGCCUGCUUUACCGGCAAGUAUCCAGUGACUGAGGAGGAGGAGGAGGAGAACAAUGCCGAGAGAGAACUCACCGCUCUCUGAAUUAUUUGUAAUCAGAACAACCUCUUUUAUAUGCUUUUUCUUUUUCUUUUAAACUGGGGGUGUAUAGUAAGUAAGUAAUUAACUAUGAGAAUUGGUUUUAGAAAAAGGGAAUAAAUACAUUGUUUCACGAAUGCUGUCUACACUCAAAAAAAAAAACUAUUGAAUAGAAAUUUGCUCAUCACAGUUUCAGACAUGUUUAUGGAUGAAGAUUGAGCUUACAUAAGAUGUGACUUGUAAUUAGCCAUUUUCAGCUCGAUCAUAAGCGUUGGAUUUGUGUUUGGGGGCAAACGUGAAGCCUUCCGGAACCUUUCCAAGCAGCAAUUCCGAUAUCCUCACCUGCAACAUUAAAUCAAACUUUGAGUUCCUUCAUAUAUAGUCCACCGUAACACAGCUGAAUGAAUAAGUAAAAAUUACGCACCCAGUCACCCGCAGAUUCAGACAUCAUGAGAGUCUCGAGAUCAUCACGACCAAAGUAAGAAGGCGGACGCCAGUUGAUUUGCUGCGGGAUCACAUCCAGCAGACCUACAGGUAUGUACCUAAACGUGUAGCUUAGCCACUCCAGUAAGAAAUGCCUAGUUGUCUCAACUCCUGUUCAGGUUUUAAAUUAACGGCAGAGUUUUAGCCACAAGGGAACACGCAAAGGUAGUUUCAAUUCCAUGCAGUGUGCAUCAUUAUUAAUAUUACCUUUUGUGUCGGAUCCCCAAUGUUGAAGACCAAAACGUACAAAGUCCUUGAAGAUGUUGAGUCUUUCCCCGGAGGUAAUGUCCCAGUGCCGUUGCUCUUUAAUUUCAGUAAAUAUCCAAGGCUGCAAAGAUUAAAAAAACCCUAUUCAGACAUGCACUAGAGAAGGAUUAAUAGUAAAAGGUCAUAUACACAACCUUGAUCAGUGCUCCGCGAGCAAUCAUGCAGCUAGACAACUCAGGACAGUCAGACUUGUGUUUGUUCCAGUCUAAAAACGAGUACACAUCUCCAUUUCCUAUAACUUGUAGGUUAGAGGAAGCGUUUUUGGUACACUUGUAUAUAUAGUCCCAAUCCGCAGACUUGCUAUAACGUUGUUGUCUUGACCGCCCAUGAAUCGUCACUGCAGUGGCUCCCCAAUCCCCAAUAUCUGAAAUUAACGAGUCUAUCCGGUUCUUACCCUCAAAAAAUGCAGUUCGUACCUGGCACCCAAAAAGGAGAGGGCAAGUAAAGAGAGGUUAACAUACCAAUACAUCAUGCAAUUAAUAGGUUAUGAUAUAUGCUUAGGCACUAGUUACCUUGAUAGUGAUAGGUGUUUCAACAAUGGAAGAAGAGACCUCCACGAUGUUCUUCAUUCGUAAUGGUUUGUUGAGAAGAGCUGAACCAGCACUUUUGUUCACAACCAUAUCUAUCGGGCAGCCCAUGUUGAUGUCUAUGAAAUCAACCGUGCAUUCUCGAUCUAUAAGCUCAACCGCACGAGACACCGUGUCUGGAAAAGAACCGCAAAUCUGAACACCAAACAGAUCUUCCGAUGAAUGCCUUCUAAGCAGAGCCCAUUCGGAAGCUUGGCCCUAUAGUUUCAGAUUUUCACAUUUAUUACAAAAAAUUAAAAAAAAACUGUUUUUAUCACAAGUAAAUCUUAGUGGGCUAACCUGCAAAAGAUUUGUACACAUGGCCAUCUCACCACAAGUCACAUCAGCUCCCAAAACUUUGCAAAGUCUUCUGAAGGGAAGAUUGCCCACAGUUGUUAGGGGUGCAAGGUACAACUUAUCCCUAAAAUCAAUAAGCUUUUUCUUUUCGCGAGGGUGCGAUUUUAGGCUCCCGUCGGUUUCAACAACUUUGAUGCUAUCCUCCUCAUCCUCUAUCUUGGCUUUUGAAGUAGAAUGCCCGGUCUUUUCCGUUUCAUCGUCCACAUUCAUCACCCCUGUACCAAUACAGUUAAAAAUGUAACAUCAGGAUGCUGUCUUGUCCAAGACGCUUCUUAUGUGAGUGAACUCUUGUUCUUUAAUAUAAAGCUAUGAUAUUAUUUUAAAGACUUAACAAAACUAUGCAACCAUCUGAGAUAAUCUGGGCAUUCUGGAAAUGAUAUAUUUCUGAAAAUAAAAGAAGAAAUCCUAACCAUCAAUAAUGUCUCCAAGUUUAGAAGUCUCGUCAGAUUUUGCCUUUUUCGUGGGACGAACAUCUUCAGUUUCUAAUGGUCCAGGAAUAUCAACAUCUUCAUUUGUCUGAGCACCAUCUAGAGGUUUUUCUGCGUCAUUCUCUUGAGGGACAUUGCUUUUUUUGGCAUGGCCCUAGAAAUUGUAUGGAAAUAAUGAGACAAAAAAAAAACCGAAGAAGAGAAAUAAUAAUCAUAUGUCGCAUGCUAAAAGAUAUGGGAGUGAAGAGCAGCAGCAUAAGAGAAACAAGUGUUCGGUACAACAUACCAUAAGGCCAAGGGAUUUAAGUUUGGCAUCUGCCUUGGGAAAAGUCAUGUUAUUUUUCCAUAAAAGCCUCUGUGUCUCUUUGUUGAAAAAGUUAAUCUCGGCAUCAGAAAUUCCAGAUAAAUCUUUGUGGGUGCCAAAGAAUCUGCAUGAUAAACCAUAUUGACACUUGAUCCCAGAGGCCACAAAUGGGCACUGCCCCUCUAUAUCAUCUGGUUUCUGCAGUUACAAAAUAAUAAUAAUAAUAAUAAUAUUAUUUCUCAAUAACGACCAAGCUAGUUUCGAUCAAGAGUAGAGAGUACCUGAGCUUUGAAAGCUUGAAUGUCAUGAUUAAAGCGGCAUUUCUCUUUAUACUGACAGGAAUCAACGUCUUCUGUUCUCGAAACCUGCGGACACAGGUUUAUCGCACAUUUCUGCAAAAAAAAAACAAAACAAAUGGCAUGUUCGGUUCAGUUGCAAAAAGCAAAAAAAAAAACAAAACAUUAUAUCCUAAUAAUAAGCUUGGAAAAAAAUGGACAUACCUCCCGGCGUUCUCUUUUGAGCUGUCGUUUCGAUUUCUUCUCCUGGACUAAGCUCGGAUGAGGCGCCUUCACGUCACUUUGCUUUAGGGAACGGCUCGGAGGAGGGCAUAGGAACUCCUUUUUUAUAGGCGCCAUCGACCGUUCUAUAAGCUCCUCCGAUGUCGCUUCGUACACACUGAACUGCUUCGUCGGCUUUGCAUCUCCUUCCGCCAGCUCAGCUACUACAUCGGACAUAGCUCCCUCGUCGCCGUACACAGAGAUGAACAGAGAGAGUGAUAUAAUGUUUUUAGGGUUUUAGAUAUUUCUACGGACGAGGGAGAUAUGUAAGACCCGGCCCGUUACAGUUUCCAGAUUGAAAUUCACGAAAUGCUUUUUAUUAGGCCUAAAAUGAGGCCCGGCCUGUUAACUACAGUUCAUAUAAAACUUAACAAUCAGAGGAGUAGGAUCCCAAAAGCACCAAACAAACAGAGAAUCUCUCUGUCUCAACCUCAAUCUCUUGACCCUCCCGCCAUUACAACCACAUUAUAUAUCUACCAUGAUCUGAAAUAUAACUGGAUUUCAUCUGUAAUAUACAUAAUAAUUCAACACACUGCACAUAGAUAAAAUAAAUAAAUAUACUGUUUGCCUAGUUGAUAUGCAACUCCAAUCCUUUGAUCCAGCCAACACCUCAACACCCGGUCUACUUGUCCAUUUUGCUGACAUGUUACCAUUCAGGUUCUGCUGGGACUGUGGCUCCUGUCUUAACUGGCUGAUGUUGAGUUGCUGGGAUAUGGUGAUGUCCAGACUGAGCAAGAUGAGAACAGGGGGAACGAUUAGAGACAAGCCGUAGUAGAUGAUCCGUUAGGGUGCGGUAUGGCUCUUGCCGUUAAAUGUCAGGUCAGAUACAUCAGAAGAGCGGAGAGAAUGAAGAACUGGUUAAAACCCAUUUGAGAUUUGAAGAAAUUGUAAAACAAAAUAUGACAAUCAUUAUUCACUAGACUGUUUUAUUAAUUACAUAAUAAACACAGAGACCAACCCAAAACCAUUUGCAUUAACUAGAACUAUGGACAAUAAAAAUAAAAUAAGAAUGGAACUAAACAAGCUUCAUUCGACCUCUGAACCUAAAAUGUUAAAACGAAAAAGAGAGAGAGAUAGAAAAAAAACAGAGAAAACAUACUUUGCCUACAUGAUCGUGAUGUAGCGAUUGGUGCCGUGCCUAGCCCAAUAAUCCUUGAGAUCAACGGGAGAGGAGAGGUCGUGGCCUUGCCCAGCUAAACGGCUAAGUAGCCUGGAGAAGACGUUUCCGCUCAUUUUCCUACCGCCCACUCGAGAAUGGCGCUUGUUUGGCAUCUGCGGAAGAGGAUACAGAGACAAAGUGGUAGUGCAGCAUGAUGAUUGCCACCCGCCGUUCCCCCAUUUGUAACAGUGACGAGCAGUACCAGUACAAGUGCACAUGGGCACUGGCAUUGUCGUCUCAUCGAAGGUGACAAGGUUUAAGCCGACAACGUUACUGUCCCAAUCUUUUCUGCAUUUCUUUCCAGGAGAAGCAACAUGAUGGUUCAGAUCUUCGCCUACUCUCUUUCUCUUUGACCUUGUUUCCGGUUUGCGCUUUUUUUUUCUUUUACUUGGCGCAGCUUCAUGUGGAAUAGUUGACAAUGGGGAAGGGUUUGGUAAGUGAGAGCUUUGGGAGGCACCGAGCUUUGCACGUGACAAAAUGUAGUUUAGAUUGUGUUCACGGAACUGAAGAGCACUUAAGGCACUGUCCCUCUCCAGAAUAGCAUUAUCUCUUAGAGAGAGAGCUUUGUCGCGUAGGUCAAGUGCUUCGUCCCGAGCGGCUAAAGCUUCCUGCUUGGCAGCCAGGGCGUCGUCUCUUUCCUUGAGGGCAGCGUCUCUCUCGGCAAGGAUGGACAUGAUCUUCUGAUUCAUGACCAGAGCAUUAUGUUGGUCCUCCUUUGUCUGAUGAUGAUUAGGCAUCGCAUUCCACUGUUAGAAAAAAAAAAAUAAUUCCCCGAUUAGCUUUCCAACCAAAGUAGUAAUAAAGAAUCAUAUUUAAAAAAAAAAAGAAGCUUACGACAGAGUGUGUUCCUUCUUUGUAGUAAUCGGGGUUGUAACGCCCAUUUUCAUACUGACCACCGCUCUCCAUCCUCUGACUUGAAAACCAGUAAAAGCAAAAUCAAGUAUUUGAUAUAUAAUAACAAAGCAGCAGAGCAGAAAUGGUCUUUGAAUACGGUUUCUAAUGAAUGAAUGUAGGGAUGGUGGAGCUCACAAUUAUUUACUACUUGUUGGAUAAGCAAGCAAUCAAUCCUGAAUCUAAGCUUUGGCUAUUUGAGAUCAUCCACAAUUUUCCCAUAAAGAAAAACAGUAUGACAUCCCAUGUAAGACUCUCUACAUCAACCCAAAAUUCAAACGAUUAGCUCUAAAUAACAGCAAAAAUAAGACUAUCUGAAAGAUACAUAUAACCAUCAAACAGUUUCAAUUUCAAGCUCCCAUAAUAAUCCAAAUUCGAAAGAAAAAAAAGAGAUAAUAAUUCAAAAUUGAGAAACGAAAGGUGAACAAUAGAUGUAUAUAUAUUCGGAUUAAGCAUAUCUAUGUGUAAGAAAAUUAUAAUAAAAUUGAUUGGAAGCCUUACGGAGAAAGGAGCGAAGGGAAUAGAGAGCAAAGAUCUCGGGAGGGAGGAGGGGGGGAGAAGGAGGAGGGAGGGAGGUUAGUAUCGUCUAUCUACAACAUUAUCUUGGAAAACGUGGGCCGAAGGGAGCCCAAAUAAUUAAGCCCAUAUUGAGUUGUCGCUUUGCUGCCUGGUGUUGUCUGGUCAUUAGAUAUCGAGAAUCGUUGGAAAUGUCAGCGUUCAGUGGAGAAUAGACAGCACCUUUCUUCGGCUUCUCCUGUACAUUCCAUUUUCACUGGCUAACGGACCUGCAUUUGAUUUCACUUUAGCCACCCUCUUCUCAACUGAAUCACACAUUCUUCAACAGCAGCAGCUUUAGAAUCUGAGAUUUGGCAUCUAUGGGUGUCAUGAGACCUGACUGAGUUGGUGAUGAAGUCUAUUGUCCCCGUUGAUCAUUGCCGUUAUCUUUCUGCUGGAAUGGCCAUUGGUAUCGUUGGCGAUGCUGGUGUCAGGUUAUCUGCAGACUUUUGGCGAUGCUGUUUGUUGAGAGAACUGAUCACAUCAUACACAUCAUACACACAAAUUUUUCAUAUUAUGUAAUGAGUUUUUCCAUAACAGAAGCUUGACUGUAACAGAUACAAAUAAAAACACUGAUUGAAAAAUAUAUGUUUUACACACAACGUUGGCUCCUUCAAAAUACCAGAAGAAAAGGACACAAAGAAGAUACAUAUUAUACACACUGUUACAAGAGUUAGAAAAGCAUAGGGAUGCUUUUUCUCCAGCUACGCCAUCUCUGAGCUGUCAAGAAGGAAGGAGGGGUGAAGGCCAGUCCAAACAUCUCCUUCAUGCCUCUCCCUUGCUCAGCGAACCUCACAAGCUUCCCUACAACAUCUGCGCUUUCCACAACCUGACUCAUGUCCUUGGGAUUGCUCCAAAGCUCGUUCACGAGUUGUAAACGCCUGCGUUUGGAGUUGACACCAAUCCCAAACUUGUGAUACAUUCUUCUCCUCUCUUCUCCUGAAAACCUUUUCCCCACCAGCUUGCUCAGCAUCAUUCUCUCCCCGUGAAGCGCCUUCCGGCUUUUACCAACCCCACGAAAGAAAAGAGUAAAUAAAUAUAAAUAAAUAAAAACACCAAAAAGAACGUGUAUCCAACCUUGAAGCCAGAGUUAAGGUUUCUCCUCCUUCCAAAGUUUGGUUUCCCUGAGAGAAGCGAGCUUUCAUAAACAAAAGUCUUCUUAGCUCAACCCCAAUGUAGAUUGAAUCAGCCUCAUCAUCUCCUUUGAAGAGCAAGUAGAAGUAUGUUCUAUGCACCAAAGAGACGUUACAGCUUUGCCAUAGCUCAACAAUCUCUCGCCGCUGUCUCUCAAAUUCCAUGUCCAUGAUAACCAGACCAAUAUCCCUCCCCAUUUUACCAGAAUCAUCAUCACCAAUCGACACCUGAUUGAAAAUUAGUUGUAAUCUAAGAAGAAGAACCGACUAGUAUAUAUAUAAGCUUACCUGGCCUUGACGCUUAGCCAUCUCCUUAAGACCAUCAACAAAAGUGCGGAUGCUAGUGAUACCUCCCUCUUCUCCCAAGGGCGUUCUGAUGCUCUGAGUCGCAGUGGAAUCGCUCCCGCAAGAAGACAGCGAAUCAUUCCUUGACACACUAGAACCCAACUCUAAACCAGAAAAUACUAUCUUCUUGUGACUCUCUUCUUCUGGUCUUUCUGUCCCUAUGUUUUCAGGUGGAGUGCUCGCGGUCUCUCUGCGGUUCCAGCUUCUCAACCUCACAUUUUGGCCUACACUAGCAUCCUCACUAGGGCCUAAAAUGUUCUUAGGUUCUGCUCUUUUUUCGUCUUUGUGGUUGACUGUAGCUGAUUCCUCAAUCUCAAUGCAUUGAACUUCUCUGCAAUAUUCUUCUGAUGGAUCUUCUGAACGCGUAGGCAGCUCUUCAUCAUCAUCAUCCUCAGAGUGAGACCCAACAUAAGCUCUUGUUAUUGAUGUCUGUGACACUGAACCAUCCUCCCACUUGUCAAUGUGCUGCGGAGUUCCACACUUCAACAGAGUAGAAGCAAAAAUAAUGUGAAUAUAUUUGUUGCAUAAAGUGAAAUUGUGGGAAAAAUAAAUACCUUUGAGGCCUCAUCGAGUUCAACCAUUCUCAUGAUAUCUUCAAGCCGGGAUUGAGCAAGAUCUCUGUCUUCUCUCAACUCUGCCAUCUCCUUUUCCAUCUGCAUUCAACAUUACACCUUAGGUUAGCAUUAACCCAGCCUGAAAAGGAGAUCUAUCAUAAGCACAAACCUUUUGUAUCUGAAGAUUCUUCUUCCUCACCGUCAUCGCACAAUCACAUUUCGAGGCAGGCGUGGCAGGGGUUCUCAGCUCGGUCUCGAGCCUCGCAAGCUCACGCUGUAGUUGCUGCAGCAGGGCCUUGUCUGACAUAACGACGUUGAUCCGGGCCUUUGUGGUAACUUCCUUUGCACAGCAAGCAAACAAGAGAGUGUUCCUCGUUAGCUCGACGUGACUCCUCGCUGGGCUCAGAGUGCAGAUGAUGGCAGUUCUUGAAUUCCCACCCAAGCAUGGCUGUAGAAUUCGUGUGAGCUUGGAGUCUCUAAAGUUGAUGUGCCCUUGCCUUCCCUUACUAUAUAGAUCGAUCACCCAGUGCUUAGACAAUUAAAGUUAAUCUACUAAGGAUGUAUUGUUUACACACCUAAGUUUACGGAUCACAGUUCCAAGAGUAAGCAAACUUCGGUUGAUAUGGCAGCCUUCCUUGAGCCUCGCACCAGCUGACAUCGCCUGUGAUGCACGCUCGCUUCCCGCCAGAUCUAUGAAAUUCUGCACGUUAAAGGAAGAAUAAUGAACAGAAAAACAUUAACACCCCAGGAUCCAACAUAAAAUAAAGGGUUGUUGAUGAGAGAGCAUACCACACUCGCCAUGAGGGUGGUGGAGUUUUCUUUGUCUAAGAACUCACGAGCAGAGCUUUCAACCGUCUAUAAAAAUACAUUCAAAAGCCAAAGCUAAGUAAAAGAGAAUCAUGGUAUCUUAAAUACAGUGAUAGAUAAAGAGUUUUAACCAGUCUAAUAAUCUGAUGAGAUCUGGAACUUCUCUCAUUCAGUGAGGUUUCACCAAUCUUACGUUGUGCUGCCAAAAAUUAUUGAGACAUUUAAGUUACAACAUUAAUCUGAAUAACAAUCUGAUUAUUAUUAUCAUAUACAUAUAUAUAUAUAUAUAUAUAUAUAUAUAUGGCUACUUCAUAGAAAUGCAAAGUGAUUUUUGACCUUCACAAACAGAUAGAAGGUCCUUGAGAUGGUUCCAAUCUCGCAGAGUUUCCUCUGUGGCUUUUUCAACCACUGUCCCUUUCUAGUAAGAACCAAGAAAGAACAAGAAGAUUCAGACAAAAUUUACAAAGCGCCAGUAAAGAAAUUUGACAUAAAAAAGUUUUACCUCAGGAUCGUCUCGUAGCCUAAGGGAUGUACCAUCGGAGCUGAGCAAAUCUCGGAUGGCCUCAUUGUAGAUCUCUAUAGCUGAAAAUUUAACGGAAAAUGCUCUUUCUUCAUGCUACAGACAGCAUCCAGAUUCAAUUAGUAUUGGGUGCAGCAGUCAGAAGAAAAAGAAAAAAAAAAAAAAGUUUGAUAUAUUGGAGAAGCAUGAUUGCCUGAAAAAUGUAGUUAAAAAUGUCAGCCACAGCAAACUCAGUGAUAGCAGACAUGGUGUAAGUCUUUCCGCUACUCGUCUGGCCGUACGCAAAAAUACUACCUGUCAAAAACGUUACAGUAAAAUUUGAAAAAGUGAGCAUUCAUCACCAAGAUAAGCAUAUUUGAAGGAAGAUUACGUACAAUUGAUUCCUUUGACAACAGAGAGAGCGAUGUCCUUGGUUCCAUUCUCGUAGACUUGUCUGGUGGAACAUUCACCUCCGUAUACUUUAUCUGUCACCACACCACAAAAAGGAAAUGGGAAUCUGAGUCUUACAUAGAGUAGAGAUGAAAGGGUGAGAGAUAUAAAGGUAGUUUGUCUUAGAAUAUCAAGACCAAAGUAGAGUUGAGUUCAUAUAAAAGGCUGUGGUGUCUACUGGUAAAAAUACAUCGAUCUGUCAUCUUAAAAAUGGACUAGAAAAAUAAGUUCAUAUUCACUGAUGCUGGUGAAUCUCAUUAUUAAGAUGAAAUGUGGGAUGCUUUACAGAAUCAGGAGGGCUACUACCUAUUUCGUUGGAAAAUCUAACCAGUAUAAGCUGUAUAGUUAGUUAAUUACCAAAAGAAUAAGCAGAAGGAAAGUUGGAGGAUUGGCGGAAGGUGUUUCUUCUGUACAAAAUGGUGGUAUCAUUGAGACAUUCCCAAUCCUCCGUAGGUUCGUUAGAGGCAAUCUCUUUCUGGUUAGGGGGCCUCAGUCUCACGAGAACCAGUAUCUUCUCAGACAUGUGUGCCUUUUCCAUAUUCCUUAUGGAUAUUGCUUCAACAAGUCAGCUACCAUAAACAUGAAACAUACCCCUAUAAAAUGAAAAGCAUUUUGUUCAGUGAACCAAAACACACACGAAAUAAAAGAGAGAAGACAAUGGGUGUUGUUGUUAUAAAUAAACACAAAAAGGCAGUUUAGUUUAGUUUAGUAAAGAAGGUGGCCAACCUCAACUGAAGAAAGAAAGAAAGAAAAGAGAUAACCGACUACUAUAUAUCUGUAAUGGUCACCCACUACGCUUUAAAAGACUUAAGGUAACGGUUUUUUUUUUUUUUGACUCAUCAACAACUUUCAUUAACCAAAGUGAAUACGGAAUUACAACCACACGAUUUUAACCCGACAUACAACGACGAGAUCUAGUAACACCUAAGAUCACUAAGAUGGAUCCUACGCUACCUAAUCGGAACGUCGUUGUAUUUUUCACCACAAUGAAUCGAGUUCAUCCCACAACUCGAGAUGAACCGACUCUUAACCACUAAACUAGACCACUAAAUUAGACCACGGUAACCGCAAACAACAAUGAACCAAGUAGAACCAAAGCCUCAUCUGAGUAUCAAUUCAAGCACAGACUAGUAAUCUCUAAUGAUAAGCAUUCAGCCCAUGAUCAAUAGUACCAACACCAAGGCGCAUAUCAGAUCAGUCCUGGACCACACCGGAGAUCGUUGCCACGGUUCAUAGCCAAAAACCGGUCAUAAAGACCGGACUGAAAGUCGGACCUUGACGGCAGCUGCGGGUUUGGUGUACCUAAUAGUGGCUUGAAGAAGCGCGGAGCUUGUACCACCGGAGCGAAAUACCUCCGACCCCGGCGCUGGGAUGUCAAGCUACGCCACACGUUUCCGACCAAGCCCACCACUCCGGUUGACAACUCCUUCAUAGUGAAGCUCGACGCGCGUAAUCCCCGAGAACCGGAGACCAAACUUCUGAUCACCACCCUUCGUAAAAUCUCCUCCAGCCAAACACCACCGCUCUGGGAAGUGGAUCUAUGGCAGAUGAGGCGUCUCACCGUAGCCACGCGCCGCCGCCGUGAAGAUUACCCGGAGAUCUGUAAAUGAGAAAACCAGAUACGGUUUUCUUCAGUCCUAAAAGCCGACUCCUCUCUUCACCGCCACACCUUGGGUCUCGCCGUCUCUCCACGAGGUCUCGGGAACCGCCUCCGUCGAACAANNNNNNNNNNNNNNNNNNNNNNNNNNNNNNNNNNNNNNNNNNNNNNNNNNNNNNNNNNNNNNNNNNNNNNNNNNNNNNNNNNNNNAAUAGGUGUAGCCUUUGACGAACAUACCCUCCUUAGCCUCUUCAGACUCGCCUUCUCCGGUGUAUUUUCCAAGCUGAGCCAACGAGUUGGCCUUGGCACGAGCCAAGAGAGUGGUCUGAGCAGCGUUCACGUUCUCAGCUCUGCCUCCCCAUGUUUUCAGACAAGUGUUCUGGAGAGCACGUGCGUAGGAGAAGGACACGUGCCAUGGGUUUGGUGCCUGGUUCAUCGCGUUGAGGUUCAACGUUGCCUCCAACUCAGACUGUCCUCCGGACAAGAACUGCACAAAAAAAGAAAACACAAACAACUUUACUUCCACCACAAGAAACCAAGAUCUAGGUUUUCCUCAUUAAUAACAAAACUCAUUUUCUUAUAGAAUAAAGCUUGCCAUGAUUCCGGGGACGGCAGGAGGGAUUCUGUUGCGGAGGAGCUUAAGGGUGUAGGCGGCAACUUGUUCAGGAGUAGCUCUGUCUUUAGACUCGGCUCCGGGAGUCACCAUGCUCGGCUUCAGGAGGAUACCUUCAAACAUGACAUUGUUCUGAGCAAGGUAAAAGAAAACCUCAGCCCAAACCUUCUCUGCUACUUCGUAAGUCCUGUCAAUGUCGUGUUCUCCGUCCAACAAUAUCUCUGGCUCCACUAUUGGAACCAAUCCACUGUCCUGAAUAGACAAAUUAAACACAAAACACAAUCUGCGUGUGAAAUAAUAGCUUUAAAAGAAUCCGAGUUGACCUGUUGCUUGAAAGAGAAGCAAUGUGUGUUUACUUGUGAAAUGGCAGCGUAUCGGGCAAGGCCCCAAGCAGCUUCUUUAACAGCUAGAGCAGACGGACCAUUGGGAAUGCUCACGACAGUACGCCUAAUUAAACCAUCAAGAGUACAAAAGUCAAAGAAAAAACUCAGCCGAGAGGAAACAUUUUGGAUAGGAACAGAGGGUACUAUACCAUUUGGCGAAACGAGCACCCUGUUGAUAGUAAGCAGCAGUUCGGGAGGAUAGACCAUCGAGCCCUUGGCACCAUGACUCAUUGUUAGAUCCAACAAGUGGGACCAAACCCUACUUCCAUAAAUAGAUACAACUCGCUUAGCUUCCUCUAAUCAAGGAAAAAUAAAUACCUUUGAGGCCUCAUCGAGUUCAACCAUUCUCAUGAUAUCUUCAAGCCGGGAUUGAGCAAGAUCUCUGUCUUCUCUCAACUCUGCCAUCUCCUUUUCCAUCUGCAUUCAACAUUACACCUUAGGUUAGCAUUAACCCAGCCUGAAAAGGAGAUCUAUCAUAAGCACAAACCUUUUGUAUCUGAAGAUUCUUCUUCCUCACCGUCAUCGCACAAUCACAUUUCGAGGCAGGCGUGGCAGGGGUUCUCAGCUCGGUCUCGAGCCUCGCAAGCUCACGCUGUAGUUGCUGCAGCAGGGCCUUGUCUGACAUAACGACGUUGAUCCGGGCCUUUGUGGUAACUUCCUUUGCACAGCAAGCAAACAAGAGAGUGUUCCUCGUUAGCUCGACGUGACUCCUCGCUGGGCUCAGAGUGCAGAUGAUGGCAGUUCUUGAAUUCCCACCCAAGCAUGGCUGUAGAAUUCGUGUGAGCUUGGAGUCUCUAAAGUUGAUGUGCCCUUGCCUUCCCUUACUAUAUAGAUCGAUCACCCAGUGCUUAGACAAUUAAAGUUAAUCUACUAAGGAUGUAUUGUUUACACACCUAAGUUUACGGAUCACAGUUCCAAGAGUAAGCAAACUUCGGUUGAUAUGGCACCCUUCCUUGAGCCUCGCACCAGCUGACAUCGCCUGUGAUGCACGCUCGCUUCCCGCCAGAUCUAUGAAAUUCUGCACGUUAAAGGAAGAAUAAUGAACAGAAAAACAUUAACACCCCAGGAUCCAACAUAAAAUAAAGGGUUGUUGAUGAGAGAGCAUACCACACUCGCCAUGAGGGUGGUGGAGUUUUCUUUGUCUAAGAACUCACGAGCAGAGCUUUCAACCGUCUAUAAAAAUACAUUCAAAAGCCAAAGCUAAGUAAAAGAGAAUCAUGGUAUCUUAAAUACAGUGAUAGAUAAAGAGUUUUAACCAGUCUAAUAAUCUGAUGAGAUCUGGAACUUCUCUCAUUCAGUGAGGUUUCACCAAUCUUACGUUGUGCUGCCAAAAAUUAUUGAGACAUUUAAGUUACAACAUUAAUCUGAAUAACAAUCUGAUUAUUAUUAUCAUAUACAUAUAUAUAUAUAUAUAUAUAUAUAUAUAUGGCUACUUCAUAGAAAUGCAAAGUGAUUUUUGACCUUCACAAACAGAUAGAAGGUCCUUGAGAUGGUUCCAAUCUCGCAGAGUUUCCUCUGUGGCUUUUUCAACCACUGUCCCUUUCUAGUAAGAACCAAGAAAGAACAAGAAGAUUCAGACAAAAUUUACAAAGCGCCAGUAAAGAAAUUUGACAUAAAAAAGUUUUACCUCAGGAUCGUCUCGUAGCCUAAGGGAUGUACCAUCGGAGCUGAGCAAAUCUCGGAUGGCCUCAUUGUAGAUCUCUAUAGCUGAAAAUUUAACGGAAAAUGCUCUUUCUUCAUGCUACAGACAGCAUCCAGAUUCAAUUAGUAUUGGGUGCAGCAGUCAGAAGAAAAAGAAAAAAAAAAAAAAGUUUGAUAUAUUGGAGAAGCAUGAUUGCCUGAAAAAUGUAGUUAAAAAUGUCAGCCACAGCAAACUCAGUGAUAGCAGACAUGGUGUAAGUCUUUCCGCUACUCGUCUGGCCGUACGCAAAAAUACUACCUGUCAAAAACGUUACAGUAAAAUUUGAAAAAGUGAGCAUUCAUCACCAAGAUAAGCAUAUUUGAAGGAAGAUUACGUACAAUUGAUUCCUUUGACAACAGAGAGAGCGAUGUCCUUGGUUCCAUUCUCGUAGACUUGUCUGGUGGAACAUUCACCUCCGUAUACUUUAUCUGUCACCACACCACAAAAAGGAAAUGGGAAUCUGAGUCUUACAUAGAGUAGAGAUGAAAGGGUGAGAGAUAUAAAGGUAGUUUGUCUUAGAAUAUCAAGACCAAAGUAGAGUUGAGUUCAUAUAAAAGGCUGUGGUGUCUACUGGUAAAAAUACAUCGAUCUGUCAUCUUAAAAAUGGACUAGAAAAAUAAGUUCAUAUUCACUGAUGCUGGUGAAUCUCAUUAUUAAGAUGAAAUGUGGGAUGCUUUACAGAAUCAGGAGGGCUACUACCUAUUUCGUUGGAAAAUCUAACCAGUAUAAGCUGUAUAGUUAGUUAAUUACCAAAAGAAUAAGCAGAAGGAAAGUUGGAGGAUUGGCGGAAGGUGUUUCUUCUGUACAAAAUGGUGGUAUCAUUGAGACAUUCCCAAUCCUCCGUAGGUUCGUUAGAGGCAAUCUCUUUCUGGUUAGGGGGCCUCAGUCUCACGAGAACCAGUAUCUUCUCAGACAUGUGUGCCUUUUCCAUAUUCCUUAUGGAUAUUGCUUCAACAAGUCAGCUACCAUAAACAUGAAACAUACCCCUAUAAAAUGAAAAGCAUUUUGUUCAGUGAACCAAAACACACACGAAAUAAAAGAGAGAAGACAAUGGGUGUUGUUGUUAUAAAUAAACACAAAAAGGCAGUUUAGUUUAGUUUAGUAAAGAAGGUGGCCAACCUCAACUGAAGAAAGAAAGAAAGAAAAGAGAUAACCGACUACUAUAUAUCUGUAAUGGUCACCCACUACGCUUUAAAAGACUUAAGGUAACGGUUUACUAAUCUAAACAUUGUUAAAUCGAAAAUGUAUUCUAGACAUUUGAAAAGUGACUUAGAUUUUUAUAAUAUUCUAGCUAGUGACCCGCAAAGAAAGAAAGAAAAAGAAGAGCCACCGGAGCGAAAUACCUCCGACCCCGGCGCUGGGAUGUCAAGCUACGCCACACGUUUCCGACCAAGCCCACCACUCCGGUUGACAACUCCUUCAUAGUGAAGCUCGACGCGCGUAAUCCCCGAGAACCGGAGACCAAACUUCUGAUCACCACCCUUCGUAAAAUCUCCUCCAGCCAAACACCACCGCUCUGGGAAGUGGAUCUAUGGCAGAUGAGGCGUCUCACCGUAGCCACGCGCCGCCGCCGUGAAGAUUGCCCGGAGAUCUGAAAAUGAGAAAACCAGAUCCGGUUGUCUUCAGUCCUAAAAGCCGACUCCUCUCUUCACCGCCACACCUUGGGUCUCGCCGUCUCUCCACGAGGUCUCGGGAACCGCCUCCGUCGAACAACAUCGUCUUCGGAGUUUCUCGAUCUUGCAGAGAAGAUUGCAUAUCAACUAAGGGGAGACGAGAAGAAGAGGAGCAAAGAACAAAAGAGGAAGGGUUAGAGAUGGACGCCUCCGGCUACCGACGAGCGGCGGCCGGAGCUAGGUUAGGGUUUUCUUAAAGGAACGCUAGAGAGAAAAGAGAGCGUAGGAGAGAGAGUUUUUAAUCUUCAGUAAGAGGUAACGGUUUACUAAUCUAAACAUUGUUAAAUCGAAAAAGUAUUCUAGACAUUAGAUUUUUAUAAUAUUCUAGCUAGUGACCCGCAAAGAAAGAAAAAAAGAAGAUAAUAACUUUUGAGUUUAGUAUUAAUAAUAUAUAAGUCUCCUUCAUCAGUAGAGAGACGACAUUGUCAGACAGAAAUGCGCGUUUUUAAGGUAUAUGAGAGAGAGAGAGAGAGAUUCGAGUUUAGUGUAACAAACAAAACAGAACGCAGAAGGUAAGUGAGAGUUGUCUUCUUCUUACAGAAACGAAGAUUCAAACAUGGUGAGAGAGAGAUACCUCGGAAUCGGGUGAGGACUGGAGACAAAAAAAAAACAAAUAUAUUUAUUUAGCAGCCAGCCCAGUCCACUCUCUGCUACUGAUUUGGUUCUUCUUCUUCUUCUUCAGUUUGCAUUUCCUCUCUCUCUCUCUCUCUCCCCGUCUGGAGGGACCACUAGACCGAUCGGCAUUGAUUUGGUCCCGCAGAUCACCGGCUUCUCUUUCUCUCCCGAGAGCUUGAGGGGGAGUGACGUGACAAAUCUUGUUAAUGACCUUUUUGACCUUCGACAUCUUACUGCCACGUCGACGUCCCUACGUUGGGCUUAUAUUCAGCGAGCCUACUUCCUGAAAUGAAUGGAUAUUUAUUGGGCUUUACAAACAAGUAUAUUGGGUAUUAGUUAUAUGUAGCCCAAUUAGUCUUUCAUUAUGUCAUUGUGUCUGCAUGCAUGCAUCUGGAAUUUUAUAGAUUAACGUAUAGGUAGUAGUAUAGAGUUACGAAUAAUAAUGUUCUGAGACCACCGUGAGCAUCCAAGUGGUCCGGAUACAUAACAUAAUCAUCUAUAUACAGAGAUAACUUCAUCAAUACAAUAUAUAUAUAUAUAUAUAUAUAUAUAUCAGAAAAAAAAAACAAAAACUUAUUAGGAGUAGCUAAUGCAAAUUAACCAGACAAAAUAAAAUGUUUUUGACAUAUUUAUAAGGACAACCCAACUCAAAUACAGAUGCAAUCAAAACAUAAUCUGCCUUCGUCUCCAAUUUCUUUUUUUUUUGCUAAAUAUGUUAAUUUUCAUUAGAUGAAAGGUUCAGUUAUACAUCAGUACAGCUGAGGCUUAAGCUACCAAGGCAAAAAAAGGUAAAAACAAGGCAGCAGAAAGAUCAAUGACAAGCAAAUAAAGAAGAUGAAGUCAAGACAACCAGAGGGACAUGAGUCCCCUGAAGUUUUUCCUAUGUCGUCUGGCUGUGAUGGAGUUUCGGGUCUCCUUGUCGAUGAGUCUGAAGACGGCUUGAACUGGAAGAGAGAUGCUGUUGUGGAGGACGUUGUUGCGCUGCUUCCAGAGGUGGUAAAUGGUGAUUUGAGCGACAAGCUGCCUGAGAGUCAACGGGCAGCGGGAAGAGGAGUAUCGGAUCCAAGACAUCAACUCAGCCCAAGAAAGGAAGUUGCGAGAGCACCCAAGCCUUGAGAGCACUAAUGACCAGACCACUGCACUGUAAUCGCAAGUGAUGAGCAGAUGUUCCCGGGUUUCCUCAGAGGAGUUACAGAGGCAGCAGAGCGGAGAGAUAUGUGGAGACCAUCUCGCAAUUCUUGAUCUAGUGGGGAGUCGGUUGAGGUGUGCAACCCACAUAUUAAAAGCAAAUUUUGGGAUUGCUCCUUUGAACCAAAUAGAGGGAGCCCAUGGUUUAAUAGUAUCUGAAGGCCUUAAGCUUUCCCAUGUUUUUGCAGCAGAGUAUCCAUGGGCAUCAGCUCCGUCUAUGAUCCAGUUGACCGCAUCGUCUUCAGCAAUAGGAUCCGGGACCGGGAUGGUUGUGAGGUAUAUGUGGAGAGAUAGCGAGUUAUCAGAUCGUGGGGAAGGUAGGCUCCAGUGCUCCCCAUCACACACCUCAGAAACAGAAGCAUUUAAAGGGACCCUGAGCAGCCUAGGGCCACCUUCACCGAUAAAAGUUAACAAGCUCCCAAAGGGGGUCCACGGGUCGAACCAGAAACUGGUAUUCUUUCCAUUUUGAAUGGUGAACUUAAUAAACCUUUCAGCAAGGUGUUUCAGACCCAACAAAGCAUUCCAAGUCCAAGAUUGCGAUGGCUUUUGCUCCAAUGCCCAGAUGCUACUCUCCCUUAUGUGAUGGUGCUUGUGCCAUUUUACCCAUAGUGAUUGACUGUUAGACAAGAGCAGCCAAUAGUACCUGAGAGAAAGGACUGUGUUCCAAGAGGAGAACCUUCUGAGCCCAAGGCCCCCUUCGCUUUUGGGCAGACAACAAAUUUUCCAAGAAACCUUAGUUCCAUAGCCUGUUUCGAUAUCUCCAGUCCAGAGGAAUCGACUGCAUAGAGAUUCAAUGCGGCUGAUACACCCCUUUGGCAAGAUAAAGGUUGACAUCCAGAAGAUUACCAGACCCGCAAUAACAGUACGAAUAAGCUCUACUCUGCCUGCAAAAAUAAGAGUCUUUGUUCCCCACGCUUUGAACCUCUUUGCAACUUUGUCAAUCAGAUCAGCAUACUCAGAGAUUUUUAGCCUUCUAGACAUAAGGGGAAGACCCAAGUAUCUUAUAGGGAGCGAUCCAGGUGUGAACCCAUACCUCAUUAUAGAUGUUGAUUCUGCCUCGUUUAAUCCCGCAUGAAACAGGUGAGUCUUGGAUUGAUUCAUUUUCAGGCCCGACCAAGAUGCAAAAUCAUGGAGUGCUUCUGUGAUUCCAUGGAGUGAAGAUUCCCCACCGUCAAAAAAUAUCAUAAUGUCAUCUGCAAACAUCAAGUGGGAGAUACCUAGCUCCUCCGUUUUGGGGUGGUAAGCUAUGUAUCCCGCCUGGAAUCUCGAGUCUAACAGCCUAGAUAAGACCUCCAUAGCCAAAACGAAGAGAUAAGGGGACAGCGGGUCCCCUUGUCUUAGACCUUUACUACUUCGGAAGUAACCAUCAGAAGAUCCAUUUAGCGCGACCGAGAAGGACGGGGUGGUGAUGCAUUGUUUGAUCCAGGCUACAAAGAUCUGAGGGCAUCCAAUUGCCUUCAGCGUAGCAAGCACAAAAUCCCACCUGACAGAGUCAAAAGCUUUCUUUAAGUCAACUUUUAGCAUUGCUUUCCUCUCCACGUUAUUUCGGUUGUAGCCAUGGAUGAUCUCCGUUGCUAGCAGGACAUUUUCACCCAAGAGUCUGCCCGGGAUGAAAACAGAUUGAGAGUAAGAGAUGACCGACGAUAGGACCUUCUUGAGUCUGUUCGCUAGGAGCUUAGCAAUAACCUUGUACAGAGUAUUUAAACAGGAUAUAGGCCUAAAGUCUGUCAUUGAUUCCGCGUUGGGCACUUUUGGGAUAAGAACCAGAGUUGUUGCAUUCCAUUGAUUGAGGAGGUUUCCGGUUCUGAAAAAUUCAGCAACUGCUUUUGUUACUUCCGGCCCGACAAUAGUCCAGCAAGCAGUGAAGAACUCUGCGGAGAACCCAUCAGGGCCGCUAGUCUUAUUACGAGGGAGGCUGAAAAAAGCGUCUUUAAUAUCUUGGGCUGAGAACUGCUUUCCUAGUUCAGCUGCCUCAGGAGCCGAGCAUCUGAAAGGCAUAAGGAGGUCGAUGUCCUGUUGGAGGAAGGUUUGCUGAUCUGAGGUGUCAUUAAGGAGGUUGGAGAAGUAUUCGACAGAGUGUCUAUGAAUGGCUUCUUGAGAUUGUAUCCUUGAUCCGUCAGCAGCUGUCAAAUAAUGAAUGUGGUUCACGGACUUUCUGGUUGCCACCAUACGAUGGUAGAAAGCCGUGCUGCUGUCGCCGACUGAGAGCCAAUUUCACAGCAUCAUUAAUUAUUCUCUUCAAUAGGUGUAGCCUUUGACGAACAUACCCUCCUUAGCCUCUUCAGACUCACCUUCUCCUGUGUAUUUUCCAAGCUGAGCCAGCGAAUUGGCCUUGGCUCUAGCCAAUAGAGUGGUCUGAGCUGCGUUCACGUUCUCAGCUCUGCCUCCCCAUGUUUUCAAACAUGUGUUCUGCAGGGCACGUGCGUAGGAGAAGGAUACAUGCCACGGGUUUGGUGCUUGGUUCAUCGCGUUCAGGUUCAACGUUGCCUCCAAUUCAGACUGUCCUCCCGACAAGAACUGCAAAACCAAAACAAAACAAAACAAAAAAAACUUUACUUCCACCACCUCAAGCAACCAAGAUCUAGGGUUCUCAUCAUAAGCAAUUUCCAUCAAAUCAAGCAAUAUUUUGAUUUUUAUAGAUAUUUUUACACUAUGUAAAGUGAAGAGAGAGGAAUAGAGCUUGCCAUGAUUCCGGGGACGGCCGGAGGGAUUCUGUUGCGGAGGAGUUUAAGGGUGUAGGAGGCAACUUGUUCAGGAGUAGCUCUGUCUUUAGACUCAGCUCCGGGAGUCACCAUGCUCGGCUUCAGGAGAAUACCUUUGUACAAGAUGUUGAUAUUUUAACACAACUUGAUAAUAUAAGAUAAGCAGCUCCAUAUACUUAGCUAGUAACACCUUCAAACAUGACAUUGUUCUGAGCAAGGUAAAAGAAAACCUCAGCCCAAACCUUCUCUGCUACUUCGUAAGUCCUGUCAAUGUCGUGUUCUCCGUCCAACAAUAUCUCUGGCUCCACUAUUGGAACCAAUCCACUGUCCUGA